UUUCUUUCUUUCUCUUUUAUUCCUCUUUUUCCUCGCUUCCUUCUUCUUCUUCUUUUCUUUUCUUCUUCGACCGAGACCCAAGCCACAGCGCGCCGCAUGCCGCCUGAGCUCAACGCUGCCGCGCCGUCGCGCGCAGCCUCCCCUGCGCAACCUCCACCAGCUCCACUCUCUUGACCACCUCCACCUCAGCUCAACCUCUACCAGCUCGCCAUCGCCGCCGCCGUCCAGCCCUGAGCUCCACCGCACGGUCGCUCCCACCACUGCAGCAGAUCCAGCUCAGCCGCCUGCCCACGCCCCACAGCCCAGCGCCGCAACAGCUUGCUGCUGCCUCCAACCCCACACGACACACAGCGCCCGAACUGCCAUCGCCGAUCGCCGCCAGUCUCCCAGCUCCCCCUCUGCGCUCUCUCCACUUCGUGAACCAGCCGCACUUAAGCUCACCUCCACCAGCUCUCCCUCGCACGCCACUAGCUGCUCCGCUGCUCGCUCCAUUCCCACCUGUCCAAAUUGACAGGUGGAGGUAUUGAACCUUCAACUUCGAUUAGUAUUUUUUUUUCUUUUUUUUUCUUCUGGUUCUGCUUUUGCUAGAUUUUGCGCUUGUGUGUCUGGGUUUCUUGUUGGAUAACAGAGAGGGUUGUUGUGGGCAUUUUCUAGGGUGAAUUUUGGACAGAUUUGGGUCUAAUUGCUACCAUAUGUGGGGAUAUUUUCUGAUAUUUGUUGAAUUGUUGGCCGUCUGACCUUCCCUAUGUGUAUACCAGUGGUACUGGUUGGAGUGUUUUGUUUACAUUCAUUGAUUUUAUGUGGUCGCCUGUCUGAUUGCGAGCUAAUGACCUUGUACUUCUGUUGUUGUUCGCAAUUUCACCUGUGGUUGCUGAAAUUGCCAAUUUCUGGGGUCAUUUGCUACUUUUCACAGGUUGGAUUUCUUGUUGGAUCCAAGAGGGUGAUAAUUUGGGCAUUUUCUAGGUCAAUUUUGGGACAAAAUUACGUUUAUUUGCUGCUUUGUUUGGGGAUAUUUUCUGGCAUCGAUUACAUUAUUGAGUUGGCCAUUUGCUUUAGUUUUUCCCUGUGACUCACCAGUGGUACUGGUUGAGAUUUUUGGCCUAUCGUUGUGGCUCCUAUUUGAAGAUUCUUGCUUAUUUGAAAGUUUAAGUUCUUGUGAUUGGGUUGCUGCCGUUGAAUUUAAUUCUUUCCUGUCUAUGCACCAGUGGUACUGGUUGCAAUGUUGCUUUCCAUUUCUUAAUCCUCUGUGCUGGACUGCCUAUUCGAUUCUUGAGUUUUGGUGCCUGAACCAUUUCUGAAGUGUACCCUUGGCUAGAGUUUUCCCUUAAUUAUUUCUCUUAAUCAAUUAUUUCCUGCAGUUAAUUUAUUUAGUUAGUAUUUAAUCCAAAAACCCCCCAUACUUUGGACUCUAGAAGAAACGAAUUAUCCCCAGUCCCUGUGGAUUCGACCCUACUCACCGCUAUAUAUAAAAUCUGUAUUUUUCUCGAGUAGGUAUUUAUUAUUGCACAGGUUCGGCACCUGUCAGGCGGUGUGGUGCCUUUGUAAACCAAAAGGAACAAAAUUAAGACACCCACAAAGAGGAGAAGACUUACGAACAACCAGAGUCUCAAAUUUAAAGAUGUGAGCUGACACCGCUUACCAAAAUCUGGUGAACUGAAUUAAAUCAAUAAUGUCUUUGCUCCAAUUUUUUUUUUUGGUUCAACGAAGACGCUUUACAAGACAGGAGGAGGCUUGACAAUCCAAUACAGAGUCCAUAUUCAAUAUCUUCACCAGAUGAAUCGGAUCUUGAGGAUGAAUUAAAUCAAUUUCAAUUAGAUAAGAAAAGUUAUCACUACUAACGUAAGGGCUAUGUUGCCGUGCAGUUUGUAAAAAUAUUUAUAAAUAACUUAUGGUACCGAUCUAACCCAUAGUGGUGAUUGGAGGCGAAACCUUCCAAACUUUUACGCAUCGAAAAGAAAUUAUCGCAAUAUAUUUUCCAUGUACCAUUGAUAUUAACAGUAACGAUGAUGACUCUACUAGUAGAGAUUAAGAAAAAAAAUGGAAGGAAUGGCAAAAAUAGUCUUUGCUAAACUGGCGGUCUCUGUCACCAUCAAUAAAUUUUUUAAAGCUUCUUUACUCCACGCGCAGCAACGCGUUCUUGGUUGCAUCAACUUUAUAAUUGAUUAUUCUGGAGUGAACGCUAACGUUUGCCAGCUAAAUAGUAAAUACUACGUUUGCCGUCUGACUUACAGUUGUUUAUUUGCCUUUCUAGGAUACCUCUUCGACAGCACACGGACAAGAAUUUUGACUUUCGUACUAGGAAGCAGCCAUCAACUAUAUAAAGCCUUCAUUUGUCUACUCCCAAGCAUAGCAAACUGAAUACGCAAAAACCUCUCCUUUCUUCUGAAGCUCUCCACUUUUCGUGUCCGAGUAAAAAUGAUCUCCCUUGCCUUCUUUAAAGCUUCAUUCCUCCUGCAGUUUACCAUAAUUGCAUCAUUUCUAUUAGCUGCCUAUGCUGGUAAUUUUUAUCAAGAUGUUGCCCAGACUUUUGGGGAUCAGAGGUUUAAGAUUCUCGAGGGUGGCCAACUUCUCACGCUGUCCUUAGACAAAACUUCAGGGUCUGGAUUUCAGUCCAAGAAUGAGUAUUUGUUUGGAAGAUUCGACAUGCAACUUAAGCUUAUACCAGGCAACUCUGCUGGUACCGUGGCCACAUUUUAUGUAAGUCCGAAAAUUUUCCAUUUUUCAGUAACUUAGGAUUGUUUUUUCCAUUUUCACACAAAAUUGCACCAUCUUUGGUACUCAGCUCAUGAGGGAUUGUACCUUCUUGUGCAGUUAUCGUCCCAAGGACAAGGACAUGAUGAGAUCGAUUUUGAGUUCUUGGGAAACUCUUCUGGACAGCCUUACACAGUCCACACCAACGUUUAUGCUCAAGGAAAAGGUGGCAGGGAACAACGGUUUCGCCUGUGGUUCGAUCCCACAACAUCCUUCCACACCUAUUCAAUUGUUUGGAAUCCUCAAAGGAUCAUGUAAGCCCUUUUCAUCAAUUCAUCAUCUUAUUCAAUUCACUGCUCUGCCUGGAAAAAAAAAACAAAGAGAGACAAAAAUCUUGUUGCUUAGCAGCUUUUUUUCUUUAUUAUUAUUAAAUGAGUUUCUGGGAUUUUUUCUUUUAAUCAGAUUCUUGGUGGAUAACAUACCAAUAAGAGUCUUCAACAAUCAAGAAUCAAAUGGAGUACCAUACCCCAAGAACCAGGCCAUGAGAGUCUACUGCAGCUUGUGGAAUGCAGAUGACUGGGCUACACAAGGCGGCCUUGUUAAGACUGAUUGGACGCUUGCCCCAUUCACUGUUUCUUACAGAAACUUCAAUGCAAAUGGAUGUGUUAAGGUGCCUGGAUCAUCAGCCUGUGGUUCCACAAAUUCGCUGAACAAUGAUCAGGCGUGGCAAUCUCAAGGGCUUGAUGCUAAGGGAAGAAACAGGAUUCGAUGGGUUCAGCAGAAAUUCAUGAUCUAUAACUAUUGUAGUGAUGCUACUAGGUUUCCACAAGGCUUUCCUACUGAAUGCAGGGGCUCUGGGUUCUAGAUUGCUGGAAGAUUGUCUUUUCUUUGUAAACAUCAAAAGUGAAAUUCUUUAUUCGUUUUGUAAAUUUUAGACAGAUAUUGUGAAAUUCUUUAUUCUUUGUAAUUUGUGGAAUGAAAAUGAAUUUUGAUUACGCGUUACAUUGUUCGAGUAAAAGUUGAAAUAGAUUCCAUUUUAUUUUCUAGUUCGGCUGAACAUCAAUAAUUUUUCUUUUGACAGUCAUACACCCUAAAAUAAGUCUUUAAGACUUCAUGUAUGCAUAAUCUGAAUAUAUUCAAAUUUUUGGACAAACAUUUUGAGUUUUAAGAAUGUGCUUAAUCAGCUGAAAUAUCCCUAGCCUUGAAUUUGUAAAUAAAAGAGAAAUACAAGAAAUUUCUCCACAAGCAUUUGAUAAAAAAAGAACAUAAUUUUUGCAAUAUAUCUACUAAGGGGCAUAGGGCAUAGUUCAUAGAGAAAUUUCGUGCAAAUUGAGUUUUUAAUCUGAUGACGUUGUCAAAACAUUGGUUAAUCUGCCAGAUUAGCAGUUUUUACUUAUCCUUUUUGGCCCUUUUGAUGUAGCAAAAGAUAUUAAUAAGUCAAGUUAAAUCUGGCUACUUUGGUCGGUUUGACUAAUUUACUUGACAAUCGUUUUCCAAUUGGGAAGCUAAGAAUCGUUUAUCUCUCUCAGAACUUGAUAAAAAGUGGUCAAAACUUAGUUUGAAAAAUUAGGCUGGGCUAAUUAAGCUGAAAAAAAAAAAACUGUUCUUGAAUUAAAAAAAUUACUUGCAGUGCUGUAAAAAUGGGGUAGAAUGAAUUUAUUUCUUUGGCUGUUUGUGUAUAGGAGAGUUAAAAUAUUUCUUUUUUUUCUUUUUGAUGCAGUAUAAUUAUAUAAAACUUUUGAUUGAGGCAUUUGAGGAAAGAUGUGAAAUCCCUCUAGCUGUUUACAUUAUUUUGGAGGUAUUUGAUUUUGUAAAUUAUCAAUUAUUUUAAUAGUUGGUGUAUUAUAAACUCAAAUACCUAUUAAACGAUCCGAACAACUAGAGCGAUUUAGAUAAAUUUCAAAUCCUUUAUCAAAUUCCUCAAUCCAAACAAAACCACAGUAUAUGUAGUAUCUCGCAAAAUACACACCAUAAACAUGCUAAAAAAAUGUACAUAAUAAGUGAGAACUACUGUAAAUUAAACAGUGCCAAUCAUAAGAAAGCUAACUACAUAUACUUUUUGGUAUGGACCGUAUGGUAUAAAUACGAAUUUCUGCCAUGACAUUGGAGAACUUUAUUAAGGAUUUUCAUGUUCUGUACCCUUAGGGUCCGUUUGGUUCACGAACCAGAUGAGAUGGGAUGACUCAUUCUUAGAUUAUUAAUCCUGAGUUGAGUCAUCCUCAGAUAAAUAAUUUCAAUUAUCUGGUAUUUGGUUAAUUCUGGAUUGGAUGGGAUAUGGUGGAAAAUAAUCCUAUCUUGUGUUUGAUGGGAGAUUGGAUGAGAUAGAAUUACUAUUUUAAUGACCAAAACAUCCCUUAAUUUGUAGAUUAUUUUUAAUAAAAUAAUUUAAUAAAAGAUUUAAUAUUUAUAACUUUUAUUAAAAUAGAGUAGUUUGAAACUUCAGAAUUAUAAAGCAAAUCAAGGGUUUUGAUAUAUAAAAAUUUGCAUUCACUCAAACUCAACCCAUUCGAUCCCUUAAAAAUAGAUUUUGACCAAGUUUUUGAACCUAAAUUUGAAAUCCAAUUAAAUAAUAGGCAUAGUUUUGACUAAGUUAGGGUUAAAUCGAUUAAAACCUAACCCAUUUAAGAGCUUUAAAUGAGUCGAACUCAAGCUAAUAUAGAAGACUUUUCUUUAGACCGAGUUUGAACUUAUUGAAGUCCUCAUUCGUAAACCCAAUUGAUAAGGGUAUGUAUUUGUGUAGAAUUUGGUUUAGAAAAUAAGUUUAGUAAGGGUAAUUUAGUCCAAGGGCAAUAUAUUCCCUCUAUUAUGAUGUUAGUAUGGCACAUUAGUCAAAAAUUUAAAUUAAAUAAUAUGGGUAAAUUAUUCAAAAAUUUUAAAAUCAUGAAUAGGGUCAAAUUAGUCAAAAAAAUUUAAUAUAAUUAGUAUGGGCUAAUUAGCCCAUUUAUUAUCAUAUUAAUAAUACGUGAGAAUAUAGUUAUAUAAUAGCGAGUAUGAAUUUGAAUCAUUCAUAAGGGAAAAUUAGUCCAAAUAUUGUUAUGUUGGUAGUAGGAACAAAUUAGUCAAAAAAAUUUUAAAAUUAAUUAGUAGGGGCAAAUUAGUCCAUUUGUAUUAUACUAUCGUGUGAGAGUAAGAUUACAUAAUUAUAAGAGUAUAAAUUUGUAUUUUUUGUAAGCAUAAACUAGUUUAAAAUUUUAUCAUCCUAUCUGUUAGUUAUUCCGGAAGAACUAAUACUACCCCCCCCCCCCAAAAUGGGAUUAUUUUAUCCCAUGAAUAAGGAUUAUUUCGGUUAGGAAGGAUGUGUCAUACCAUGUAUAAAAUGCAAUCAAACAUGAGAUAACACAGGAUAAUUAAUCCAAUCUUGUAUCAUCCCAUGAACUAAACGGACCCUUAAGGCACAGGAUAAGCACACAAAAUAUAAUAAAUGAAAGAACUUCAAAUUUUAAACAUUAUCCCUAAAUUUAGGAAACUUGCCAAAAAAUUUUAAAAUUUUCUAGACAACUAACACUUGGACCCAUUUUUUCUUUUUUUUGCACGUGCUCUAAGGGCACAAAUAGAAGAACCAUUUAUUUUAUUAAAUUAAUGUAAAGUAAUAAGCCAUGGCAAGAAUAUGGCUUUGUUAGACGGCGUGUCACCUCUAUUUUAUUUUGUUUUAUUUUAUUUUAUUUUAUUUUUAUGGGGAAGGACUGCUCUCCUGGAUGUUAGGCAUGAACCCAGAGGCUUUCACAUCAAAGUUAGCUCUUCCCAUGGUCCAUACUCCAUACUCGGCGACGCGUUAUUCCGUUGCUGUGCAUGCCUGAUUCGCAAUAAUGGUCGUAGUCAAAAUCAUUCGAACUUUUAUAAAUUAAAAAUAAUUAUUGCAAUGUAUUUUUCACCUGAAUAUUAUUAUUAGUGACGAUGAUGACACCUAGAUUAAGAAAAAAGAAAAUAAAAGGAAUGGCAAAAAUGGUCUUUGUUAGACGUUUUCUGUCACCAUCAAUAAAUUUUUUGAAGCUUUACUCCUUGGCAUGAAAGCGAAUAAUAAUUGAAAGGAGCUUUGAAAUUAAAAGUUUAGCUCUCCAAGCGCAGCAACGCGGUCUUGGCUGUGCCAACUUCAUAAUUGAUUAUUCUGUAAUGAACGCUAACUUUUGCCAGCUAAAUACUACGUUUGCCAUCAGACUUACAGUUGUUUAUUUUACUUUUCUAGGAUACUUCUUCGAGAGCACACGGACAAGAAUUUAAGCAGCCAUCAUCUAUAUAAAGCCUCCAUUUGUCUACUCCCAAGCAUAGCAAACUGAAUACGCAAAAAUCUCUCCUUUCUUCUGAAGCUCUCCACUUUUCUUGUCCGAGUAAAAAUGAUCUCCCUUGCCUUCUUUAAAGCUUCAUUCCUCCUGCAGUUUACCAUAAUUGCAUCAUUUCUACUAGCUGCCUAUGCUGGUAAUUUUUAUCAAGAUGUCGCCCAGACUUUUGGGGAUCAGAGGUUUAAAAUUCUUGAGGGUGGCCAACUUCUCACGUUGUCCUUGGACAAAACUUCAGGGUCUGGAUUUCAGUCCAAGAAUGAGUAUUUGUUUGGAAGAUUCGACAUGCAACUAAAGCUUAUACCAGGCAACUCUGCUGGUACCGUGGCCACAUUUUAUGUAAGUCCGAAAAUUUUCCAUUUUUUAGUAACUUAGGAUUGUUUUUUCCAUUUUCACACAAAAUUGCACCAUCUUUGGUACUCAGCUCAUGAGGGAUUGUAACUUCUUGUGCAGUUAUCAUCCCAAGGACAAGGACAUGAUGAGAUUGAUUUUGAGUUCUUGGGAAACUCUUCUGGACAGCCUUACACAGUCCACACCAACGUUUAUGCUCAAGGAAAAGGUGGCAGGGAACAACGGUUUCGCCUGUGGUUCGAUCCCACAACAUCCUUCCACACCUAUUCAAUUGUUUGGAAUCCUCAAAGGAUCAUGUAAGCCCUUUCCAUCAUUUCAUCAUCUUAUUCAAUUCACUGCUCUGCUUGAAAAAAAAAAUCUUGUUGCUUAGCAGUUUUUUUCUUUAUAAUUAUUAAAUGAGUUUGUGGAAUUUUUAUUUUAAUCAGAUUCUUGGUGGAUAGCAUACCAAUAAGAGUAUUCAACAAUCAAGAAUCAAAUGGAGUACCAUACCCCAAGAACCAGGCCAUGAGAGUCUACUGCAGCUUGUGGAAUGCAGAUGACUGGGCUACACAAGGCGGCCUUGUUAAGACUGAUUGGACGUUUGCCCCAUUCACUGUGUCUUACAGAAACUUCAAUGCAAAUGGAUGUGUUAAGGUACCUGGAUCAUCAGCCUGCGGUUCCACAAAUUCAUUGAACAAUGAUCAGGCAUGGCAAUCUCAAGGGCUUGAUGCUAAGGGGAGAAACAGGAUUCGAUGGGUUCAGCAGAAAUUCAUGAUCUAUAAUUAUUGUAGUGAUGCUACCAGGUUUCCACAGGGCUUUCCCACUGAAUGCAGGGGCUCUAGGUUCUAGAUUGCUCGAAGGUUGUUUUUCUGUGUAAACAUUAGAAGUGGAAUUCUUUAUUCGUUUUGUAAAUUUUCAACAGAUUUUGUGAAAUUCUUUAUUCUUUGUAACUUGUAGAAUGAGAAAAAAAAAAUGUUGAUUAGAUAAUUAUUUUUUGAGUAAAAGUCGAAACAAGUGUGAACAUGAAUAAAAUCUUUCUUACAAAUUGUUCGAGUCUGAACAUGAAUAAAAUCUUGCGAGUCUUUCUUAUUUUUUGUCUGCAAUUAUUCAAGUGUGAACAUGGAUAAAAUCUUUCUUACAAAUUGUUCGAGUCUGAACAUGAAUAAAAUCUUUCGAGUCUUUCUUAUUUUUUGUCUGCAAUUAUUCAAGUCUGAACAUGAAUAAAAUCUUUCUUGUAAACAAAAUGUUCAAGCAUCAGUUUUUCAUCACAUUGCAUAGUAUCCCUUUUAUCUUUAGCCCUCAAAAAGUUCCAUUGAAUCUCAUCUUCAAGAAUGCUGAUACAUGGGGUUCUAAUGGCUUGCCUAAUCAUGGAAGCCUCUCAAUCACAUGGUUUUUAAAAGGUUUAAGCGUUUUAAAAGUUAAAGCUUUCAAAACAAGAGAGUAAUAUUUGCAAGCUAGCUAAGUUUAAAUAACUUGACGUUUUCUUUACUUUAUUAUUUGCAGAAGCUGAAUAAACAUAUAGAUAUUAAAAACGGAAGAACAAACCAGAAGUUAUGUCUUUGGUCCUAAAUGAAUAAAGUUCCAAAGAAACCGAAAAAUUCUUAACGGUUAAGGUUAUAGUUCGACGAAUUAAAAGUUUUGGAUUCAAUUCACUUAUUAAAUCCCCCGCCUCACUUAUUAAAUACCAUCACUCCACUGCUAAAAAUUGAGCAAAGAAAAACAGAAAGUUUUUAGGCAUCAGGCUUAUAAUUUCAAGAAAAGGUAGAUGUUGUGUCAAAAAUGAAAAUCAAAUCACAAAUAUGAGAAUUGAGUGAUGAUGAUGGCAACUACAUAACUUAAAAGUAGGGGCAGCAUUAUGGAGAAUUUUCAAAGGAGUUGAGUGCUGAUAUUGUCAAAACAUCCAACAGUCAGUUAACAGUGUGGUAGAAUGAGAAUGGGAGAAUUUUACUUCUCCUCAGUAGCCCCUCCCCUCCUACAUCCAGCGUAUACAAUUCAAGAGCUUGGGCCAUUUCUAAUGUCGCUAAAUCUCGAUUUGUUUGGUAGUCUUCUUGACCAGCCACUGUUGCUGAUUAAUUCCAGGUCUGGAUUGUUUGGCAGUUUUGACCACUUCAUUCGUAUGGUAAGGUCAAUGGGGAAAAUCCCAUUCCCAACACAGGUCAUGUUCAAACUCAAUUGAAAAAAAAAAAAAUUUUCUUAAAGCCACAAAACUAGAAAUGCUUGGGGAAACCAAGAAAAAAAAUUUAAAGAUCUUUGAAUAGGUGAACUAGCUGAAGUAAGUAUUAGCAUGCUAGGAAAGCCCUUGGAACUUAACAAAAACUAGUCAUGUCCCUUUUUUUCUUUUUUCUGGUUCAAGAAAGACGCUUUACAGGACGGAAGGAAGCUUGAGAAUCCGAUACAGACCUCACAUUCAAUAUAUAUCUUCACCAGCAUGAACUGGGUUUUGAGGACAAAUUAAAUCAAUGUCAACUUCUGGUAUCAACUUUGUACAACUAAUAAUACAUCUGUAAUGAACGCUAGCGUUUGCCAGCUAUAGCCUAUGCUGCGUUUGCCAUCUUAUUCGCAGUUGUUUGUUUUACCUUUCUAGGAUACUUCCUCGAGAGAGCACACGGACAAGAAUUAUGACUUUUGUGCUAGGAAACCAUCGACUAUAUAAAGCCUUCUUCAUUAGCCCACUCCCAUGCAAGACAAAUCUCUUCUUUCUUCAGAAAUUCUGAGACUUCCUAGCCAAGUAAAAAUGAUCUCCGUUGCCUUCUUUAAAGCUUCAAUCACCCUGCAAAUAUCUGUAAUUGCAUCACUUUUACUAGCUGCCUCUGCUAGUAACUUUUACCAAGAUGUCGACCAGACCUUUGGCGAUCAACGGUUUAAAAUUCUUGAGGGUGGCCAACUUCUAACAUUGUCCUUGGACAAAUCUUCAGGCUCUGGAUUUCAGUCCAAGAAUGAGUUUCUAUUCGGAACAUUCGAUAUGCAACUUAAGCUUAUACCUGGCAACUCUGCUGGCACUGUGACCACAUUCUAUGUAAGUCCGAAAAUCUUAAAUAUUUGGUAACUUGGGGAUGUAUGUUUUUUCAAUUUUCCCGCAAAACUGCACCAUCUUUUGCACUUCGCUAAUGAAGAAUUGUACCCUUUCGUGCAGUUAUCAUCCCAAGGACCAGGACAUGAUGAGAUUGAUUUUGAGUUUUUGGGGAACUCUUCUGGACAGCCUUAUACCAUUCACACCAAUGUUUAUGCUCAAGGAAAUGGUGGCAGGGAACAACAGUUUCGCCUGUGGUUUGAUCCCACAACAUCCUUCCACACCUAUUCAAUCGUUUGGAAUUCGCAAAGGAUCAUGUAAGCCCUUUUUAUCAUAUUCAUCAUCUUAUUCAUUUUACUUCUCUUUUAUAUAUAUAUAUAUCUUGCAGCUUCGAAGUUUUUCCACUACGUAACUAAUUGUUUUCUGGAAAUUUGCUUAAAUCAGAUUCUUGGUGGACAACAUACCAAUAAGAGUAUUCAACAAUCAAGAGUCAAAUGGAGUACCAUACCCCAAGAACCAGGCCAUGAGAGUCUACUGCAGCUUGUGGAAUGCAGAUGACUGGGCUACACAAGGCGGCCGUGUUAAGACUGAUUGGGCACUUGCCCCAUUCACUGUUUCUUACAGAAACUUCAACGCGAAUGGAUGUGUUAAUGUGCCUGGAUCAUCAGCCUGUGGUUCCACAAAUUCAUUGAACAAUGAUCAGGCAUGGCAAUCUCAAGGGCUUGAUGCCAAGGGGAGAAACAGGAUUCGAUGGGUUCAACAGAAAUUCAUGAUCUAUAACUAUUGUAGUGAUGCUACCAGGUUUCCACAAGGCUUUCCUAGUGAAUGCAGGGGCUCUAGGUUCUAGAUUGCUGGAAGAUUGUUUUUCUUUGUAAACAUCAAAAAUGGAAUUCUUUAUUCGUUUUGUAAAAUUUCAACAGAUGUUGUGAAAUUCUUUAUUCUUUGUAAUUUGUGGAAUGAAAAUAAAUUUUGAUUGCGUGUAACAUUGUUUGAAUAAAAGUUGAAAUAGAUUCCAUUUUAUUUUCUAGUUCGAGUAUUUUUCUUGUGACAGUCAUACACCCCAAAAUAAGUCUUUAAGACUUCAUUUAAGCAUAAUCUGAAUAUAUUCAAAUUUUUGGACAAACAUUUUGAGUUUUAAGAAUGUGCUUAAUCUUCUGAGAUGUCCCUAGCCUUAUAACUAAAAAAGAAAUACAAGAAAUUUUUCCACAAGCAUUUGAUCAAAAAAGAACAUAAUUUUACAAUAUAUCUACAAAGGGGCAUAUUUAUAGAGAGGUUUCAUGCAAAUUGAGUUUUUUUUUUAAUCCGAUGACGUUGUCAAAACGUCGGUUAAUCUGCCAGUUUAGCAGUUUUAUUUAUCCUUUUAGGCCCUUUUGAAGUAGCAAAAGAUAUUAAUAAGUCUAGUUAAAUCUGGCUACUUUUGUUAGUUUGACCAAUUUACUUGACAAUCGUUUUCCAAUUGAGAAUCGUUUAUCACUCUCAGAACUUUGAUAAAAAGUGAUCAAAACUAUGUUUGAAAAAUUAGGCUGGGCUAAUUAAGCUAAAAAAAAAAAAAAAACUGGUCCCGAAUUAAAAAUAUUACUUGCAGUGCUGCAAAAGGGUGUAGAACGAAUUUAUUUCUUUGACUUUUUGUGUAUAACAAAGUUAAAAUAUUUCCUUUUUUUUUCUUUUUGAUGCAGUAUAAUUAUAUACAAGUUUUCAUUGAGGCAUUUGAGGAAAGAUGUGAAAUCCCUCUAGUUGUUUACAUUAUUUAGGAAGUUUUUGAUUCUGCAAGUUAUCAAUCAUUUUAAUUGUUGGUGUAUUAUGAACUCCAACACCUAUUGAGCGAUCCAAACAAUUAGAACGAUUUGAAUGAAUUUCAAAUCAUUUAUCAAAUUUCUCGAUCCAAACAAAAUAAACAGUACAUGUGAGAACUACUGUAAAUUAAAUAGUGCCAAUCAUAAAAAUGCUAACUACAUAUAAGUUUUUGGUGUGGACCAUUUGGUAUAAAUACGAAUUUCCACCAUGACAUUGGACAAUUUUAUAUGAAUUUAGUAAACUUUAGCCGAGAAAUUUUAAAUUUUUCUAAACAACUAACACUUGGACCCAUUUUUUUUUGCACGUGCCCUAAGGGCUAGGGCACAAACAGAAGAACCCAUUUAUUUUAUUAAAUUAAUGUUAAGUAAUAAGCCAUGGCAAGAAUAUGGCUUUGUUAGCCGGUGUAUCACCUUUCUUUUAUUUUUUUUUUAUUUUUUUUUAAAUUUAUAAGGAAGGUCUACUCUGGCUGUUAGGCAUGAACGCGGAAGCUUUCACAUCAAAGUUAGCUCCCCCCAUGGCCAUGGUCCAUACUCCAUGCUUGGCAACGCGUUAUUCCGUUGUUGUAUCUUCUUUACAACUACUACUACAGAAUAAAUCAACACUGCAAUUGCCAACUCUGCUACUUUUGUGCCAUCUGAUUUACAGUUGUGGCCUGUGGGUGGUUUCUCACUUUCUCUCCCUUUCUAGGAUACUUCCUCAGGAGCUAGCUAGCUAUCAUGUGACCUUUGUAUUAGGUAACCAACAACUAUAUAAAGCCUUCGUUGCGCUAGAACCCAACCAUUGCAAACCAGAAAUCAUUUUCUCUUCUUUCCUUCAAACAUCCUACCAAGGCUACUGCAAGCUUUUCCUGAUCCCGAGUGAAAAUGUUUCCCCUUACAUCGUCUAAAGCUUCAUUCCUGCUACAUUUCUCUCUAAUUGCCUCACUUCUGCUGGCUGCCUCCGCUGGUAACUUUUACCAAGAUGUCGACCAGAAUUUUGGGGAUCAACGGUUUCAGAUUCUUGAGGGUGGCCAACUUCUUACGUUGUCCUUAGACAAGUUAUCUGGUUCUGGAUUUCAGUCCAAGAAUGAGUAUUUAUUCGGGCGAUUUGAUGUGCAGCUCAAGCUUAUACCUGGCAACUCUGCUGGCACAGUCACGACCUUUUAUGUAAGUCCAAAAAUAUUCCAAAUUUGCUAAAUUUUGACAUAUUUUCAGUUUCUCAUGAAACUGCAUUGUAUGGACUCCCCAAUGUCUAACCAAGAAACUCUUUUCUUUUUGACAGUUAUCAUCUCAAGGAUCAGCACAUGAUGAGAUUGAUUUUGAGUUCUUGGGCAAUUCUUCUGGACAGCCUUAUACAAUCCACACCAAUGUUUAUGCUCAGGGAAAAGGUGGCAGAGAACAACAGUUUCGCCUGUGGUUUGAUCCCACAACAUCCUUCCACACCUAUUCAAUUGUUUGGAAUCCUCAAAGGAUCAUGUAAGCCCUUUUCAUCAAUUCGUUGUCUUAUUCAUUUCACUUCUCUUCCUUUACACCUUGCAGCUUAGAAGUUUUUCUACGACGUAACUAAUUUUUCUCUGGAAAUUUAUUUAAACCAGAUUCUUGGUGGACAACAUACCAAUAAGAGUAUUCAACAAUCAAGAAUCAAAUGGAGUACCUUACCCAAAGAACCAGGCCAUGAGAGUCUAUUGCAGCUUGUGGAAUGCAGAUGACUGGGCUACACAAGGCGGCCGUGUUAAGACUGAUUGGACACUUGCCCCAUUCACUGUUUCUUACAGAAACUUCAAUGCAAAUGGAUGUGUUAAGAUACCUGGAUCGUCAGCCUGCGGUUCCACAAAUUCAUUGAGCAAUGAUCAGGCAUGGCAAACCCAAGGACUUGAUGCUAAUGGCCGCAACAGAAUCAGAUGGGUUCAACAUAAAUACAUGAUCUAUAACUACUGCAAUGAUGCUUCCAGGUUUCCACAAGGUUUUCCAUCGGAAUGCAAGGGUUCUAGGUUCUAGCUUUCUCAAAAGUCUUCCUUUGUAAACAUCAGUUCAAAAUUCUUUAUUCAUUUUGUAAAUUUAGCCCAGGGUAGAAAAAAUUCAUUAUUCUUUUGUAACACAUGGUAUCAAAUAAAAUGGAAUAUGUUAUUCUUGCAAGCACAAGUUACACUUUUAUCCAUUGCUUUGGUAAUAGAUUCUGGCAGUUUGGCAAGCUUAAGUUUACUUCAAAUCAACCAGAGUGCUGAUUCUCAUGCUGCCGAUUAUACACCACUUUGAAAUCCAAAGUGUUAAAUUUUAAACCCCUUCUAUUCACAUUUAUUCAACAUAUUCAAGUUGGGACAAACAAUUUUCAAUAUUUCACCGCUGCUGUCCAAUUGGUUUUGAGAUUUGACCAGCCUAAGCUAUUUCACCACUGCUGUCCAUACGGUUUCUUCUGUUUUCUGAAAAAAAAAAAGACUUAAAUUGGGACAGGCGAGAGUGUUUUUCUUGAGAGUUGUAAAGAUUGACCCUUAAAAGAAGACGAGCUACAAAUAACCUUAGUUUUCAAAACUCAAUCUAAAUCUACCCGGAUCAAACACAGAUAGAGCACAGUUCAUAGAUGCAUGAACUGAGAAAAUUAAUAAGCAAUAAAAUAUGUAGUAUCCUAGAGUUCUUUUCACAAUACUGCGUAGAAUGAAAUGGAAAACGUAGAAAAGUUAUUUCAAGUAAAAGGUAGAAUCCAAGCAUCGAGAGCUGCUAAAUAAAAUAAGCUGCAGGCACGUAUGGUUCUCGCAACGUGGCCAGAAUGAAAAAAUGUAAAUACAAGCAAAUUUUAAUUAAUAUUGCUACAAUGCUCAACCGGGGGAGAAAAUAGAGUGUGACCUAGGUAAGUUGUUGCUCAGGGGCGGGGAAUUCAAGAUGUUUCUAUGAAGUAAGCAUAUCAUAUUACUAUGAUCAAAGGAAGUUUCCAGCGUCUCAUGUGUAUUAGAUCAGUCUAGUUUAAUGUAGAAAGUCAAAAGGAUGGCAAUUGUGCAUGGAUCCUAAUGUCAAGGCACUAAAUCAGCAAGUGAGUAAGCAAAUACACGCUCUUCAGCUCCCAAGACAAGAGGCUCAAUAAGGGAAGGCUUAUUUGAAACCAUGGACUGUGGGUCAAUCUAUUCUACUUCCUUCACUUCAGUUUCAUCUAAACAGUGUUUGUCAACUUCAAAACCAUGCAAUCGCAGCUCAGCUCCUCAGUGUCUGUACCGGCUCUUUUCUUCCUCUCUCUGGGAUGUUUCCUACGAAACAAGGCUGAUGGAUGGUGGUCUAAUGACACUGAUAUUUAAAGGCUUCAAUUCCCAGUCUCGUCCACCAUAAAGUAACUGAACGUGCAUCUGUUUAGCUUCUUUACCUGAAAAUAUCUUUCUUUUCCCACUCUACAGCUAUAGCAUUGCUACUAAUCUCCAGUGCCCUGAGUACUCUCAUGGCAGCUUCAGCUGCAAACUUUUACCAAGAUGUUGAUAUUAAUUUUGGCAACCAUCCAGUCCAUAUGCAAAAUGGUGGCCAACUUCUCACGCUGUCACUAAACAAUUACUCUGGCUUUGGUUUCCAGUCCGAGAAUGAGUAUCUCUUUGGAAGGUUUGACAUGCAAAUCAAGCUCGUUCCAGGUAACUCAGCCGGCACUGUGACAACAUUAUUAAUAAUACAUCCUUACAAUCAUUUCCCUAUUGUCCCCAAACAUUUGAUGUUCUAGCAUGCUAAUACAUCCUUUUUAUCACGUACAGUUAUCUUCUCAAGGAUCUACCCAUGAUGAAAUUGACUUUGAAUUCUUAGGCAACUCAUCUGGAGAGCCAUAUACACUUCACACCAAUGUUUAUGCUCAAGGCAAAAGGAACAAAGAAGAACAAUUUAUCUGUGGUUUGAUCCCACAAUAUCCUUCCACACCUAUUCAAUAGUUUGGAAUCGUCAGCGCAUAAUGUAUUUAAAACUAUAUAUUUGUGUAUUACAGAUUUUUGGUGGAAAACCAUCCUAUCGGAGUACUCAACAAUAAUGAAGCAGUUGGGACUCCAUUCCCAAUGAGCCAACCUAUGAGAGUCUACCGUAGCUUGUGGAAUGCUGAUGAUUGGGCAACACAAGGAGGACGAGUGAAAACAGAUUGGACAAAAGCUCCUCUCUUUACAUCCUACAAGAAUUUCAAUGCAAAUGCUUGUAUUCAGUCACCAUCUGAUUCAUCAUCUAUUUCAACAUGGCCCAAUUCUUGCAACACACAAGCAUGGCAAACACAAAAACUUGAUGCCUUUGGCAGAAGAAGGCGUAGAUAGGUGCAAAAGAAGUGUAGAAUCUACAACUACUGCUCUGACUGGAGGCGGUUUCCUCAAGGUCUACCUGCUGAAUGCAGACGUCCAAGAUCCUAAGACUACCUUGCACUAAACAAGAUAAUACGAUAAUACAAUAAUACGUGCAUGAAAAGCUAAUUCAUUAUAUUCAAUCCUGUAAACAAGAUAGUACAAUUAAAGUGGUAACUUUAGUCAUUAUUUUUACUUUUUCAAGUCAUCAGAUAAGACAUGAUAGUCUCACCAGUAACACAAAAAAGAAGCUUAGGGUGAAGGCAAUAAUCACCAAUUGGCAAUCUUCUAAGUUCUUGCAGGUUGAUCAAUUAAUUUUCAAUGUGGAAUCCAAAGCCAAAUUAGAACCUGAACCUAAGUAUGCAAGUUGGCAGGUAGCUCACUGAGUCACCUGACACUAAUAGUCUAAUGUUACAAUUUAGCUUAAAAGCUUUUGGACAAAGGCAGAACAGACGAAUCAUCAUAUAAUAGUGUUGCUCAGGUGGUAAAGGAGAACAAUUUUGUUUUUAGUUUUUGGACAGCAGCUACUACUACUAGGAGCCAAGAAAUCAACUGGGCCGGCAGGAAAGGUGAGAUCUAAAAGAAAGAAAUGGAAAAGAUUCUGAAUUGCAGAAAUGGAUCUCGGUCGGCUAGUCCCACCAGUGACCACAGACAAAUUUAGCAGCUUAAAGAACAAAGAAACAGGCACCAAUCCAUAAGAUUAACGAAAGUUAAAGCGUUUGCCCACGAUCAGUACUACUAAAAGCUGAAAAUUUUGCAAAAGUGAAGCAUGUCUUAAAAGCCAUCAAGUUUUAGCUGCAGUUCACUAGAAAUUUACUCUGAGCAAUCACAUACACUUUCUGGGCUAAGUUCAGUAACGCUUUGUUCAAUUGCACAUUAAACCAUAAUUGGUCUAUCCAUUUACAACAACCCAAAUGAAUAUUACCAUAUUUAGACACACUUAAGGUGCUAAUUAAUUUUUAACUUCUGAAAUUUUCUUUUGUUUAUUUUUCAGAAAAGAGGUUUAAACCUAACUGCUUAGAGUAGAAAUAAAGCGACUAUAGUAUGCAUCCCAGCCAUACAAUUAUCUGACAAGUGAGAAUCUCACGAACUUCUUCUGGAGGAUCCAGUAGCAAAGUAACAAGGCAUUCGCAGAGGAGUUACCAUCCCUCUAAUACUGACUUAAACUUGCCGAAAUUCUUUCCAGUGCAAGUAAGAAUAAAUAACUGGCAUCUACCCAAUAGUAGAGUGGAACUUUCUUCACCUACAUAAUCGAACGACUUGAUCACUUUUCAUCCACGCCAAGCUGCAACACAAGCAUUGGAUGACAGAGUAUAAAACCGAAAUGUACCUUUUCCUAGUCAAUGAUUCCCAAGAAAAACAACCGAAUGUUUGGACAACGCUUUAAUAAUUUUGGGACCAGAUUCUCCAUUAAAGAAAGAAAACAAAACAUAUAUGGUGAAUCUUGUAACUUGGGAACACAAAAAAAAACGGGGGGUUGUUAGCUGAUUUCCUUGCCCAAUCAAGUCAAUCAUUUUCAGAUAUAUGGUUGUACUCGUAUGCAAUUGUUGUAUGCAACCUUCAAGAAAAAGAUGUGGAUGCAGCUACAACCAGUUGGAAGACUUUCAAAACUUCGAUCUUCUAUCCAAUUCAAGAUUGAAUGAUCAUGAAACCUCAUUAACUUCUUGUCGCCGUGCACGUGUCGUGGGACAGACAUGUUAAACCGAGAAGUUAGAACACUUACUCAUGAUUUCUUCCCACAACACCAAAAAUAUAUAAAAUAAAAUAAAGUGAAGGGAAGGGCUAAUUAAAUCCGCACCCUUCCAUUCUAAAUUCACACCUUAACCACCAAUUUGACAAUUAAGUCCCUAUCAUUUAAUGACUUUCGCUUAUAACUUUUUACAAUUCUAGAAUAACAAUUUGCCGUAGCAAUAGUCUUUCAAUUAUUCUCUAAUUCUCUUUUAAUUCGAUCCUUGUUCUUUUUAAUAAUUUAUACUACAUUAAGCGUCUUUAAACAAUUAUAAACUCGUGAAACCAAUCGAGUUAGAUAAUAGAGUUAGAGAUCAUAGGUACUAUGAAAGUGCUACUACACAAAUAAUUUCAUCAUUUUAAUGUAAUAGGUAUGCGUCUAGUAAAAGAAACUAAAAAGAACAUCUAAUAAUCCAUGAAUUUGGCACAAUGUUUUCGAUAAACAACCAAAACCUCCAAUGAGGUUAUACAUAAAUGUCAGAAGAUUAGAAAUUUUUAUGAUAAAAAAUUAAUAAUAUGAUAACUUUGUUUGUUAUAUAUUGAAAAAAAAAACAAAUUAAGAAUACACAUUAUACAUCUUCUAAGCUCAUCAAAUUUCUCUUAAGCCGUGCAAAUUUUAUUGAAAAUAUUUCAAAGAUAAACUAACAGAAAAAAUGGCUAGGCAAAUUGCUCGUAGCGUGUUUAACAAAAAAAAAAGCACAAAUUUAAAAUUGCAAAACGAUAGAAGAAAAACCAUUGAAUAUUAAAAGUCUUAAUGUCAUAUUAACCUUUAAGGCGUAAAUAUAGAAUGCAAAGACGUGAAUUUAGUUCCUUCCUAAAGUAGGAAGGUAAAUCAAGUGCUCAUCCGACAAACAAAAACAUAUUUUUAUCUUCAUUACCGGCCCAUUUCAUCGAGGGCCCACGGUGUUCCUUUAACCAACAAUAACAAUUCUUCUUUGGUUUAAUGCGAAUCUGCCGCCGGUUAUGAAUCAUGAUGGGUUAUCGACUCUUGAACAAGUAAGAAAUUUGGAUUUACCCCCUUGAUUGAAGCUGUUGAUUUUCUAGAUUAACGUUUUAAAAAAUAAAAAACCAAAAAUGUAAUUUGUGGGGAAAAAAGAUUUUUUUUAAAAAAAGACAGACGAAAAAAAAAGGGCAAUAAAUUGGACAAAGAAACGGUUACCGUUAUUCAAAUGGCCCACGUGCGGUGCGGGUCGAGAACUCGAGAUGUGAGGAGACAAAAAUUCCCCACGCGGAGCCCCGUCAGCGGAUCAUAGGUCAAAUCAUUUGAAUCUCGUUGUCAGAAAUUUUUGAGAAGUUAGCUGCCUUGCCAGUUUUCUAUAUUAAAAAAAAUGAGAAAUUUUUGAGAAAUUAGAUCCCUAGUUAGUUUUUUUUUUUUUUUAGAAAUUUUUGAGAUAAAAAGUUGGUUAAAAAUAUAAGAAAAGUGAUUAGUGUUUAUAAUAUAAGUAAAAUAAUUUCUUUAAAAAAUUUUGGUAUGAAAACACACUUUGAUUUCAAUGACCUUCCUCUGUAACAUACUCGAGUAUUAAUGGAACUAAGAACUUUUCUUAACUCACAUCAAUAUUUAAAAGGGCUUCACGUGAAUGAAUGAGGAAUUCUUCGUCAAAUCUAUAUUGUUUAGUUUAUAGUUUUUUUUCCUUUAUGUGUUGUAAUAUUCUUUUUUUUUUAAUCGACAAACUCUGCACACGAGAAGGAGUGCCAGUCCUUACUCUUUUGUUUUAUGUGUUGUAAUAUUCUUAACUUUCUAGUACAUAAAGAAAGCAAUUAUUAUGCACAUGAAAUGAAUUAUUUAAUUGUAAUAGUAAUGCACAAUGCACUACACAAAAAGUUGCCAAAAAUAAAAGAUCGUAUUUGUAAAAAUAACUUGUCUAUUAGUUGUUCACUCAAUGCUUGUUAACAUAAUUUCAAGUGUUAGGUUUUUUCAAAAAAAAAAGAAAUUAAAUUAGGUAAGUAUCUAAACUAUAAGUGGACAAUAAAUGUUAAUACAUACAUACAUAUAUGUAUAUAUAUAUAUGAUAUGUAUUAACAGUAAUUAGUACACACCUACUAAAAAAAGACCCUUAAAGAGUUUAUUGGAUGAUUUAUUUGAGAUAAUUACUGUAGCACUUUUUAUAGCGUGAUGUAUGUAAGAUAAAAAAAGUUAUUGGAAUUUGUAAAAUAAAUUAUUUUACUUCAAAUCUUGUUUGUCCAAACACACCACUACUUUUUAGAAUAUUAGACCUACCCAAAGAUGUUUGCCAUAUUAAUUCAAAGCAUAAAGAACUAAGAGUUUUUCUAACGAAUGCCUUUAAAAGCACUCGUUAAUAUAUUUAGUAUUUAUCUAAUCUAUCAUAUAUUUACACGUACUAAUAAUUAUUAUCUUCUGUUACAUUUAUAUACUUUUUUAUUUAAUUUUACUUAUCCUCUCUUGUAUUUAUUUAUUUUUCUCUAAUUAAUCUUAUAUUUUAAAAAAAUCUAAAAUAUACUCCUAUCUUACAUAGUACACCCGUUGGACAAAUCAAGAAUUAAACAUGAAAUUUCUCUACUACCCCAAGAGGCAAGAGGGAACUUUCCUUUCACAAUCAAUGGAGCUAAAUUGAGCUCAAGAAUGUGUCGCAGGGAAAGGACCGCCUACAAGCACUUGAGAACAGACACCAUCCCCCCAUUUCCGUGUCACAGAUUCCAUACUAGUACAAAAUAAAGACCGAACAUUUUCGCCAGCUCAACAACAUAUACGAAUCUGCUUUCUGCGCCUACCAAACGCUCCUCUGCCCUACCCUACACCUACCUGACCUCCUCCUCGCCUUUCUCUUCUGGAUAACCCUCCUCAGUCCUCCCUCUCUGGUCUCAUUCUGACAGGUUUUUGAGGUUAAAACUUCAGUCAACAUGGUUUCAUUUUAGUCUAAAUUUUUUAUUAAGAAUAUUACUGGUCAAAGCCCACAGAAAGCAAUCCACUUUUUCCACUCUUUCACCCCGCAAAUUGUUCAAUUAGCGCUUGAUUUGCUUUUGUCAAUUUCCUCAUCAGGGUAAGCAACAGCACUCGUGACCAGUGACCACCACACCAACCCCCCCCCCCCAAGGUUUGAUUAAAAACCAACUUUGCCAUUGCCAGCCGAGUCCUUUUGCAUUAACUAGCCUUGAUUAAUCUGUUGCCAGCUCCCUCCCAUUUCCAUUUUCCCAUUGAAAUUCCAAACUUUCACAACUUCCAAGAGCCCCCCUAUUUAAGCAUUGCCAUUCUCUCCAUUUCUCUUUCUGAUUCCCCCCAAAUCUCCAUUCACUCCCCAGCUUUCUUUUUGCUUUUUAAAAAAAAAAAAAAAAAAGAGCCCAUUUCUUUUUCUCCCUUUCCCGUUUCAAAAGCAGCAACAAUGGCUUCCUAUACCAUUGUUCUGCUUUCAUUAUUCAUUUCUUGCUUCUCCAUUCUUUUGCUUUCUUUAACCUUAUCUUCGGUACUGCUGGUUUCCAUUACAACUGCAGGAAGCUUCCACCAACAUAUAAACAUCAACUGGGGUGAAGAGAGAGCUCAAAUUCUUGAAAGUGGUCAACUUGUAACGCUAACUCUGGACCAGUAUUCUGGCUCUGGAUUUCAAUCCAAAGAUGAGUACUUGUUUGGCAGGAUUGAUGUGCAACUCAAACUUGUUCCUGGCGAUUCUGCCGGCACCGUCACGGCAUUUUAUGUUAGGCAUUUACGUGCAAAUCCCUUUCCUUAGUUUUUGCUAGCAUCCCAGAUUCAACAAUGCCUUUCUGCUCUAUUUCUUGGGCAUUUUAACCUCAAUUGAACAAUUGAUGCAGUUGUCUUCUCAAGGGCCAGCCCAUGACGAGAUCGAUUUUGAGUUCUUGGGUAAUGUGUCAGGGGAGCCUUAUAUUGUCCACACGAAUAUGUAUACAGAGGGGCACGCAGGCAGGGAAGAGCAAUUCUACUUGUGGUUUGAUCCUAGACAAGAUUUCCACACAUAUUCAAUCAUAUGGAAUCCAGGAAGGGUCAUGUAAGUCCAAUUUCCUAAUACCCUUUUGAAAUUCUUCCAAGAUUUUGUCUUGAAACCGCUCUAAUUUUUUUUUUUUUAAUUAUUGGUGUCAAAUUCAGAUGGUUAGUAGAUGACAUUCCUAUAAGAGAAUAUACUAAUCGUGAAUCAAAGGGAGUACCAUACCCAAGUAGGAGACCUAUGAGGCUCUAUUCAAGUAUAUGGAAUGCUGAUAGCUGGGCUACACAAAAUGGGAAAAUCAAGACUGAUUGGACAAAGGCUCCUUUUACAGCUUCCUAUAGGAACCUGAAGAUUGAUGCUUGUGUUUGGGAAUCUACAUCUUCUUGUGAAUCUGAGGAGUCCACCAAUUCCCCACCAUCAAAACCAUGGAUGAUGCAACAGUUGGACGAUGGUGGCAAAAUGAAUCUGCAGUGGGUGCGAAAGAAGUACAUGGUCUACGAUUACUGCGUAGACUAUAAGAAGUUCGUAUAUGGCAUCCCACUUGAAUGCAAGCUGUGAAAAAUGCCUGGCUAGGCUCCUGGUGCAGAUUAUUGAUUCUACAUUUCCAAAAUUUUGUGAUUCUAUGGUGGGAAAAUUGUAAAUAACAGGUGCAUUCGCAAUAUUUUUGCUUCGAUUAUUUUGUGUACAUGUAAGAGAGACAGUUGAUUCAGUUGCUCAAUAGUACCUCAAUUUUUUGUAGUCCGAUAUUUUAAUAUUAACCAUUUCAAAUUGCUCAAAAUAUUAACAAUAUACCCUUACUUGAUAACAAUAUACCCUUACUUGAUAAAAACCCCAACCUAGGGCCGAAGUUAGGAAUAGCAUAAGUAAUCUCAGUAUUUAUGCGCUAAGCAUAUCUUUUGAUGAGGAAUGAUUAAAUCCUCAGUGUCGCAGGCACGUGUAUAGUUCAACUUGAGCCUUUACUCAUUAAGUGUAUAUUUCUUACACAAGCUAAUAUAAUCCAUUAUCGUUUUCGAAAAAAAAAAAGACAACCAACAACAGUCCCAAGGAAAAAAAAACAGAGAGAGAAAAUUAUCAGCAGAGUCAAGAAUUGGCAAUUAGGUUCUGCUGUUUGAUAAUUGUAGCAUUUAGAUAGUGCCCAUCUGUGGAUAACAUCCAUUUAGCUCAUACAUUAUACUAAUGCAAGCAUUUUGCAUUUGGAAGUAAAAAGUCAUGUGUACGCAUAGGGUCAAAGAACAAGCACCAAGGAGAACUGUUGCAAUAGAACGUGUUCCACUAAUCAUUGAUCCUACCCAUCCAACGUCUUCCAAUGAUUCAGAUUUACUAAACCAAGCACUAAUGCAUAAAGCACCAAUGCUUACACAUCAGAAUGCCAUAUCUUCAUUAUUCUAUAUAUGAACACGAACUUUCACUUGCCCAAAUGUAUCAUGUAGUCGAAACAGUUACAGUUUUUCAUGUCAACUAGCUACUUAGAAGAAUCUCACCAAUAAACUAUCCAACCUGGAGGAAUAUCCUACCGAGCGAGACCAACCACAUCUGCAACCUAUGUCACUCUUUCUUUACAUGUAUAUAAUCAUUUCAAAGCAUUGAUUUCUAGGAGUCACAAUUUUCUACAGCGCUCAAGAAUUCAUGAUCAAUCUACCUAAAUCCUGGGAUGUUGAUGUACACCGACCGUGCUGCCUGCAUCAAAUGCUCAGUUUGCUCUCUCUGGAGCUCAAAGAUCCUUCUUCCUUCUUCAUAGUUGCUGCCAAAUGCUGUACGAGAAAUUGCAUCGCUGGUAAGAGCUGAAGAUUGGGCCAAACAUCCACUUCAGCCAACCCCUUUGGUGAAAUAACAUUCUCCCAUUUCGUCACCAUCUCACUUGCACUUUUAUAGAAGGCUGGGAGCAUAAGCUGUUUAUCCAUAAAAUAAAAGAAAAUCAGUGAAAGAAACUACUCCACAUUGAAGGCUACUUAGUAAAUAAAUGAUGCAAUUUACCAAGGACUGUCCAAUGCAGAGAGUGUUUUCAAUUUUAGGAUAUAAUAAGUGUGUGUGUGUGAAUUUAUAUGAUAAUUUUACUAUAAUUUACUCGCACUAAUGAGUAUUUACAGGUCAUCCGUUCAAAAAAAAAAAGAUUAAUCUUUUCUACACUGUCAGUCAGUCAGUGUAUACACAGACGGAGUUGAAUGAAUACACAUCAUAUGAAUUUGAAACCCCAUAAAAUGAUUAAAUUAGAGAGAAGAGAACCUUCAAUUUCUCAACGUGGAAAGCUGGGUUGAGGAGCUUUCUCUGUUUGGCCCAUUUUUCUCCCUCAUAGCUCACUAGUCCUAGAGCCAGUAAUCUGCCGAGUGGAUGAACACGGAGCUUCCGGAAAACAUCAACCUUUUGUGUAACUGCCUUUAUUAGAUUAGGGUCCAUGAUCACCACGGCAGGUCUCGGCCCAAACCAUAAAUAUGUAUUUUUACCUGGAAGUCAGAGCCGCUUGGAUUAGGAGCCCAAAACUGGAAAGUAUAAAUAGUUAAAUGCCUUCCACUAGGAAAGGAUAAUAAAAUCAAGUGUUUCAAAAAAUAAAAAUACAAGGCCAAAGUAUUAAAAUAAUUUAAGCCCAAGUUAAAUGGGUUUCUUGGGUAACAAGUGAUCCAAAAAGCAGGAAGAUUCUAAGGGUUUUCUUGAAGACCUAGCUUACAUAUUUUGGCUAUAAAUAGAGGUCUUCCCCCAAGGCAAAGAUAGAGAAAAAUCCCUAACAUUCGGAGAAACUCUGUCAAAUUCCCUCAAGAGCUUUCUUCCUCAAAUCCAAAUCCAAAUCAAGUCAAACAAAUCCUCCUGCUAUCGGUGUUGAAGACUCGAAGUUCCAAGUGUUUGACGCCAUCAUCAAAUCAAUUGUUUUCUACGCCGAAAUUGUAGGAAACACCCUUUCGAUUGGAGAACAAGUCUUUUCGCCCCUUCAAUUGAAGCUAUUCGAAGAAAAGAAUCAGGGGAUUAAUUUCUUUGAUUCAAGAACUUUCAGAGAUUGUAACCCGCUUAUUAUUUGAUUUAAUAAAUUUGAUAUUUGUGCAAUUUUCUUGUCUUUGAUUUUAGACAACAAGAAUUUGGCUUACACUAACCAUGCGUUAGUAUUCACACCACCCCUAGUUGUUAGUAUUAUUGAGUUACAAUUAGAUCGUAUUAGAAAUUCUUUCUUCAUAGUUUUAUCUAAAAAGAAGAAGAAAUUGACACUGCUCAAUUUAGUAGUAUAAGUUUGUUCUCCUAAUUGAUAUACUACACAUGGAUCAUCUCUGAAUCCUUCAUCCUAGUUGGCUUAUUAUUAGUAAUUAUUACGUGUAUGACAGUAUAAUACCUUGUGAUCAUGUAUUGGUAUUCACAUGUGGUGAGAAAAUAAAAGUUGGGAUAAAUAUUUGAAAUCUGGGAUCAAAUCCAUAUUUGAAAAAAAAAACACAUUUAGUUGUUUCAAGAAUAAAAGUGAGUCGAGUUCGAAUAGUAUUGUACUAAAACACUGGAACUUGAAAUCGGUGCUUACAAAAGAGCACUUAUGCUCGACUAGUACGUAAAAAUAGCUAUGUUCGAAUUCGACUCCAUAAGAGUAUUGACUUGAGUUGGAUAACUCAAUUUUGUCAAAUAAUAUUUUAUUUAUAUUAUAAACAUAUUUUUUAAUUUAUUUUUUUAUAUUACAUAUAUCAAAUCAUAAAAAAUACUGCAAUAAUUAUUUCAAAUAAUAUACUCCAUCAAAACAAGUUUUGGGGCUUACGACUAUUCGCCCAAGUCGUCAGUUGUUGAGCACGUUUUAACGGCCAAAGUUACCCCAGUUAUAAAAUCACCUGUACUUCUUAGGAGAAAAGACUGCCGCAGAAAAUCCGAGACACAAAAAAUUCAAUAAUGAGUGCACUGCAAAGCCGACCUCCAAACCCGACCCUCAACCCAUACCCGAACCCAAAUCCAAACCCAAAAGCUGCUCCACUUCCGAAUACUAAGUCUCUGACGUUCGAUCAAGUCUCCAAGUUCUUCUCUUUGCCCCUCUCCGAUGCUGCUGACACUCUUGGUACGCUCUCCUCCUACAUUUUUUUCGAUAUCUGUCUUGCCUUUUUUUUUUUUGUUUAAAUAUUGCCAGCUCCAUUUGGUGUACAAAAAUCAUUGUUUAAAAUUUUCAUAUUGUACCAAAUUUCCCGCAAAAUGGUCCCUUUUUGCUGCAGAAUCAGCUGAUUAAUGAAAAACCCAAAAACAAUGAAAAGAAAAAGAAAAGGUAGCCCAGAAAAUAAAGAUAAAAACGAGAACUUUAGGAUUGGAUACUUGUCUGGAGUUCAACUUUGAAGAGGGCUUGGAUUGAUUUUUCCAGAAAAAUGAAGCUUCCCUUUCAAUUGGGAUGUUGUGAAAUUGAGGUAUAAUGCUACAGAAAUUGCUAAUCACAUUUUAGGAUUUAGAAUAUACAGGUCUUUUGUACUGCUUUAAUAAGAUUUUUGGUAUAUCAAGCUGGGAGAUGUUUAUGAUUUAUGUUCUUAUAUUUGUCUCAUGUGAUAACUGAUGAGUUCAUUGUGCAUCUUUAGCACUUUGAUCAGUGCCUUUUAGGGUCUUCUGUAUAGCACUUGAAUAACUGAAAUUGAUGAAGUUUGCUGUGAAGCCAUAGUUGAUCUUUAUAGUUUUGCAUAUGUUAAUUGAAUAUGGAAUGACCGUGAGGGGCUGAAAUUUUUAAAAUCUGAUUAAGGAAGACUUAAAUGGUAUCAUGUCGAAUUUGGAUGGAUGCGGUGUAAUGUGUACAUAAACUAAAAAAUUAAGUCAAAUUUGAUCAAAUCAUGCUUGCUGAAGAAGAAGAACAAGACGGGCGAUAUCCUGAAUCCUUUGUGUUUAUUUUGCAGGUGUUUGUCCUAGUGUCUUAAAGAAAAUAUGCCAUGAGAAUGGUCUAGUGAGAUGGCCACAUCGGAAGGUCAGGCUUCACAACCUGUGAUAUUCUCCUUUUGAUCCAGUGUGACUGUAAAUGCAUUGGCACCAUGAUAAUGACGGAUUACAUUUUGUUUUGAGCAUGCAGAAUCACUAUAUGGCUGUCUUAUUCUUUAGGAUAACUCAAAUUAUAGUGUGUGGAAUUUUGGUUAUAUUUCUCUACAUUACACUUUGUAUUCCACAGACCAAGUUAAACUUUAUGUGUGAAAAUUUUCAAUGGGUAUGCUAGAGAGGAACCGAAGAUUCACCCCUUCUAUUGCUUUAUAAAACUUUGACAACCAAUGUUUUUAGUCCAAUGCAAUUUUUACCACUUGCUUAAUUCAUGUACUCAUUGCUUAUUUAUAUUCCUGGAUUCUUUCAGAAUGCAGCUCAAGGGAAAUUAUUCUGAAUUUAGUACACUUAAUUUUGUAAUGUGAGGUACAUAUAAGCAGAGGAGAAUAGAGAGCGCUACUGGCCCUGCAAGAGGAAUUAAAAAAAAUUAUAACGAGUAUACACACCUUAGGCACCAGCUGACCAGUAGGCCUGAGCACAAAUUUGUGCAUUCUACUCUGCGUAUUGCUCAAUUGUUUCCAAUUCCAAAUCAAUCAUAUAGAAUUUAUUUUCCUUCUUGUAGUAGUAUUUUUUUUUAGUAACCUCGUAUAUGCUGAUAUUUCUUUUGCGGAUGACUAGUUCCUUUCUGGGAAGAGUAUUGAACAAAUUAAGGAGGAUGCUGCUAGGGCAAAAAACAAGCAACUAAAUGAAGUGCCGAAAGAUGCUGGUCAAGGCAGUGAUGCUUUAGCAAAUUCAACAGUGUCAUUGCUUGCGUAAGUGAAUUUGAAGCUUCUGGACCAGAUUCUUUUAAUGCUACUGAAGUGUACUAAACUGAUUAACAUAGCUUUCAUGUGGAUAAUCCAUGCUCUGGCUAUUUAUGAUGUGAACUUCAUCUUGAAUGCAGCAACUGUGUCCUGUGAUAUGUAAAUAAGAGCUUCUCUCAUUUCUGCUUACUGCUUACCUGAUCUCCAGUUGUUGCUUGGCCUUUUAUUGGAUGGUUGUCAUACUGUAGUGAUGAUAAACAAGGAUGACUAGGAGGAUUUUUGUGACAUAUAAAAGCUUGAGCAGCCAGGGUAGAAACAGAAAAUAGUAUUCUAAAUGCUCUGUGUAGAUGAUGUCAGCAUGCAUGCAGGGACUGGUUGUCAAGGAAACCCAAUGAAAAAAGGAUUUGUAUUGUGUGCUUUCUUCUUUGUGUUCACUUCUUCUUCCUUGUCUAGAUAACCUAUUGAAGGAAGAGCUUAACGACCAGUGUCUCUCUGUCCAUCUCUGGCCUUCUAAUGUUUUUUUGGACUUUAGAAGCUGUCAGCACUAAUGCAAUAGGUCUAGCUUUAUCUUUGGGUUGAUGUCUCAGGCUUUUUAGGGCAAAUGAAGCAUCACGUGUUGUUGAUAGGCUUCCAGUAGAUAGAUACAGAAAACUUAGUUCAGUUUGUUAGAGCUAAUGCUUCUGAGAUCUGAGACUAUGUGGUGCUAAUAUGAUGAUCUUAUGAAAUUUAUGUCUUAGUUUGAAGUUUGAUUUGUCUUGGAGAUUGAGGAUGGUUUCUUAAUGAGAUGUAAGGGUGUUUUAUUAUUCUAUUGGCUCAGAAAUUUGGUGACAAAGUACUUAAGGGAGACUCUUUUGGAUUGUUGAGCACCUUAGAAUCAGCUUUAGUUAGACUUCAGGUUUAUGUAUUCAGUAUUUGGCUAGCUUUUAGCUUUUUCUGAACCAUAGGGAACUGGAUUUUGUACUUCAUAAGUUCUGUCACUGCCUUUCUACUUUUUUCUGAUCUUUCUUUAACCUUCUUGGUGUGCUUUUAUCUUUCUUUUUCCCUUUGAAAGUUCUGCUUCUGUUGAUUGCUCUCUAAUACUCUUUGUGGCUAUUAUCCAAGUUAUUUGGCUGGCUUUGGACAAAUUUAUGAGAAAGGCUGCCUUCAUUAUUCUGCAUUGCCCCUUCUUCCUAUCUCCAUCUCCAUGAACACUAAAUAUCGAACUUUUUACUCUCCAUGGAGUUUGAUAGUGUUUUCUUGUUUCAUUGUUUUUCCCUUUUUCAUGCUGUGACCAUCAGUCCUUCACACUCUCUACUUCUUUCAUUUUACCCUCUAUUAGGGGCACGGGCACUCAGCUUCAAAAUAAAACAACUAGCUCUGUGGCAGAAGUUUCAAAAGCACCAUCUGUCAUGCAGCUCCAAGGAAACAAGAACCCCCAAAUCGGGAGUCCGCCAAAGUUGACUGGGUUAAACUUGACAAGAGGAACUUCAACCAAUGAAGAUGAGUUUAAAUAUGGAUUUCCCUCACACGGCUUGUCAACUGUUUCAUAUAAAUGGUGGGGGAACAGCAGUAACAGUGGUAGCAAGGACACCCCAGGUACGGCCAAGGACGAGACACAAGGAAAUAGAAAAUCUCCUGUAAACUCAGCAAAUGGGAUUACCCUUGGUUCAAGAACAGAUGGACAAAAAUGUGAAAAUGAGGCACGAGAAAGCAGCACCGAUUCUCCGGGAGAAGGCGUGCUCUCCUCUUUGAGGAAAAGAGCUGCUACGGAAGGGCACAAGGCGUUGAAACUUGGUGCUCACCGCAGAUAUGUUAUGGAACUUGAUCAAACAAAAAGAUCAGUACUUCAACAGAUAUUCAAAUCCUCACUGCCAAGUGAAUGGGGAGAUGACUCUUUGUAGCUUUGAUAGUCGGACUACUUUUGGAUAUUAUUGUUGUUUUAACUGCACUUCUGGUUGUACUACAAAAAGGUUCUGGUAACUUGAUGUUCUGCUAAAGUAGAUAGAUUAGAUUCAGGCUUCAAGAAUCCAGUAUUAAUACAAGAUCGGUCACCUACUUUUGCCGAAUGAUACGCUGAUAAUUGAUCCACUAUUAGUUGCUGCAUCUUUCUUCCAAAGGCCGAGAGGUCAUCUAUUUCUGCAUUUUAUUCAGCGUGCUCAAAGCUCUUGAUCUAGCCAUUGUUGGACUGCGAUACUCCUAUGAGAACUGAACUAAAAUUCGCCAGUUAUUUAAGUAAUUAAGCAAGUUGAUAAUGCAAACCCUGGACACUGGUCACAUUUCCAUCUUUCUCCAUGCAUUUAAACUAAGCAAUGCCUUAAAAGUUUGGAAACAUUUGUUUCUUUAUUGUGGAUACUGUCAAAUUACUCUCCAAAAUCCUUUUGGAAUUAGAUACUUUUUUAAAUUAGUUUCGCUUAAAAAAAAAAACAAAAUUAACACACGAGCCCUGUCUUAACGAAUACCUUCAGGGCCAUCCCUUAACUAAACCCAAUUAUCUUUAGCUUAUGAGAAGCUGUAAAAGUUGCAUCAGGCUCAAUUUGAAGCAAGAAAUUUUUCUAAUAGUUAAGUUUGACAAUUUAUAUGCGGUACAUCUCUACCAUUAAUGUUUUCUGGAUUUUUGAUGAUCCAUAAUCUACCUUUUCCCAAACAGAUAACUUGAUUCAAAGGGUUCUGUAAAAUCAUAAAAAGAUAAGGUAUAUCUAACGAAUAUCUAAAUGCACCCUCCUCCUUUGUUUUCAAUGCAUCACUUUCAAUGCCAUAUUGUGUAUAGUACAUUUCUUUUCUACAUUGAGUUCUCGAUAAUAGAUGAAUGCAAGUAGUAGUGGCAAAUGUAUAAAUUUGCUAUUGUUGUGUUUUCGAUUUUCGGCUAGAGGGAUGAGGUUUAUACCCACAUCUCUUUUUUUUUCCCUAUGUGAUAAAAAACAUGUGUAUGUCUCAACCAAGUUGAAUCAAUAUACACAAAUAAUCCAAUGGGGUAUUCACAAUAUCCUUCAAAAGAGGAAAAAACCAAAAAAAAAGCCAUACUUUCAUCUCAACUCAGUACGUGGACUAGUUUUAUUGGCUGGAAUAAAUGCAACUAAUAUCCUUGAAAAUUUCAAGAAAAGGAAAAAGUGUAAAUAAAUCUAGUAGUAUAUCAUAACAGAUUGUUUGAAGCCUAAAAGAGAGAAGAAGACUACACAAGAAAAUCCCAAAGCCUAUUCUCACCAAUGGGAAAAAAGAUAAAGAUAGCAUUGGAUGAGGACCUUCGACCUUUUUCACUUCUCCAACACCUAUAAAAUCAUAUUCCAUUCAAGAAAGUCCUCAUCAACAAAUUAUAAUAGUUUCUUCCACAUUCAACCGCUGAUCAAAACCAUUUCCUCAAAACAACCAUGGCUGCCUCAACAAUGGCUCUUUCAUCACCUUCAUUCGCAGGAAAAGCCGUAAAAAUCGCCCCAUCAACAUCAGAGCGACUUGGUGAAGGAAGAGUUACCAUGAGAAAAACUGUAGCAAAACCAAAACCAUCAUCAGGGAGUCCGUGGUAUGGUCCAGACAGAGUUCUAUACUUAGGCCCCUUAUCCGGCUCACCGCCGUCUUACCUUACCGGAGAAUUCCCUGGUGAUUACGGGUGGGAUACAGCCGGCCUCUCAGCUGAUCCCGAGACAUUUGCCAAGAACCGUGAGUUAGAAGUUAUUCAUUCAAGAUGGGCUAUGCUUGGAGCACUUGGUUGUGUUUUUCCUGAGCUUUUAUCAAGAAAUGGUGUCAAGUUUGGAGAAGCAGUUUGGUUCAAAGCUGGUUCACAAAUUUUCAGUGAAGGUGGGCUUGAUUAUUUAGGUAACCCAAGCUUAAUUCAUGCACAGAGUAUUUUAGCCAUCUGGGCUUCACAAGUCGUCUUAAUGGGGGCUGCGGAGGGCUACAGAAUUGCCGGUGGACCGCUUGGGGAGGUGACUCAUCCUAUUUAUCCUGGAGGGAGCUUUGAUCCUCUUGGAUUGGCAGAUGAUCCUGAGGCUUUUGCUGAGCUUAAAGCCAAGGAAAUCAAGAAUGGUAGGUUGGCUAUGUUUUCCAUGUUUGGUUUCUUUGUUCAAGCUAUUGUAACUGGAAAAGGACCUUUGGAGAACCUAGCUGAUCACCUUGCUGAUCCAGUGAACAACAAUGCCUGGGCAUAUGCAACAAACUUUGUCCCUGGCAAAUAAUUUGGUGGUUAUUAAUAUACUGUGAUUUGUUCCAAAGCAUUUGUGUGAUUGGAUUGUUACCAAAUUGUUGAUGAUUUAAAGAUGUAAAUGAUGGACUUUAUGCAUAUAAAGUGUCAUUCUUUCUUAAAGUAAUUUUCAGAAUAUUGUUUCCUCCAAGAAAAUGAGGUCAAAGAUCAUAUAGUGGUUGAAAGUUGAUGUCUACAAUACAAAGUACCCAAAGCAUCCACUAUUUAACGUGCCUUUAAUUCAGAGGCAACUUUGUGGCGUCAAUUCUUUCAAAUCAAACAUUAGAAUACCUUAAAGAGCUAGCGUGACAAGUUCUGGCAUCAAGAAAUGAUACUCUUUGUGGGAACUGGGAAGGAGUCUUCUGCUCAUUACAUAAACCCUUGUGAGCUUGGGGAGUGCAGUUUGUAACAAUUGGUCCUACAUCGUGGUUUAUAGCCUUUACAAGCUGACCUUUCGAACUUAACAGAAAUCAUUUAACUUGGUAAAAAGCAACCUAAUCCUUAGCUUUUUUUUAUUGAAACUUGCACCGUUAACUUGAACUUUGCUCCUUGUCUUGGUUGAUUCACAAAUUUCUGUGUAAUUGUUGGCUAUGUUGUAUGAUCAGAACUAUUAUGACAAGUGAAUAAACAAUAAAAGAUUUGCACCAUGCUAGUUUCCACGCAAGAAUACGUGUUCAUGGACUCUGAACUCUGAACACUGAUUUUGAACAGCACAGUGGGUGAUGCAAAUUAAAUGAGACCACAAAUUUUGGACUGAAUCCAGAUCAUAUUAUGAGACUAUUUAUAGCAUCAGCAUUGAUAUUCUGGAAUCUAAGGACAUAUAUAAUGGUGAGGCCCAUAAUCGUUUCUUCGCCCUCCAACUAUUCAACUGUAUCAGUACUCAAUUAUAUAUAUGUUACCUGGAAAAGAAAAAUAAUAUGCUGGAUAUGAGAAUUUUGGAGGCUAGAAUUAAUUUUGAUAAUUAGAGUUGGAAGCCCACUUUGACAAGGACUUUCUUUAAAGCGAAUGCGACUUAUCGAGAGCUAAUUCUUUAUAAUUGUAAGCCAAACUUGAAUGUUGAAACAAGAUGCAAGUUCAUUAAUGGGCUCAAUUUAAUUAAACAGACUUGUUGAAUAUUUCAAAAUAGCUUUCUGCAAGCAAUUUAAUUCCAAAAAAUAUUUUUUUUUUUUUGGAAAAGAAUUCCAAAAUAUUGUUUGACUACGGAUAUAGUUGCCGAUGAACAAUAGCUUCUGUUAACAUAAAGACUCAAAAUUAGAAGAUUCAUGGUUAUUCUUGUCUAUCAAUAGGAUACAACAUUUUAACCUGCAAUAGUCCACUCUUAUAUUUCUUUAAAGUCCUACACGUAUCCUAGAAUUAACAUUUUGAUUGAAAACUAAAAAGUGAUUAAUAACGUAUUGAGGCUAUUUUUAAUACUUUUUUUAUAUAUAAAAUAUCAUAAUUUCAUUGACAGACUCUCAGUCACUUACCUUUCAUCUCUCAAUUUCAAGAUGAUGGUUUUGGAAUCACCCCUUUGACACCAUGGGAUCAAGAUCCAAAGUACCACAUUCUUCUGAUAUCUUUCACAACCAAUUAUCUUUCGAGUUCAUGAGAUGUUAUAGUAAAUUUGUCUCAUGCAGUUGUCCUGCAACCACUUUUACAUUACACUGAAGAAGAUGAAGAAUGUUUAGGCAUUUUUUUUAAAGGACGCAGUGGAGGAUGAAGAGGAUAAGACAAUAGAUAUAUAGAGCAUUGAGAAAAAUGCCAUAGAAUUCUACAUAUCUUUUGUUCUGGAAGGCCAGCUCGUGCAAGGCAUCUGUGGAAGGAGCAUCUAAUUGAGCUUUUAAGGAGACGCCAAGAAACCAACAAAUUAACAAAUUCUAAGAGCCGUGCCAUGAUUCGCUAAAGUACGGGAAGUAGGAAUGCAAUAGCUAGCUGUUAAGUAAAGGGUAAGCCUAAAUAUACAAUUACCAAUAGCUGCAUAGCAUAGAUUUGCUAUAGUUUAAUACCCACUAUGAUCUCUAUUAUUAAUGUUAUUAUUAUAAACUAACAAGAAGUGUCAUAUAUGCCCACUUAGAUAGGGUUGAGGACCACAUUGGAUGGGUUCUUGAGGGAGUACUUGAGGGCUGUCAGCUCUGGAUGAAGCUGCAAUUUUUGACCUCAGCUUGAAUGAGACAAUUGCACAAGUUCAAGAACAAGGUUAUUUUCCAAAACCAGAUCAAGAUGUUACUUUAGUUUGAGUCUAGGAUUGGUAACCGACACUACUUAGGGUCUCUUGUAAGUUGUAAAGCUUGAUUCAUUGAAGACAAUAAAUGCUGCAAAUUUUUUUUUUUUUUUGGUCACAAGUCGGUAUUAUCAUUAAUAUGUGUACAAUCACAGGACAACUACCCUUAAAUCAUCUUGUAUCUUCCUACCGAGUUGCAGAGGAAAAAGAUCAUUUUCACACAAAACAUUAUAAAAAAGGUUAUUGACAAAUUUUGUGAUUUCAGGACUAACUUUGUUUCCUCCUCUUUCGUUACAUUUUGAAGAUGUUAAACCCUUCAAUGAUAGUAGACUUUCUGGGGCGGAAGUAUAAUCUUAAGUUCUCCAACUAUAACAUUACCUCUAAGGUCAUGAUAAAGUUCCCAUAUAAUGCCAAAACAACAUAUAUUCUUUUCGAAAUGCAGAAAUUAUCUGUCAUUGUUUGCUUUAAACGUGGAAAGCCAGUAUUCAUGAUUUAACUACGUCGUAAAAAAAUUACAGGAAUUAAAAGUAAAAUAGUUGUUUGAUAGCUCGGAUAAAUGCGUAGUGAAAAAGGAAAAGUACAUUAAUUUUCUUCGACCAGUUUCUGAAUUGUAUUCUCUGUUUACAAUUAGUUUCCAUCCAAACUUCCAAUAUUUCUUUAGUUGUAUAUUAUCUACUCGUAUCAGUUCCAGACAUUGCCAUAUUAGCCGUGGUCACCCGAAUGAAACGCCAUGGCUAGGCAGGCACCCAUGUAUAUGCGGUCUUUAUCAUCAUGCACAAAUGUGCAGUAUGAUUACUUGGGAAAGGUCAGGUAUGUAUAUUGCUGUUUACGAACCUCAAUUAGUGUGUAUAUCUUUACAAAGCACAUAGGAUGAAUAACCUUAUAAAUUGAGAGAAAAAAAAGAAAAUAUACUUGAUAAAAGAAAAAAUUAUUACCUGAAAAGAAAACAUAAAAAGCAUGAAACGAAAAAGGAUAGCAUUAGUUGAUCUGGGAUUACGUGGGUCGAUGGUGUGAUGAGUUUUGCCACGAAAAACAUGGUAUGGUCUACAGACAUUUUCAAGGAAAUAUGGACUUUUUUGUUGCAUGGAUUUGUUGAUGGGCAUGGGGAAGAUAAUUUCACAUCCAAACUUGAAUAUCAUCAUUGAUCAUGGGUGAAAGGGCAUACCCAAUUUGAUGAUACAGAAUGAUAUAGAAGUUGAAAUGAAGUUACAUCCAAACUUGAAUAUCAUCAUUGUUAUUGGAAAACUGUUGAUCGAAAUUGAUAGAGAUCGAAAAAUUGCCAAUUAAGUCACGUUUGAAAUGAAUCAAAUAUUUGUGCAAACUUGAUCUUUCAAUUUAAUAAUGGGGUCAAGAGUCUUAUUCUAUUGUGUUUGGAACUGAAUAUUUACUUCUAUUGCCUUGUCGCUUAUCAAAAAUAAAGAGAGGGGGGGGGGGGGGAAUAACUACAUUUAUAUGAUGCAAUACCAAACACUAGCCAGUCCCAUGUCUGAUAAAUAACAAGAAACGUUCAAAAGCGUGUAAGAUAUUGAAACAGCACCAAAUUUCAGCAGAAAAAGCUAGAAACAACCUUCAAUUUCUCUACAUGAAAUGCAGGAUUCAAUAAUCUUCUGUGUUUGGCCCAUUUUUCUGUAUCCAGGCUAGCAAGUCCUAGUGCUAGAAGUUUACUGAUUGGAUUUGCCCGAGGCUUCUGACAAGUACAAAUUUUUUUGUGAAGACCUAAUUUACUUGUUCAGGAUCCAAGAUAACCAUUGCCGGCCUUGGUCCAAGCCAAAAAAAGCUAUUUUUACCUACAAAAUUUUUUGAUAAGCAACUUAUCCACUCUUUUAAAAAAAAGAUUGGGUCAACCCAUAUAUGAAAUGCAUGAUUGCCGAAAAAACACAGCAAACCAAAUAGUCUUCGGGCAAAUUUGGAGAACAAACCUUUAUGUUGCAUUGUUUCAUUGAUGAAGGGCAUGAUUCUAGGCAGGAUAUCAUCUGUUAAAGAAAUUGGUUUGGACUUAGCCUCCUCAAGCAUCCUUCCCAUGUCUCUGGUGUCUCCAAACAAGAACCCGUAAGAGUUUCCCUGUAGACCUUGCCGCCUGAGGCGUUUCUCCAUCUUCUUUGGUGUGAUCCAAGCCCAAUUCAAGAAUCUCCAUGCCCGAUGAGAAGAACUAUAACUGAUGAAGCUCCAAUCGAGCUAUAGAAAAAGUCCAUUUUCUCUGAUGCGCUUCCACUCCUUCAGUCAAACUUUCUGCUGGCAGGGGAACUUGCUAAGCGGUUAGUUAUUAAGGAGGGAGAACCUCAACUUUGGGACACAUCAUUCUGAAAUCUAUGCAUAUCCAUCUGUAAAAUCGGUAAAGACAAAGUAGCUUGAAGGUAUGUUCUAUGUUUACGGCAUCUGCAUAAAUGGAGAUGCUCUGCGACUUCAACACUCACCUAUAAAGGACAUUUGAGCCUUUAUAUAUGUGAAAAGCGAAGCAUAUAAGGCAUCAAACAAGCAAUUUUCACGGAGUUCUUGUUUGUUCCUGCCGAGAAUAUCCUCCAACCACUCCCAAUAAUUCUCGAUGUAACUGAAUGCACCACUGAGUCUCAAGGAAGGACCCCAAUGUGCAUCUCCAUCUAUGAUCCGCCUGCCAAGGGUCUGAAAAGGAGUUGUCCUUGGCUCCUUAUGAUGAAUAAGGGAUUUCAAGGAGUGAACCUUCGUGCCAUCAUCUUGAGGAAGGUCGAGUGACCAAUUCUUUAACUCUGGGUACUGGUGAGAAGGCCACUUACCUGAGUAACUUCCUUGUAUAGGGGGAUGCACUAAUAAUUUCGUUCCUUUGUCACCGGAGUCACCAUCGCUGUCAGUGAUAAGGAGAUACUUUUCGUUUGAAAAAGCGACUUCCUUGAACACCACCAUUGCAUCAAGAUUAACCUGCAGCAAAAGGAAGGAAAAAGAAAGUUUGGUUAAAAUGGCAUGGUCGAAGAUAGUAAAAGCUUCUUGAAUUUUUGGGUGAGUUUUAUUGAAGUGGGUAGUCGUGUCUUAUUCUUCAUGUACUCCUCAAGCCAUGAUAUGGCUCUCGUGGGAGUUUGCGGUUGCGCCUUCUUCAAAUUUCUUGGUUGCACCGUCUUCAUGUACUCCUCAAGCCAUAAUAUGGCUCUCGUGGGAGUUUGCGGUUGCACCUUCUUCAAAUAUUGGUCGCACCUCCUUGGUGUACUCCUCAAGCCAUAAUAUGGCUCUCGUGGGAGUUUGCGGUUGCACCUUCUUCAAAUUUCUUGGUCGCACCUCCUUGGUGUACUCCUCAAGCCAUAAUAUGGCUCUCGUGGGAGUUUGCGGUUGCGCCUUCUUCAAAUUUCUUGGUCGCACCUCCUUGGUGUACUCCUCAAGCCAUAAUAUGGCUCUCGUGGGAGUUUGCGGUUGCGCCUUCUUCAAAUUAAAUGUCCACCAUAGGAUGAUCCUUCUUUCAUUCACAACAAAAAAAAAAAAAAAAAAUUGGCAUUGACAAGAAAUAAAAGCCAUAAGGUAUGUGAAUUACCUUAGUUUUUUGAACUCCAAGAGCUAUGGUCCUAAAAUUGUGGACACAAUUGGAACAACAAUUUGCUCUAGCAGAAAUGUCAACGUCUGCUGCAAAUAAAAUAAAAAAAAAAAAAAAAAAAUUCGUCAAGCAAUGAAAAUUUUGCCUGGCUUCGCAAAAAGUGACAUGCAAAAGAAAGUUGUGAUGCGUGGCACGUGUUGGCGAGCACUUCGUGCUAGCUACCAGUUGAAUCAGCAUGGAAUUAUAUUAAAACAAGAGGGGACCGUGGACUUGGCCUAGCUCUACAUAUUGUGGCCUGAAACAAGGAAAGAUGUCUUGCAUGUAAGACAACGAAGAAAGCUUGAAUGGUCUUGGAAUAGGGACACUUAUUAGCUAAAUAAUGGCAUGAAGUAAUCAUCUGGCAAGCAGCCUCACCCUAUGGUAUUGGUGAAAACAAUGUGAAUGUGCCGUGAGGUGGGUUUUGUCAUGUUCAACUUGAUGGGUCCAGCAAGGUUUAUCGCUUUUUUUUUAAAAAAAAAAAAAAAAAAUCAUGAAUACAGGUGGUUAUGCUAUUGUGAAGUGAUUCAUUGGCCCCAAUUUGGUGAAUAACCAGAAUAAAGGGUCAUACCAUGCAAAUUUCGAGAAUUCAAGGUUCGGGAAAGACUUGAUUCUCAAUGAAAGCAAGAGCUUUCAUACGAUCUUAUGAUGAGCCAGGUUUCAUCCGGCAGUACAAAAAAAAAAGAAAAAAAAAAGAAAAAAGAAACGGAAUUGGUGCUUAUAAAUUUCGUAUCUUCAUAUGAUGCCAAUUCACAUGCAAAGUGACAAUGAAGUCCGAAAUUGACUUGAGACAGGGGGUCAAGCAUGAAUCAAAGCCAGGCAGUCCCUAUGUGCACUAAGUCUCAUUGGGUCAAUUGAACAAGCAACACAUGCAAUUUUUCAGCAAUAUAGGGUGCACGAAAAUUAAAAUUCCAGCAAUGACAAACGUGAGAAAAUCGAAUUUCUUAGUAAGAAAGUUUCCAGAUGAGAUUGCGAGUUACCUGGGGUGAAGUUCACAAAUUGUAAUUCCCCAAGAAAGCUGGAAAAUUUCGGUCUGAGUGAAAGCUGGAAAACUGCACAAGCUAGAAGGCUUCGCAAAUUGUAAUUCACCAAGAAGGCUGGAAAAUUUUGGUGCGAUUGGAAUAGUAUCAAGACGAAAGCUAGAAAACCUCACAAGCUUGAGAGCUUCGCAAGUUGUAAUUCUUCACGAAAGCUGGAAAAAUUUUUGGUAUAGCUUCGGGCAGCUCUACCUCUGUAUAUAAAACUCAUAUACGCUAGAAAAGAGGAAGUCAGUUUCUCAUUCAAUUGAGGAAGCUGGUGAAAUUUGGGAAGUGCCGUGUUGCCGAAAAACUCGUUUAGGCCAUGAGUUGGUCUUAGCACUUUCUGGUUUCAGUAUCUUGCUUGACGCUUGAGGGGUUUGGAAAGUGAAGCAAUAGGGGUUUGAUUGAACAAUUGCUCGGAAGCUCGUUUGCCUAAAGGUCCGCGAUUUGUCUCUUGGGACAUCUGGAAUUCUAAAAAUCAAUGAAGCCAUCUUGCAGACAAUACCAUUGGUUUGAUAAUUACCAAACCACUUCGAUGAUACAACUACAAUUUUAGCAUCUUGGGUUCAGUUUCCAAAAGUCAUUCGGUUGAUAGUUUCCAAUGGUUUACAAGUUGAUUUUAGCAAUUGUCGAUUUGCUCCCAUGGUGUGUGAUUCUGGGCGGUGGACCUAUUUUGAUUGGUACGUGAAAGUAAAGGUCAGAAGGAAAGAAAUCACCUACCUUCUACACCGUCCAAUAGUUGGUUUUGGCAAUUAGCUAAUUCAUUGCAAGUGCUCAAUGGAUUUGGCAGUGCUCAAUGAAGUUUGUUCAAUUCCGAAUGCAUUCGGCAGUACUCAAUUCAGCAGGCACUUGCCCAAUUACCAAUUCAUUGCAAGUGCUCAAUGAAUUCGGCAAUGCUCAAUUUGGAAAUAAUCGAAGGUGGUAUGUUUCUAAUUCUCUUGGAAUCAAUUGCAAGUCAAAAGGGAAAAUGGGCUCCUGUCUCUUUAAAGCAUUGAAGCCACGGCAGUAUGAUUCUAUACAUGAAUCAAUUGGAAGCUACAAGUUUCGGCAGUAGUACUUCUUUAAAUCAAGUUUGAGAAAUCAAUUCCAAUUUGGAAGCUACAAGUUUCGGCAAUGGCACUUCUUUAAAUCAAGUUUAAGAAAUCAAUGCCAAUUUGCUUGCGAAUAAGAUUCGGCAACCAUCAAUUUUGUUUCCUGGUUUGAAACCUCAUACAAGGUGGUGAGAGUUAACAUGUUUGGUUGGCGGUUACCUAAGUUAAGAAGGUUCCAAAUAUUUGUGACCAGUUUCUCAUAGCAUUUGGAAAUAUAAAAUUCAAUGGGUUUUGCUCCUUCAAAUCGAGCUGGUGCCAAGUUGCCAAAAAAAAAAAAAAGAAACCGAUGGCCGUCUGGAAUUUGCAAAGGCUGGUUAUAACAAGAUCAUGAACUUGGAAGCUGCCAAAUUCGAGUAACUUCCAAUUAGCCGAGAUGCGAAUUGGAAAUUAUCUUUGAUUUAGCAAGUCUGCCGCAUAUAAUUUUGAGUGCCGAAGUGUGAAGACAUUUCCUAAUCUUUGCACCACGUCUCGGCUCUCGAAAGUGGAAGUUUCAUGAUAAGUAUUCCACCGAACAAAGUGAUAGCCAUGCUUUGAUUAUUAGAUGUUGGGCGGUGCAAUGGUCAUAGAAGUUUCCCAAAUGCACGAGACUAAUUGCAAGCAACAGUUUCAUUGUAAUCACUUGGGUAAUGAUCCUACGCAUUGCACCUUGGUGUAGACCACACGUGAUUCAAGGGAAAUCAGCCUCCUUAUAUUAAACAAAAAAAAAAAAAAACAAGUACUUCAAGUCUCUAUUUCAAUCCUUGACAAGCAAGUCCCAAUUGAGUCUUGAAGUGGGGGCAUUUGUAGACAAAGAAAAUUUAUUUAAUUUAUUUAGUCGAGAUUUAUUAAAUUGAUCUUGAUUAAAUUAAAUUAAAUUAUAGAAGUCCAUUAUGUUUUGGACCGGCAAAUUGGGCCAAUAUUAUAUGGGCUAUUAAAUCAAAUUAAAUUCAUAGUGUCCAUUUAAGUUAGAGUGAAUUAAUUGAUUUAUUAAUUCACAAUGGACUAUUUGGGUUGGCCCAUUAUUUAAGCCCAAGUUAAAUGGAUUUCUUGAGUAACAAGUGAUCCCAAAAUGCAGGAAGAUUCUGAGGGUUUUCUUGAAGACCUAGCCUACAUAUUUUGGCUAUAAAUAGAGGUCUUCCCUCAAGGCAAAGAUAGAGAAAAAUCCCUAACAUUCGGAGAAACUCUGUCAAAUUCCCUCAAGAGCUUUCUUCCUCAAAUCCAAAUCCAAAUCAAGACAAACAAAUCCUCCUGCUAUCGGUGUUGAAGACUCGAAGUUCCAAGUGUUUGACGCCAUCAUCAAAUCAAUCGUUUUCUACGCCGAAAUUGUAGGAAACACCCUUUCGAUUGGAGAACAAGUUUUUUCGCUCCUUCAAUUGAAGCUAUUCGAAGAAAAGAAUCAGGGGAUUAAUUUCUUUGAUUCAAGAACUUUCAGAGAUUGUAACCCGCUUAUUAUUUGAUUUAAUAAAUUUGAUAUUUGUGCAAGUUUUCUUGUCUUUUAUUUCAGGCAACAAAAUUUGUGCUUACAACCACUAGUAGAGUAGGCUACAUUAUUUACAAUUAACAACAUAUGAAAAUUAAUAUCUAUAUUUGACCAGCAGAAUUUGGCAUUUAUCUUAACUAUUUCUAAGCAUGAAAUUCUUCUACAUUCUUAAUUCACUCAAUAACUUGUUAUGAUUUACCACAUCUAUUUGCUAUAAAUAAUUUUGUAAGAUAAAUUUUGUCUCCUUUUUAUUACAUUUUUCUAGCUCUUUUUUUAGUUUAAAUUCUUAUAUCAAUGUGCAAGGGUAAUUUGGAAAAGAAAAUGCUUUUUAGUAUUUUAUAUUAUUCUUUUAGAUAAACAAACUGAUUUCGUUAUGUUGAAACUCAAACUAGAAGAGGUAAAUACAAUAUUUGAAAUGUCAGAGAGUUAAGUGAAAUAAUCAUAAACCUCAGUCGAGGUUUUUUAUAUUAUCCCGUUUUAGAAGCUCAAUCAUCAAAUUUUUACAAAUUGCCUUGUUUAAACUUAAGCCAUAUAAAUUGGAAAUGACAUGCAUAUUAAAAUUAGGACAAUCCAAACAUGAAAAGAAGACAAAAGGGUUUGGCAUUCUAAUUUAGAAAUGCCCGAAACAUGAUCAUUUGUUUCCAUGUCAAACCCGCCUAAGUUGGACCUAACAAUUUGUCAAACCUAAGAGGGUCUAUGCAUAUUUUCUCAAAUUUCCAGGGGCCAGAAUAUAACUGAUCUUUAAUUGGGUAAAUUUGACGCAGUUUGACCAUUAUGGUAAGUUGGUAAGAUACUCAAAAAAUUUUCUUUCUUUCUUUUUUAUUUUUGGCUAAGGCUUUCAACACUACUUUUGUUCAUUGCCCAAUUAAUUAAUCAAUGAACUCAAUAGUUUCUGCUGGAAAAAUUAAAUGAACUUAAUAAAUGUGUCUAAGCUCACUUAUAAUUAGUGAUUUCAUCAAGAGGAAAAAACCAAUCAAGAAAAAACUUCAUUGGUAUAUUUUUAUAAUGUGGUGUGACGCAAAAGGUUGAAAUAUUUUUCAAAUUAUAUAAACCACAAAAAAAAACCAGCUUUCCUCUAUCAACUGGUAGCCUUGACCACAAAUUUUAAAUUGUUAAGAUCUGCAAAUUCUAACAUGCAUUAAUUCCCAUGAAGAAGUAAACAAGGCAGGUGAGGAAAAGCAAAGCAAAUAUAGAUGGAACAAAAAUAUGAGACAAAGCAAAUCAAUUAGGAACUUGUUUUCUUUCACUUAGAAGGCAGCUUUGGCCAUCUCUCAGACCUUCUUCCAGCAUUGUGGUCUAGGAUAUCAUCUCAUAUUCAGUGGUCUGCUUCUUAUGCUUUACUAAUUUUCUAUUCUAAUCCGUGAUGAUUUUCUUCAUCAUCUUAUAUAUAACUCGAAUACUUAAGCUCUCAUGUUGAAAUUUUCUGCCACUAAACAAAGCUCCAAGAUUUAUAGCAAUUGAUGUAGUCAAAUACCAAAUAAUAUGUAAGUUGCAGAAUGCUAAAAUGGAUCUGAUCAAACAAAUUAAUAGAAAUUUCUGUUAAGAGAACAAUAACUAGUAAAAUGAUCACGAAUGAGGAAGAAAAGAAAAGGAAAGUUUUUUUUUUUGUUUUUCAAUUAAGCAAACGAGGGGGUGACCGUGAGAUAUAAGAAACGAGAACUGAGUAGUGUGUUUGGAUCGAAGAUUAUUUCACUUUAUUUACACCUUAUUUACACAUACUGAUUUGCUUGCAUCAUCAACACAUUUUUCAAUCACCUUUUUAUCUCAUAUAUAUCAUAUCAAAAAAAGUGUUACAAUAAAAAUAUCUCAAUUAAUUACAAUCCAAACACAUCAGAGAAAAUUCAGGCUAAAUUACCUUUACUUUUUCAGCAAUUAAAUUUUAUUUUUUUGACUCUUCCGUUCUAAUUUCUCAUCUUUCAAAACACAAUCUUGAGCUAGUGAUAUUAAAAGUCCAAACUCAUGUAAUUUAUGAAUUUAAAAUGACAAGCUGUAGGUGUAACAUCUUCAUAUUCAUAUAUAUGUGUAUAUAUAUAUUUUUUUUUCUUUGUUUAUAUAUAUUUUCUCUUUUUCUUUGUUUUUGUAUCGGUUGGGAUUGUCCCAAUUUGUUUUAUCUAAUAGGGCUCAAUCAAUUAUGGAAUAGGGACACUUGUGUUGAGUUCAUCUCCCUGUCUCUAGUCCCUACCUUUUUUCUCAAAAAAAUCAAAUUCAUGUGGUACAAAUGGAUUUGCUUGCCUGUAAUCAGACCCCAAAAUUUGCAAAUUGGGAAUGAAAAUUCCAAAAUCUUGGAUAUGAAACAAUAUAAUAAUGUCCCACAUGGAGACACAAACUCUUUCUCCCAUAUGACAUGGCACAUGCUGUGGAGCGCGUCCGUACGCUCUCUCCUUGGCCGCGUGGGUCUUGCUCAUCCCCACCUUUGUCUCCUUAUCCCUAUCUGCUACUUCUAUUUAUACGUAUUCUCUAGUACGGUAGGUUCGUACCCUGACAUACAUACGAUAACCGUAUACGUCAAGAAAGAGAGGCAAAAAAUGUCAAACGACCAGCAUUUUAAGGGCAAAAAACCAAAAAAUGACGUCAAGAUUAAUAUUGGUUGUUAUGCUUAUACAAUCAUCAUGGUAUUGUACAAACUUUCAUCAUAUUGUACUUCAUAUCUAAAUUUUGUCCAAAUAGGAUCAUCUAUGAUAUCACCUAAGUAUCUUUAUAGUAAACAAAAUAAUAUUAAAAUCUGAUAUUAUUUUCAACAAGUUUUGAAAGUCACAUUUUGCAAAUAACUCGGCAAAUUGAUUAUCAACAAAAUCGAUGUUAUUUAAGUUAUUUUUUCUUUUUAUCUAUUACCAAAAAGGAAGAUGAUUUAGUAAAACAAACUCCAAACUAAACUUUUGAUAUUACAUGACAAAGUUGGCAAGUGAUUCACCUUCAUCAGGCUAAAAAUAGAGGAUUUGAAAUAACAGAGAUAACAAGAACAGUUCAAUAUUUAUUUGAUAGUGUAUUUUUAACAUGAACUCAAAUUGAUUAGCUCGACUCUCAUGAAAUUAUAAAUAUACAUGAAAGGAUAAUCAACUUUUAUCUUAUUUGUGGUUUUUAACUAAUAAGAAAAGAGAAGACAAAGAGGGAUUAAAUUGUUUUACUUUCGGAUCAGAUCAAUUAACGAGCAAAUAAUUUAUAUCAAAUUUAAUAUCAAUCAUUGUCUUUUAUAAAUUUUCACACAACAUAAUGGUACUUUAAAUAUUCAACUUUUCUACCCAAAAACAACUCAUACUUGUCAAUACUUGUCAAUACCUUUCACCUCCCACUAAAAGUUAAAAGGAGAAAAAAGAAUACACUACUUUCAAUAGAAAAAAGGUGUAAUGACAUGAAAAACAGCAAGAACAAGUGUAGAGUGGUGGUUGUGUACACCCAUAGAUAAGAUACCAAUGUCAUACAUACAACUACUAGUAUAAUAAUUAAUACCUACUAUCAAGUAUCAACAUACAAGAAAGAGAGAGAAUAAAAAAAAUAACAAAUAAAUGCGAUGGAAAGAUAGAACGGAGAAAAAGGAUAGUUGUUUUCCCACAUCACAUGGCCUCGUUGCCGCUGGGACCUCAGCAGCAUCAGCAGCAGCACCUCCUACAUAAUCCACCACCACCACCGGACCACCCCCACCACCACCUCCAUCAUCAUCAUGACCAGGGAGCCGGGGCUGCUGCAGCUGCCUUGAAGCUCGCUUCCCAGUCUCGCCGUUCCGACAUGGACUCCGACAAGGUGAAUAAGAACAAGCAAAGACUAAGACUUUUUCUCCCACACUGUUGAUUUUGCAGUUAUUUUUCAAGAUUUUGUCAUUUUUGUGGUGGGUUUUGUCUAGUUUAGAGGUUGAUCUAGCUGUUUAGCUCGGUUUUUGGCUUGAUCUCUGGGUUUUCUAGCUCAAAUUGGGAUCAGAGGCUCCCGCCGGAAGUGCUGCAGCCGGAAAAAUUUUCCCGCGAUCUGUGAGGCAUUUUAGUUGUCGAGCUGUUGCCACCGUCGUUUUUCAGAGAUUUCAGCUCAAUUUUGCCAAGAGAUUAAGAACAUUGAUUAUUUUAUCUUUUUUAUUUUUAUUUUUGUUGGGUUUCUGCAUUUUUCUGUACUGCAUUAUUUCCUGCAUCGGUGAUAAUACAAAAUUUCUGCCUGAUAUUUUGAUGUUUCUUGAGCUUUAGGGUCCUUGGCGUUCAAUUUCAUAUGCCAUAGAUUUUACAAGUUCUUUUUCUCCUCACUUUUUAGGGCCUUCUGAUUAAAUAAGCUCAUUUAGACAACAUGAAAAGAAUGUCCGUUGAGGGGAUCUCAGAAAAAUAUACUGUUAAAUCUUUUAAAUUUUGUGGGAUCACCCCCCCCCCCUUUCUAAACAGGUGUUUGCACUUUUCUUUCCUGGUGUGUAACAUAAGGCAUUUUUUGAGGUUUCCGUGCUUAGGUAGUUCCAAGUUAGAUACCUUUCUUGAUCUUUGUGACUAGCACUAUCUGCCUUUCUUGGUCUCGAGGUAAACUGUGGCUCAAUCUACUCAAAGUGGUUUUGCUUCAUGUAGUUAGCAAGGGUCGAUUCUCCUUCAAUGAUGAGCAGUCUAUUGUUGCAGCUACAAGCUUUCUUGGCGUGUGAUUCUUUCUUCAAAGCUUUUUUAUGUUAUAUCAGAGAUAUCUUUCUUUUUUCCUCUGCCUUUUGGAUUUACUGGAUUAACAUUGCCUAAGCAUUCCUCUGUUCUUUAAGUUGACCUGCUUUGGCUAUGGUAACAAGUUAGAUUACUGAUGUUGAUGCAAGAUGGUCUGCAUGCCUUUUUAUUUUCGCUGAUUGAUUACUUUGCUUGUAUUACACUGUAGGAAAUGUCUGCAGCUGUUGUUGAAGGAAACGGUGCAGUCACUGGUCACAUUAUUUCAACUACAAUUGGAGGCAAAAAUGGGGAGCCAAAAAGGGUGGGUAAUUGGUUUUCAGCCUUGUGUAUUUCUGGUGUUGUUGCACCUAAUGCAAAUUUAGAUUGAAAAAACACAUAAUGGUUCUGUUAAGAGGUCUUCACAUAACUUAAACUUUCUGUUGAUUUUUUUCUUGAUUUUAGUUCAUUGGAUACUUUUCUUGGAUCAUGGUGGAUUAUGAAUUUUUAACCAAUUGUAACCAAUACUUUGCACUAUUCAAGGAAAGCUUAGUUGUUUUCUUUUGAUGUUUCUUUAACAGACGAUCAGUUACAUGGCUGAACGAGUUGUAGGAACUGGAUCAUUUGGAAUAGUUUUCCAGGUGUACAUCUUACCUGGUUUGUUUACUAAAUUUUGUCGUGUUGACAUCACUGUCGAAAAUUAAUGACCUUACGUGAUGAAUACAGGCAAAAUGCUUGGAAACUGGGGAAACUGUGGCAAUAAAGAAGGUUUUGCAGGAUAGACGGUAUAAAAACCGUGAGCUGCAAUUGAUGCGUUUGAUGAAUCACCCAAAUGUGAUUUCCCUGAAGCACUGCUUUUUUUCCACAACAACUAGAGAUGAACUCUUUCUCAACUUGGUUAUGGAAUAUGUUCCUGAGACUUUGUACAAGGUCUUACGGCAUUACAGCAACUCGAAUGAAAGAACGAUGCCACUCAUAUAUGUCAAACUUUACACAUAUCAGGUUUACAUACAUACAUAUAUGUAUAUAUAUAUUGAAUUUUGUAACUUAUAUUUUAUGGUGACUGAUGGAGCUAUUAAUGUUUUCCAGAUAUUCAGGGGGCUAGCUUAUAUCCAUAGUGUUCCCGGAGUUUGUCACAGAGAUGUGAAGCCUCAGAACGUUUUGGUAUGCAUUUUUCACUUCCUCAUUUGUAAAUUAAAUUGCAUCUUGGCUCUCAACAUAUAUUACAUGUUUCGUACAGGUUGAUCCUCUUAACCAUCAGGUCAAGCUUUGUGACUUUGGAAGUGCAAAAGUUCUGGUAUGUUGACUGUCACCUGCCUGAAAUUCAGAAUAAUCAUGGUUUACUUGGUCCUUUGUUUUUCCUGUAGCCAUAGGUUAAAAAAAAUCUGUAAAAGCAAUGUUUACUGAAGUGUCAGAAGUGUUUGGCGGCUUGCAGUAUCUUAUUUUGCUGGAACAGCUUAUGUACCGUCCAGUAAACAGAAAUCAUUUCAUGUAUUGGAGAAGUCUUAAGUAAAACAUAGUUCUCUCACAUACUGAAGAAACUGAAGGAAAGGCUUAAUUAGGGAAGUAUUUAACUCUGCAUGCUGGAAGAAGUAGCUCUAACAAAUUUAAGAAAGAACUGGAAAGAAAUAGAUUUAGAUGUGAGUAAAUACAGUAUAAUUUGGAGCAUGCCUUAAUUCUUCAUGCAGAGUAUUCUUUUAGUUAGUUGUAGGAAAAUAUGAUCUAUCAAUGCUGAGUUAUUUAGUGAUGCAGCUUUCAUGACCCCCCCCCCCCCAAGGCGCUUCUUUUGUGAUGUUGUAAAACCUCCAAAAAUGGGUAAAACGAGACAUGUUGAGCUAUAUUUCAUUUUUGUAUUUGUUUUACAAUUUGCUCUUUCAUACAUUAGUUGGGUUUUCACCUUUUGAGAAAGGACUACAGCCUGAUCUCAUGUGAUGCAAGAUCAUUAGAGCUUUGAUUUGGAAUUGCUAGUUGUGCAAAGUUUCUUCUCAAUACCUCUAUUAAUUUGCCCAAAAUUUGAUGUGACCAGAUCAGGGGGGAAACUAAUAUAUCUUAUAUUUGCUCUCGUUACUAUCGGGCACCUGAGCUGAUAUUUGGGGCAACAGAAUAUACGUCAAUUGAUAUUUGGUCAGCUGGCUGUGUCCUUGCUGAGCUUCUUUUGGGUCAGGUCUGUUAUGUGGAUAUCAUUCUAGUUUUUGUUAGUUAUUGUCCUUUUCCAAAAAGCUUUGUAUUACAUCUAGUAUAUUCGAUCCCCUAGCUAAAUAUAUUCCACUAUUAUAGCCAUUGUUUCCUGGAGAAAAUGCUGUGGAUCAACUUGUAGAGAUUAUCAAAGUAUGUUCUAUCAUCUAUGCUCAUUUUUUUAUUUGUGGCUAAAAUUUUUACAAGAUUAGUUGUGCUAAUUUGGACUCUCUCUUAGGUCCUUGGUACUCCAACUCGGGAAGAAAUUCGUUGUAUGAAUCCAAAUUACACUGAUUUUAGGUUUCCUCAAAUUAAAGCUCAUCCUUGGCACAAGGUAUGGCAAUUUUGUACUUUGACCUGGUGAAAUGUUGGUCUCCUUAGAAUCUGGGUAAUCAGGUAAAGUCUUGCAGUGGAUAACAAGCUUUCGUGGAACAGGUUUUCCACAAAAGGAUGCCUCCUGAAGCAAUUGAUCUUACAUCUCGGCUCCUUCAAUAUUCACCAAGUCUUCGCUGUACUGCUGUAAGUUUAGUUGAUUUCAUCUUGUAAAAUUUAGAGAUGCUAAGGUUAUGUAAUACCGCAGGACAUUCCAUGCAAUAUGACUACAAAUGAUGUUACUGGUGCUUUUACUUUUCCUUUUUCGAUCACGGGGUUUCUCUUUCUCGACCAUGGGAUUAUUCUGCAAAUCCAUGAAAUAAUUUUUCUGUGUUCCUGCAGUUAGAAGCCUGUGCUCAUCCUUUCUUUGAUGAUCUUCGUGACCCGCAUGUCCGCCUCCCAAAUAAUCGGCCUCUGCCAACACUUUUCGACUUUAAACAGGAAGUAUGAUUCCUAACCACCUUUUUCUGUACAAUGCUACUAACUGGAAUUCUUUUACUGCAUCUCUUCUCUGGUUGUUCGAAUUCUGUAGUUUUUCAUAUAAGCAUCUUAGCUAUGUAUGAUUCAUUUGAAUAACAGUUAUGAGCAAAAUUAAUGAGUCCAUAAAGAUGAAGGAAAAGCAAUGAAAGCCUAAAAGCUAGCAACAGACUCAAAUAAGACCUGGAGAUUAAGGGUCUUGUUUCCUCAUCCUAGAGGGAAUUUCAAUUCUCACCCCACCAUUUUUCACUUGCUGCCUUUCUCUUUCCUCCUGCGCUCUUUCUAGAAAAGGAAAGGAUAUGUAUCAUAAAAUAAUAAAAGGCGUUGGCACCAUACUUUUCUGGUGGUUGUUUGAUUCGCCAACAAUAUUUGGUUCAAACUGAGAUAUGGAUUUUCAGUCUGAAAUUAGUGUCCAUCCUGAUCCAUGUGGCUACCCGUCUAGAGAAGGAAAAUGGGAGGAAGGUGAUGAGAAGGAAAUCUAUUAAGUUCUGGAUACUUGAGAACUGUAGAUGGGAAAAGUGCUAUUUGAUUAUGUUUAUUGUGACUAGAAAGGCCAAAGGGAGUCUACUUUAUAAUCCUUUGCCAGGCUUCUUAGGUUGUUAUAAUCCUACAAGAGAAGGAAAGAUAAACAGAAGGAAGAAGAUGCUUUACGUUUGGUGGUUAUGCUGAACUAGUGUGAGAAUCUGUUUUAAGUCCAUAAUAACAGAUACUGCAAAACUGUUCAUAAUUUAAAUUGGGACCUGAAGUUGGCUUUAAAAUUCUAUAUAUUGGGGAUCUUUCAGUUGCGAACACCUUUUCUUAUAUGACCAGAAGUUUGGUAAUAUUCUGCAACGUUAUAUGUUAUGAAAGACUCUUGAAUUGGUAAUUGCAAGGAUUUGGAAAUGGAGUACUUCUGUUUUGUCUACUGUCAACAAAAUACAGUUUCACCAUGCCUCUAAUUGCAGUUAUCUGGAGCUUCACCUGAGUUGAUCAACCGGUUAAUACCAGAGCAUGUUAGAAGACAAACGACGGGCCACUGUCCACAUCCUGCUGGGACAUAAUCAGAUGAAAUGGCAAAUAACCUGUUGGCAUUGAUGGAUGUGAAGAAGAACAUGAUUCCGUGACCUAUCUAGGUGGGGUGUUUGGACCAGUGCAGCGUUUUUUCACACCCCUAAAAGGUGUUUGCAUAUAGUUUCUCUGCAAGUUAACCUUGAAUUUGGUGAUCGUGCCUACCCUUCUUAGCCAAAGAAGAACCGUGUCACCCUUUUUGUACAUUGUUUUGAUCAAGAGAUUUGAGAAAUGUAGGGAUCUAAAUUGGUAAUGCUAUGUGUGUCCAAUUAGGCAGAUUCCCUGAAGAAGGAAUGGGAGAGGAGUAGAUGCUUAUAGUAGUGUCAUGUUUUCAUUGCAACCUGUUUACUUGCUGCUUUAGUUGAUUCUUAUAAAGAAUUGCAUGUGCUAUUGAAAAUUUUCAUUUUCUUCCGUAUUAGGCUUUCAUUUUUGUUGAGUAGAGAUUUCAAUCGUGAUAGGGUCACGCUUAUAGUCAUUUUCUAUAGAUUUCCACCUUAUGGGCAUUUUUCAUUUUGAUGGUUCAAUCCGUCAAAAAUAGGUCAUUUUACUCAAACUAAAAACAAAACUGUGCCCGGUUUACUCAAACUAAACUUCUAUUUUAUUUUUGGUCCUCCCCCAAGUAAUGUUAUAUGAAGAAUAGUACUCCUUCCGUCCCACUUCGAUAGUUCUGGUUCAUUUUACACACAUUUAAUAAAAAGUAGUUAACUUUGUUGGAACAAUCAAUUUAGGUAGUUAUUUUCCUAAAAUACCCUCAUAUUAAAUAGAGUACAACUUUAUGGGAACUUGAAUUGAUGGUAAAAAAAUAAUCAACUCUCAUUAAAUGGAGUAAGUUUAUAGUAACAACAACUUACAUUGAAUAAGGGUAUUUUAAGAAAAUUAAAAUACUACUACAUUUUUCAUUGGAAAGUGGACUAUAAUUUGGGACAGACGAAAAAGGAAAACAGGACUAUAAAAGUGGGACGGAGGGAGUAAUUAAUUAGAGGUGGCAAUUUGUCUCAAGUCUCAAUGGGCUAUCCAUGUCCAAAAAGACUUUGGGCAGGAUGGGUAUUGUAAUUUGAUAUUGGGUUUAAAAUGGGAUGCAUCCCAAUUGUACUCAUUAUUUGAUGGGAAAUGUUGGAAAAUACUUGGGUACCCAUUGGGUCCAAAUAUCUUCCCAAAAAAUUUCAUUUAUCCAAAAAUCCAUCUCUGAAAUUUUAUUUUUUUUGCAAAAAUCUGAAUUUUUUUUCACUUCCAUUUUCUUUCUUUUCCUUUCUUCACUUUCCUACAAAAGAAAACCAAUUAAGUGAAAAUGAUUUCAUUUAAACAGCUUAAAAAAAUAUAUAACAAUAAAAAUAAAAUGAAAUGGUAAAAUUUUGGUGUCUACAAGAAUCAAAAGAAAAUAUAAAUUCACGAUAAGAUCAAAAGAAAUUUAAUAAAUAAAAAUAUUAAAGUUAUAUAAAAAAUAAAAAAGAAUUAAAGAAAAAAAAUAUAGAAAAUAGAUUUGGAUAUUGAGCGGAAUCAAUCCAAACCCAUCCCAAAGUGAUCCCGCCCAAAUUAAUCCCAAAACACAUAUGGGUAAGGUUAUACCCAAACCCAUAUGAUUCGAUUUCAUUUUGAAUCCAAGCAAAUCCCGCCCAUUUUGCCACCUCUAUAAUUAAUAAUGGGAUAGUAUUUUUUUUUUUUUUUGUUAAUUACUAUCAGUACAAGUGAUUGAUUAUUGUGCAACAAAUGUGUUAAAAAGUUUUGCAAAAUUUAAAAGAAAAAACUAGAUAACACCAAAUGAAGGCAAAAAGCAUGUUAAGAAUUGAAAUCAAUCCAAAUCAUAUAGAAAAGUGAGGAACAAAGAAAAUAACAAAAAUAUUGAAUCAACUAUUAAAGAACAAAGAAAUUCACGAACUUGGAAUUAAUUCCACGGAACGAAUCAGUCAACAAGCAUAGACAUGAUGGUGUCUUGAAUCAGUGUAAAAAGCCCAACUGACACAGCCCCUAACACUCAGGGCACAGAAUCUCUGGAUUGGAUGGAGAGAGUUCAAAGCCAGGGAGAAAACCAAGCCAGGCUGAAGAUCAAAAUCCACACGCACCAAGAUAGCAGGCAACAAAUGGUGGGGAUUGGAAUCACUGCUACUGACUUGGCUGGAUGUCUACAAGCGAGCUGGGCAUUAAGGGAAAGAAUGUCUGGAGACACAAAGCAGGACCAAGCUGGUGCGGUGAGGCUAGCACUUCUGAAUGCAAUCAGUCAAGGCUGGACGAGUGUUAAAGUAGAGUUAGAAGACAGUGAGCUGGUAGAGUGCAUAAAAUCUACAAGGACCAGCAACCAACAGAUGGCUACUCUCCUGGAGGAUAUAAAAUACAUAAGUAAUUUGUUCCAAAAGUGUUCUUUCUCUUUUGUUGAAUCAGGAUUUGUAGGAAGUAUCAAGUUGAGCAUGCAUGCUCUAAACAUCCUCGUGGAUGAGGAAUGGGUGAAUCCCAACUUGUAGUGCUAGGCACUAUUGUUUUUGGUAGGACUAUUGUCCUGAUGACUGGACCUUUGUCUAAAUAUUGUAAACAUUUGAGUAAUCUAUAAAGCUAUCGUUUCGACAAAAAAAAAAAAAAAAAAGACACAGCCCCUAACAAACUACAUUUAAUUCCUGAACCCUGAAAGCGUCUCGAGAGGCAGCCGUCCAAGUUCACCCGCAUAUUUCAACGCUGGGAUUCUUUGAGAUUUCAUCCAGGAUUAAUAUAAUAAAGGUAAUUUGUGUAUCUUGUUUGAGUGGAUUUUUUAUUUUAGACAAUUUUCUGUUUGCUUGAAAUAUGUCGUUGCCAUGGUUAAAGAUUAAAAGAGUCUUUGUCGUUACUAAAGAUUAUAAAAGCUUUUUUAUGUGUUGGUCAGUUAACUGCAUUUUCCAUGUACAUGUUCUGUCAAUCCAUUUGAUAAAUUGGAGCUUUUGCCAUCCCAUUCUUACCAGAGAUGCUCAAGUCAUCUAGUAGUUAGAACCCUUGCAAAUCACACGCCCAAGAUUUUGUGAAUAUUUCCUCAAACCAUUAUACCACUUAUCCAAAACGCAAUAAAAUUUAAUUGGCAGUUAUUAAAGUUCUUCAUAGUUCAUACACCAAGUGAAAAAAAAAACGGGAUGAGAUCACUCUGCUAUACGUUCCUUAUAGGCAAUUCGGUUGGUUACGGAAGCCUCCUUAAGAACCGUUGUCCAGUCCCAUCAGAGUUCGAGUCCCAUGGGUACCAUGUUCGAGGGGAUGGGGCAUCUUCUCUCGGACCGGAGAGGAUUAGUCGGGCCGAAAGCCAAGAUAUCUCCUGCGUCUGAAAAAAAAAUAAAAAAUCACCCUGAUAAACACAAUAAAUGAGAGUCACCAUCCAAUUUCAGUUGCUGGGUUUUGAGAAGGUGACAUCUUUGAUUAUGAAUGGAAAAAUUGUGUUUGGAUUGCAUUUUCCGUGAUUUUUCAUGAAAAAAUUACUGUAACGAUUUGAUGUAUGUGAGGAAAAAAGUUAAUAGGGAAAUGUGAUCACGGAAAACGAUGUAAUUUUUUGACGGAAACUGGCAAUCCAAACAAGGUUCCAUAACCUUCUAUCCGACCUCUGAAUUACAACAGUCAAAUGAUUCCUAGCUGCCAAAAGUUCCAGAAUUGGAGGGUAUAAAAUGAAUACAUGCACCGGCAUUUAUUCAAAAUCAAAUAUCUGUUGCUUAUGUCCUCAGUGCUUUCCUUCUUUUUUUUUUUUUUGGUUGCCUGCCACGGUAUCCAGGGCUUUGCCCUGACUAAUCCGUUGGUCGACCCGGGUCGCACACCUGGCUGUGGUGGGUGAGUCUCCCAACAAGGGUAGCUGCAUACGCCAGGUUUCGAACCCGAGACCUGCUUAAGCGGAACCAAGCUGCUUACCACUUGGCCCAACCCCAGUUGGUCUCAGUGCUUUCCUUCAACUCUUCAAGAAGGACUUCUCACUUGUCCAUCCUAGUGUUAGGAUCACAAAGUUGGAAGAAAAUCUCAAAAAAUUCCUAAAAGCCAAAAUCUCUUGAAUUGUACAAAGAACCUGUAACCUUCCAAAGCCUCCGUUUGGAUUAUUGCUGAAACAUGCGCCAGUAUCAAGUUCCUAAGCAGACUUGGACACCUCAUGAAUUGCAUUAGCCAGGUAACCAACGUUUCCUGUGGUGACUCCCGCCAUGCUGCGGAUGUUGCUCAUAAAUUAACAAGUCAUGACAUUGCAAUGAAAAUAGAAACGAUCAGAGCAGGAGGAUACAGUAGAGGAGAAGACAUUUUACCUGAUACGACCAUUACGAGUCAUGUAAAUAUGGAAUUCAUUAGUUAAGCGGUCAACUUGUUCAGGUGUCAACCCACUAUAGCAGAACAUGCCAAUCUGUUUUUGUGCCAGAAUGGGGGUAAAUUGGUAACAGAGUUAUAACAUAUAAAAGAGUGAAAAAGUCUUUUAAUAAAUCAACCUGGUUCGUUAUGUGCUUCCAGGAAAGAGAUGACCCCAACUUUUCGAGAUUUUGUCUCAAUGCUAUUCUUGCUCCAAUGAUACGAUCAGCCAUGCCCUGGAGUCCGGCAUUUUAUUGAAUUUCAACACCAUAGUCACAACAACUAUAAAUAAUUUGACAAUCAAUAAAUGAAAGCACAUCAACCAUACAUCAAACUUUCAACUUAGGGAAGAUCUAAAAUCAUUACUCGCUCAACAAUAUUAGCCUUGUUUCUUCAUGCAAUAGGCAUAUUUACAGAUUAUGUUACCAGGUCUUUAAACUAUCAAUCCACUAAAUUUCCUUUCCCCUCAGUAGUUACCUGCAUAUCCACAUAUUUAGAACACUUAAACUCCUUUGACCAACUGCCGACCUCCUCCACUAACAUAGAAGGACGAUUAUAACUUGAAAGAGAAAAAAUAUUGAUUUUGUCUUCUUCCAAUUCCUAAAAUGAGAAUGAUCUUGCACUCCUCGGCUUCAAGCCAAAUUCUUUUGACUUAUGAGACUUUUCAUAGACCCAUCCAAAGUACUCCAGAAAGAAAUUAUUUUUUUCUUCUUAUUUUUGGACUUGAAUAGGAUUAUCCUCUAUUUAAAAUGCCAACAUUAGCCAACACUUGGCAAAAAUUAUAAAUUUUGCAGAAACUUACCUUUACUUCCUUAAGCCACAACUUCUUCAAGUUUGGAUCACCAAGAACGGUAGAAACAAUCAGGGCACCAUGCGUAGGUGGAUUACUGUACAUGGGUCUGGCAAGCUGCUGCAACUGGCUUUUCACGGCCACCGCUUGCUUUUCAUCCUCACAAACCACGCUGCAGUCAACAGAAAAGCAGGCAUCAGAAAAUCGUUAAAAAAAAAUGGAGUUUCUGUAAUAUUUUUCAUGUCCAGACAGAUCAUUCAGUAGCAAAUAUACAAGAAUGCUGGAUUUUUAACAGGAAAGAGAAUGCUCCAGGUUUGCAUUGUUAGCCCAUAAAACUGGGUACGGAAGAGAAUGCCAGAAUAUUGCUUUACUGUAGAAUGCUUUCUAACCGUGACACGAAGCUUGAAAAUCAAGGUAUCAAAUGCUUCAAAAGAUUUUGCAGUACAAACAGAUCCUUCUUAAAUGAAUCCUAUUUGUUUCACCUUCUUCAAUGAAGUCUGGUAAAAGGUUUUGUAAUUCAGUUCCUGAUUGUAAAAAUGGCCAAUCUGAGAAGCUAAUCAUAUAACCCAAUUCCUUCCUAAAAUUGGUUAGAAAAUCAUGAGAUAUUAAAGAAUUAAGCCCUUCACUGAAAGGACAAAGCCAUAUCAGUCAAUAGGGCUAAAGAAAAAGAAAAUAUAAUCAUCAAAAAGUCAGAGCCAAAUUAAAUUUCUAAUUCACCUCAGGCAGCCAACUCUCUGGCCAUAAAGUCCCAUAUUUUUUGCAUAUGAUUGCGCACAUCCAAUUAGAUGACCAUCCUCAAGAAAGAUCCUGAUAGACUUAGCAUCCCUCUCUGGAUCACCACUCGCAAAACCUUGAUAUGCCAUGUCAAAGAAGGGAAAAUGUCCUUUGACCUGAAAACAGAUAUAUGGCUCUUUAACAAGAGAAACAUGACGAUAAAAGGACAAGAAAAAAAAUCAUUAGUUACAUAUCAAUGACCUUGAACUGGUAUGAAAUCUCCCUCCAUUGUUCUUCCGAAGGAUCCACUCCGGUAGGAUUAUGAGCACAAGCAUGAAGCAGGAAAAAUGAUCCAUUUGGAGCACUCUGUGCAAGAAAAGAAGAGUAUGACAACAAUACCCGCAUGCUGAGGAUAGGAACAACAUUUUGAUGACAAAGAAUCUAUCCAUAACACAAACUACUCAAAAGAGGCAACCUUUUGCUAAGUACCUUUAUGUCAUCCAUCAUUGAAGCAAAGUCCAAUCCCCUUGACUCUGGAUGAUAAUAGUGGAAAGUUCUUUGAGGGACAUGGGCGUCUCUCCAGAUGUUAUGAUGACUGCCAAAACCUCAGACUAUUAUCUUGAAAAGAACACUAAGAAAAGCAGCAAAAUCCUGAAUAACUACCUAAGUAUUCAAUUGAGUAAUCAUAAAGCACAAAUGAAAUGCCACCAAUCUGUUAAGAGGACAACUACUUCAGCACUUACUUGGCCCAGGUAGGGACCGGAAUGUAAAUUUGUGAAUCUGGACAAAAACGCCUUUGAAACUCUGCAAAAAUUCGGCAUGCACCAGUCCCAGAUAGAGAUUGUAUUGCUGCAAUUCUCUUAUCCUUAAUCAAGUCAGAAUUCUCCCCGUAAGCCAAUCUUAGUGUUUCCUCGACCAUUUUUGCACUUCCUCCCAUUGGAAGAUACUCCCUGAAAAGCUAGAAUAGUCAUUUCCCCUUCAACCAAAUGAGGCUAAAGGAUGAUUGUGCAAGACUAAGAUGAAAUUCAUUGUGUGCCUCAUAGCAUUCUUGACACUUGAAUUGUGAGGACUUUCACAGCACUAAUUACACAAGUGUAUAAAUUAAUAGAGCAGAAUAAGUGGAUAGAUAGAGCAUAGAAAUACUGUUGGAAGUUGGAAAUUCUACUCAUUAGCAGAUUCCCUGUUUAUCUCAUACAGAUAUUAGAGGAUUGCUCAUUUGAAUAAUUCUAGCUUUAAUAUUGUCAAAAAAGGCCCCAAAGAGCUUUUUCGAAGGAAAGCUAUUAACUUGGAAGACCAGGCAACUAAGAAAAAAGAUUGUAAAGCACUAAAUAUAUUGUUCUGUCCGACGUAUUUAUCAAUCAACCAAUGCUUGGUCUAUUGCCCCAAAUAGAGGAUAAAGAACUAUAAGAACAUCAAGGAAAACCUAUCCAGCGAUGCAAAUCAUUUGGAAAAUAUCCUUAAUAAUUCACAUGUAACUGAAAUUGACUGUUAUAGAAGUUUGUUUACCUUUUUUGUUUCCCCUUUGAUGUUUCACCAAAUAAUUAUAUUCUUCCUUCUUUCCAAUUCUCAUUUGCAACUUCACCCAUUCUAUCCAACACAACCAUCAAGAACAAGAUUCUAAACUCACAUCACUGUAAUUGGAUAAAAAAAUCUCCAAGAGGGAGUCUAUUCCAAUUAGGGAAAAGUGGAUAUAUCUUGCUGAAAACGCACUAAAAAAAACCAGGAGAAUCAUAUUGCAAGUGGAUCCAGCAAGGAUAAAAAGAUAAAAAGAUUUAUGGAAUUUGGACCACCAUAAAAUACUGGACCAAUUCAAAGUUGCAACUUUAAAAAUGAAAGAUAGAAAUAAUUUACGACCCUACCAAUGUCAGCAUGCUCGACCACUAGCUACCAAGACAUAGUAACUAUAUAGAACUCAUAAAGUACGAAAGUUAUUCAACAAAAGUUGUUAGCUUUAAAUGACGAUUAAAAAUGAUGUCGAGGCAUGAUAUAUAUAACAUUGUUGUUAUCUACUCAAAUAUUGAUAUUUUUAUUCCAACUUAAUUCAAAGUCAAUUGCUUAAAUUCAUUAUGGGAACCAAGUAUAACCUUGUCACCGGAAAAAAAAAUCAAGUCUUUUAUUUGGAAUACUAAUAGCGAUAUUAUUGUAAGUAACACAAAGAUUGUCACUUGCAGAAAAAAGAAAAAACACUGUUUGAGUUUAGGAAAUUACUAAAUAUUCAGCCGAGAUGAUUUAGCAUUCACAUUAAGCAAAUGAAAACAUAUUUACCAAAACUACAUAUAAAUAGAUUAGAAAUUCUUUUAACUUAAUUAGUGCUCUUUUACCAAAUUUUACUUCAAGCUCCGGAAAUUGUACCAGAUAUAAAUAACACGCACUACUCUUACAAUUUUACAGUACUCACAUGCUGAGAUUACCCGCAAUUCUCCGUUCUGCCUCCCGCACGCACUCCAACACCACCGGCUUUCCAUUAUCGUCGCGAUAAGCUCCCUUCAACAACAAAAAAUUCAAAAUCAAAAUUUCAAUCCAAGAACGAUAAGAAAAAAAAAGUCAAAAUUCAGCUGAAAUUCUCAGAAAACAUCGACAUAAAACAUGCAGCUAAAUACAAGAACUACUAUUCUACAAUAAAUUCAAAAAAUUGAACCAAAAGAAAAAAUUGUUGAAUAACUUAAAAAAUCAUAAAAAGGCCAAAAUUCAGCUGAAAUCCGAGCAACCUCGAACUUGGACCAACUUGAACCAAACGGAGCCAAAUCAUAAAAAAAAAUAAAUAAAUAAAAAAUUUACUGUUCGAUAUCAGACAACAAAAAAAAAGGAAAUUCAUAAAAUUGAAACAAACACAGCAGAAACUGCCGUCACGUUCUUAUCAUUUCUCAGACAAAGGAGAGUUUUUUUCUUCAUUUCCUCCUUUUUCCAGGGAGCAAACUUACAACUCCGACGUUCACUUUAUCCGGACUCGGAUCAGCGAGGAAAGCUUCGGUUACUCCGAGAAUCGGAUCCUUAGCAGCUGGCUGGACAUUUCGCCACCACGACGACAUCGAUCGCUCUCCGACACGACCAACUUGGCCCAAAAUGAUCCUCCGGAACGCCAUAUCGCAGAUUUUGCACAAGAGAAGCAGAAACACGCAGAGAAGGUGAAGAAAUCGAGGAGAAGUGCGUGAGAAUAUUGGUAUAUAUACCUACUCUAGUCUAGGGUGUACUGUGCAGUGGGAGUGAACGACUUGGCUAAGUAAGCUUUUUUUAUGUCAGCAGGUGCCUCGUAAAAAGUGGACGCUGUAAUUAGAUGACGUAACUGGAUUUGUCCCAUGUGGACUUAUCUGAAUUUUUUUUGGGGGUCAAAAGUUGUUUUUGUUUUUUUUUUUUUCUAACCGCAAACUGCUUCGGUUAAUCGGAUAAAUAGAGUCAAUUUCAAAUUAUAUUUAUCCGAUUAAACACAAACAGUCUUCUUAUUACAAAAAAAAGAGUAAAAAUGCAUUUUCUCCGUACAAUUGAAAAAUGUAAUUUUUUUUAAAGAAAAGAAAUUUAGCCUGUUGAGAGUCCAAGAAAGUUGCUGUAUUAGGUUGACUUUCGUUUUAGUUUUUUACAGAUAGUGUGUUUGCAGUAAAUGUUACACAAGAACUCAUUGGCCAAUGAAAACCUUUAACACAUACUUCUGAAAAUGGAUGAUUAGUAACUAGCAAAUAACUUGUACUAAUAAAAUCUAAGGGCAGGCUUAUAGAAUUUCCAGUUAAACCACUCCAAUUUACAAAUGUUUGCUGAUUUUCUUGAUAGUUGUUUCAGGAGAAUGCAAAGACCAGUUGCACUAGUACCAUUAAAAAAAAAGGUAAAAAACAAAAAAGCAUUUGUGGUAAACUUAAUAUGCAGAAAAGUCUCUUGCGAUUUCAAAACGUACAAAACGACACCUCAUAUUUUAAACUAAAUUAUAAAGGCGACGGAAUCCUUUGAAAUCAACAGAAAUGAAUUAUUAGAAUCUAAAAACAAAUUUUUUAUAUAUAAUUUUUAACAAAUAUACAUGUUCUACCCCUUAACCCCCAAUUUUCUUUCUCCAAAGAAUAAAACAAAUGAUUUUGUUGAAAUGCCUUUUGCUUAGUUAUAUCAGGGUUUGUCAUUUCGUCCGCACUUGUUAAUUUUAACGGAUUCCAUCACCUUUACAAUUUCGUUCAAAAUAUGAGGUAUCGUAUUAUAAGUUUUAAAACUAAGAGAAGCUUUCCCGUAUAUUAAAUUUAACACACAUGGCUUUUUUGUUUUUUACCCAAAAUUUUUUACCCAAAAGACCACAUUUUGUGUGUGUAUGUGUUAAUACAAGGCCCAAGUCUCAAGGACAACUUCCCAGGUUUCCUUAACGUGUCGGCACACAAAAACUAGGAUUCCAAGUAAAGCAUAUUGUUUUGUUAUGUUGUGUGAUUAUAGAAAAGAUUAGAUUCUGACUCUUUUCCUAUCCUUCAAAGAUCUUUCUGGUAAGGCUUUCCGUUACCUACGCAACUCAGUUUUAUUUGUUUGAUAAACUAUGUGGCAUUGUAUACACCAAAAUAACAACAAAAAUUUGGAUCACUAAAAUUAAUUUUCAAUGGAGCCACCUGAAUUAGUUGAUCAUGCACAAAGUACACAGAACUGCUUUCCAAAAUCUUCAGUCAACAUUGGAGUCGAAGCAAGCACCGCAGGAGUGGAGCCAAGGGUUGAAGAUGCUAAUGAUGAUUCAAGAAUGCUGAGUACAAAUGAUUCGGGAAGCCCAGAAGGGACAUCAUUGGGGGAAGGACGAGAAGAUAAACGGCCAAAAGAAGAGACUGGUUCUCAUGCGGAUGAUGUGAAGAUUGAUGAAGAGCAUUUGAGAGCAGAACAGAUUUGUAGAAUAUGUCAUUUGGGGAACGAACCAUCAUCAUCAGGGAGCUCAGAACUCAUUCAGCUCGGUUGCCAUUGUAGAGGAGAACUUGGGAUCUCGCAUCGUUCUUGUGCUGAAACAUGGUUUCAGCAGAGAGGAAACAGGUUAGCCUUCGUCCCAGAUCAUUUCCAUGUUGAAGUUCUAUCGUCAUAUUCUUCUGUUUGAAUAAAAGAUUCAUUCUGGUGUUUCACUUGUCCUGCAGAUUGUGUGAAAUUUGUAACAACACAGCAAAGAAUGUUCGAUUAAUUAAGGAUAUCAGUAUAUACAUAAGAGAUUACCAUGAAAUAAGACCGAUGGCAGUCGCUGGAUAUGAUUCCCCAAGAGAGAGUCCAAGGAGAUGUAAACAGUUCUGUAACUUUCUUCUAGCAUGUUUGGUAGUUGGCUUCAUAAUCUCAACGUUCUUGAGAGCCAGAAUGUUCUAAGUAUAGAUAUCUCGUGUUUGAGUCAUUAAUUUCCAGAAAGGAAUUCGUACCCUUUGUCGAAAUCUGUAAAGUUUAAGGGCUCAGCUUAGGCCAAUGCUUGAUCAAAAAUCACCCAACAAAAUGCUGAAUGUUCUCUUGCCACUUGUUUUCUCAAUAACGAGCAACACUGGAUUUCCUUGUUUUGUUUCAUUUAGGAAAUAAUCCCAAUCAAAGGACAAAAAAACCAUCAAUUUCAUGGACAAGUACAGUUUUGCAUUCUGACUUGCGAUUCCCUACCAAAGUUUCUACUGCAAGGCAAAUGUUAUAUGCACAGAUUGUGUAUCAUUACAUGUUGACAUGUGCAUUUUGGAUGCAGAACAUUGACACAUCAGUACUUCCUUGAUGGCUAAAACCAUUCUUCGGAUCCUUUUCCUUGUUUAACCUUCGAUAAUUAUCAAGGCCAUUACUGCAUUGUGCCACUGAGAUCACAUAUGAGAAAUGAACCUAGAACCCGAUUUCAGUGACAAAAAUGGAGAGCCGCGCUAAAACAGUCCGUGUUCAGUUUAGAGCCAGCCCCUUGAGAAUAUGAACCCUAAAAAAAAAGAAUAGAUGAAAUAUGAGACAUGAAAGAACUAAAUUAAAAUGAACUGGUUAUCCAAAGAAAGUUUUGAAGGUGUCAUCUGGUAAUCUAGAGUCUAAUUGAAUAGGAAAGAAUGAAAGCAAGUACAUUAUAAACAAACAUAAGUUGCAGGUCAACAGAAACAGAAAAUGAACUCUCAAUUUUUCGAAACUGAAAAAAAAAUAAGAGUAUCAUUUUCUCUAGUAUGGCGACAGUUACUUGAGAAGAUCAAAAAAUUUCAUCAAUUUCCCAACCCAAUUGUCUCUUCAAGGUUGCGGAACAUCAAUUGCAAACCAAAAUCAGGUAAGAGGAUUGUAUCAUAACAAGAAAUAUCAUAAGUGCCCAAAAACUAAUUCAGCAACAAAGACUAGUAGUAAGCCUUUGCUGCUGUACUAAUCUAUCUAAAAGAACAUUCAGUGUAAAAUAAUCUACAGCAGUAUCUGAAUUUGCAAUGCAACACACUGAAAUAUUCUCAUAUUACAUUCUCUUGAAUCCUCUUAGAUUAGAAGCAGCUAUCUCAAGAAACUUGAGGUAACUACCCUGCGAAGCUACAUGAAACUUACCAUACCAAAAGGAGAACAUAUCUUAAGAGUGCAAUAAGUUUUGAGUGGCACCAGUAUCCAUGACAGAAAAUAUGUGACAACAGUUUUGAGCUGUUACACCCUUUUCAGCAUAUGUGUUAGCCUGAAGGAUAUACAAAAUCCAGUAUUAACAAUGCCAGCUUACUUCAAUUGUUUUCCUACAAUAGGCAGCAUAAACAAUUGGUUAGAAAAAUUAUGUGCAAUUGAUAUUCUAGAAGAAAAUUCCAUCACUUGUACCUACCCACCAGAUAAUACUAACAUUUUGUAAACUUCCAUUAAGCAUAAAGAUGAUCAACUUCCAAUUACACCUAACAUAGCUAAUAGAAUAAUCAAAGUACCAAAAUUAUUCUAUUCAGCACUUGUCUAUGUCAAUGCUGGUCUUAAUUCUCAGCAAGAAGAAAAUUAUAGUUGAGGCUUCUCAUCUGAGUUCUCAGAUGACAACAGAAUAUCAGUCCAUGUUCAAGUAAGGAAAAUUUUUCAAUUUGUAAAAAUGUCCAGUAGGCAUGCUAUAGAAGGAAAUCAUCCAGAAAUUUCACUAGCAUCAGUGUGCUCAAUUGUUGGAAGUUAGGUCAAUACCUUUCUUUAAUUUCCCAGAAAGUGACAGAUCCCAAAAUGCAAUUGUUUUUAUUUCCGAACCAUGAUAUUGUCUUUUGAUGCUAAAUUAGUCAACUUUAAUUGCCUUCAGUUGCUCAACAACAUAGAGCAAGUUGUCCACAAUUUCAGAGAAAAUAGUUGUCCAGCUUCCAACUCUCGUCAGGCCUUUAAGUUUGUUAGCAUGGUGAAGAAAAUUGCUUCUCUCUUUAAGCAAUAAGGAUGGUGAAGGAAAUUGCUUCUCUGUACCAUAAUGUCAAUCUGCUGGUCAUAACUCAUAAGUAGAGUAGUCAUUUCAAAUAAAUUACAAGGUGGACUGUUGGUUCACUUUCAUAAAAAGUAUGAACCCCGAAUUUCCAGCCAGCACAGGAAUAAUCUCUUUUGCAGAUACAAAAUUUUUAUCUCCAUAACACAUCAAUAGUGCAGUAACUUGGCCAAGCGAAUAUUUGACUGGACCUUCUUAGCUUGAGGACCAAAGCCUGUAAAACGAAGACCACGAAUAACAGCCUUUUUAUCAGACCUUAAAAUUCUCACUCCACUUCUAACACAGGAUAGGAGUAGCCUAGCAGCCAAAUGAAAUCUUCCAGCACUGCAAAGUCCUUGCACAAUGGAGGAAUAAGUAAACUCAUCCUUCACUUUCAUGGAUUCGAACACCUGCAUUGCAUACUCAAUCUGACCAAGUUUACACAAUCCAUCAAUAAAACUAUUGAAAGCAACCAAAUUUGUUCUAAAGCCCAUCUUAUUCAAGUACUUUAAAUGUCGCUGGGCACCCUGUAUAUUACCUGCUUUGCACAACCCAUCAAUCAAAAUAGUGUGGGUGUAAAUGUCACAUUCCAAUCCCAUCUUUUCUACCUCAUCCAACAACCCAAAGGCAUCUUCCAACUUACCUUCCUUGCAAUACAAAUUAAUUAGGGUAUUAUAACACACCAUGUCAAGAUCAAUACCACUUCUAAACAUGUUUCCCAUGCAUUGAUUUGCCUCUUCUAUUCUACCAGUUCUAAGUAAAGCACCAGCGACCGUGCAGUAAGCAAAGCCAUCGAAAGUAUAUCCUUUCGCCUUCAUUUCUGAAAAAAUCUCAAGCCCUUCAUUGAACAUUUUAUUUUUGAAGCAACAUUUCAUAACCGUAGUGUAAGUUAUGGCAUUUGGAAUAUGGCCAUAAUCCAAUAUUUCCUUCAGAAGCCCUUUCACCGUCCUCCACUUUCCCGACUUACAUAGCCCAUCAAUAAGAAUGUUAUAAGUUACCAACUCAGGUCUAAAUCCAUUACGCUGCAAAUUCCGAAGUAACAUAAGAGCAUUAUCCGUAUACCAAUUCUUGCAAAGUCCAGUGAACAUGAUAUUAAAUGUGGCUGGAGAAGGAUAAAUAUUCCUCAAAAAUAUAUCUUUAAAAACCCUGUAAGCCUCAUCUGGUUUCCCCACCUUGAAAAAGCAAUGCAUCAAUAUAUUGUAACUCCAAACAUCAGGAAGAAUGCCCACUUGAAGCAUUUCAUCAAAUAUAUCAAGAGAUUGGUACAACAACCUAUAUCUACUUGCACAAGACAACAAAGUGUUGUAUGUAAUGACAUUUGGGUGUAUCCCGGCUUCCCUCAUUCUACCAAGAACUGAAUAACCAGAAUCAAUGCCAAAUAGACGACAGUAUCCAUCAAUCAGUGUAUUGUAUGUAACCACAUCAGGUAGUAUUCCAACUCUAAUACCAUCUAUCAAAACUGCUUCGGCAUUCUUCAAAUUUUUAACUCUACAAAGUGAAGCAAUACAUAUGUUUAAUGACGUGGUUGAUAAUAUCUUGAACAUUCUUUACAACUCAUCCAUCAUAGGAACCCCGAGGCCUGCAAGGAACAAGCUUUAUCACUACUAUAAGCACUCCUGAGCUUAACUUUAUAUUACCACACAGUUUCUCUAAAGCAAAUAGUGGAGCACAUUCUUUUAGGCUAAUCCAGAACUCAGAUGUUAACGGGAAAAAAAUUUGCUUAUUUGAACAAAAUUGGCAAAUUGCAAUCUUUGGGAUUUGAGACACCCUAACCCCUUUUUCUUUACAUCUCAUUUACUAAAUGAUUUGACAGAAUGAAAAACGAACAGUAAAAAUUUUCGGAUAUGCACUGGUUCAAGCAGAUGAAAUGUUCAACACGUCAUUAGGAAAUUCAUCCCAAAAACAUACUGGCACCAAAACCACAAGAGAAACUAAAGCAAAUAGAUCAAUAAAUGAUUAAGAAAGCUGCUUCUACUAACCUAGAAUGAGUUAUCUAAGCUGAAGAUUUCUGCAAGAACACCAGCUUUCACAUGUGCCAAAAAUCUACAAGCAAACAAAUCUCGUGAAUGGGUUUUUAUUGCAGAUUCACAGAGCCCUUUUCGUUCUUCCCUUGUUCCCAUGACUCGGGAACUUCUUGUGUAUAAUCUUUAAGGUCAAGGGUUUAAGGAAAGAUUUAAGGGCUCGCAGGCUGGCAGAAAAACCCGAGCUUUGGUUGAUGGUGAAGCCAUCUAGUACUCGAAGAUACAAAAGUUGUGAUUUUUAGAUUUUGAAAGAAAUGCAGCAAGAAUUGACCACAAAAGCCUGCAGAUUGCUAAUUGGGCUUCUGAUUUGAGGUGGAAAGGCUUUUUCUUGCAUUUCUUCUGUCAUGUAAUGGGCCACAAUUAGAUUAGUAAACUCGGUCACAUUCAAAAGGAAUAAGCCCUCCAAAUUACUCAUUUUAAACUUGGGGAAUGAAGUAAUUUCAAUAGCCAUAUUAACAUUUUCAUUAAAAUGUGCCAAAAACUCAAAGUUGGGACUUGGGCAUAUAUAUUUUAGUGUGAAUUAAGUAAUUUUAUUCUAUUUUAAUCCACCUAAACUCAAACCUCUCCUCGUGAGAUUUAUUUUGAAUUGUUUGCACGCGACCAACUUAUAAGUCUAUUUUUAUGCCCCAAAAAUAAAAGUCAAUCGAACAUGAUAUAAGGCCUAGUAGAAGGGAAAGGGAUCAAUAAUAAAUGAAUCUAAUUGUUUACCAUAAAAUUUUUUUUGAAUACAAUGUUGUUACAAUUGGUCCAAUAUUAGGGGAAAAGGAAUUGUUACGAUUGAUCCUAUACUAGGGGAAGUAGAAAAGAAGAAGCGAAUGAACCUAUCUAAUUUAUUGAGCAGUUCGAAAGGAAUUAAAUAACCUUUGACCGUGCCUCAAAAAGUUUUGGGGAGGAAAUGCAGUAAGAGGGAUUGAUCCCCUAACCUAUGCCCAGGAAGAAACUAAGUGGACAACGGAGGGUUGGUUAUUGUUUACCAUAAUUGAUUUACAAUUAUUUGCCAUUAACUUUUGUUUCAUACACUAUCAACAUUAUUAAAUUGUGUUACAAAUAAACACACUGCAAAAUUCAAAUUAUUUUAAUAUUUUAAUCAUUAGUUUUGCAUGAAAAUAGAAAAAAGAUUUGUAUAUAGCCUAAGACGUUUUGUGAGACCAUCCUUUAUUAAAAAAUAAUUAAAUGGAUUGAUGUUUCCUAUGGGUGUGAAAAUUUGUCACAACUUUUGAAAUGCAAUUAUGCACAAAGAACACUCAAAUAUUAGAGCUGAAAUAUAAACCACUGAGACAGUACCCUUGCUUCAAGGAUAAGUAUGUCAAUUUACACUGAAGGAGGGUAAGAUGGGGAAAAGGCAGAUAGAUGCCCUCACGACCAUCUUACUUAGGGCUGUCAAUUAGGUUAUUGUUUAACAAACUCAGUUCAACUCAACCAUCUUACUUAGGAAUGGGAAAGCACAAGUACGUGUCAGGCAAGCACUCCUGAGCUAGAUCGAUCGGUAACAGAUUGGAAGAAAAGAAUUAGGGAAGGAGGGAAAUCGAGAGAAAAGAGAGAAGGCAAGAGAGAGUAACAGAGAAGAAAGAGAAAGUAAUUCUUGUAUUAUGAAUCUGGUAAUCAAAUACAGCAAUUGAAAGGGACCUUUAUACAAUUUCUGUUAUCUGUUGCAACUAACUCCAACUAACUGACUUAGUCUAACUACGUCGUUUAAGACUGCUACCCUUCAAACCUUCAAACGCAGAGCACUCCACAUCAAACGACAACACUUAGAAACUGGGGCCUGACAUUCCCUCCCUGAUAAGAAAUGAGCUUGUCCUCAAGCUGAAAAAUCAGUAAACUGCUUGUCAAUGAACGUCUUGUCCUCCCACGAUGCCUCAGUUUCGGGCAAGUGAUUCCAUUUGACCAAAUACUGAAUGACGGGUUGGGAAUUGCGUAGAACAACCCUCCUCUUGACUAUCCUUUCCGGCUGCAAAAUACACUGGUCAGAGGCAUCAAACUCAGGCAGGGUAGGUUCAGUGCCCAAGCCUACCCCAACCUUCUUCUUCAACAGAGAAAUGUGGAACACUGGAUGUAUUCUGGCCUUCUCCGGCAGUUGCAGCUUGUAAGCUGCUGCUCCAAUCUUCUCGAUAACCUGGAAGGGCCCAUAGUACUUAGGAGACAGCUUUAAACUCUUCCUGAUAGCCACUGUCUGUUGUCUAUAAGGCUGCAGUUUCAGGAAGACCCACUCCCCCACCUGAAAGGACCUCUCUGUCCUGUUUUGAUCAGCAAAGUGCUUCAUUCUAUUCUGGGCUUUGGCCAGAUUAUGUUUGAUGUUGGCUAAAACCUGUAGUCUCUCCUGCACCAUACCAACAGCUGCGGGGACAACACUAUCAUGGAAGGGUCCUAAAGGCAGGUGCAACGGCUUGUAUCCGUAUAGAGCUUCAAAAGGGGUCAGUUGCAGACUGGUGUGGAAAUUAGUAUUAUACCACAGCUCGGCUGCAGACAACCAAGUACUCCAGUGGGAUGGAUGUUCACUACACAUACACCUCAAGUAGCUUUCGAGACACUGAUUGACCCUUUCACUCUGACCAUCAGUUUGAGGAUGAUAAGAGGAACUAUACUGCAACCCAACCCCCAUGGCACGAAACAGCUCUUGCCAGAACCUGCUAAUGAAGACCUUGUCCCUGUCAGAGGUGAGGGACUCAGGUAGACCAUGCAGCUUGUACACCUGGUCCAGGAACAACUCAGCUACCUGAUGAGCUGAAUAUGGAUGGGACAACUUCAUGAAGUGACUAUACUUAGUGAAACGAUCCACCACUACCAGAAUGGUAUCAUACCCCUGAGAUAAAGGCAACUGUUCAAUAAAAUCCAUAGUCAAGUGUGUCCAUGCCUGUUGAGGAACUGGAAGAGGUUGCAGAAGGCCUGGAUAAGGGACAUUUUCAUGCUUAUUCCUUUGACAAGUAUCACAAGCCUGAAUAAACUGUACAACAUCCCUUUUUAUGCCUGGCCAGUGGAAUAUAGAUUGUAUCCUUUGCAGACAAGCUCUUUGACCAGAGUGACCCCCAACUGCUGAGUCGUGUAAAGCCUUGAUCAGAUUGUGCCUGAUUCCAUUUGCUGCCCCUACAUACAGCUUCCCCUUGAAUUUGAGCAAUCCUUUAUCCAGUUGAUACUCUGGAUACGCAUGAGGAUCUAACAACAAUUGAGACAUGACAUCCAAAGCUACCACAUCACCAUCAUAACUCCCAACUAGCUCCUUUACCCACAUUGGUUGCACAGCUGAUAGGACACAUAGUAGCUUACCAUUGUCUGACUCACUGUUUCCUCCCUCCAGCUUUCUUCUAGAGAGGGCAUCAGCCACCCCAUUUUCAGUCCCCUUUUUGUACUGAAUCUCGUAGUCCAGACCAAGUAACUUGGUGAGCCACUUAUGCUGUAAGGGAUGGGUAAGUCUCUGCUCCAACAGAUACUUAAGAGCCUGAUGAUCAGUCUUUAUAAUAAAGUGGUGCCCCACAAGGUAAUGCUUCCAUUUAGUCACCGCUAACACUAAAGCCAGCAACUCCUUUUCAUACACAGACAUCCCUAAAUUCUGAGGAGAAAGGGCUUUACUAAUGAAAGCUAUGGGGUGCCCCUGCUGCAUCAACACGGCCCCAAUACCCACACCACAAGCAUCCGUUUCUAUUACAAAAGGAAGCUCAAAAUUGGGCAUUUUGAGAACUGGUGCAGUAGUCAUGGCCCUUUUGAGAUCCUCAAAUGCUAGCUGAGCAUGGUGACUCCAUAAGAAGCCUUCCUUCUUCAGCAACUGAGUCAACGGUUUGCAGAUGAUCCCAUACCCCUUAAUGAACCUUCUAUAAUAUCCAGUUAACCCCAAGAAUCCACGCAAGUCCUUGACUGUGCCAGGAGUAGGCCAAGACUGAAUACAAUCCACCUUGCUCGUGUCCAUACUCACUCCUUCCUCAGAAAUAAUGUGUCCCAGGUACUCCACUGAAGUCUGAGCGAAAGAGCAUUUAGACUUUUUGCAAUACAAUUGGUUGUCAGCUAGGAUACUCAACACAAUCUUUAAAUGCUGAGCAUGUGCCUCCAGUGUAGGACUAUAAACCAGAAUGUCAUCGAAGAAAACCAAUACGAACUUCCUCAUGUAAGGUUGAAAUAUCCUGUUCAUCAAAGAUUGGAAGGUAGCUGGAGCAUUAGUGAGGCCAAAUGGCAUUACCAAAAAUUCAAAAUGGCCAUGAUGUGUCUGGAAAGCAGUCUUAUGUACGUCCGCAGUCUUGACUCGGAGUUGAUGAUAUCCAGCUCUGAGGUCCAGUUUAGACAUGUACUUAAUCCCAUGUAGUUCAUUCAAUAGCUCAUCAAUGUUUGGGAUAGGGAACCUGUCCUUGACAGUGAGCUCAUUUAGCUUCCUAUAGUCCACACAUAGCCUCCAGGUAUUGUCUUUUUUCUUAACCAACAGCACAGGAGAAGCAAAUGGACUACAACUGUGCUUAACAAUUCCAUUUGUAAGCAUUUCAGCAACCUGUUUCUCAAUCUCAGAUUUAUGUGCAUGGGGGUACCUGUAAGGCUUAAGUUUGAAUGGCUCUGCUCCAGGUUUCAGGGGAAUCUGAUGGUCCAGUUCUCUCUCAGGGGGUAGUCCUUGAGGAGUAUCAAACACCUGAGAGUACUGUUGCAGAACUGAAGCCACUUGCUCAGGCAUAUCCCUCUCUUGAUUUCCCUGGGAAUUCCUCUGCAGGAAGGCACAACUCCUUUGCUUUUCUUGUAUAAAAGCCCUGAGAUCUUUACCCCUUACUAGUUCCAUCACAGGUUGAUUAAUGUGGCCUUGGAGAUGUAAUAAGUCACCCCUGCUGCUAAGAGCAAUACUGAGUGCGUGAAAAUCAAAGGUAAUGGGGCUGAAUUGACACAUCCAGUCAACUCCCAAAAUGAUAUCCCAGUUCCCCAACUCCAUUAUCUUCAGGUCGAAUUGAAACUGGUAAUCCUGUAUUAACCACCUAACAUCCGGACAAAUUGUGCCACUAGUAAUGUCUGUGCCAUCUGCCAAGGUUACAGUAAAAGGCCUGACUGUCUGGUAAGGAAGCUGAAGAGAUCUCGCCAACUGAUAGUGUAUGAAGCUGUCAGAGCUACCAGUGUCUACUAGGAUCUUGACAGGUAUUCCCCCUAAAUUGCCCAGUAGUAAAAUAGAUUUCCUCUGUAUUGCUGCUGCUAGAGCGUUCAGUGACACCUCAGCCAUUUCUCCCACCCUACCAGUGAGCUCAUCCUGCUCUCCUUCUGCAUCUUCGAAUUCAGCUUCCUCCUCUUCCUCUAUACCCACACAGUUUAACCCCCCAGCCUUACACUGAUGCCCAAUUCCAAAUUUAUCACCACAUCUAUAACAAAGGCCAUGCUUACGCCUAUACUGCAUUUCCUCAGCUGAAAUCCUGCUCACUUCCCUGGAUCUAUAGUCACCCUUCCUGUUAGUAGGAUCAAUAGCAGGAAGUUUAUAGGAGCUGGAAUUGUUCUGACCAGUGCUGUGGUUUCUAAACAUCCCAUACUUCGGUUCAACCACAUUCCUGCCUGAGGUCUUAGAUUGCUUGGACAUGGUCUCCAGUGAACAUUCCUGCAAUUCAGCAACCUCAAAUGCUUUGGACAGAGUUUGUGGUUUGAACAUUUUGACCAUUGGUUUGAUCUCAUCCUUUAAUCCACUAAUGAAACUGGAUAUAAAAUAACCUUCGUCCAGCCUAGGAUUCCUGAUCAACAUUAGUGUUUUCAAUUCCUCAAACUUCUCCUCAUACUCUUCUACUGUCCCCUUUUGUUGUAAUUUGUUGAAUUCCUCAACCACAUCGCGUGACCACUUCCCUGCAAACCUCUCACACAACAGCUCGCAAAAUUCAGCCCAAGUCAACCUAGGUUUUUCUAGUCUAACUCCUUGGAACCAAUUGUCAGCCCUCCCCUCUAAGAACAUUUCCACCAUAUCUACCUUUUGAUUUUCAGGUAUCUGAUAAUUCAGAAAAUAUUUUUGACAUUUCCUCAACCAUUCUCUAGGAUUACCAGAUGCGAACAUAGGUAUUUCAAGUCUUGGCAAGUUAGGAGUGAAAUUCUUAGUUCUCACCUCCUGCUGAGCUCCAGGCACCUCUGUGGACGUCAUGAGCUUACAAUGCGGCGGAGGAGUCGGUAGAAGUGGUUCUGACGAGCUUGCCUCUGUCUCCUGCAUACCUUUUUCUUUCAUCAUCACCUUAAACAAUGCAUUGAGUUUCAUCUCCAUCUUACUGAACCUCUGAUCCAAAUUACCGACCAUCGCCUCUACCUUCGCGUUGUUCUGUCCGAGCUCCUCCUGGAGUUUCUGCUGCAAGCUAUUCUGACAGGAAGCCUGAGCUGCCGCCAUGGUCUCCAUUACUUCUUGGAGUCGAGUUUCCUGCUUCUUGAGCUGUUCUUCCAGAGAACGAUACCUGGUGUUUUCAGCCAUGAGUGGUGCCCAAAGCAGCCAAGGAUCGGCUGCUCUGAUACCAAUUGUCAGGCAAGCACUCCUGAGCUAGAUCGAUCGGUAACAGAUUGGAAGAAAAGAAUUAGGGAAGGAGGGAAAUCGAGAGAAAAGAGAGAAGGCAAGAGAGAGUAACAGAGAAGAAAGAGAAAGUAAUUCUUGUAUUAUGAAUCUGGUAAUCAAAUACAGCAAUUGAAAGGGACCUUUAUACAAUUUCUGUUAUCUGUUGCAACUAACUCCAACUAACUGACUUAGUCUAACUACGUCGUUUAAGACUGCUACCCUUCAAACCUUCAAACGCAGAGCACUCCACAUCAAACGACAACACUUAGAAACUGGGGCCUGACAGUACGUGCCAUUACAAUCGUCUUACUCAGGGCUAUCAAUCGAAUCGGGUCAAUUUUUAACAAAUUUAGGUUCAACUCAUCUAGUUAGUUUUGGAUUAUGAAUUUUGAACUAAUAUAUGUCAGGAUUAUACUCGACUCACAAUAUAUUCCAACUUUGAGUCUAAUUUGAAAUUAGCUUAAACUCAUUUAUUACCCAUUAAUUUUCUUAAUAUAAUUAUUAUAACUAUUAAGUAGUAAAGUUAAUUUGCAAUCUACAAUAUUAAAACUACACAUAAAUUAGUAAAAAGUUCAUUAAAAGUACAUAAACCAAAAGUUUUCCAACAACAAGUCUGUCUAAUUUUUUUAAAAUACAUGGAAAAACCUAUAAAUAGUAAUAGUCAUUAGUCAAUAGACUACUAAUAGAUUUUUCUCUUUAAAUAUAUUUAUUUAAUAAAUCAAUGUCUCUUCAAAACCAAGACUAAUUACUAAUAGUUCAAUUACACAUUGCAUGUUUAAAAAUAAUACAUUUAUAGUUAUAUAUGCGUACACACAUUUUUUUUUUUUUCGAAACGGAAUAAACUCACACAGACACACAAUUAGAUUAGAAACGCUCGAAAGUUACGCCCGUCAAAUCUAAGUGAACCCCACAGAAAAAUCACGUCCAACCAAUUGGUAUAUAUGCCUACACACACAUAUAUAAAAUAAUUGGCCGGGCUUCAAUAUGACCGAGCUUAUUUAAUCCAAACUCUGCCUAGCUCAGAAAUAUGUGAUAAGCUCGACCCCUUUUUGGUUUUAAAGGGUCGAGGUCGGAUUAGCCCGACCCUAUUAACAGCCUCAGUCUUGCGUUAUAUAGUGGUGAGAUAAACUAGGGUUUCUUUCAUUCUCUUAGCGCUUUACCCAUUUUUUUCUAAACCCUACACGCCUCAGCUGCCUCCCUCGCCGCACCACCAUGGUCUGUCUCUCUCUGACUCCAUCUCUUCGUCUUGUGUGUGAUUUUGUGUUUGUAUGUGUGAUUAAUGUGUGUUUUUUGUUUGUAUCGUUAGGCGUCAGAGAAGAAAUUGAACAACCCCAUGAGGGAGAUCAAGGUUCAGAAGCUGGUUCUCAACAUCUCCGUCGGCGAGAGUGGAGAUCGUCUCACCAGAGCUGCUAAGGUACCGUGUCGCAACUCUCAUCUCUCUGUACCUCGCUUGUCACCUGCUUAAUGUGAUUUUGUUCACUUUUUUUUUGGGUGCGAAUUUCUUGUUAUGUACUGAAAUGGAGUAGAAAGUUUAAGCCUUUUCUUUUUCCAAUCAAUAUAGGUGUUGGAGCAACUCAGUGGCCAAUCCCCUGUUUUCUCCAAGGGUGAGUUGCCUGCUCAACUCGUAUUAUCUUUUCUUUUCUUUUUUGUACAUUUUUCUCAACUCUAAUUCUCGUUCUUUGAAAUGUGAUAAUGAAACAGUAAAAAGGGGAAAAAUGCUGUUGGGAAUAUUUGUAUUCAUUAGUAUUGAAAUGGAUUUUGUAGAUAAAUAUGAUUUGAGUGAUGGUCAAGUGGCUCAUCUUUUAGCCUACGGUUUUCAUGUCAAGGGCUUUGCUGGAGGAGUUUAGCCUCAUUUGAUUGUUAAAAGUUUGGAGGUCGUACAUGCCUAAACAUACAAGUCUUGCUGGAUCUUCUGAAUAUUGAGUUAUUUUGACAUAUGUAGCAGGGUUAUCCUAGGUUUCACUUUUCCCAAUAAAUUCAAUUCUGAAUAGGUUAUGUGGAUAAUAAAUAUAUUUGGAGCUUAUCAUACCUUGAGUGAAGAAGUGUAUGUUUUGUUUUCCUAACAUGGUUGUUCGCUUUGGUUGGCAGCUAGAUACACUGUGAGGUCCUUUGGCAUCAGGCGUAAUGAGAAGAUUGCAUGCUAUGUUACUGUUAGAGGUGACAAGGCAAUGCAACUCCUUGAGAGUGGGUUGAAGGUCAAGGAAUAUGAGCUUCUCAAGAGAAACUUUAGUGAGACUGGCUGCUUUGGCUUCGGUAUUCAAGAGCACAUUGAUCUUGGAAUUAAGUAAGCUGAUCUGUUCUGACCAUUUCAUUUAUUCCUAUGAGUUCCUGGUGUUCUAAGUUUUGCUGAAAUUAUGCUAUGGUCCUCAUUUAGUGAGUUUGCUGCAGGAUAUCUUCUUAGGCUAAGUAUGUCAAUUUUAAUUCAUUAUGGACCUGCGAAUUGUAUUAGCCAAUCUUUUAUGGCUGUCGAAUGAAUUAUAGAUCUGCAGCUAAUAAAUUUUGAAUGUGUUAAACAGCUCAUUUGUUCCAAUAGCAAUGUGUUCUGCUGAAGUGUAGCUUUUCCCUAUCAGCUUUCAUUCUCUUUUCAACUGCAAUAUAGGCUUUAUAGCAAGUAUGGAGCAAACUAAUUGCCAAUGUUGUGAUUAGGACCUUGCCUAUUCAGUUUUGUAUGUCUGAGUUGAUUAGCAUGCAUCCUUGUGAUGCAGUUUUUUUUGCCAAUGUUGUGAUCUGGCCUAUAUUGAUAAGUGCAAACUAAUUGCUACUGCUUUUUACUUGCUGUGCUAGUUCAUCUGAUGAUGUAUUUUUUGAGUUCCACAGGUAUGACCCUUCAACUGGUAUUUAUGGUAUGGACUUCUAUGUUGUUUUGGAACGUCCUGGCUACCGGGUGGCACGUCGCCGUAGGUGCAAGUCACGUGUUGGAAUCCAUCAAAGAGUUACCAGGGAGGAUGCAAUGAAGUGGUUCCAGGUCAAAUAUGAAGGUGUCAUCCUGAACAAGGCCCAGAAUAUUCAAACUGCUUAGACAGGGUGUUGUUACCAGUUUUACUCUUAGGAGAUUAUGUUUAUGCUUUUUGUAGACCAUAUCUGUUUACUAUUGAGUUUGGAAAUUUUGAAGAGGUGUUCGCUAUGUUUUAAGACUAAGACAUGUUGCUUCUGUUUAUUUCUGGCAAAACGAAUUCCAACUUUACCAUUUCAUCAAGUUAGUCAAUUCUCGUUGUUCUUGCCAAAGUGUUAGCUUAUAUGGGAUGAUAUUGGGAUCUACGGUAUCUGCAUGAUUUGGGAAAAAAAAUGCUCGUUCAAAGUGGCCUUGCAGCAUCUUUCUUGUGUGGUCUGAAAUUUGUUAUUAGCCGUUGUGUAUGCUUCUGCUUAAGUAGCAUUUUGCUGGUGGAAUGUAGCAGGGGCCAAAGGGUUUGGCCAUUUAGUGCUGGUUCUGGGUUUUCUUGUGAUGCCUGCUUCUUGCGUCCUUGCAAUUGGAUUAUAGUAUUGUAUCAGAUGGGUUGUAGCUCUCAUGGUAAAUGUUUGCCUGGCUUAUCGUGAUAAAUGGGUUGACGCCUGCUACUUGAAUCCUCAAAGUUUGUAGGAUGCGUAUUAGUUAUUACCAAGUGGGCCCAAAGUUGAGAUUGUAGUUACAAUAAAACACUUAAUCCCCAAGGAAGCUUUGGGGAUGUCUCAGCUUUACGUCCACCCGGAUGGUCAUGCUAGAAGAUAGAAUAAUGCUUGAAAUGUAUGUAGUCCAGUUCAUUUAGCUGUGAAGAUCUAGUCGGUCAUUCCAUUACUAUAAAUCCUUUCGUAGUUUAGUCACAAGCGCUGGAUGGUUUCACCGGCACUUUUUUAUCUCAUGAAUGGCCAAGACGACAAGAAGAAAGAAAUUGGAGGUAAAGCACAGAGAGAGGAAGGCAUUCCUACGGCACUUGCAUUCCAGGAAGUUCCAGGUGCUUCCCAAUCGGCCAAAGUCGUCAUGGAUGAGAGCUAGAGGUGGGGUUAAGAAGCGAAUGCUUUCGGAUUUGUACCCAAUCUCAUGUCACAAUAAUUUUCUUGUGUUCGUGGUUUACAGGAAAAAUCACGACAAGCUGAGGAACCAGGUUUACACGACAUGCGCAACAUAACGUAGAGAAUGCCUCAAAGCUUAAUGACAACAGACCCGAACGAGAUGUCUCAACUUUCAGCAUCAGUUGGUGGCGGACGACCAAUAUGAAAGACGGGAACUUGAUGUAAAAGAACAUCAAGUUAUGUCCAACUCACAAAGACAUGGAAAUGACCUAUCAAAAAGGGGAAGAUGUAGAAGAAGUUGCUCUUUCUAAGAGGCAUUACUUGUCUUUAGCUACACACAAGACAUCUCUGGAAUGAUUCUUUAAGAUUUUUCUGGCAUGUCCAUACUUGCUCCCCUCCCCUCUUCCCUUCAUUCAAUAAACUAUAUCUCUCACAUCUAUAUUGCAAUGAAUAUAUAUGUACAGGGUUCGUCAAAGAUCCAUUCCAACGUUAGCAAGCUGUAAUAUAACAGCAUAAACUGAAAUUGAACAGGAGAAUCAGUACUUCAAGACAGAUUGGAGAAACUGAGAAAACUCAAGCUGCUCAAAUUAACUUCCAUUUUCGGAUGUAGACCAACAAUCAGCAUUUUCCCAAACUCAAGCGAUUCCCCAAAUUCCCAAUACAAGGGCAGUAGCCCUUCCCGGUACACUACAAAACAAAGAUUUUGGCCUACUUUAACUAUCAAUUUCUCAGCAGAGAAAAUACGACAUUCUGAACAAGAUUCAACACUACAACAACCAAGAAACAACAACUCGUAAGACAUGGAUAUUAGGGAAUGGUAAGCUUCUUGCCAGCAUAUGUUGUGUCCCCUGUUGGCCCAUUUGCCUUCUUAAUUGCCUCAAUUGACACCUUCAUCCAAUCCCAAAAUUCAAUCAACAAAAUGAAAUAUAUAUAUAUAUAUAUAUAUAUAUGUAAAUGCUAAUGUAUGUAGCUUUAAAAGGAAAAAAAAAAUUGCUACAUUACCCCAUGUUUCCUAGAUGGACCCGACAGGGUAUCUAUCUAGGAAAUUGGGCUCUGGGCCCAUUAGAGUUGGGCUCAGUUGACGAUCGGCUGAUUUUUUGAUGCCCGCCCCGUGUGUCCUACUAAUGAAAAGUAAAACUCAAUUAGGGGUCAUCAAAUCAAAAGGGUAAAAGUAAAGAAAGAAAAUGACAAGACAAGGGGCUAAUUAAAAGUGAUUUUUCAAUCGUAAUCUCUAAAAUGUCCCAAUUAGAUGAACUCAAUACGCGACUUGAGGGAAGAGUGUAACUAUGUAAGAGUGGAAGGACAUUUUUUCCACUACAAUGUUGCAUCCAACAAUAUAGGAAUGAAAGAACACCAUUCAAGAAAUGUGUUAUGUGUGCAUAAAUGUGCUUGGUAAAUCAUCUCUUGAGUUAGUCUUACUAUGAUAUAUGACAAAAGUUACUUAGUGUCAAGAUAUCUUGUACCGUCAAACGUGAAAUAAAUUGUGACAAUGUCUUAAAUUCUGUUUGAUAAACCAAUUCAUCACUUAAAUUUAAAUGAAUUUGAAUCUUAACAUGUUCAGACGCGUUUGAUAAAAAAAAAUAGAACAUCUGAAUUAAUAAAAUCGUACUGAAUUUCUUAAACAAAACUUGCUCCAAAAAAAAUAACUUAUUAUUUAAUGUGGUAUAUACUCAAAAGUAUCAUAUUUAAUACUUAAUAAUUCAAUCAUUUAACGAAUUUAGAUUUCAAAUUUUAGUUUUUGAGUUUUUUAGAUUUCAAUUUUAUCAAAUGCACAGGUCUAUAAUUGUUAGAAACUAACGUAUGCCCAACCAGGAUAUUAGUUAUGAAUUUCUAGUUUGACUUUCAAACCUUUCUAUUUUUCCUUCUCUUUGAAUGUAUUAGUUCUCCUUGAAAUUUUUUUAAAAAAAUAGCAUAUGUCGAAAUACAAGAACCAUAGUAAAAGCACAUAUAUUGGCAUCCUUUUCUCUAUUCUAUAUCCUAAAAAGGCAAAAGAUCACCCCAAAAAAAAAAAAGAAACAUAGAAAAAGCACAUAUAUUGGCAUCGUUUUUUCUAUUCUAUAUCCUCAAAAUGCAAAAGAUCAACACAAAAAAGGCGGCUCACUAUAAAAUUUUAACAUUAUUCUCAUCCCUUUAAUUUUUCUUCUCAUCCCUUAAUUUCCGUACACUUUUACCUACAAAAAAAAACAUAAAUAACUUCAACUAUUAGUAUAAAAUUAUGAAUAGAGUGAUCCUAUUAAAUUUGAUCACGAAGUCCCUUACUUUUCAAGUUUCAAAUUUACAGGCAAAGUCUAAUUGGGUCGUUUGUCAACCGGAAUUUUCCAAAAUAUUGUGUGGCCCAUAGAGUCCACAGAAGAAAAAUGCGAAAGAGUUAAAAAGACGGCUCCAAGAAGCGUGCAAGCAAACUUAAACGCGUGCCGUUGGCACCCAGUCCAUGCACAGUCGCGAGCGUAGCUAGAUUCAUUCUGGUUGCAGUCCAGGUUCCUCUAGAUUCUUGCAAAACAAAUGGUUCUCAGCUUGCCAAGUCAGCAGCCUCCAUUUCCAUUCCAAUUUCUUCCCUCCUCAUAAAUUUCGAAAAUUCCAAAUUAUCCCACCAUAAUUAUCUAUGAUCAUUUCUUGUUUGGUAUGAAAAAAAAUUAUCUAUGAUCUUUCUGUUUUCCCUAUAAAUUUCUGUCGGCAAAAGCGCAAAGUUUUCGAGUCAAUUUUAUUUGUACAAAAUUCUUUGCAUGGCUCAGCUACUGUCUCCAGUGUGCACUGAUGCGUUGAAAUUCCAGAACCCAUCACCAAGUUUUAGUUCAAGAAAACAAUGGUCCAUUUUGGGGAAGAAAUAUAUGAGUAACCUACCCAAAAUGAAAUACUAUAUGAGUUGGAGUCCAAUUGCUAGAAGAAGACAAGGUGUUGGAAGGCUCAGGGUUGCCACAGCAGACCCUUCAUUGUCUGAAGAUUUUGCUGAUGAUUACUAUGCUGUUCUUGGAUUGGUAAUUUAUAUUCACAUCAGUUUUUCCCCUUUUUGUUGGGGUUCUUUAGUCUUGAAAAUUAUAACAUGUGAAACAUUUUGUUAUGGUUAUGUUUGCGACUGCUAGUAGGGAACAGAGUGAAGGACGGAUCCUAUAGAAAAUAGAGAAGUCAAGAACAUUUUGGUUACUAGGUGUAAGAAGAAUUUUAGCAUCAUGAAGAAGUAGACCCAUAUGCAACAUGUAAGAUUACUUAAAACUUGGCAAAACCAGACUCUUCUGGACACAGAUGGCUGAAACUCUUCGUACAGUAAACUAGUGGUUUAAUGCUUCAUGUAAGUGUAAAGAGUGUAAUAUUUUGAUGAACUCUUAUGAAGUCUUGAUAUCUGCUAUUCAGUCGUUCAAAACUGUAAGGACUAAGGAUCGCAAUUGAUAAUGUUUCAUAAUGAAUUGAUAGUACUGAUAAAUUCUUUUCAACUUCGGUUUGGAGGUAAACAAUUGAACUUGUAACUUCUUAAAGCAUGAAAAGACCAAAAAUUAGUUUCCAUGGGAAUGGGGGAGUCGUACGAGUGACAAGUUAAAUUCUGUAGAUGUAAGACGGACAAGUAAACGAUAUGUUCUCCUUAAAUAAAAAUUCUCAAUUUGCCUCUAUUAAUUAUAUAAGCCUCGUAUAAAUAAGGUCUUAUACUUUUAUAGCUGGACGACUGAUUUCUUAUAUAGCAACUGCUCCCACUGAUAAAGUUCAUUCCUGAGCUAGUAGGUUCUUGCUGAAUACACGAUUUUGUUAAGGAACUGGAAACCAUAAUGAUGCAUCAGCAGAUGAUUUUUUAUAUAAUAUCCUUAUGAUUUAGUUCCUUUUUUUUAUACAGCUUGUAAGUACAAUGUCAGCACUUCUACAAUGUUGAGCUCUUCAAUUUCUUAAGUAGACAAACAACCAUUGCUCAAGCUCCAGGAAAUUGAUUUGUCGAGAGCAUAAAUAAUUGUGAAAUUUAUAACGUGAUACCUCAUUAAAAUGCAGGAUAGAUUUGACUGUUACUUAUGGUUUCAAUUCUGUCAUUGAUAUUUUUGAUGUCAUGCAAUAAUCUCGCUUUGAGAUCACUGUACCUUACUUUGCUAUGGAUCGUAUAGUACUUCAUUUACUGAUUGGUCCAUGUCAUUAGCUUCCAGACGCCACACCAGAUCAAAUCAAGAAAGCUUAUUAUAAUUGCAUGAAGGAGUGCCAUCCAGACUUGAGUGGUGAUGCUCCAGAAACAACUAACUUUUGCAUGUUCAUCAAUGAGGUUUAUUCGGUAGGUUCCAAUUAUAGAAUGCUGAAGUAUUGAGUCAGCUUUUGAUUUAUGUUUGUAGUGUCUGAUGAAAAUAUUCUUGGAGUCUAGGUUCUUAGUGACCCGCUGCAGCGAAUGAUUUAUGAUGAAAUUCAUGGAUAUGCUAUGACUGCAAUAAAUCCUUUCUUGGAUGAUUCGGCUCCAAAGGAUCAUGUAUUUGUCGACGAGUUCAGUUGCAUAGGUGCAUUGUUUUCACUCUCUUUUUACCAUUUUAACUGUGAAGUGCCAUUUUAACUUCAGCCCAGGAGUAGUUCAACAGUCAAGCAUCCAGUUACAUUUCUGCAGUCAUGAGAUCAUCCCCCUUCAAAUUUUUGCCCUCCCCUGAGAUUAUCCCCCUCCAAAUUUUUGCCCUCCCCUUGCUACACCAUGCAAAAAUGAAAUUCCUCUUAAUUUAGGAUUGGCAUUCAGAAUAUUCAUCGUUGAAGCUUCUGAGAAAGUAUCUUCAGAAAUUGAGUUGACCUUGUUGAUUAAUCUUGUGCUAUUAUGAGAAGUUUUACAACACUGUCAUCCCAUUGACAAGAAUUUGGCUUUAAAUCAAAUUUUCACUAGUGCAGAUAGUUGCAUACCCAUAUCCAGCGAUAAUAGAUGUAAACAUAAAAAUUUGAGACUAGUUUCUGACCUCUCUGAAGUCAGGGAACUAUUUGAUACUGCUUUCAUGUUGUAAUAGGAACAUUUUCUGGCAAUUCAAUCAGAGAAACUCCUUUCGGUGUAAUUGAAGGGUUAAUGUCAUAUUGGAUCUUGUGCUAGUCCCUAACAUAUAGGAAAGGUUAUGGGUUGUUAGUUGUUACUUCUACAUUCUGUGAUUUGCCACUAACAACAUCUUCUCUUCCUCUCCCUUAACAGGCUGUAAAAAUUGUACAAAUGUUUGCAAAGCUGUAUUCACCAUUGAGGAAGACUUUGGUAGAGCCAGAGCGUAUAGUCAGUCUGGAAACCCUGAUUUAAUUCAGCAAGCUAUUGAUAGUUGGUAUGAUUUUGCCAUAAUGAUUUUGCUGUGCUAUAAAUACCACUGGAACAUAGGAACCUGAGCAUAUGUAAAGAAAUAGAAUUAAACAUGGUAAUUUAUAUUGGUUGGGUUCCCGGAGGCUUGUGAUUUUCCUUUUCUUGGGAUUUUAAAAAUCCUUUAUACCUUGAAACUAGCCUUCUUCAAGUAUUUCCUAUGAAUAACCUGCCUUAAACUAGUUUUACAGUAAAAGCACAGGAUCAGAAGACUUCCAAGUCACUUAUUUAUCCUAAUAAGAAUGCAAUUUUACUUUUUGAGUAAAAUGCAACUGCAAAUACUUGAGAAAGUUAAGUUUGACCUAACAAUCUUGCAUAAUGAAUAAUAAAACUCAACAAUCACAAGAACCUGAAACAACUAAGAGUUAAAAGAUGGAUUAAUGGAACUUUGAUAAUUGGAAUCAAGAGCAAAGUAUGCGAUAAGUGUGUUGUGCAGCCAUGACAAUGGUAAGUUGACUCAGUAAUUCCGAAAAGUUGAAGGUAUUAAACUUGAGAUAUCUACUUAUGGAUAACACAAUAACCUCAACUCGAUUUAUUCUGAUUUGAAAUCAGGAAAUGGUUGAAAGGUUUUCAAUUGAAUAUCAUAGAAUAUCAUAUAAGAGGUUACCCAAUGAUAUCAACUGGACCUUAGGCUGGCUAGGAAUUGGAUACUCCCCAAGAAUCUAUUUCACUUUUAAGUGGUUCACUAUUAUAUUUGGUUUCUGAUGAAGCUCAAAUUAGAACAGUCCUUUAAGUGUCUCCUACUUGUCUUGUUUAGGUUUUGGUUGUCAAAAUGAAUCUGUUUUAUGCAUCUAAUAUAACAAAUGCUGCUUCAUUUCAGCCCUGUUGACUGCAUUCACUGGACUUCUGCUCAGCAGCUGUCUUUGCUUGAAGAUGAAAUGCAAAGGGUAGACAGAGUAAAUGUGAGCUAUAUUCUCCUUGGACUCUUUCUUUAUUUCCGUCCUAACUUUAGGACUAGUUUUUGCAGUAUAUGGCUUCAAAAUAUUCUCUAGCUCAUUAUUGUGGUUGAAUACUUGCUAAACAAGGAGACAGACAUGGUUUAAAAACUUCUUUUAUUAGCUUUGAAUGGAAAAGAUCUGUUCAUUAUUAGUCUGCUCAAUUAUCAAGCUAUUUCAAGCCUUGUGGAGCAGGAGCAAUUAUUACUAUUGGAUGCAUUCUUGGGAGAAGGCUGGAGGAGAAACCGAUAAGAUUUUUGAUGCAUUGAUGCAUCUAUCAAUGGCCUGAGAGGAGUUCUUUAGAAUCAAACUUGUUGAUACCUAUUUCUUUUCAUGCUUUUUAAGGAGUUCUAGUUUAAUGAUAAAUUAUGCAUCUACAUUGUCGUUGUUGAGAAAAAUUAGUUCAUCUCUCUAUCAUUCAGAACUUGUAUUGUGACAAAAGUGCCUAAUUUUGGCAUUUCAAUAUGAGAGAUGCUUUGUUUUAUUCGUCAUCUUCAGGUGACCUGACCACUAAAAAGUGUCUUACUUUUUCCCUUUUCUUAUUGAUCAUUAGGUAGCAUUCAUGCUUUCAGGAAUGGGCUCUCCAGGUGUAGAUGUUUUCAGAAUGGUAAGACAUUUUCUAAUCUACCAUACAUCGAGUUAUCUCCAAAAUACUCAGACUGCCUGUGAGAAUCACUUAGUUGGAUUAUUUGACAAAGAUGAACGGAGGUAAAGAUAAGUAAUAGUGAUCCUGUUAUAAAGACUAAAAUAGAAUUCAUCAGGAAAAAAUUGGGAUUCAAGAAAUGUGACUGCUGACAGCCUAAAGAUUCGGUUGCAGUUUUCUCUAUAAAGAAAAUUGUCUUGAAGUUCAAAGCUGAUAGAAACUAGAGUAAAUGGCACAUUUAUAUCAUUGAACCUCAAAUCUAAGUCGUGUUUUACAUAUAGAUAUAGUUUUCCAUUAUCAGUAGAUACAUAUUGACAUGAAAUCUAAGGUUCUCCAUGGCACAAAUGUAUGCAUUUGUCAAGUAUCCAAAGGACUUUCAGAAUUUUAUCUGAUUUUUGAACAUUUUUCUGACUGCUAUUGGUCAUUUGCAUCUAAUUGAUUACACUCAAUUGACAGGCAAGUUCUACAUGGGAAAAGAGACAAACCAAGAUCUUGGUAAGUACUUACGUAGAAGUAGGGAUAAAAUUCUCUUUCAAAUUUAGUUAAUUUCCAAUUUUCCGCUUCUAUCUUACAAUGCAACCUCAUUAAUUUGUUGUAGGAACAAGUCAAAAUGAGGAUGAUGAAACAGAAAGAAUCUGAUAAAUAUGAAGCAUUUUGGAACAAUCUCUGGGGCAAACCAAAGGGCUACAGAAAUUCAGGUAAGGAGGAUCAAGUUGUUCAAAACACAUUGGGUUUACCCAUUUUGGCAAGAUUUCAAUUUGGUAGCCUUUUUUCUUUGAAUCAGCUGUAACCAAUUAGGAUCAUCGAAUCAGAUUGUUUUCUCUCAGAUUGCUCCAAUGUUUAUCACUAAACGAUCCGCUUUUGAAGUGGAGCUUGAUUUAAUUAUUUAUAAGCUUGUCAAAGCAGUAAACUCGUACCUCUUGAACAUGUAUAAAAUUUGGAAAAGUAAAUUGGACAUGUUCUUUCUGUAGCCUAUACAUGUUUCAGUGUCUGCAUCCUACAUAAACGUUGUACAACCUUCCUGGAAAAAAGAAAUCACUACCUGAAUAUUCAGUUGAAGUUUAUGAUAAGACUAAUAAGAUGACUAGAAUUUGUAUGAUGCUACAGAGGAAGAAGUUAAAGAGAGAGCAAGUAGAGCUGCGGCGGCUGCUCGAAGAUGGAGGGAAUACUCAAGAAGGGGUGUUGAUAAACCUCCCACCAUUGAACUUCCAGAAACAAUCUCUAACACUGAAAAUUAAGCUGUAAUUUUGAUAGCUUUUACUUUCACGAUUCUAUGUAAUUAUUGAUUCUAAAUUCCAUCUGUUGGACGCAUAUGUAACUCAUAGUAGAUACCGUGCAUAUAGUAAACUUGAUAUUGGCUCGUUCAACUGUCUUAUAGAUAAUCAAUAAAGCAUUAUUCUUGCACAUUUUGUGCGCUACAUGUCGUCACUGUCUGCUCAUGAUCAUCCAACAAAAUGUGUGGUUUUUCCUUUGAAAUUCAUGUUUUCUGCAGUGAAAGUACAAAAAAUUACCAGAAGAGAUCUAUUUGCUUCAUAAGUUUCAUCUGAAUGCUUGCAAAACUUGUGGAGGCAACUCUUAUUCUCAUGUACUACUUUAACAGACUCACAUCAACUUGGGUGUGGAGUAAUUCUUUCUUUUGUGUUUGUUAUGGGAAGAUGGUACUUGACUUGUUCAUGAUUUCAGAGACUUUUUUAUUAUUGCAUAUGUGAAGGGGCACCGUCUCUGAAGGAAUGGGUUACUACUGUCCAAUGAGUGGGCCUCAACUGGUUAACUGAUUCUUUUCAAGUUAGUUUAUUUCAACAUGGCAAGAUUGGUUAGAAGCUGCGGAAUAUACUACAAGAAUAUUGUCUUUAAGGAAGGCAAAAGGAUUCAAGCCCUUGGUUUUUCUGGUUUUCCCAGUCCUGCCUCGACAUCAGUAUAUUGUCUACUGUAAAAGCCUUUGAGGCUGGUAUGGACUUAUCAGUUUUUGGAGACCUUCAAGAACAGGAUAAUAGGAGUGUCAUAUCUUCUAUGGGUUAUGUGUGCUUUAAAACAAACAGAAUGAAUUAGGUCUCACAACAAGGCAGUUCCCAGCUGGAACUGGCUUAAUCUCUGGUAAUUUAAUAUCUACCUGUCGUAAUCACAAACACCUACCUAGUUGUAAAUAUAGAGCUUUUUGUAUGGCGUUGCUUUUGCAUGCUAUCUCAUUUUUUGUGACGUUUUCUUCUGCUCAGCUUCAAAAACGUCAUACUAGUAAUGUGGACAUCCAUCAAUGAUUACUUCUCUUGUUUUUAAGAUGAAACUGAUCAAGGACUCAUCGUCCACUGUAGCAGAGUGUAAAAAUGUAGAGUCAAAAGAAGAAAAUUUCUUGCAGGUUUCCUCUGGUGCCUGUUUUUUUUGUUUCUUGUUUAGCAUUUGGCUAGGCAUCCCACUUCGAAAACUUGUCAAAUUAUAGUAGACUCUUAUAUUGGUUGCAGCACUAGACAAUCAUUGUUAAGCUCACUGUUAAUUCUGCACAGUUCAUGCUGAGAUGUGCCAUGUAGUGGACAAAGAUGUGUAAAGGAUUCAUUUCAGCACUUUAUUAUGACGCAAGAACAUUGUCUUUUUGCUAUUUUCAAAGGCCGUCCUUGAGGAAGUCAGAGUAGGAUUGGCAUCAAGGGCUUACUUUUUUAACAUCUCCUUAUUUACAAUUACAGUUUAUCCAGGUUGGCGCAUGGAAGCUGAAGUGAAACUAGAAACAGGAAAAUAACCAAUGGACAAGAGCAAAUGUAAGUGGAAAAAGAUCCAAAGAAACAUGUCUUAUCUAACAGUUGACGCAACAGUCUGUGCCCAAGCUUUAAGUUGGUCUUUCAUGUUGAUUUCAUUGUCCACAGCAGGAAAUCUCCAGCGUACUGGUAGUUUAUUUACCUUCCUCUGAUUCAGAACACCCCAUGCUUCAGAAAGAUAAGGCCUUGAAACUGCAUACUUGUCGUGGACUAGUUCAUUGCUGCCUUGCUUUCCCCAUCUCUGCAAUCCCGGUAUGAUUGAAGCCAAGCUUGAGCUCUUAUCUUCCUCUGUGAACACAAAUCCCAAGUCCAUGAACCCUUUAAGCUCCUCAUACUCUAAUUCUGAUAAGCUUCUGCUAUUACCUCUACUCCUCCUCUUGUUACUGAAUUUUUUCGUGGUUGUGGUUUCAAUCUCUUCUUGCUCUUCAAUCCUUUCAGAGAAAUCACUCACUUCUACUCCAGAGAGUAUCUUUGGUAGUGUUGCUGUGGAAAUCGCUGACUUAGGAGAUGCAGCAUCUGGGCUGAAGCCUGUAUUAUAGCUGACACAGUGAUCACUUAGAGAACGAACUUGAAGGUUUACUAUGCCCGCAAGCUUUGAUUUUUCAAGCUCAUGAUCUUCUUGAUCAUGAAUAGGCUUGCUAGUUGAAGAUGCUAAGCAAUGUUUGCUAGUGAAUAUUCCAUGUUCAAACCAAUAAGAAUCAAAGAGCUCCAGAAUUUCUUCAGCAGCCAUAGUGAUCUCUUCUGUGAAUAAAAUGCCAAAAACACUGGAAGACAGACUUCAUAGUAUUUCUUCCCAAGCUUUGAAGUAUAUAACUACAAUAGCAGCAUAUUGCUCAAUUAUUUGUGGACUAUUAUUAGAAUCUCAUGAGUGGCUAAUAAUAAAGUAAGCCCUCGUUGGUCUCAUCUAACAUAUAAUAUAAUAGCAAAGGUAUGCUCCUGACUUCUUCCAAUUAUUGUAGUGUUAGUUGGGAUGUGAAGUCAUUGGAAUGUACUAGAAUUAAUGCUAAUUAAACCUAGCUUAUCGUUUGACUGUGAUUAGUUUGAUAAGAUUUGUACUGAGAUCAAAUUUUCAAUAAGCUUGAGGCUGAAAUGGAUUGCCCUUUUUGUCCACUAAGAAAUGUAGUUUAGCUCCAAUUGUUUCAUAAGCAUUUCUCCUUAUCUACCUUAAACAAGUUCUGCACUAGAUCAAAUUCCCUCGUGGGGAAGGGAUGACUUUUAAAUUUGAUCCAAACACCACCCCCCCCCCACCCCCAAAAAAAAAAAAAACACACACACACACACAUCCACCUCGAAAAAAAAGAAAGGAAUUAUAUGUCCUUAUCAUAUUUUUACCAUUAUCUCAUGAUGCGAUCCACUUUCUUGUACUAGGUGUGGCAACGAACUAAUCAAGCCUGAUGAUUCGAACUUGAACUUGAAGAUAUUUAUUUGAACUCGAACUCAGUCUUGCUCGUUAUCAAUUCGAUUAAAUUGUUCGAUCUUGCUCAAGAAAGCAAAAUAAGCGAGCUCAAACUCAACUUAAGCUUGAGCUUUCUAGUAUUGCCAUUGCUAUAAAAGAAAAAAUAAAAGUAUACUAAAACAAUACAUUACAUUUUUCGCCAGUCCAGUACUACUAGAUCAUAAUCAAACUACUCAAUUCUUUGGAUGGUGGGGAGGCAUUAUUUUCUUCUUUUGUUUGAAAAUUUUAGUGGUGUCAAUUAGUGCCCAAAUCCUGCAAAACUUAUAAUUAUUGUAGUGUAUGAACUUGACCAAGAUUUAGUGGUAGUAGGUGACAAAACUGAAAAUCAAACAAUAAAUGCAUGCUAGUUGACUAAUGCAAUUCAUGUGGUGUAUGUAUUGCCAAGAAUAAGAAGUCUAGGCACUAACAAGUCUUUUGCCUUGGGGGCCCCGGGAACGGAGGGGGAAGGUGGAGGGUGGUGGCUUGGGUGGUCUUCGCCGGUUAGCCGGUUGGGCGAACCUGAUCUCAACUUUGGAUUAUAAUAUGCAUCUUCAUUAAACGAGAUUAUGGGUAAGGACUUGAACUCAUAUGGGUUUGGAUAUAGGUCCUAUACUAGGAGUCUCUCUUGAAUCAAAACAAAUUUGGAUAGUAAAUUAUUUACAUAAAUUUAUCUGCUUGUAUGAUUAACAUAUUGUUUUAUCACAUUUUUAUCUUACAUAUAUCACAUCAAAGCGUUAUGCUAUUUCUUUUUCAAAAAAUUAUUCCAAAUAAUCUCUUAUCCAAACACACAUAAUUUAACUUCAGAAUUUUCAGUCUCGCUCCUAAAAAGAAAAGUAAAGGAUAAAAUUUUUAGGUUUUUUUUUAUCAUUUUAAAUCUUUUUGCUAAGACAUUAGUUCCUCUACAUGACUUCUUUGAUGUUGUAGAAAUUUUGGGUUGUAAAAGUUGUAGAGCUUCAUUGAUGUACAGAUAGCGAUAGCGUGUAUAUAUAUAUAUAUAUAUAUAUAUAUAUAUAUAUAUAUAUAUGCUACUUUGUAUACGCAUCAGUUCUCUAUCAAUAAAAUGUUGCAAUUUUACUUAAAAAAUUUUAAAAAAAAAUUCACGUCGUUAAAUACUAAUUGGCCAAGGAAUGAUUUAGACCAAAAGACGACCAAAACAAUGAGGCAAAUUAAAGUAGUUUGAAUUGAUUAUAUUGAAAUGCUAAAAACACUCAAAAUAGCUUUUUAAGAGCAACAGUUAAUGUUACUUUAAAAUACUUCAAAAUAAAUAAAUAAAUGAACUCCAAUAAUGAUUCGGACUUGUUUGUAUACACUUGAAAAUAAUAUCAAUCAAAAGAGUCUAUGACUGUUUGGUAGCUUGUCCCCCCCACCGCCGCGGCAACGCGGAAUCUCCCAUUCUGUCUCGUAAAUUAUGCAUGAGAAAACAUUUUGCCAGCUCCUUAACUUUGCCAUCCAAUACAACCUUGGCUGGCUCUUUCCUCUCCCCUAUGAUGUUUCCUAAAUCAUGAUUGUCAAUCAUGAAAGAAUGCCCAAAAAGAGCAGAACAUCUACUAUAUAAAGUCUUCAUCCUCUCACGUUAGCCACCACCAAAAAGAAAUUAAACCCUUUAUUUAAUUCCUUUCACAGUUCCCAUUGUUCAAUUUUUUUCUUCUCCAUCAUCAAUGAAAAUGAAGUCCAUCACUUGCAGUAAUUGGCUGAAGCUUUCAGUGUUCAUGACACUGCUCUUGGCUACCUCCGCUGGUAAUUUUUACCAAGAUGCUGUCACAACUUUUGGCGAUCAACGAGUUAAGAUAGCCGAGGGUGGUCGACUUCUCUCAUUGUCCCUAGAUAAAAUAUCAGGUUCAGGGUUUCAAUCCAAGAAUGAAUAUUUGUUUGGAAGAUUUGACAUGCAACUCAAGCUUGUCCCUGGAAACUCUGCUGGCACCGUCACCACAUUCUAUGUAAGUUCAUGAUCAUCAGCGCUUAUUCUUCUUCUUCUUCUUUUUUUCCUGAAGAAAAAUAAAAGUUUCUCUUUGCACUGUAUUAAUUAGAUUUGUGGUGUUUAAUUAAGUGGCUAAUGGCAAUCAUAUUCUUCUGUAGCUAUCAUCUGUGGGACAGGGACAUGAUGAGAUUGAUUUUGAGUUCUUGGGCAAUGCUAGUGGGCAACCAUACACCCUCCACACCAAUGUUUACUCACAAGGAAAAGGGGAUAAAGAACAGCAAUUUAAGCUUUGGUUUGAUCCCACAACUUUCUUUCAUACCUAUACAAUAGUGUGGAACUCUCAACGUAUAAUGUAAGUCCCUAUACCAUGCCCAUAAAAAAAGAUAUUUAUAGAUGCAUGGUGAUCAUUAAUUAUCUUUUGAUCCCAUCUGCCUGAUGAUCCAUUCUUAGUCCUUUCAAUCAACAUGCUAGUCAAAACAUAAAAAAUAAUAAAAGUUGGAUUAAUUUUUUUUAUACUAAUUAACUUCUUUUUUUCACACUAACUUCAAGUCUUACACAUCGAACACGCAUUCUUGACCGUUAAUGUAUUUCUCUCGGUACGAGAAAGAUUAAUCCAUAAAAGUUAUUAAAUAUUAUUGGUUCAAUUGGUACCGUUAAAUUUUGAUUUCCAUCUAUUUUCACCAAAUGUUGAAUUUUUUUUUUUUUUUACUUUCAGUUUCUUGGUUGACAACAUUCCGAUAAGAGUAUACAACAACCACGAAGCCAUUGGAGUUCCAUUCCCCAAGAACCAACCAAUGAGGGUGUAUUGCAGUUUCUGGAAUGCAGAUGACUGGGCAACACAAGGUGGCCAAGUGAAGACAGAUUGGGCAAAUGCACCAUUCACAGUUUACUACAGAAACUUCAACGUCAAGGGAAAUGUUUGUGUUCCUGGAUCUCCUUGCGGUUCUGGCUCUAAAUCCACUGAUUCUCUGGACACUCAAGAAUGGGAAACUCAAGGACUUGAUGGGAAAGGACGAAAUAGAAUCCGAUGGGUUCAACAGAAGCAUAUGGUCUACAACUACUGUGCUGAUCGUAAGAGGUAUCCUCAAGGCCUUCCUGUUGAAUGCAAGCGUCCGAGGUUCUGAGGAGAUCAUGGAAAGGGCUGCUGCGAGUUGAUGAAAUUAAUUCUUUGUUCUUUUUGAACAUCAAAAAUAAAAUGGUGUGUUGUUUGGUUUACCUUUUGCUCAUCACAUAUUGUUGUUGAAAUUUUUUCUUCUCAUCUUUUUCAUAAUUCAGUAAUAGGCUAAUUAAAGUUUUACCAAUUGGUAUCCUUUAUGCCGUCGAGCGGAAUUCUUAAAAGGAAUCCCAUGAUGAAUAAAAUAUCUUUAUGCUUUAUCUCUCUCUCUAUAUCUAUAUAUCGGUUACAAUGAUUUUUCUUUUCCCUAAAGAAAAAAAGGAAACUUCUGGCAUAUAUCAUUGCCCUUUUAGGCAAUGCCAGUCAAGAGUAUGACUCGGAAGUUUGCUAAUAAGGCCGAGUAGAUAUGGGGUCAGGAAAUUUCUUGCUCCAAUUAAAUAAUUGAGGCAACAAAUGGUUGAGAUAUCUUUAUCUAAAUUUCAAUAAACAAAAUUACCUGUACAAUAAUAAAUGUGCAUGUAGGCAUCAACUCGCUAUUUUGAUAUUCUGAAGAAGAAGUAGGCAUGGGCAGAGAUUUGUUCCUUUUGUAUUAAAAAAUGCCACUGCAUUGUGGUAUAAAAUGAGACAUAAUAGUCAACUGGAGAAAUGAUUCCCCCUCUUAUUAUUAUUUUUUCCUCACUUCAAACAGGAUAUGCUUCUUGUUAAUAAAUGUGAACGAAUCAAAAGUUGGCGGAAGCAAUUUUUUAUUUUUUCUAUUUGUCCUUUUCGACAACUUAUGAGUUUCCUUAACAAGGACUAGUAGGAUUCGCCCCUCGGGUCAGCUCAGCUGGUGAUCCCACGGGGUCUUCCUCGUGAUGACACUGGUUCGAGUCUGACUUUACAUACCGUCUGGGUGUUCUUGGGGGCAGGGUACUUCAGGCACAGGGGAUUAGUCGGGCCCCGUAAGGAUUGAUUCGAACAUCCCUGUGUUGACAGGAAAAAAAAAGACUAGUAGGAUUCAAUAUCCAUCCAAGCAAGUCGAAUUUAAGGACUUGCACGUGUAAAAGCAAUAAGGAUUUUUUUUCUAGAUUUCAGGCUACUCACUCACUCACUUUUGCUAGUUUCCCAUUUUAAGUAUCAAGAGCUUUUUUUACCAUUAGAUACAUGACACAUAAUUUGAAUUUGAAUUUGAAACUCAAAUUUUGUGUAUGUGUCAUAUAUUCAACCAUGAUAAUGUAUACAUCGUCAGUAUACAUAAGAUUUACUCUUUUUUUAAAUUAUAAUUUUCAUUUCUAAAUCAGAGAAAGGUAAUAAGCACUGAUGAGAUUUAUUAUGACCCCAUAUUUGUAAACUCCGGGGCCAUGAGUUUUUUUUUUUUUUGUGAAUAAAAUUUGACAAAUUUUUAUUGCUUCAUAUUGCAUAUUGAUCUUGAAAUAAAGACAUGGAUACUCUCACAUAUUUUUCUUUUCUUCUUUAUAUUGAAAUGCAUUUUUAACUUUUGAUUUUAACAUGAUCAAAAGAGGAAUAUGCAACUUGAUAAGGAUGAAGAAAAUUCCUCUUUGAACUAUCUCUUAGUUGAACUACUAUUACAGUAAUAUUCUCUUUCUUUUGCCAAAGAAAAGUCAUUAUCACACAAGAAAAUUAAAAUACUCAGAUGCCCAACAAAUUUUCGUUAGUCACAACAAAACAUUGUGCCAUAUGGAAGCUUUACCAACCGCAAAACCUACAGGAGCUGUAAGUCUUAAUCAAUUCCCAAGUGCCAUAAUCCGACGAAGGAGAUCAACAAGUGAUGAUGGAGAUGCUUUUCUUUAUUAUCUUCUUUUUUUUUUUCUUUUUGAAUUUCUCCCUACGAUUUUGAUGGGAUUUUAUUCUUUUAGCACAUUCUUCCUUUAAGCAGUUUUGAAAUGAUACUCAUUGAAUCUAAUACGAGCUUAUUGUUAAAGGGCAAACACAAAUUGCAGGAAUAGUUGCGACUUAUGAAUUUAGGUGGAUGGUAAUAUAAGUGUUUUGGAACCUUAAAUUGUAAUCAUUUCAAUCAUUUGAAAAUUCAAAUAAUUAUUGUCUCUAAGCGAUAAAAAUUGAGAGAAUGAAUCCCUAAAGAACCGUAGAAUCUUUUUGAAUUUUUGAAUCACAAGUGGAAAUUUUUAAGUAAUAAGAGUUAAAUUUUUCUUGUUAUUCAUGAUGAUGUUUGUUUGAAAUACACAUGAGGGAUAUAAAUCGAAGGAACGGUUCUUUAAAAAAGGGAUUAUAGAGCUUUUUUUUUAUGGAUAUUCAUAUCGAUCUAGAUUUCUAUUCUACAAUAAUAAAAAGUUCUAAAUUUUCUCGUGAUGAAACAAUAGGAUAGUGUUUGUUUGCACGGAAAAGUGUGGGAAAGUGAAGAAAAGUUAAUUAUUUUUUCCUUCAUGCAUGUUUAGUUGGCAGAAAUGUUACAAUUUUUUCUUGCAUUUCCAUGCAUAUUGUGUCCUGCAAAGGAUUUUGAAGGAAAAUAAUUAAUUACACACAAAAGUUCUAAUAACUGCUAUUAACUUGUCAUUAACUUCUUAUAUUUUUACAAUGUUUUUCUUAGUAACCAAAUGUGUAUGAAAAACUUAUUUUCAUUUUCCUACUUCACUUCACUUUUCCAUACAAUUUUCCUUAUAUUCAAACAGAGAGCCUAGGGGCUGGAUAGGAGAUUAUUUGAAAUAUUUAUUUGAAAUAGUCAGUGUAACUCUCUUUGUGAUGUGAUGUAUGUUAGAUAAAAAGAUCGUUGGAAAAUGUGUGUAUGAUAUGAUGUAAGUAAAACAAAAUCUGAAUUUUUUUUUUGGAAAUUCUUGAUAUCCAAACACACCUUAUCUUCAAUUAGGUUUCAUGUAAUAUAACUGGGCUGUAGAUAGUUGACUUAGAUCUCGAAUUUGAAAUAUUGUGCAUGAUUUUUUCCAGAUUUUUGGAAUCUGCAAACUGUUUUAAUAUUCCAUAUGCAACUGGCUUUACUUUCUUUUUGGAAUGACAGAUGCGCCAGCAAUUCAUUUGGAUCUGCACUGCUGGAUUCCUUUUCCAACUCAAAUUCCCAACGGCACAGUUGAGCACUAUCCUUUACUGCUCCAUUAUCCCUCGUGUCUUUCUCUAUGUUUUUCAUCUUUCAAACCAUUUUGAUGAUCGCACCCAAAAUUAACCAAAAAAAUAAAAAAAAAAAUGCAAAAAAAGAUAGUAGUGAUGACCUUACAUCACAAAUGUACCAUUAUUUUCAAUUUUGAUUGAUGUGCCAUAUGAAAAUUACAAAUGGAAAUAUUUAUCUUAUUUGUUUUGUAGCAUUUACAGGCUGCUGUAGUUUGAUUAUAGGGAUUGAACUUUGUUCUUAGGGAACACUAAAAAUUAUGAAACUAUGAAGUGUAACAUGAAACGAUUCUAUCUUGCAAGCGGACAAAAGGGGAAAAAUAUGUAUAUACAAUACAAAAAGUGGUCAUCUAACAGUAGAUGCAACAGUAUGAGCCCAGAACCUGAGUUGAUCUUUGAUUUCCAUUUCAUUUCCCAAACCUGGAUUAAUUUUCCAAUUCAUCAAUUUCUUCUUUACCUUUCUCUCAGCCUUCUUUUCAUCUAAAACGUCCCAUGCUUCAGAUAGAUAUGGCCUUGAAACAACAGGUUUUUCAUCAGCAAAAUCCUUCUUUUCUUCUUCUUCGUCAACUUUCCUUCCCAAUCUCUGCAAUCCAGGGAUGAUGGAAACCAAACUUGAAUCUUUAUCUUCAUCAGAAAACACGAAUCCCAGAUCCAUAAACCCUUUUAACUCCUCAAACUCAAGCUCAGACAAACUCUUGCUAUUGUUUCUUCUCCUCUCUCUUCUCCUCCUCUUUUUCCCUGCAUCAAAACCAGCUUUAUUUUCUUCUACUUCUGAAAACUCUCCGACUUCCUUCCCAGACAGAAUCGUUUGUGGCUUAGGCAAAAGAAGAACAGACUUUGGAGAAGGAGACCGAUGAUCAGGAGAAGUAGUCGAUGGGCUAUCUUUGGAGCUCAAAUUUUGCGCACUAAAAGAUCUAACAACAAAUGAAGGAGUGGAAGAAAGCUUUAAUUUUGGUUUAACCUCUCCAUCAAUAUCAAGAACUGGAUUUGAGGUUGAGGGUUGUUUUUUCCUAAGGAUGCAAUGCUCAAACCAGUAAAUAUCGAAGAUUCUUAGCUCUUCUUCAGCUGACAUUUUCUCUUCUGUCGGCAAUGAAGAAGGGGUUUUGGCAAAAUUCAAGAACUUUUUAUUUUCUUGGGUUGAUAAUGGUGGACAUUGUCAUACGCUAGAAAUGUAUUUAUAUCCCCCCACUGGCCCGUUACCAGUAGGCCAUUUCACACACUCACACACACACACAGUGGUUGAGUUGUUAACUUUAAAUUAUUGAUGAGCUUACGUGGAUGUCUAUUAAAGUAAUUCACGUUUUUGUCGUUCGAGAUUUAUUUUUCAACAAUUUGUAUUUUGCAGUAUUAGGAGUAUUAGCAUUUAAUCAAGCAAGAAAAUUUGUUUGUGUGUACGAGGCUUUGACUUGACUUGUGUUUCUCCGUGUUCUCAUCGUUCAAGGUUUAGUUUAAGAAUAAAUCUUACAUACACCAAAUAUUAAUCACUAAGAAAAAGACCAAGUCGUACGUUGCAUGCCUUUGACUUUAACUUUUUGAUUGUUUUCAUCAUUCUCUAUAAUUAUGUUGGACUCCGCGGUUCACAUUAUUAACUAGAGAUGAUAAUUUGGUUAGAGUUAAUAUGAAGUGAGAUUAAUCACAUGUUACAUUAAUCCCAAUUAGACUGAAAUUAAACACACACGCUAAACUUUGUGGUUUAAUAAUCUAAUUUCUUGUUAUAACUUUUGUGUCUGUCAGUUUGAAAAUAGGUUGAACUUGAGGUUUGAAAACUUUUAAGAAUACUCCCUCCGUCCCACUUUGAUAGUCCUGUUUCUUUUUUCACACAGUUUAAGAAAAAGUAGUUAACUUUAUUGGAAAAGUAAAUUUAGAUUGCUAUUUUACUAAAAUACCCUCACAUUAAAUAUGGUACAACUUUAUGGAAACUUGAAUUGAUGGUAAAAAAAGAAUCAAUUCUCAUUAAAUGGGGUAGGUUUAUAGUAACAACUGCUUACAUUGAAUAAGGGUAUUUUAGGAAAAUUAAAAUACAACUAUAUUUUUCAAUUGGAAAGUGGAUUACAAUUUGGGACAGAUGAAAAAGGAAUACAGGACUAUCAAAGUGGGACGGAGGGAGUAUAAUACUAGAAACUACUAUGGUUGAUACCGCAGAGGGCUAUGAUUAAAUUAUUUCAAGAUUUAAAUUUCACUAAAUGUGAGCUAUAGUCUAGUCAUAUGUGUUGGAUUGUAUUAUUGCUACAACGUUGGAUUCUAAUAUGUUGGUAUAUUGAUCCUACAAUUUGCGGGUUUGUAGCUAGAGAUCCUUGUUUGGAUUGCUUGUUUCCAUCGGAAAAUAUUGUCGUUUUUCGUGAUCACAUUUCUCUAUCACCUUUUUCUUUCACAUAUAUCAAAUCGCUACAGUAAUUUUUCCAUGGAAAAUGACGGAAAAUGCAAUCCAAACACAAAUGUUUUUGCCAAAAAGAAAUCACAAAGGAAGGAAAUUUGAGUGUAAACAAAAGCUAGAAAUGAAUAUAUAUAUAUAUAUAUAUAUAUACCAUUACAAAUAUUUGCAGUAUAUUCAUUUUUGAUGGACGGAACAUGGUUAUAUAAUUUUUGUAAUAAUCAACUCAAUUCUUCGGAUUCCCAUAAUCUGAAAGGGGUCCAAAAUGUCUGGUCCAUUUUGAUGCGUAAAUUUGAAGAAUCAAUUGUGCUACUUUGUUUAAGAUCCACGCAAGAGGUGAGACUUUUCCUUUCUAACCUACAAUGCCCCACACACAACCAAAAGGGCCACAAAAAAAAAAGAUAAUUGACAAAUCAAAUCAUGAUCAUGCACUCCUCCAAUUAAUAAAGAAGAAGAAAACAAUAAUAACAGCAGCAAAUGAUGGCCUACUUGAAAUGAAGUUGAAAUAUCAAUUAAGGGCCAUAGGCAUGUGACAAACAUUGUUAUAUCAUGUCCCAAAUAAAAGACAAAGCAAAACUAUUUAUGCCCUUCACAUUUAUGGUUGUUGUGACAUUCCUUUCCAACCACUAGAAUUAGUCAUAAUUACAUAGGUUUAAGAAACUUUGUAUGAUUUGCUGCUGUUGGAGUUGAAUGUAAUUAACUUUCAAUUUCUGUGUCAAACCUUCAAACAAAUGAUAAUUAAAAUUGAUUUGAGCAAAUCUGGUCGGUCGCAUUUCAGUUUCAUUGUUCAACUCAGGGGUCUAAUGAAAUGCUAUGGGAUUGGCAAACUUUCCUUUUCUUGACGUCUUUUAAGUCAUGGGCAAUAAUUGCCAUCAGACAAGUUGAAAGUAUAUCUUCAGUCUGUUCAAAAUAAGACUGAAAAAAAAGAAGAAGCAAGGGCUGGAAUGGAUGAUGCAUGCAUUAAUUAUUCUUCCGGAAUUACAAGUGGAACGUUAAUAUCUUCUGUGCAAACUGCAGAUCGAGCAGUGUUUGGAAUACACGUAAGCCACCAUAUCUACAAGAAAUUAUUCAUUCAACUCACAAGUACAAUGUGAUAAGAAGAUGGGAAAUCCCGUGAUGACUUUAGCUCAGUUCCCAGGUGAAAUAUUUUUUUUUUUUUUUGGGGCUAAAAAUGAAGGGGUUUAUUACUAAGUCUGCAGGAUAUGAUCAAGAAACAUAUAUAUGUUUGAGAGAAAGAGGAGAAAACGAUGCUUUGUAUAUGUUUAUGCUUUGUUCCAGCAAAAUUUUGAUCAUCAGGCACAUUGGUCCGUCUGGCAAGUAUUUGAGCAACAGUAGAAUGGCUUUGAUGGCUAGAAAAUUCAUAUUCUCAAAUUGAAACUUCAAAUGGUCAUUUCUAUUAAGUGAAAAAUCUCUGAUGAAGGUCACUAAUUUUACUUGUAAAAGUAGGUUGCGGGAAUACGUGUAAAUCCUUCCAGUUCGGCAAUUGUUCAAUAAAGGUAAAGAAUCUUGUCCAACACUUGCUGUAUACUGAAAAAUUUUGCUGAGGGAAAUGCAAGAUGUGGUAUAAAAGAUGGAUUGUUCCAGGUACACAUGAUCAGCAUCUUUUGUGCUUGUUUAGGAAGGUUAGCACAUGCUGGUUGAACUUAUCAGGAAAUUGCUCUUGAACAAAGUGGCUUCCUUCUGGUAUGACAAUUACCUUCAGAUCAGGAACAUAUUCUUUGACCUUUCCACUAGUCAUAUAUUCUCCUAGACCUGUAAUUUUCAAGACACAGUCAUUUUCUCCCUUUAUAAGCAGGGAAGGAACAGUAAUUUUAGGAUUAUCAAACCGCUACAGGUUCUAACCAAGCCCUGCAGCAGACCAAUAAAUACAUACUUGUUGAAACAAAAACAUUGCAAAAAUUUCAGAAAGUCAUAUUUUCAGUAUUUGAUGAUUUUGAUUGUUAGAAAUUUAUUUCCUUUUUGCCUAUAUGCAUGGGACCUGCAGUGCAGUUCUAAAACCGGAUUUCUUAUAUAGGCUUUGCGUAUUUGUCGAGAUCUUCUUCACUAAACCUAGAAGGUAAUGGCACGGAUGGAUCAACUAAGUCCAAGAUUUCCUUGAUUUCAAUACUUGGUACCAUCUGAGGCUCAAGAGAAUCAAGAAUUGCCAGAAGAUCAUCCACAAGGUCCUUAAAAGUUGUCUUUUCUGGCUCUGCAGGGACUUCAGAAAGCCCAUAGCCUCUGAAAUCAGGUCCAAUUGCCCGAAACCCAGGCUUGGCAACUGCCAGCAUGCAACUUUUCCAGUUUUGAUUUCAGUCUCAACUGUUGAUGCUCAAUCCCAAGCUCAUGAAACACUACUAGUACUUUGAAUCCAUGUAUGCACUACGAUUUUACAUUAAUUAUUUUAGUUCUACGUACCGACCUUUCAAUCCAGACUUCAUUCACUUAAGAAUAGUCAAUGCUUCGAAUUCUUUGUCGUGUCACACAUUGUCCAGAGCUAAGCCAAGAAUCCACACGAUUCCGUUUCUAUAGGUUCGUAUCAGAAGCAAACAAAUUUUUGGAGACUUCAAUGAUCGCAGACAAGAGAGGAUAAAAUUUUACACCACACAUUGUAGCUAGUGACUAGCCAAUUUGAUCGCGCUGUACGGCUUGGGAGAUUCCACAAUCUACUGUCUCUAAUGCGCAACACCAUGCAUCUAAGGUGGCUCGUGUAAAAUGUCUUUAACACAAAACACUUGAAUUGUAAAAAUGCAUACUCACAUUUUACUACGCUCUCUCUGAACUCUAAUGUUUUCUCGAACUAAUUAUACUUUUCUGAAAAAAAACUAACACUUAAAACCACUUUUAUCAUCGAGUAUCUAAUGAGCAUCUGUUAGCCAGACCGUAUAUAUAAAAAAAAAAAAAAAGGCACAAGAAAGACGGAAAAGAAAACCAUUUCAAGAACUCCAAAGUCUAAGAGAGCUUUAUAAGAUUAGAAGGUUAGUUCAUGGAGCAGAUCAUGUCUGUACCCGGUGUCAAAUGAAGAUAAUCUGAGUGUGCGCAUGCAUCUGGAUAAUGGGGGCUAAAGUCUUAAAGGUGAUUGUAUGAUUUUGUCUGAUUUGACCCUUUUGUUCUUGAUGGAUGGAUUAGGCUUUUGGUGUUGACUAGCCUCACUUUAGAACUAAGCUUCUGGGCCCUUGAGAACACAAGGGGAUUAAAUUCUAAUGCUAUGGCUGUCUGGAUACUAGUCCUGACUAGUGCUCUGGACAGUCUUCUUAUGUGAAGUCAUGGCCCAUUUUUCCCAAUGGGACAUUUCCAUCUCUAAUCAAUUCAUUUGAAGGGCAAUUUUUUAGGUGCUAGAUCAUCCUUUUUUCGAACCCAAAAAACAAAAAAACAUGUAGAUGCUAGAUUGGAUGGUGUUGAGACUCAAUGUCCCAAAUUAUGUUAAAUUACACAACAGCAUGUGGUUUUAAUGAUUUAAGAGAUUUGGAAUGUUUUACUAGUAGGUUAAUUAAUGCCUAAUUUGAUAAAAUAAUCGUCUUAAAAUUGAAUCUUUAUGAGUUAUUAAGAUACCAUGCACAAUGGGGGAGGAUUAGGUUGGGUGGUAAUGUGGGAGGAAUUGUAAAUUAAAACAUUUUUCUAAAUGGCUUCUGGUUCUUGCACCAGUUUAUCUAAUCAAAUCCCCCUGCGAAAGAAGAUACUUCAUCCAAAAAAGAAAAAAGGAAAAGGGAAUUAUGAAGGGAGGUGUACCUCAAUAAUCAUCUAAACGACCAUGGAGCUUUUGAUUCGCAUUUCUGCAUGGAAACCAAAAUCAAAAUUAUAAACCUCACAAUGGUAUGGAUGUUCACUAAUCAAUAAUCAUCCUUACUUUCAAACCCAUUGUAUAAUUAGAAUAGUGAUUAAUCAGACAAUAAGAAAAAAUAUCAUUAAAUUUGAUACCCGUUAAUGAUUUUCAAACCCAUUUUCCAAACAUCCCCUAAAACCUUCCUUCAAUCAACUCGAAUAAAAAGUUGCUAUCCUGUCAAGAUAACAAAAAUACACUUUUUUAUUCAUCUUUGAAUAUAAUGAACCUAUAGUAACAUGGCAUCCUUUGCCCUCCUAAGGCAAUGAAGGGAGCAAGAACUGGUCUUACAUGACAUCCUUAGAGAUUUUUUUUUUUUAAUAAUCAGUUGCUGAUUAAGAAAUCAACGAGACUUGUACUACUUUUUUUUCCUUUUUUUUUUUCGGUGUCCUGCAUGGAGUGGACCCCGCAAACUAUUUCCCACCCUCCACAACAAAUUAAAAUACCUUUUCAUUUUCAAUUAUUUAACUUUAUCUUAAUAAUCAAUCCAAUCAGAAUAGUAUGCUGCUGGCAUUAGUAAGAUAAUAGUCAGAGGUGAAUUAUUCCUUAUCAACCAAACUUAAUUGUACAAUCUGAUUGUUGCUAAUCAAAAUAGAUAGAAUAGUCCUAUCCACCAAUGCGUAUCCUUUUUUUUUUUUUUUUUACGAAAUGGUUGAUUUAAUAGUAGUCCAGGUUGCAGAACCACCCCAAUUGAUGAUUUAUUCCCUUUUUUUAUGCUUUUUAUUAUUUGCCUGAUAAUGAGUAAUUGUCAUUAGAAAUAAUUAGUUGUAUAGGUUAAGCUAAUGUUGGCAUUGCCUACUAAAAAGGAACAUAAGUCGGUUAAUAAUAAUGUUCAUCUAGCCAGUGUCGCCAAAUAAUAGAAGUGCCACCAAACCAACCAGGAUUGGUUUUUUUUUUUUUUUUAAUUUUUAAUUUUCUGCUGAUCUCAGGACACAAGAAUAUCAGCAAUUUAAUGGAAGCACAGAAAGAAUUGAGAUAUCCCAAAAAUUUUGAGAAUAAAAUUUGAUGAAGAUAAUAAAACCCUUCACUGGAUAGGUGUUUUUUUUUUUUUUCACUUCAACAAUUUAAUUCAAGAUCAAAAUUGGAGAAAAAUAGGAAAAGCCUUUUACUAGAUUAGUGUAUCUUUUAACUCCAAUAUUUUACUACUCUGAAGUUUAUGAUGGUUAUGUUGUUGUUAUCCCACUUUUCGACAAAUAAAACUAAAAUGUUUUUCGGAAUUUGCAUAAUUAAUUGAGUGAAGAAAAUUGAAUGCGAUUAAAGUGAAUGGCUACAGCUCUAAUAUGCAUAGGUAUAUCCACAUUGAACACUUGUAUCAUUUUCUUUAAUGUGAUACUUUAAUGCAUAUGAAUAGAACUUUUUUAUUUUCGCCAGGAAGCAUAUACUCCCUCCGUCCCACUUUGAUAGUCCAGUUUUCCUUUUUCGUCUGUCCCAAAUUGUAGUCCACUUUCCAAUUGAAGAAUGUGGUUGUAUUUUAAUUUUCCUAAAAUGCCCUUAUUCAAUGUAAGUUGUUGUUACUAUAAACCUACCCCAUUUAAUGAGAAUUGAUUCUUUUUUUACCAUCAAUUCAAGUUCCCAUAAAGUUGUACUCUAUUUAAUGUGAGGGUAUUUUAGGAAAAUAGCAAUCUAAAUUUACUUUUCCAACAAAGUUAACUAUUUUUUCUUAAACUGUGUGAAAAAAGAAACAGAACUAUCAAAGUGGGACGGAGAGAGUACGAUAAGUCUGAGAUAUGCUAAAAGUGUGGUAUACAAUUGACUACGGAUUUUCAUAGAAUUGCAACCUUUUUCUUUCUUUUUGUUUUUUUGGUUUUUGGAAAAUACGAGCAGAAUUGGCAUCUUGAUAUUUCAUUCCUCUUAAAUAAAGAAUCCACAAGUUCUAUGACGUCACAAUUGACUGCAGCCUGUUGUUCUCUGUCAUUAUUAUUCAUUAAAAUAGGAAGUUUAUAUAGACAAGUAAUCAAUUAGAUAAUGAUAAAACCAACACCAAUUCCCCCUUCCACGCCACCUUUGAAUACACAAUACAAUUAGAGGGUCGUACAUUUGAUUAUUUUCAAUAGUUCGGAAUCUUCUUGGUUCCUUGUAUUGAAUGACAAGAGAUAAAACUAUCAUUAAUAAAGGCAUACACAUUUUUUUAUAGCUCUGAAGUCGUACAUUGUAAAAGAGAAAGGCCCUGUAAUAGGUUUAGUCCGUUAUGCAGCAUGAUAAUAAUCCUGAUCGAUAUAUCCUUUUCAUUCAAAGGUAAAUAGAUGCUUCUGAUUCCGUUCAUAUCUCCAUUAUGUUUCCUAUAAAAAGACAAAGCAUUGGUAUAUCCAAUUUUUGGUUAGAAAAAAGGAUGUCCAAGAAUUUAAACUGACAUGCAUCUUUCCCUUUAGUACUUUAGUUUAGUACGUACGUGUUUGAUAAAACUGAAAUUUGAAAUUUGAAAUCUGAAUCUAUUAAAUUAGUGAAUUCUUAAAUACUAAAUUUGAUACAUUUGAGUGUAUAUUACAUUAAAUGAUAAGUGAAUAACUUAUCACUUAUUUUUUGGAGUAAAUUUUGUCUAGAAAAUUCAGCGCCACUUAAUGAAUUUUUUCAAGUGUUCUAAUUUUGGUUAUCAAACGCGUCUGAACCCAUUAAAUUUAAGUGUUGAGUUAAAUUAUCAAACAAGGCCUAACAGUUGUUACAAUUUUAAGCAACUAAAAUUUGUCAAAAAAUUUAGUAAUGAAGAUUCAUGUACAAUGACUAGAUCCUAACCAAGAAGUUAUGCUCAAGUGUUACAGUUUACAAUUGGUUUAUGUCACUUUUAUUUGUAAAGCUUACGAUUGGUUUAAAGUUCCCUAGGAAAAUCUCUAUACUCUUUUAGAAUAUGCAUUACUUUUUUUUUUUUUUGUCAACACAAGGAGUAUCUCAACUUUUACCAGACUAAUUUCCCUACGCCCGUACACCCCGCCCUCCAAAAAUAUAUGAGAGGAUAGGAGAGUCAGAGUCGAUCACACGAUCUGGGACCUAACGAGGUUAUCCCAUAGCCAAUCUGCGGCCGAGGGGCCUUAGAAUAUGCAUUACUUGACUCUCUAUUUCCCUACUACUUUUCCAUGCACACAUUCAAGAAAUGCAUGCGUAGUUUAUAAUUUCUAAAGCCUAGUAUCUGAUCUACUAGGUAUGAAACCAAUGACCGCAGGCAGUAGUCAUUAUUUUACUAUGUGUGAAAUCAAAGACUCGAUGAAAUUGCCAUGUGCCAUGCCAUCCCCCUGGAUGGAUGGCUGCGAGAGCAUGCUGAGGUAGACUGAAAACUAUUUUAUUGUGAACAGGAUUGACUUUGGAUAAGGAUCCACAUUAAAUCAUCAAGAUUUCUUCUGAAACUUAGAACAUUCAAAGAUCCAUUCCAACUAGCUAGCUAGGUUACUUGGGUUCAGUAAUUGAUGGCGGGCUAGUUUUUUUUGGAACAUGUCAAGUUUUGGAUUAGGAACUAUAGCAAGGAAGACAAACAGUAGUGGUUCAGUCACAUUCUAUCACUUUUUGUCCAAUAGGAGUAAUAAUCAAGUUGUCACACUAGAUAAAGAAUUUACAAGUGCUGCACUUCUUUACGUUUCCCUUCUUUUUCCUGCCUACUAAUGCUAACUGAAAACUGGCAAGAAAACCUAUGGUGUAAAACUUGUAAGGAUAUUUAUAGUACUUCAGAAAACCAGAAAGAGCUAAUGAUUGUCAAACUGUUUUUUUUGGAUGUUACUCCCUACAUUUCUUGCAUGGAUUUAGUUGGACACGAUGGAUAUAUAGCCGUCCUCUUAACAAAAAGAACCAAAAGCUCCCAUUCCAACCAAACCUCUAAAACCAGUUGGUCCAUUUUCACCAUAGACUCCAAAUACCCAAACCAAUAGAUAAAAGCCCCUAACAAUAGGCCGGUUGCUGAUGCAUUUUUCGUCUGGUACAAAUUUUUAAUGCUCCCAAUGACAUAAUAUCAAACUAGCCAACUUCACCAUAAAUAUUUAUCCAUGAGAUCAGCUCCAAAUUUAUAAGUAGGGGCCCUUAGCCAAAAAAUCUAAAAUACACUUGACUGUGUCGCAUUAUUGCGUGAAUUGCUCCCACGUCCUAUAUUAAAUUAGACCUGUGCCAAUCUGUCAAUGUGACUAUUCCCAUAUUAAAACCUAAACCUCUCAAAAUUCCACUACCUUCCCCACUUGAUACCACACCGCACCUACUCUUCCCUUCCGGCAACACCACUUUUUCCUCUCCCAUUUGGCCCAUUUUCGUGUUUGUACAUGUAUAAACAGAUGUCAUAUUUGUACGUGUAGAUUCCGCUGCUAGAAUCUCCAGCCUGCAGAAGCCACAAAGCCUGUAGCAACUAUAUCCUGUCGUAACUAUUUUGUCCUGUAGCAUAGUUUUUACUACUUAGUGAUGGUUCAGAAGAAUCCAUUAGAUCAUGAUCAGCAAGAGGAUUCCACAAGCACCCCAGAGAAUGUUGCUGAUGACUCUCCCUUCUCUGGUGACGAAGCAUAUGAAGUUACAGCACCUUCACCUAAAAAAAGGUUCCCUUUUUUUUUCCUCGAAUGUUUCACAUGUUUACAGUUUUUCUUGGGAUUCUUCUCUGGAGGUGGAGGGGUGGGUUUUUUUUUUUUUUUUUUUGCAAGAAAGACCGUUUCCAUGAAGAAUUUUGGAGCGUUGAUGCUGUAUUUUUUGGUGGAAUGAUAGGAAGGGCGCCCAGAAGAAGGUAAUAACAGUGCCAAUUGGAGAAGGGGAUGGAUCAAGAAGUAAAGGAGAGGUAUACCCACCCCCUGAUUCUUGGUCCUGGAGGAAGUAUGGGCAGAAGCCAAUUAAAGGGUCACCAUAUCCCAGGUAUAGAAUCCUCUCCUUUUAUACUGUAUACUACCCUUGAUUUUUGCACUUUGCUUCAGCAAAUCAAGAAAGCUAAAUGGUAGACAAAUGCCUUGAGAUUCUGCUUGUUUGUUCAUGGGGAUGCUGCAGCUAGCAAUGGUAGCAUAUAAUACAUACAUUAAAUUUGGAAUUAAACUUGAGAUGCUUUGAUUAUAGGUGUUAUAAAACAAUAUCCAUUGAGUAAAACUAGGCAAAAUUGAUCGAAUUUUAGUAUGGAACUUAGGAUAAUCUUGUAGCUGCCGGCCGGGCAUUUGUUGGAGUUGGAACGAAAUAAUCUUCUUGUCUAGUCUAGUAUCAAAUAUCAAUGCUGGAAAAGAUAUACAAAGGCGGCUCGGAGUUGUGGACUAAAAUAUGUGCAUUAAUUAAUUAAUGGAUGUAGUGGUUGGAGUUGCUUUACAUCUCUUUGGUUUUCCACUCUCUCAAAAGAAAUGUGUGGCUAACACGCCCUUAAGAGUUAAGAGCUAGCAAGCAAAUUCUGAUGAGAAUUUGCAAUUUGGAUUUGGGAGCAUUAGAGAGGGGGGGGCUACUUUUGAUUAGUGGGAGCCCACUCCAAACAUUUCACUUCUGAUGAUGCUUCUCUUGAUUUGUCUUUUCUUUAAUGUUUUCCUUUUUUUUCUUCUUUCUGGUUUUCUGGUUCCUGAAAAGUCAUCCUGUCCAAGAAGACGAAAAGAUUCAUUAUUGCAUCAUGUCAUCAAAGAUGACAGUUUCAAGUGCUAUCUAUCAAACAUAUAGAUGAAGCCAAGAAUUGAAGUGUUCCAAAAUCAGUUUAUCAGCAGAACUUAUUUACUCCAUUAGUAUAUAUAUAUAUACAUGAUUUUGGAACAACAAUGGGGACUGUCAAAAAAAUCAGCUUUAAUUGCAUCUUUAUAUAAUGGUAGGUAAGGAUUUGUCUUCUCGCAUGAUCAAUUUGGCAAAAAUUAGUGAACGGCCAUCUUUUCUGCACUUUUCUUUUUUGUUGCCCUGAUGCAAAAGGGUCCCAACCUUUAGAUAACGUUUAUCUUUUGGAGAUGUCUCAUCUAGUAGUAUAAAAUUUUAAGUGUGCAUGCUAUGCUGUUUUGUAGUAGUAUGGACAACGUUAAAUCUCCGUUUUGGUGAUUUUUUUUGUCAUCAUAAUAUUUGAUGUAGAAAAAAGUUGAGCUAAUAUUUUGCAUGUGUUGCAUGCCAGGGGAUAUUAUCGGUGCAGUAGCUCUAAAGGCUGUCCCGCAAGAAAACAAGUAGAGAGGAGCUGCCUCGACCCCACCAAGCUCCUCGUCACCUACUCUUGUGAGCACAACCACCCCAUCCCCACCACCACCACCAAACACCACCCCACCACCACUUCUGCCGCUGCCGCCGCCGCACCGAGUGCAACCGCGACCUCUACCUCCACAUCCACAUCAUCCACCGCCACCGGCAACGUUCCCGUGAAAUCUGCCGCGGAGGACGAAUAUGGGGUCUUCGCCAACCGGCCGGGCUUGGAAUCCGACGACAGCAGCAGCAGCAGCUUCAACGAGCUCGCCGGAGAAUUGGGUUGGUUCUCCAAUGUGGGGUCCACCAUGAUGGACAGCCCCAGCUUAGUGGGCCCCGCAUGGGUGGAUGCUGACGUGGCACUCAUGUUGCCCAUUGGGGAGGAGGACCAGUUUUUGUUUGGUGAUCUUGGGGAGCUGCCGGAAUGUUCGGUGGUUUUCCGGCGGCGGGGACUGGAGGGGACUCCGUGCUGCGCGGGUUCAGGAUAAGAAGGGUGUACAUUUUUUUCUCGUUGACUGAUCCAACGGCGAAUAACGCUGUUGACUAUCGAGUAUACAAAUAAUUGUAGGUGCACGUGUUGCGGCGUUGAUUGCGAAUUCCACCCCACAAGCCAACGGCUAACCUGCCAAUUGCCAUUUCAUGCUCCAAUUGCAAAUUUUUUUUGUUUUAAAAAAAAUUAUCAAAAAAAAAAAGACAAAAGGGAAAAAUGGGAAAUAGGAGUUUAUUUUACACCUUCAUUGCAAUUAAUUUUGCCCUGUUAUCUCUUUUUUUUUUUUUGGGGGUCGAGAUGUCAAGUGGGCUUUCUACAUUUUUUUUUUUUUGGGUACAUUACAUCUCUACGGGAGGAUGAUAAUCUAACGGCACUAAGUUAUAGUCGAAUCCUAGUUACCUUGAGAUUAUGGGAAUUUUGAGGUGAAGAAGAUGUUCUUUUGGAUCUGUUGGACGAAACUCGUCAUGAUCAAUGACACAAUCAAUGUCAACAACCAAUGGUGCUAGUGUCAUUUUUUUAGUGUAUCAUAUUUAGUACUCGAUCGUGAAGAUGAUUAGAGUCAAACCACUCUAAGUUGGAGGUUGAAAAGGGGAGGAUGGAAACAUGGCUCAGCCGGUGGCUUCUUGCUUAGCUUUAAGAUAGGAACAUGUUUGAUACUUUUUUUUUUUCUUUUUCUUAUGGAAAAAUGUACAUAUUUUGAUUGUGCAAUUUCAGAGAAGUAUAAAGAUAACGAAUGAGUGAUUUCUGUUACUACUCUUCUUGGAUGAUUUCAUCCUCCCUGUCUACUUUUUGAGUUUUUGUUGGAUCAAGACAUUGGACUCUGGCUACGAUAGUCUGUCUAUCAAGACUCAAAAGGGGCAACAAAAUAAGUUACAUUUCAUGGUUUUUUUUAUCACUAAUACUCACCUCAAUGAUUUCAAUUGAUGAACACAUGUUGGUUGGUUCCCCCCUUUUGUUCCUCCAAGUCCAACCCAACUGCUGGUGCCUUGCUACCACAAAUAUCUACCUAUAACACUUGAAAGUCUUGAUGGCCAACAAUAUUUUGCUUGUCAGAUUCUGAGUACAAUUAUUUGAUGAGUCAUAAUGAGCUGGGAUCAAUAAUUGUUCAAAUAUAUAAAAUGUGAUUACCACAUAAUAUUCCCAUUAUCGACCAUGAUCCACAUGCUAGAGAGAGUUACCUCUCUCUGUGGGCAGUCAUUUGCCAGGCUAAACAGCUUUACAUACAAACCUAGUGGAGUUAGAGGCUAAAUAUCCAGAAUUAUGGCUGUCAUGGAAAUGUCAUAAUCCAGAACAUUAACCCAUAGUUGAGAGGCAAUCGAAAGUAAGGAAGACGUUUAUAAAAAAAAAAAAAAAAAAAAAAGCCAUCAAUAUGCAAUUUUCACUAGACAACCAUCCAAAGUUGAGGUUUCCAAAGCAAUAUUUCAGAAAAUAUCGAAGCAGGCUCUUCUCCAUAUUCUAAAAGGAAAGGACUAACCAAGUAACUAUACCCAUUCCUGAUCCUACCAAGUAAGAAUUUCAUGAAAAUACUGCUUAAGUAUUUCCAUGUAACUGUCAUCUUAUAUGAUCCCAGACAAAGAGGACAAUCAAAUGAACAAUAUUGCUGGUUGAACGAUGUAAUGUACAAGACUUGUGCAGCAAGAGCCAUUGUCCUUGAAGAUUUCCAUGCAAGCUCUAGCUUGAACAGCAUCCAAAUCUCUUCCAAGAAGAUCCCUCAUCUUUGAUAUCGAUUGUCUCGCCUUUAGGAGGAACAGAUGAAGUAGCGCCUUCAUCACUGGCCUCGACUGCCUUCCUACUCACAAUGUGGUAUAUUUGUGUCAGGACUUCAGCAAAUGCAUUUUCCACAUUGGUUGCUUCCAGUGCAGAUGUCUCCAUGAAAAAGAGGCUCUCCCUCUCUGCUAAAGCUUUACCAUCCUCAGUUGAAACUGCUACAAGAUGCCGAAGAUCGGAUUUGUUGCCAAUGAGCAUAACUACAACAUUAGGGUCAGUAUGAUCUCUCAAUUCCCUCAACCACCUCUCAACAUUCUCAAAGGUAGAACGUCUAGUGACAUCAUACACAAGUAAAGCACCAACAGCUCCUCUGUAGUAAGCACUGGUAAUGGCACGGUACCUACAGCGGGCAAAGGAAGCAUAUAUGAAUGCAGAAGUUAAAUGCUUUACAAUUUAUGUAUGCAAUUCCAACUACUUGUCAUAAUUCAGAAAUGAAUUACAGCUCAAGUACUUGAUUUCAGCUGUAGUUCAUGUGAGCUAGAUACUCCUUUAACUUCGGCAUUAAAAAAAGUUCACAAAAUUAGAUUUAAACAUGAAAGUUUGCAAGAAAUAAGAACAAACAGAAAAAACUGAUUAGAGGAUGCUAUAAAGAAAUGCUAAUAUGAUUAAAAUUUUCUUGGUGGAGAUAUGGUCUAAACAAAAGUGCAGAGAAAGUAUGCAUGCUAAAAAAUUACACACAACAUGCAUGUAAUAUCUGUAAUAUCUGUAAGGCAAAAGUCCAGGAGCAAGGCACUUGAGACAACCCCUUGGAAUGGAAACAUACAAAGACCAACCUGUGACCUUCAAGAUCAUAAAAUCACAAAAAAACAACAUUAGGCUUCUAUCAAGGUGGUCUAUGAAGGGUAAUGCAGGCAAAGAAACAGUUCAAGAAAAUAAGGAAACUCAACGUGUUUUCUCAAGCAGAUGAACACAACUUUAAAUGUGACUAAACAUUCUCGUCCAUAAGUUUUAAGCUCCUUAUCUAAAGAGCACUACACACUUUAAUAAACUGGAAAAGAAUGAAACUCGAUCUCAUCAUGGACCAGAUGUCAGAAUAAGAUUUAUGUUCCAUGGCCUAGGAAGCAUAUGAUGCUGCCACUGAGAAGUUGCACUCUGAGGCAUAUAACCCAAACAAGAUUCAGUACUCCAACAUUCACAAUAAACUACUCUAGUUUAGAUCUGGUGCAGAUUUUAAACAAGUACAUGAUAAUUCAAAACCUAACAAUCAUUAAAUUACAGGAAAAAGGUAUAAGCAAAUAAAUCAGCGCCCAAGGACAUGCACACCAAUGGUAAGACUACAUAUAUCUCAAUGUUUGCUCCUUUCAGCACCCUCAUAUUUCUCCACAAUUUGUUCACAAAGAGCAAAUUCACUUAAGCUUUUAGGCUAGCAUAUCGAAUGAAAAUGAGCUCCUUAGGGGAAAAAAUUGCAGCAUUCUAAAAUGUUUUACUUCACAUAAGGGACUCCUCUUUAGCAUUUUCGAGCAAUUAAUUACAUAACUUUACCAAUCACAGUGUUGUAAUAGUUGCUUUCACAUCAGAAUCUUAAAGCACCUCAAACAAUACCUCAUGUGAUGCCAAGGAUUUGGAAAUAGACAACACCGGUUACAUGAGACCUAAGUUAUGUCCUUGUCAAACAAAAUCAGGUACAUGAGAUAGCCAUAACUUUCCUAUCUUGUUCACUAAAUAUUUAUUCCUAACCAGACAAAUAUAUAACCAGAUACAAUGCUUCCUCCUUAUAUAUCCAGUCACAAUCACUCUUAGCUUCCUCCUUAUCAGAACCCCAGUAUGCUUAACUUUCUACAAACUUCAGGAUUGAGUGCAGAUGAUUUUGACUCCAAAAAAAAUUGGAGUCAAUGUUUAGCCAGUAUCACAAUUACACCAGUUCAAAUAAUGAUAAAAUUGUUAUUUGGGUAUGAUAUCCCAAGUUAUUGCCGAAUGAGAACCAAUUAACAUUAACAUACAUGAUGAAAUAAAACAAUAAAUUGGAGCCCAAAACACAUAAUGAAGGAUGCUAAGCAUAACUGCUCAGUGAAACACCCAUUCAUUGAGGAUUAGACAUCUGAUUCUAUCAUAAGAAUUCAGCCAAGUACCAAUGAAUAAACAAAAAUGUAACAAGAUGCCAAUUGAAAGAUUACGCUAUUCUCUUUCCAAAUGUACACAUAUGGCCUAAUUACAUUAUCCCCUUCCAACUUUAGUCCAAGACAUUUAACCCCUUCAACUGACAAAAAAGUGGUCCAAGUGAAGAAUUCAUCAUCUAGAGAUUACGCAAACCAUUGAGAGGAAUUGAUUUACCUCUCGAAAAUAUUGUUUUUCACUUUAACCCAUUUGACAGGUAACAUCAAUAAUUACAUGAGCAAAACAAACAACCCGCAAAAGUAUUCAAAAUACUUUCAAUUGAACAGUUUGCAGAAUUCUACACAUAUUACAAUUGUAAUGACACCUUGUUGAUGCAUUUCAUAUCCAUCUAGAUUAUCAAAUUCAUCAUCUAAGUCAUUUUCCAUCCACGUAAACUACGUGUAUGUUUUUACCUCUAGAAUUCCAAUGUAACGGAUCAAAACGCAACACAACCAGCAUAUAUGGACACAUUUAUACAACCCAUGACAUAGAAGGAUCACUGCAACUUCUCCCAAGGAUAUUAUUGUCCAAUGGCAACAAAUUUUCUUCGAUCAGUAGCAUCAAGUAUAAACACACUGCUAGGAUUAUGAGUCUAGGUAAAACUAGAAUCAUAAAGCAAGGUACCAAAGAAGGAGAAGUACAACGACAAGCAGUAUCUCUUAUGAUGUGGAUUUUGGAGAAUAAAAAGAACAGAAUUUCCCAGCCUUAUUAUAGACCGUAGUGAUCUGAACCUGCCUACCAAUAAGGAAAAGCUUGAAGAAUAGUUGUUCACACAACUUAACUCUUCCCAGAAGUACAGUUAAAUUAACACGUGGCAUGAAGUUUGGCAUAUCACAAAGCUAAGCUCUUUGUCCCAUGCUCAAGUUAAAAGUGUGUAGAAACCUAGGCCUGUUUUGAAGCAAGAAAUAAGUGCAUGGCUAAGAAUCAUCUCAAGUUAAAUUAUUGAAAACUCUCUAUCUUCUAACACUAAAAUGGACACACAUCACAGUACAUCCUGUUGCUACGUUUAACAUGCAGAGAAUUACUCUUUAAAGGAUAAUCACAAUGGACAAUAGGCAUGACUGUUUUAAAAUCAUAACUUUUUCUUUAGGAGCCAUAUGGUAGGUAAUCUAAAGGUCAUAUGGUAUGUAACCUAGGGACCAUAUGAUAGGUAAUCAUAAAACAAUUAACCAUAAAAGGGAUUGAUGAUCAAUUUAAAUCACAAACAAGUAGCAUGGACAUCGUACUAUUCACUUCCAAGCAAUGGAUAAUUGGUACCUUGUUUAUAGACUACACAGACCACUAAGAACUCUCCCUCCUUGACAAGCAAGGAGUCAUACUGAUUAAAGCAACAAGUGACAAUCACCAAGUCAAGACAAACCCAUCAAUUUCCAUUUACAAAAUAAUCGAGGAAAUACCAAAAAACAAAAGAAAACUCCUACAAAGAUUUUUUUUUUGGGGGGGGGAGGGGGGGGUGCAUGGAAACCAUAAUAAAGGUUUCUGGAAGACAUUAGCAACAAUCAUUACACAAUUGGCUGCACCAAUCUUCAAUCUUCCAAUACAAAAAUCAAAACACAAAUAUGAAAAUCAUCAAAAAAACCCAUGCAAUCAACUGGCUUACUGUUGCUCAACUUUCCAAUUCAUCAAAAAAAAAAAAAAAAAAGAAACUGGCUUACUGUUGCUCAACCUUUCAAUUCAUCAAAAAAAAAGGGAAAAAGAAAGACAGAAAGAAAGAAAAUCACACAACUCACAGGUAAAUCGAUCAAACACAUCUAAUAGCGCAUUAUUUUUAUGCUCACCAAGGCAUAUCCACAUCUAUACACAUGAAACUAAUAAUAGCACGGAAAUAAACCCCCAUGGCAUAAAAAGAUUCAGUUUUGAUAAAACCCCAAUAAAAUAGUAAGAGGGGUUGAAGAUUAGGCAACCUUUCUUGGCCAGCAGUGUCCCAAAUCUGAGCUUUGAUAACCUUGGAGUCUACGUUAAGACUUCUAGUAGCAAACUCCACACCAAUAGUGGACUUAGACUCGAGAUUAAACUCAUUCCUGGUGAAUCUUGAAAGCAGAUUGGAUUUGCCAACCCCUGAAUCACCUAUUAGCACUAGCUUGAACAGGUAAUCAUACUCAUCUUCAGCUCUGUAGCGUGCCAUAACUGAUAUAUCUGGCUCUCCUUUUCUUUCAGUAGGUGUUGUGUGUGUGAAUUUCUCUGUUCCACCAGUAUUGGUUAGUAGUGGUGGUGACGGAUGUUGGUUAGGCAGCUGAGUCUUUUUUGAAAAAGGAGGUUUGAAGUGGGAAGGAAAUGGUAGAGACUGUUGUCGGGGGAUUUGCCUAGAUUCCUGCUUCCAGAAUUGAAAGAAAUCAGCCAAUAUUAAUUUACAUCUUUACCCUUUAAUUUUAUAUCCUCAACAUUCAAUGAUUCAACAAAGAGUAAAUCCUUGGGCUCUCUCUCUCUCUCUCUCUCUCUUAAUGAUGAAUAUGUUUGGAUAACAGAUAUUUGGGAUAAUUUUUUUUUAAGAAAAUACUGUAUUAGUUGUUUGAUAUGAUGUCCGUAAAAUAAAAUAAUUAUUAAAAAAUAUGUUGAUGAUGCAAUCAAAUAAAUGGCUAUUUAAACAAAUUCAACAUUUUUUGUGUACACGAUUUUAGAUAUAUGCACCCUUUAUUUUCUUAAAACUAAUCUUCUAAUAGAAAAUUUCUUAAGAAAAAAGAGAAAUUACUAUUAGAAUUUUUGAGUUUGAUAGAUAUCUUUCUUUCUGUUUUAAUACAAUAUUUUACGACUGAUCCUACAUUAAGAGGAGAGGGGGGGAUAGAGAUGGAUCCAACUAAGCUAUUGUAAAUUCGGAAGGAUUUUUUUUUUUAGUACAACAUUUUUACAAUUGAUCCUACAUUAGAGGAAGAAGAGAGGGGAAAAGAAAUGGACCCAACUAAACCAUUGAAAUUUCAAAAAGGAAUUUUUUUUAUUGCAAUAUUUUUACAAUUGAUCGUAUAUUAAGGGAAGAGGGGAGAGGAAUGAAGAUGGAUUGAGCUAAACUAUUGAGAAUUUGGAAAAUCCUAAAUGGAAAAUGUAGGCAAUGAAUUUUGAAUUCGUUACCUAUACCAAGGAAGAACUUUCACUUCUUAGUUUUUUUUUUUUUUAUGUAUUCUUUAAGACUUUUUUCUUCUUUUCACUUUUGAAAUAUACUUUUGCAAGUUUAUAAGAAUUCAUAUUCCCAAUUCUGCCAAUUGACUCCUUGCUAAUUCCAUUGACUUAUUAAGUACAUGAAACCAUUUAACUUCAUGGGUGAUCAAUAGAAAAGUCAAACGCAAUUUGGAGUAAUUGUGUGUACUAGUAAAAUUGUAGGACACAAAAAGCACUAAUAUCAUGACUCUCCACUAAAUACAUUAGGAUCACUCUUUCAAAAAAAAAAAAAAAAAAAAAAAAAAGAACACUAGGAUCACCUAUGACACCAUGUAUUUCAAGAAAUCUCCAUUAUGUGUUUCUGAAAAUUGAAAGUAGAGCCUCAUGGAGAGUAACUUGUAUGCAUUUGGGAAAGAAUAAUUACGUAGCAACAAAAUUGUAAUAAUGUAGAACAACUCACUCUAUAGUGUGUGUGUGUGCAGAGAUCUCAUGUUUAUCAGUCUUGUUUUAGCUGUAUAUUUUAGAGAUAUGUGGUGGAUAUUAGUCUCAAACUCUAGCUCUGCUUUUGCUUUAAUAUAAUGUGAUGCUUUGCUUGUCAUAUUCUGGUUGAUAAAAGCCAAAUGCGUGAUAGCCAGAUAAGCCAUGCAUGCCUUUCUCUCUCUCUUUUUUUUUUUUUUUUUGUAGUGCUUAAUUCUUCGGUAAGCAGUUGCUAGUAUCGAAUUGCGUAGACACCAUUUUAAGAUGAGUCGUAACAAGUUGAUGCAGCUAAGCGGAGCCCAGUUGUUAAAUGCAAGCCAUGGAUGAGGUUAAAGUCCAUUAAUUCUCUGUGGACAAACUGGUGCAAUAUGCCCAAAAUAAGCACCGCAUUCACUGGCCCAAUUUGAUUGCAUUAGCUGCAGCAUGCAUGCAGUAUCCAGCUGUAGUUGUCUGUCUCACUUAAUAUAUCUCAAAUAAGGGUGCUGUCGAGUUGAGUUAUACCUGAGCUCGACUUGAUUCACACCCAAAUUCGAGUAUAUAUCCGUUCAAGACAUAUAGCUUGUGCUCGAGCUCGAUUCGAUAAGGUUCGAGUAGAUUAACUCGAAAGCUCGAUCUCUUACUUAGAAUUCAGAGACCCAAAAUUUUCAAAAUUCACAGCCUUUAUUUCACAAGAUUCAUUGCAUUUCAAAUGUAAAGAGCUGCACAGCAGACAGGAGCCCUCUGAAUUUGUUGGGGCUAUCAAGAUCUUUGGUCAAAGAUUACUACUAGUACUAAUUUGCUCUUGGCACCAUAGGUGGCUGAUCCUGCAAGUCCGGAAACCUGUCUUUGAAAAUGCGCCACGUGUCAAGCUGAGAUGGACAGCCAGCUGGCAAAGUUAAAUCAAAACACGCAUCCCAAGGGAUGGUUUCAAAAAACUUUCCAAGCUGUCGUCCGUACGCUCACAGGCCGAGGGUUGACCCAACAAAACAAACGCCGAGUCCACUUAAAUCAAAUGCCAAACGUGUCAUAUUGCCCAGCCCAAACGUGCAGCGCACGUGGUCAUUCACCGCGUGCUCCCCACAGCUGGCGUUUUAGUCCGGAAUUCUAAGUCGGCUGGCUAAACCUUAUCCUCCUCCUUUUUGGAGCUGUGAUAAAUCCACCCGGAUUUCAUCAAACCAGCUCUUAAUCUAAACUUAAUAAUAUCUUUUUGCAUAUAAUGACGUCUUUUUUUUUUGGCGUUUUGAGCAGCCAUCAUUUUCAAGAUUGAUGGCUGAGUAAUUGAAUACUCUAAUCUCUUCUACCCUACACAACGAAGAAAAUCUCCUAGCUGAUUAAUAUAUUGUAUGAUGAGACAAAUAAGGGGACAAUAAAUGAUAUUAAAGUUAGAAAAAUGAUUUAUUAAGUGACUUUAUAACGAUUUUUUAAUUUUUGACACGUGAACAUAUCGUAUUACAAUAGGGUGAAGUUUAACUCUUAAAAUUAAUGAUACAUAUAAUAAUUAUGGAAAAUAUUGAAUGAAUUAUUUAAUAGUAAUGCAAGUAUUAGAUUUUCAUCAUAAAAUAAAAUCCGUUAUGACUGCAAACAAAAUAGUAAGGGGAAUGACAAAAAUUCAUGCCCAUGGUAAGUUUUAGAGUGUAAUACACCAUUUGAGAAAAAAAAAAUUUGUCUGUAUUAUAAAUGCAUUUUUCGUUCACUUUUUUUAAUCAUCUUUUAUCAAAAUAUUUCAAUUAUGAACUUUAUUCCAUAAUGCACAUUUACAGUAAAACAGCAUUCACAAUAUUGAAACAAAUGUGAUCAAAAGUAUUUCUAUUGUAUAUUUUUUAGUUCUGCAGUGUGUACUAUAUUAUAUAUAUAUAUAUACACAUUUCAUGCAAAGUCCAUAAUUAUUUUCUAUAGUUCUUUGAAAUAGACCCAAAUUUGACCCCAAUACACCUCCAAAGAUCAAAGCUUUCUCCCCGAAAAGAUUCAAAAGAUUCACCUGAUUUAAUAACAGAGGUCAGUUUCGCUUCUCAAUUUCAGGAUGUCUUUCAUCCUUUUUCAAUUUGAGUUUUGCAAAUUUAGGGCUUUUGAUAAUUGGUUUUUCUCUUGUUCACGUUUUUCUCAGUUGGGCUUUGCUUAGAUCACUAAUUUAUUCAAUUACAGUAAACGGGUUUCUCUUUAAUUGGCUUGAUGUCUUGCUUUCUUCAUUUUCUACUGCAUUUGUUGAAUUUUUAGUUGUAAUUUAGUGUAGAUUGUUUCUGAAUUGAUUCUUUUAUGUGAAAAAGGUGUUCUUGGGCUCGUGCAGAUAAUUGAAAACUAUCAAUUUGAGGGGAAAAGAAGAAUUUUGAGUUGUGGGGUUUAGGUUGGCGACUUUUGUUCUGAAUUUUUUGGGGAGAUAAUACAGAACCUUGGAAAAAUGUUGUCAAGAUCGUAUACUAAUCUCUUAGAUUUGGCAUCCGGGAAUAUUCCGGUAAUGGGUAGAGAGAAGGAAAGGAGAAGGUUUCCUAGGGUCAUGACCGUGCCCGGAAGUAUAUGUGAGCUAGAUGAUGACCAGGCGCAUAGUGUUGCGUCGGAUAAUCCGUCUUCAAUAGCUGGUGAUAGGAUGAUAGUUGUGUCAAAUCAGUUGCCAUUGAAAGCUAAGCGAAGACCUGAUAAUAAAGGAUGGAGCUUUACUUGGAAUGAGGAUUCAUUGCUUCUGAGGCUUAAAGAUGGUUUGCCAGAAGAUAUGGAAGUGCAAUACGUUGGGUCACUGUGCGUUGAUGUUGAUCCAAUUGAACAAGAUGAUGUUGCCAAUUAUCUUUUGGAAAAAUUUAAAUGCGUGCCGACUUUUCUUCCGCCGAAUAUUGUGGAGAAGUAUUACAACGGUUUCUGCAAGAAGCAGUUGUGGCCGCUCUUUCACUACAUGCUGCCAUUUUCUGCUGAUAAUGGAGGGCGGUUUGAUCGUUCCAUGUGGGAAGCAUACGUGUCGGCCAACAAGAUAUUUUCGCAGAGAGUGAUUGAGGUGCUAAAUCCUGAGGAUGACUUUGUUUGGAUUCAUGAUUAUCAUUUAAUGGUGUUGCCCACUUUCUUGAGGAGGCGCUUUACUCGAUUGAGGAUGGGGUUCUUCCUCCACAGUCCAUUUCCUUCAUCAGAGAUAUACAGGACACUUCCUGUUAGAGAAGAGAUUCUUAAGGCUUUACUUAAUUGCGAUCUUAUUGGUUUUCAUACUUUUGACUAUGCCCGGCACUUCCUCUCUUGUUGUAGUCGCAUGAUGGGCUUGGAGUAUUUAUCAAAAAGGGGUUAUAUAGGGUUGGAUUACUUUGGUAGGACCGUUGGUAUUAAAAUCAUGCCCGUUGGAAUACAUAUGGGCCAUGUUGAAUCAGUGAUGAAACUUGCUGAUAAGGAGAUGAGGUAUGAAGAGCUGAAGAAGCAAUUUGAAGGGAAAACCGUGUUGCUUGGGGUCGAUGAUAUGGAUAUCUUCAAAGGCAUCAAUUUGAAAAUCCUAGCUAUGGAGAAUAUGCUCAAGCAACAUUCGAAAUGGCAAGGAAGGGCAGUGCUGCUUCAGAUUUUAAAUCCUGUUAGAGGAAGAGGGUUGGACUUGGAGCAAAUACAGGCUGAAAUACAGGAAAGCUGCAACAGGAUCAAUGAGAAAUUUGGAAAGCCUGGAUAUCAACCUGUUGUUCUAAUUGACAGGCCUGUGCCCAUCUCAGAGAGAAUGGCUUAUUACAGGAUUGCUGAGUGUGUUGUGGUAACUGCAGUAAGGGAUGGGAUGAACCUGACCCCAUAUGAAUACAUUGUUUGUAGACAGGGAAUACCUGGUGCAGAAGCAGGCUCAGAUUUGAGUGGAACCAAAAAGAGCAUGCUGGUUGUUUCAGAAUUCAUUGGGUGUUCUCCUUCCCUUAGCGGGGCAAUACGAGUCAACCCAUGGAAUGUUGAAGCAACUUCUGAGGCACUGAAUGAGGCUAUAUCAAUGUCUGACCAAGAGAAAGAACUGCGACAUGAGAAGCAUUAUCGUUAUGUAAGUACGCAUGAUGUGGCAUAUUGGGCAAGAAGCUUCCUGCAAGACUUGGAGAGGACAUGUGCUGAUCAUUUUAGGAAGAGAUCUUAUGGCAUAGGUUUGGGAUUCGGGUUCAGAGUUGUAGCUCUGGAUCCUAACUUUAGAAAGCUUUCAAUUGAUGAUAUUGUGUCAGCUUACACUAAGGCUCAGCAUAGGGCCAUAUUGUUGGACUAUGACGGGACUGUAAUGCCUCAAAAUUCCAUCAUCAAAACUCCAAACCCUGAAGUGCUCUCUAUCUUGAACACACUCUGUGGGGAUCCAAAUAAUGUGGUCUUCAUAGUCAGCGGAAGGGGGAGGGACAGCUUAAGCAGAUGGUUUGAGCCUUGCAAACAGCUGGGACUUGCAGCUGAACAUGGCUACUUCUUAAGGUUUGGUUUCCUAGAACGUGUUUUUCUGGUUUCAAAUUUUCAUUGACAUCUUUUAUGGCUUCAGAUGUUCCAGUGGUGCUGUCUUGUGUCCGGUUUGAUGCCUUGAAAUGGUUUUACACUGAAACUUCACAUAGUUAUCGUCUAUUUUUGCUAAUAAUAUAUAUAGAAGUAUUCUUCUGAUUGACGAUUUGUUGUUCUUUAUACUUGUCCUGGUAAGUAGGUUUACUGUUCACUCUCUUUGGGAAUCCAAUUGGAAGGCACUUAUGAAGUUAAUGAAGAAAUGUGGUCAAAAUUGAUUCUGAGGGGCUUCUGGUUUUAAGCUUUGUGUCUUUAGGGUUUAAUGGGGUUAGGUAAAUAGUUAGCCUACACAUUAAUUCGCAACCUGUACAGCUUCUCUAAUGAUGGGGUCAGUGGUUAACUAAAUACCCAGUAACUACUCAAGUAGUUUAUAGAGGACCUUCAUUUUGCUGGAGUAGUGAAUGUUUUAGCUUCAUUUCUUUUUCUCUCUUGACCAGAUAUUUUGUAAACGUUAAUGCUUAAGUUGGAAUGCAGUUAAGGAUACUUGGUGGUUUCUAGGAGCCCAUUAUCUAGAUAUGGGUGCUAAUGGAGCACUCCGGGUAAGGGUUUCUUGUGGAAAGAAAUUAAUUGGGAUUGGACAAUUUGGUACUGGAAAUGCUAUACACAGAACCAAUAAACAACACAAAAAAAAAAAAAAACAAAAAAGAACCAAUAAAAAAACCACGUUUCCUUUGUUGUUGUUUUGCUCUAUUACUAAUUCUGCAAAUUGGCAGGUGGUCACAACAUAAAGACUGGGAGACCUGUGGUCAGAAUUCUGAAUUUGGAUGGAUGCAAAUUGCUGAACCUGUAAUGAAAUCGUAUACUGAGGCAACAGAUGGUUCUUGCAUUGAGAAGAAAGAAAGUGCUUUGGUCUGGCAGUAUGGGGAUGCAGACCCAGACUUUGGGUAUUCUCAGGCAAAGGAGAUGUUGGAUCAUCUUGAGAGCGUUUUAGCAAAUGAGCCUGUUUCUGUAAAGAGUGGCCAGCAUAUCGUAGAAGUCAAGCCACAGGCAUGUAGUUUGCUUCUUGAUUUGCAUGUUAACUAUUUUAUUCUACUUUUAGUUCUUAUGUUUUGUCUACCUGUUUGAUUGUCUUCUGCAAGCAGACUGGCCUGAUUUUUAUUGUAGCUCAGCAGAAUUAUGAAUGAUAAUAAAUGAUGUUGAAGUCCUCAUGAAUUUAUAAAUGACAGUGAAGUCCCCAGCACUUAUAGUGUUGGCAUUAUAAGAGUUACUAAUAAUUUUAUAACUUUGCUUAUGCAGUCCCAUUCUUCAUGUACUAUAUGAAUCUAUAAAUGAAAAUGAAAUCCGCAGCCCUAUACACUCAUCAAGAUCUGUUUAACCAUUUGUAGUCACCCUUAGUGGGUUGUCUUUGUAUUGUGAGGUCAUUUAUUUUCUUGUUGUGUUGUUUCCCAGUAUGAUUACUUGGUUGCUGCACUUUCAUUUGGUUCUCUUUCCUUGUAACCUUCUUGGAAUGUUAAUCUCGUUGAGCAUAGAGUGCGGAAGGAAUUGGUGGAUACUAGCUUCAUAAUUUACCUGAUAGGUUGGGAAUCAUGUAGAUGCGGAGUAUGAUUUUCCUUUGAGUGCAGCUACAUCAUUUAGCAAUCUGGAGUUGAUUAUGUUUACUCGAUCAUUUUGCAAUGGAUUGUUUAUAUUAUUUUAUUGUAUUAAAUAGGGUUCCUUUUGCUUUCAUUUCUUCUGUGUCCAUUGCUUUUCAUUAACAUAUGCAUUGUGAUUCUAAUCUGAUAAUGGUUGGGAUAUGUUACACCUAAUUAGACUACUGGUUAUCUAAAACAACUGAUUGAUUUUGCCUCAUAGUUUGAGAAGUAAAUGUCUAAUAAACAAUUCAGCCAACUUGGUUACUGUGGGUCUCCAGCAGUAUAGUGCAACACUUACACAUUUGGCUUUGAAUUUUGAACAUCAUAAUUGGGAGUGUCUAAUCCUUGUGUUCUUUCAGGGGGUCAGCAAAGGCUCAGUUGCAGAAAGAAUAUUUACAUCCAUGGUGGAGAAAGGGAAACAGGCUGAUUUUGUGCUUUGCAUUGGUGAUGACAGAUCUGAUGAGGAUAUGUUUGAAAUUAUAGGCGCUGCAAUAUCAAGAAAUAUUCUUUCUUACAAAGCUGAAGUAUUUGCCUGCACAGUUGGACAAAAACCGAGUAAAGCGAAAUACUACUUGGAUGACCCAUCUGAGGUGAUAAACAUGCUUGACUCUCUUGCUGAUGCCACUCAUACUCCAGUUACCUCUGAAGAUGAAACAGAAGAUUCUUCCUGAAACAAAUCAUCAGGUUUCUUAUUGAUUUCUUCUACACAUGGAGUUCCUGAUUUGGUGGUGCAUGUAUGCUUAGAAGGGCAUUAGGUUUUAGAUUUAGGAAAUCAAGUCUAGUAGUCUUCCCUUUCUGCUUUGCGUUUAUUUACCUCUUGUCUCUAUUUCUUCAGUGCCUUCCAAGAUAGAUACCAAUCCAGUGAGGAGAAGGCAAAGUUUUGUUUGGUGCAGAAUUCUUUUUGGGGUGAAUCUAUUAGAAGUAGUUGGGAUCUUGGGAUGAAUUUAAUGACAGGAAGGUGUGAUUUUGUGAGGUUAGAUUUUAGUGCGAAACUGUGGACAGGAUUUUAAGCGUGUUCUUGGUGGUAAAUGACAAUAAUUGUGCAUUACUGAAUCUGGUAAUCAGAGAGAUUGAGGCUGUCGUAACUAACAUGGAUGAAGUUUGGCGCUAUUCCUCUUAAUUAAUGGAAGCAACAUAAUUUUGAAUUUCUGAAUAUUCCUUGGCAUCUUGUUGAGAAUAUAACAUGUUGUCUGCUUGAACUUCACAUGCCGUAGAUGAAAAGGAUCCUUUGGCACUUGUGAUACCAUUUGGGAGUUGAGGCUUGUUGCCCUCGUUGUAGACCUGAGAUUGUUUAUGGCCUCCAAAGGAGCAAAUUACCUAUGCAUGAAGGGUGACCUACUGAAUGAAGUCUGUCAAGGUCUGAAGCCAGAAAAUCAGUAUUAAAAUGUUAGAUCAAGGGAAUUUGUAUUUCUGCAUUUGUCCUGCUUGACUGGAGAAGAAGGCCGCAAUGUUCUUUUGGAUGGCAAUAUUUGUACUAAUGAAAGCAAUGUGGAUGCAAGAAUUAGAAUAAUCAUGACAAUAAUUCUGUUUGGCAGACAUAGUUCACCCUGGAUCUUAACUGUAGCAUUGGCUUGUCACCCUUUUGAAUUCUUUUCGAAAUAAACAUUGGUAUAUUGUUUAUACAUGUACAUAUUCUGGCAUGCUGUUGUCCUCUUGAAGUUGAACAUCCCAGUUCCAUAAAUCGGAUUGUUUGUUUUGUCAUAUCUAGUUAUUUAUGUUGGUCUUUCAGUUCCAUUGUUGUAUGAUCAAAAGGUUGUUUACUUAAAUUCUUUUUAGUGUACCGGAUUACAGGAGGAGUUUUGUACUUCGCUUAACAUAAAUGCUGUUUGCCCAGGGGAAAAAUGUUUGAUAUGCCGUGUAUUUUGCUGAACAUCGAAUACUGUACCACGCCUUUUCAUCUUUCUGUGCACCAGCAUUUUGCCUGUCAGAAGAUUCACACCACCUACUUUGGGACCCAAAGAAGGAAGAUAAUACACCUUGGCGGCCAACAUUUUGUCAUUGUUCAAGACUAGAGAUCUUCUUGUUUUUAAUCUGGUGAAAUGAGGACACUGUUGUGUUCGCUCUCCGACUUUGAAGUUUAAACAAUUUGCUGUCAAAGAGUUUAUCCUCGGAGUUUAAUACUAUCACUGAGAUAACAUUCUGCAUCUCGAUUAUGCAUGUGUGUGAUACGCAGUGAUUGUAAAGUCAGUCAUUACCCAAAAACAUCAUCAAUGUUCACAACAUGAUCUGCCAACGCAUGUAUGAAGUUGAAGCUGAUGUUUUAACUCCACUUCCAUUGCUCCUUCCAAGACAUUCACUACUGUGGACAUGCAAGGCCUUCUUGUAUGAUCAUCUUGCAGGCACCGAGCUGCGAUUCUUAUCAUCCUCUCCACUUCCUCUGCAUUAUUCUUCAUGUCCUGGUCAAAAUUUCUCACAAUGUCAAGUAACUUGUUUUCUUUAGACUUCCACUGCAAGAGAUUCAACGGAUGCGAGCAAGAUUCUGAGUGAUUAUCAACAUUUCUCCUUCCACUAAUUAUUUCAAGGAGGCCAAUCCCAAAACUGUAGAUAUCAACUUUUUCUGUCGUGAAUCGCCGUUCUGGAGCAAUGUAUCCUGGAUUUCCUUUGAUGGUUGUGACAACUUGGCUCUUGUCUCUGUCUAUGAGCUUAGACAGCCCGAAAUCAGAGACUUUGCCGUUGAAGUUUUCAUCCAGCAGGAGCUUUUGUGGUUUUACAUCAAGGUGGACGACUUUCUGGGAACAUUCUUCAUGUAAAUAAGCUAAUCCUUUUGCUACAUCAAUUGCUAUCCUCUUGCGGAUCUGCCAAUUCAGCUAACGCUCUGGAUCUCUGCUGAAAAUCCAUUUGUCCAGUGAUCCAUUAGGCACAUAUCCAUAUACCCGAAGCUGGUGAGAUUUGUCCUUGCAAUAUCCUAUCAAUUUCACGAGAUUGAAAUGAUGGAUGCUUCCAAUUGUUUUGACUUCAGCCAAGAAUCCCUUCAUAUCCAGACUUGGUUUCUCCAAAUGCUUAACAGCAACGGAGGUUCCAUCCUGUAACCUUCCCUUAAACACACUCCCAAAUCCUCCACCACCUAGCUUCUCCUCAAAAUUGCUUGGUGCCACACGGAGUUCCUCGUACGAAAACCUCAUAGGCAACCCUGGCAUUUGUAUGCUACUAUCUUUCUCUCCUUCUGGCUGUCUUGGAGGUUUUAUACUGUCUUCUACUUUUUCUUCCUUUCUUGAGAUCAACAUGUAGAUUGUGCCAAGCAAACAAUGAAAGUACAUGCACUUACAACUAUAACAGGAAUUCCCCUAAAGAUCACUGCAACAACAAAGGUGCCAACAAGAAAUGAAGAACACCAAUAUCAACGGGAGGCAAUACAAGUAACCUUUUUGCUGAAAGUGCUGAGGGCAGAAUUGAUGCUGGCAUGUUAUAACUUGUGGCACAGGGAGAGGAAGCAGGACUGGAAUUUUUACUAUUUUGCCUGACAAAAAUCUGAGAAUUUGUCUUCCCUUGAAAGAGGGAAUUAUACGUUCUUGCUAAGAAUGCAUAGCUGAAUAGUGAUUGUUUAUCAUACUAUAAAGCUUCCAACUAUCUGCCAUUUGGACUCAAAGUGAAUCGAGGUCAUCCUUGACUCUUUGUGUCUCUCUUACGUAUGCCCUUGUGUUGAUGACCAAGCAACUCUUCAAACAUCGACUAGUAAGUAAAGAUUUCUUCUUCCUUGUGGACCAGAUUGCAUGUCUUAACUGUAACCAAAAGUUUACAUCUUGAAGGACAAAUAAUUUGCAAUUUUCCAGUCAAUGCCGGUUCACACUAGAAAUUGGAAAUUUUCAGAAAUUUCGUUGUCAGUGGCAAGAGGCAACCAAUAGAUUACCUAGAGAGAGAGUAAACAUGAACUUGGAGAAGUCAUGCCUUUCGUUGUUAGUGAAACCAUGAAAUAGCAAAGUGCUCAGGAUAUUCAUCCGUCUUCUUUAGCCUUUCGUCGGAUUCGUUCAGGGAGGGAAGACCUUUUUUUUUUUUUUCAUUUUUUUGUGGGUUUAAGAAAAAGCUGUUCAUUCAGGGGACCCAUUUGACAUGAGGGGAGAUUGAUGAGAGGCUUUGUCACUCAUAUCUCAAUCAUUUACCUGCACAAGGAAAAAUAUGAACUGAAGUCUUCCACAUUGAUCAAAGUUGAUUCACAGAAUUUUCCACAAAAAUGAAUGAAUUAAGAUUGUUGACUUUUUUAUUGUAGGAAUAUUGCUACAUUCAGAGAAGAAAAAAGGCUUCAUGGUAACUAAAACCCACAAAACUUUCGAUUUUUCUAAUGUAAGUUGUAAUAAUAUGGUUACUGUCCGAGAAGAAAAAUGAUGAUGAUGGAAGUAACCGCUAACUAGUAAGAAUGAAAAAAGGUUACACCUGUUCCCCUCACCAAUAAUCUCCACAAGAACAAUAUCCAUUUUUGAAAUGAUGAAACCUACUAUUAUCUCGCACAAUAAUUUCCCGGUUUUUGACCUUCGAUAUGUACUUGAUAGCAACAUGACAAUCGCUGCAUACACGCAAAUUCUUCAUCACUCUGAUCGGAAAACCCUUUGGAGUGUUCAUCAGAGCAAAAGCAAUUGCCAGCUUCUCACUGUGGUGCACUAGGUUGUACUCCUUUUCCUCCACAUCCAUGUCAUGCAACACUGAGCCAAUAUCAGGCACAUAACCUUCUAUUCUUAUUUCUUCCAUCAGUUCAUUCAAGUAAUUCUCAAUCUCCUGUGCCAGCGGAUGAGAUUUAUCACCCAUAAUGAACUGAUAAAUCUGGUUCUUUAUCUCCAACCAGCUUAUGCCUGGCUCCUUCUUCACAUUUUGAUCUCUCAUUGCUUUUCGCAACUCUGAAACAUCCUUCCAUCUUCUGGUAGAGGCCUGAAUAUUUGCAAGGAGAACAUAGGCGGAAGAAUCUCGAGGAUCAAUUUUCAAAACUUCUUCACCUAUCCUUUUAGCCAUAUCUGAAUCUUUAUGAAUCUUACAGGCUGAUAACAAAGUCUUCCAUAUAACAGCAUCUGCCUUGAUUGGCAUUGAUCUAAUAUAGCCUUCUGCCUCGUCUAAACAGCCUGAUCUACCAAGUAGAUCCACAACACAUGUAUAAUGCUCUAAUUGAGGCUCCAGUCCAUACUUUUCCACCAUCACCUUGAAUAACUCAAGUCCCUUUUCUUUCAUUCCGCAAUGACUACAAGCAUAUAGUAAACUCAAGAAAGUGACAUCAUUCGGCUCCAAACCUUCGUGCUCCAUCCUAUCAAACAAUUCCACAGCUUCCUUUCCUCUUCCGUGAAAUCCAUAAGCAGCAAUUAUAGAACUCCACAAAACAAGAUCAGCUCCCUCUCUUUCCUCAAAAACCUUCACAGCAUCAUCCAAACAACCACUUCGUGAGUACAUGCUAACUAAUGAACUAAUAACAGGAACGACAGAAAGGGCGCCAACCUUGAUGACAUCAGCAUGAAUCUGCUGGCCCUGCCCAAGUGUGGCCAGCUCAGAACAUGAACUGAUCACGCUCACAAAUGUGAUCUUAUCCGGCCUAAACCCAGACAUUCUCAUUAUGUUGUAAAUAUCCAAGGCACCCUCUGAACACCCAUUUUGGGACCUCCCUGCAAUAAGUGUAUUGAGAACAGCCACACUAUGCAUCGGCAUCAAUCUAAUAACUUUCUCCCCUUCCUUUAAGCUCCCUGAUCUCAUAUACAUAUGACCUAACGAACUUCCAACAAUCAAAUUCAUCUCGAAACCUGACUUAACCACAUAUCCAUGAACUUGCUUUCCCUUAUUCAAGUCCUUCAACCCAGCACACCCUCUCAAAACACUCCCAAGAGUGAAUACAUCAGGUAAAAAUCCCAACUUGUGCAUUCUGGAAAACAAACUCAACCCAUCUUCGUUAAACUCGAACUGGACCGUACCAACGAUCAUCGCAUUCCAAGUGGCUAAAUUCCUAUCACCCAUUUCAUCAAACAGCUUAAACGCACUAUCCAAAUCACCAUGCUGAAUGAACCCUCCAAUUAAAAUGUUAAACGACAUAGUAUUUCUGUUGGGCAUUUUUUCGAACAGUGAGACUGCGGCGUCCAAACGGCCUAAUUUGGAGUACGCAUUGAGGAGAUGGUUGACUACAAACUUUUCCUUGAAGCAGCCAGCUGUCAAGAUGAGAGAAUGGAGUUGCUUGGCAAGGGAGAAAGAUUGGGUUUGGAUGCAUGCUUUUAGGAGGUCAGAAAAGAGAGGUGGAUAUGACCAUAUCAAAGAAGUGAAGUUGGUGAAGGCUUCGUCAAUAUGGCCUCUUGAGCAGAGGUUUUUGAACUCUGCUGUUAAUGAUUUUGUGCUGAAAGAAUGGGAGGUAAAAUUAUGGAGGGGAAGGCGAAUUGUUGAAGUCAAAAGGCCCAUGCAUUUGUGUUGGUUCAUAGGAUUGUCCAACACCCAAGCAGACUGGCUGCAUGAGGCAGCGUCACUGGAUGCAAGUUUUUCUCCCUUGUUAGUACAAGCAACUGGUUCCCAAAGCAAAUGAGCAAAUUACUUUUGGAUCCAAUACCUAAUUGUUUGUGGCAGGUUACUUUCGUGUACAUGCAAGACAACUCCUAAACAUUAUUAAACUAUUGGAUCAAAUUAUGUUUAUACUUUACUGUUAAUGCAGAGUAAUCUUUUAAACGUUACUUUUAAAAAAUUUGCGUUAAUUUUAACAUCGAGGUAUCAAUUAAGAAAGUGCCAGCAAAUUUACAUCCAACACUUUUGAGUCUAGAAUAAUUUUAACAAGAUACAAUUGGAUUGAAGCUUUAACAUAAUUCAACUAGAAUGAAGUUUUCAACUUAUGUAACUUGUAGUUAUAGACUCUGAGAUUUUCAAGAACCACAUGCCUGAUGAUGAGUUAAUAUUUGGACAUUAAAUGCAUCAUUUUCAGAGAAGCAGGUCAAAGAACAUGCAUGCUUUCACUUUCCUUUUAGAAGAGGUAUUGACCAUAAUUCAUGCUUCACAAGGGUAUGAUAUAUAUGUUGCUUAACCAUUUGCCAUCAGCACAUUGAUGUUAGGCCAAUACCCACAAGGAGAAGAUGAAACUACUAUCUUGAUGGUGACAUACAAUGGAAGGUGAAUCUGAAUUCUGCACAUUCUACUUACAAUUAAUAGCAAAUUACACGUACAUUAUGCAAAAUUUGGGAAUAUUGUACACUCAAUGAACUGAAGAUGUAUAAUCAAGCUUAACUACUAUGUACUACUUGGUGCAAUUAUACAGCUACUGGUGUUGGUACAGCAGGAGGAACCCUGUUCUCAGCUGGAAUUUCGACAAACUCAGAGAGGAUUGCUCGGAAUUCAUCUCCAGUCAACGUCUCUUUCUCAAGGAGGACUUCAACAAUUUUAUCAAUUGCUUCGCGGUUAUUCCUAAUGUGGAUUAAAGCAACCUCAUACGCAGUAUCUGAAAUUCUCUUGACAGCAGCAUCAAUGUCUUCAGCAAGCUUCUCGGACAUUGAAUUCCUAGCCAUCAUUCGCAUAAUGACGUCGCCACUUUGAGCUGAUGAGUCCAUCAAAGACCACGGGCCAAUAUCUGACAUGCCAAAGGUGACCACCAUCUGCAAAAAAGAUUGAACACCUAAUUUAUUUCCACAGAAGUAGAAAUGUUCAAUGUACAAAUAAUGUAUGUAAAACUACAAAGGAACGUGGCCAAUUGAUUGUUCUAAGAUCAUUCUGAAGUACUUAAAAGUAUUCUAGGAGAAAUCCUUCCAACAGGCGGUUUGAGCUGCCUAAUCCAGUUCUUUGGAAGUUUAGGUAGAGGACUUUGACCAUUCUCUGUGCUUUUCAAUCCCUCAAAACUAAAAGAUUAUAGAAAUUGGCUACAGAACUUGCAGCAUUGUGACUGAUUUGAAAGGAUUCAAAAUGAUUGUUGAAUUCCUCAAAGAAGUCUAGCCACCAUAGAAUGAUAAGUAAAGAAAAAUGUUUGAAAAGAGGAAAGACUGAUACACCUGUUUGGCCAAACCAGUAAUCUGAUACAAAUCACCAGCAGCACCUGUUGUCACCUCAGGCUCGCCAAAGAUCACUUCCUCAGCAGCUCUUCCACCAAGCCCCCCAACAAUUCUAGCAAAGAGUUGCUGCUUGGAGAUCAAGGUUGGGUCAUCUGCAGGAAUAAACCAGGUCAGACCCCGAGCCUGACCACGUGGGACUAGGGUGACCUUCUGAACAGCAUCAUGCCCUGGAGUGAGAGUUCUGGAUAAUAACAAACUUGAGACAUUAGUCUAGACUCUAGAGUCUGUAUAAACAAUUCUACUUGAUCUUACCAAAAAAAAAAAAAAAGGAAUCGGCUCCAAUCAGGUAGAUAUCAGGAAGAUCACAAUUUUCUUAGAUCUUAAUCCACACAUCUCUCAACAGCAUUAAGUUAAUCCAUUCAUGUCUAAUGACUUGAUUUGCAUACUUGAAAUCUCAUGUAAAACUAACACCAAGCCACCAACUAGAUCUAAAGAAUUUUAUCCUAUAUUGUUCAACUUGUGUGCUUCUUUGUGAAUCAGAAGUGAAGCAAGGAUAUGAGCUCAAAAUGCAUAGAUUCAGAACUGAGCAUGAAAAUCAGCUAAUGAUUGUGAAAAAUCUGAAGAAGUCGAGCUCCAGUAAAUACUAUCAUGACUAUCAUCACAUAGAAAUAGUGACUAAAGCUCAGUAUCAAGGACAGAUCUUAGGAAAGUGCCAAACCAGGGAUGCAAGUUCAAAAUACUGGAAUGUCUUAAUCUCUAAUAACAUACGCAGGUCCCCAACCCCAUUUCCAGUAAUAUGAGAAAAAAUGAAAAAUCAUUCACUUCAUAGAAUCCAUAAAGUUUGACUUAAGGCUUAAUUGUUCAGGUGCUGAAUACUGAUUACAAGAGGCAGCAGGGUGAAAAGUGAUAAUUAAUAUAAAAAACAACUUGCCAAAGUUUGUAUUCCACCAGACUGUAGACUUAAUAACCAUGGGAGGAUGUAAGCUUUAGCCUUAAUUUUAUUUAUCUAUUAUUUUUUUUCAAAGAUGACUUGUCAGGAUAAAAUACCUCGAAUUAAUUAAGACAAGCUUGACAAUCUCAAAACUUACCCACAGACAGCAUGCCCAACUUCAUGGUAUGCAACCAGACUUUUGCUCUUGCCAUCAGUCAUAACUGUCCCUUCCAUUCCUGCAACUAUUCUAUCAAUUGAAUCGUCAAUCUCUUUUGAUGAGAUUGCUGCCUUCCCACGUCGGCCAGCCAAGAUAGCAGCCUCAUUUAAGAGAUUAGCAAGAUCUGCUCCACUAAAACCAGGUGUUCUCAUGGCUAUCACUUCAAGAGACACAUCUGAAUCAAAUUUUUUAUUGCUAGCAUGAACUUUUAGAAUUUCUGUUCUUCCCCGAAUAUCUGGUACAUCAACGGUUACCUGUGCAAGAGCACAAAAUUAAAUAUUUUCCAUUAAACAAGUAUUUUCCAUUAAACCUCAGUUUGAGGAGUGAGAAUCACUGAAGAAGCUAUACCUGUCUAUCAAAACGACCUGGUCUCAACAGGGCAGAGUCAAGAAUGUCAGGACGGUUAGUAGCCGCAAUUACAAUAAUGCCAGUGUUUCCUUCAAAACCAUCCAUUUCUGUCAAAAGCUGGUUGAGGGUCUGUUCUCUUUCAUCAUUGCCUCCUCCAAUGCCAGUUCCUCUUUGCCGCCCAACAGCAUCAAUUUCAUCAACAAAUACAAUGCAUGGAGCGUUCUCCUUUGCUUUCUUGAAAAGAUCACGGACACGAGAGGCACCGACACCAACAAACAUCUCUACGAACUCUGAACCUGAAAUCGAGAAAAAUGGAACACCCGCUUCACCAGCAAUUGCUUUAGCCAGGAGGGUUUUUCCAGUACCCGGGGGACCAACAAGAAGGACCCCCUUAGGGAUACGAGCUCCCACGGCAGUAAACCUUUCAGGCUUCUUCAAGAACUCCACAACCUCCAUAAAAUCUUGUUUUGCUUCAUCCACCCCUGCAACAUCAUCAAAGGUCACACCAGUGUUUGGUUCCAUUUGGAACUUGGCUUUUGAUUGACCAAAGGCCAAUGGAAAACCAGGCCCACCAGGACCACCCAUCCCUCCAGAAGAUCGCCUUGAAAGUAGGAAUAGACCUCCAAUCAAGAUCAGUGGGAAGGCCAAGUUUCCAAUCAAGUUGAACAACAAAGAACCAGAGUCCUCUUGAGCAUUGUGAGCAGCAAAGUCAAUGUUUUUUUCUCUAAAUUUCUGAAGAAGCUCUUGUGGAAGUCCUGGAAGUUGCACGCGAACUCUCUGCACCCGGUUACCCAACUCAGGGGAGAUUGCCUCAACAAUAGCAAUAGUUCCAUUUUCAUAUAGAUCUACUCUCUUCACUCUAUCCUUGUCCAAAUACUCCAAAAAUCUAGAAUAAGACAUCCUUGAAUUAGAAACCCCUUGCUCAUCGGCAUAAGCUUUUCCAUCAUUAAGUAAUGCUGCUCCACCUAAUCCUACAUUUCCCAGCAACAGUUUCAGGAAGCCUCUCCUCCCUUCAUGUGAUCUCUGGUCAAGGGAUGAUUUUACUAUGAUGAAUUUAGAUCUUCUACUCAGUGAUGGGAGGUUUGAGGAUAAGCAAAGCUGCCUGCCAUAUAUUUCUUUGCUAAAACCAGAAUGGGAAGAUAGACCAUUUCCUACUACAGAUACCGAUGAUACUGCCAUCUGUAAGAGAAGCAUAGGAAUGAAAACAGAAACUACUAAGUAUAUACACCAGAAACUGAUUUGAUUACAAGAAGGUCCAACUAAUAUUGCUAAAACAGAAUUAUCCAUAGCAGGGUGCCCAGUUUGCCGUUACUACAACUAGAGGAUUGAAAUAUUUGUACCUUAAAAGCUCGCUCAACUGAUAUAUUAUGAUUCCAAGAUGAUGGAUCUUACUGACGUUAAAGCAAAACGAGGCAAUACUUGAGCUUAUCAUAUACAAUUAUCAACUUCCGCUCACAGUAUCAUUUCAUUUUGUAAGCUUUAGCAAUAUUGAAAAAUCUCACAUCAGUAGUACUACAUGCAAUACUUAGAAGUUGAGUUGCCACUUGAUUUAAUUGCUUACAUUACUAGAAAGAAACUAAACAAUUUUUUUUUAAUUUCUUCAGAACUGAAUUAAAAAGGUACUAAAAAAAGCUAGAAUAUCGCGCACCAAAUAAGUCCAUUCAUCUAAAUCUUCAAUAUCCACAACUUUAGUAUAACAAUUGACUGGAUACCAAAAUUGAGGAGAAGUCCUGAAUUUAACCAACCAAAUAAAAGCUUACACAUUCACUCCUUAUUAUUUAUGAAACUAAAGCAGCUUGAAAAAAAAAAGGAGAAAAGACAAGAACUCUACAUUGGUUCUUCCUACAUUCCAGCUUAACCCAAAAAAAAAAAAAAAAAAAGCUCAAACCAUAGCCAACGGAAUUAUCCUAGCGGCAGUAUGCUAAAUCAACCGACCAUGUUUUCCAUCCAGCACUCAAAGACACCAAACAAAAAUAUUGAAAUAGGAAAACUCAACAUUUAAAAUCCAAAAUUUCUCUUUUUCUUCAAAAGCCCAUUUUGCAAAAUCAAUAGAUAGAGCAAUAUCCUUUACCUAUCCAUAUGUGCUAUACUCACUUAUAUAAAGAGUUGCCUGCGUCAAUAAGCCACUAAUCCACUAACCAAUCGAAAAGUUCUUUACUUUCACUUAAUUCUCAACAAUUCUAGCACAAACAUUGAAGGAUGCAAGAAACAAGACUCAAACUUUAGUAAUCCCAACCAACAAGAAACAACAGAGCUAAAUUUCACAAAUCAAUAACCCGCAAGCGCAAAAAAUCAAGAAAUAAAAACAAAGAAAUUCUGAGAAGAUUGAAAUACCAGUCAGGUAAAUGGGCUGUAGGACUUCGGAGUAGUAGGAGGAGGAAAGAAACUGACUAUUGAGAGAGGGAAGCAAUCGUUAAAGAAGGACUUAAAGAAAAUGGAUGUGGUUUGGAAAACGUAGACGUGGCACUAUUUCAGUUGCUGAUUGAUUUGUCUACAAUUUCUUUUUUUUUUUUUGAAGGAAUUUGUCUACAAUUUCCACAUUGCAAAGAUUUUUUUUCCUUGUUUGGCAUUUUCUUCAAGACUUUAUAUCUGCCCCAUGUUUUUUCUUCUGAGCCGUCCUUGACUUCAAUCCCUUUUUUAUUUCAGUCCUGAAGUUUAAGAUAUAACGCUGGAAAAAAGAGCUAUCUGGGACCAAAGACGUGUUUUUUUAAAAAAUUAAUCUAAAUAAGGGUAAUUCUAAGGUCCAGGGCCCUGUUUUGGACACGGGGAUCCAUUUUCUCCACUAUCACAAUUUGGAUUAUAGAGAAAAUUAAAUGUGGGAGGUGGACAAGUUUGAAAUUUGACUGGUGGGUAUUAAUUUUGGGCACAUAUUUUAACAAGUAAAAAAAUUUGCUAUGUUUUUUAAUGUCUACAUCACUUGUUUUAGUGUUUAUUUUUGUUGUAUUAGUAUUUACAUUGUAUCAUGCAAUUGCCACUAUCAGUUGUUUUAGUGUUCUUUCAGAACCUUAAGCAAAUAAUUGGAUGCUUAUCUUUUUUGUGUGUUCGUGAUUGGAUUAUGAAAUCUUAAUUAAGCACCAGAAGUGAAUGGACCCCUUUUUUCUUUUCUGCCAACUAGCAAAGCAACAGAAUCAAUAAUUAGUUUUCUGGCCUCCCCUGUUUCCUUUGACAUGUAGAGAAGUGCAAGCAUUGAGUUCCAGUUAGUUAGACAGAUGAAUCUGAUUUCUUGAUCCGCAGAUGUGAAUGUGUGAAAAAAUCCAGUGCAUUUUCACAUUGUUCCAGAUGGGAUUUUCAGAAACAAUGAAACAUCAGUGACUGCUGACUGAUUGGUCCUGGUAAUUCUGUUAGCUCUUUGGUAAACUAUCUGCAUUGAUCGUAUUCAAGGAUUGGCCAGAUGCUGUCACAUAUGACUCAUAUAUGAGGUACUUGCUAUAGAAGUGUCUCUAGCUGUUUGUUUUUCUUUCUGAACCAGGGGAUUCGUGCAACUCUCUGGAACUCAACUGGAACAAUCUUUGAACUGUAUAAUUUGCAGAGCUUAUGUCUCAAUUGAUUUUCAUCUAAAUGGAGACACUACUCAAAUACUACUAAAGAAUCUUAGAAAUUUGGAAAAGAGCUUCGACUAGAAUCUGAAGCACAAGGAAAAAUGGACAGGGGAAAUUAAUCCAUUUCUAGUCAAUCAAUCCAAGUUCUACCUAGUCUUGCCUGGAAAAGUAAAUGCAUCCUAGCUAGCAUCAGGCCGCUGCAGAUUUCUGAUGCAAAAUGACACCAUUCUAUGAUUAUGGGAAAGAGUGAACUGCUUAAUUUUUGUAAUGGAAUAUUAAAGUGUUGAUUGGUUGCAUCUUUUGGAGCUUCUAGCAUAGCCAAUUGUUUCUCAACUGACAAAUUAUUGCAGGUUGGUUAUAUCAAGAAGCACUAGGCAGAGCUCCUUGGAAGAAAAUAGUUACAGAGCCAUCCCCAUCCUCAUCCUAAUGGAAAUAUCAGGGUGUUGCAUGCCUAGUUUCAGUUUUCAGUUUUAGAACCCUAAUCCUGUGAGCAGUGAUCGUAACUCGACAAAACAAGCAAAUAUGGAAGAAAUCACAUCGCAAGCAUUAGGCAAUCCAGAGAGAAAGCGGAUAGGAUUCUCCAUCCCAAGAAAAGCACACCAUGAGGUUAAAUUUGAUUUGUUACUUCCACCAAAAAAUACAGUAAAAAAUUAUGUUGAACAAGCAUAAAAUCAGAUGGCAGCCCAAAAGGCCAAAACUCACCGGAAACUCAUUCACUGUGGAAAGUGCAACAAAGUGCUUGAAACUGUGUUUUCUUGAUUUUUAGUAGUCUUUUUUACAAGAUAAUUCAUUCUAUCAACUGAACAGCAGCUAUUGCAGGUAUCUUUUCUCUCAACUUUUGUGUUAGAGCUACUCGGACUGUCAUUACGCCUGCUGCAGGGCCACUUAACCGAACUUUCACCACGUAGUCAUUAAUCUGAACGAGCUCCAGUUCUCCACCACCUGUGCCAGCCAGAUAGGGUCUAAUCUCUGAAAGAACCUGCAUAAUUUCAAAGCCUACCUCUCUUAGCAGCAAUGACUAAAGACUCCUUUAAUCAAUCACAGACGCAAGAGUACCUAAGAGAUGGACUAAAGAAAUAAAAACAUUCAAAACGAACAUUAAUCAGGUUAUUUGCACAAUAUGUGAUGUUCCAGAGUUCCUGAGAUGCAUGGAACUUGAAAGCAUAUGAAUUUCAUACGGCUUCUAUGAAGAUUAGGCAGAAUUCAGUUCCAAAGUAACAUAAAGACUCGUGUAAAAUCACAACCAAUCAACUCAAAUGCAAUCCUAAGAAGAGAGCAGUAGACUACAUAUGUGGAGGCUAGGAGGCUUAGAUUUCUCUAUGUGAGAAUAAUGAUGGGGGAAAAAGACGAAAAUCACAUUUCUCACCAAGGAAAUAGUUCAAAUGAAAGAGCUGCACACUAUCAGCAAUGCAGCCAACUAGCUAACUUGAUUGGCUGACAAGUAAUAAGGCAUAGUUUUGCAGUAUUGGUUUGACAAGAAAGAAGACAAUUUUACAAGUAGGCCAAUUUUUUCUUUAUAUCCAACAGAUGUGAAAUCCAUUCAUUCUUUCAGGUCUCCACCGCAAACAUAUAAGAAUAUCAUUAGCAACAGCAAUAAAUUUUCUGUGAGUUAUGACAACAGAAUUAUUUUUUUCUUUUGUUUGGUGGGAAUAUAAAAUGCAGGUGAUUGGAUAAAUGUCCAUAAACCAGAAGGUCCGGAACAAUAUUGAAACACACAGUGAAUUUGUUGCUCUAUCUUAGCUUAUUGUCAAUUACCUUCUCAACGUUCUCCUCAUUCAAUUCAAGGCCAGUUUCCGUAUCAACAAUCUGUUCCACUUCUAGUAUUUCUGGAAUCUUAUCACGAAGCCGAGUUUCAAUCCCCAUCUUCAGUGUCAUUGUUGAACUAGGACAAGACCCGCAUGCUCCUUGUAGCUUUAAUACAACCACAAGACCAUCAAUCUCAUGUAAGGCUACGUUUCCUCCAUCAGCCAUUAGGCCUGGCCUUACUUCAUCCAAUACCUUCUCAACAUUCUCCUCAGUAAGUGGCAGUACACAACUAGGUGAAACCACAGUCCCUUCAACAUCAGUAAACGAAGAGUUAAUAGAACAGUUCGAUCAUCCUCGCCGAAGUUGUUCAAAGGACAAUAUAAUUUUUUGAAUCUCUUAUUUACCUGCAUGCUUUCUAUGUCUUUGAUUUGAAUUGAAACCAAGCAAGUGCCCAGUUUUGAAUUGCCCUCUUAGAAAUGAAGAUUGUUUUGAUGCAAAUGAGCAGCCAUCCGAGCAGGGAUUCUUCAGAAUUUCCAAGAAGUAACAGAAAAAUAUCACAUUAGUAAGCCAUAAUUUGAUACUUCAAGGAAACUGAAUAUGCAAGAUCAUGUUCGUAUUCCAAACGGUUGAUUAUGGAAGUAAAGUUUAUACCUUGAGGAGGGAUAAACAGGCAGGAGAGGAAUGCUGUGAUGAAUGGUGUGUUAUUAAUGAGGUUGGUAUUGGUUUGAGAAAAUUGGUUUGGGAGUUGGCACCAGAGAAUGCAUCCAUCAUGUGCUAUCCUUUUCAGAAUGCAAAGAUGAGAACUCCCAUUUCAGUUUGUUUGAUGAUUUACAGAACAAAAUACUCCCUUUUGACAGUAGUUCAGUAGGAAGUGGCAUUUGUGCGUUAGGGAAAGAAUCUUCUAAGUGAUUGAGAACAUCUUGAUUGGCUGAUGAGGGAAAAAGAUCGAAGAAAAUUUCAGCUGGGAAGUGUUUUGAGAGUCGAGGUUCUCACACCAGUUUGUAUGGAUAGAAUCUGAGCUUAAUCGCCACGUCAAGAUUUUAAUCUAGGGGCGAUGUGAAGCCACGUCAAGAUUUUAAUCUAGGGUCGAUUUAAAGCCACGUCAAGAUUUUACUUACUGAAACGUUAAACAGAUCUAGGAGAAAACAAAAAAAAAAAAAAGGAAAAUUACAAAAGCCCAAAAAGGAAAACAGAGAAGGACAAACCUUGGAAAAUCUUGGGUUUCAAAAUGAUCUUGGGUUUCAAAACCCCUUCAAAAUCUGAUUUUGGGAUCUUGAAGCAGUGCCAUGCGCUUAUCAUUCUCAUAGUAAAGAAAGAAGAAGGGAUAAUUUCAGAAACCUCCCUUGAUGUUUUUAACAAUUUUACUUAACUUCCCUCAAGUUUAAAAAAUUACACUUACCUCCCUUGACAUAGUAAAAUACAUAUAAUACCCUCCACUUAGUAGACAAUUUUAAAUUUAAGACAAUAAAUUUACAAAAUAAAAAAAAAAAAUCUAUUUUUCUAUCUCUCGUCUAUCUUUCGCUCCUCUCUUUUCUAGUUAAUAUAACCUCUUUUUAUUAUUUUUAAUUUUGUGGAUGUUAGAAAAUUGAAAUUACAAAAUCAACAGAGGAAGUAGAUUAUGUGUCAAAUUAGAAGGAAAUAAAGAGACUCGCAGUGAUGGAGAAAUAAAUAAUGAAAUAAGAAGAAAAACUAAAGAUGUGAAAUUUGUCAUAUUUUGUUUGUUAUCAAGAAAAACUUUUAUAAAUUGUCAAUAAUUACAUAAGGACUUCUUUCAUUGGAUUAGAAAUUUUUUAUUUUGACUUUAUUGUGGAGGUAGCAUUUAUUCUUUACUUUUGAAAUAUUAAUAUUUUUAAGGCCAUAGAAGAGUUGUAAUGGUGUUUUUAUGUCAGAUUAACAUGUAUUAAAAACGUAUUUGAGUAUUGAUAUUUAAUUUUGGAGGUAUAAAAUUGAUUGUCAAUAGGAUUUGUGUGUGUGUUUUCUUUUUUUUUUUUUUGCAUCGCAAGUAUUGAUACUAUAUAUGCAAUUUGGAAUCUUUUAGACGGCUAUUUGGUUUUAGAAUUUAUGCUUGGAUGGUUGUUAGAGAUUAGACUUGUUGAUUUGGGUAAAGUGUGGAAGAGAAUGAUUGAGUAUACUAUAUUUUACUUUCUUAAUUUUGUACAAAAGCGUAAUUUAGGAUUUUUGUGAGAAAAUCUAUCUUGUUGGACCUACAUUGUGACUAAACAGUAAAAGUAGGGGAGGUAUAUGUAAGUUUUAAAACCUGGGAAAGCUCUGUGUAAUUGUUGAAAACCUCAGGGGAGGUUUGUUAAAUUGUCCCAAAAAAGAAUUAUGUAGAGUAGCAUGCUGCAAAUAGGAUUCAGUUUAGGCCAGGGCUAAACAGGAAAUGAAGCCUAGGUUGCAGGUUGCCGAUUUUGGAAUUCUUGACGACAAUGGAUUAACUUCGUGCAACUAUCUCCCUGGAAAAACAACCAUUCCAGCAAAGCUACUUUUGCGGAUUCGUUUCAAUUUGUCUGAUGGAAACUGGUAAAAACUAGUUAGCCUCUGUUAAUAAUGUUCCACAAGGCUCACUUGGUUCGUGCGAAUUUCUUUGUUAAUGUGUUUUUUGGCCUUUAGUUAUUUUUUUCUUUAUGUAAUUUCUAACUCCUCCAUUCCCUUUUUUUUUGUGGUAUUUUUAUGAUGUUUUCUGCAUAAUCUCUUUGCUCAAGUACAGCAUCCACAUUUUCUUUACUUCAUUUGCAAUUUCAUUUUGCUCAAUUGGUUGGUGGGAAACUUGGGAUAAGUAUAUGUAAUAGCUUGUGACCUUUAUUUGGAUCAGACAUUAACAUCUGUGCAUGAAAGUAACAUAGUGCGAAUCACAAUAAAGUACCGUGCAACUACCACUCUUUGCUGCCCGAGUUUUUCUUUGAUGGAAUCCAUUCCUCAUUCGCAAACUUCUUGUGGUAGAGGAAUUAUCCCAUUUGCAUCCACUGAGUCUUAUUUUGCUUCGGUUCUUCACAUUUGUUACCAAACGACUAUCUAUAUUCUGUACACAAAUAUUGUAAUUUCUUCAAUGUAUUGUCUUUCUGAAUCACAGAAGGCAGCUCCAGAAAAACAACUUCCCUAACAGUCUGCUCAAACUGGAAAUUUGUCCUUGUUAGGUCAUAUGGUUAAGGAUGGAACUCCACAAACCGCCUCAUGUUUCCAGGUACAAAAGCUUCUUCCAUGGCUCUUAUGAUUGCAACCAGAUCGCUCGCAGAAUGGUCAUUUGCAGUCACAUUGCUAGAGCCAGCUGCAGUUUCUCCGAAUCUUUCACUGAUUGCGAACCUACAAACAGGGCAUCGACCUUCGUUCUUCACCCAAGGAACAAUACAUUCCUCAUGAAACAUGUGGUUGCAAGGAGUAAUCGUAACCAUCUCUUUAGGCUCAAAAUCUUCUAAGCAAAUGGGACACCUCUUACCUUCUUCAUGCUUCUCUUUUUCUAGUUCUUUGGAUAUAGUAAGUGGGCUAUCUCGGUAGUACAGAUUUGGUUUCCUUCUCGACAAUUUUGUCAUGGGAUUAUAUGCUUCUUUCUUCAGCCUGUUCAAGACUCUCUUUUGCUCUUCUUGGGAUAAUUUGGACCCGUCUUGGGGGCCUUGCACACUCGGUUGCGGCUGAAAAUUUGGCAAAGCAAUAGCUGCAGGUGGCCAUGGUAUUGUGUUUCUUGUUGUGUCACUGUUGAAGUAUUGAGUUUGAUUCUGCAAAUGUGGUGGGGCUGGAAAACUGCAAGUCAUUUUAUUAGUUUUCGCACACUAGGAUUUCAAAAAUAUAUACCUGAUUCUUUUUUAUCCAUUCACAAAUUUGAGAUUUGGCAUCGUAUCUAUAAACUGGAAACGAAUGAUACAAACGAAGAAAAUGGUUAUAGGACUAAUCCAUUCCUCCUAGCUCUUAAGUUGGACUAGUGUGAAAAUUAAGGGACGCUUUCUUCCCCGUCCCCCUCGCCUCCCUUCUCUCUUCAAUCUAAACAACAAUACUCUAUGCUUCCUGAAUAUCCCACACAAUCAUCAUGUCCUUGCAUCAUCAGUUGGUAAUUAAAAGAACAUCAAACGGACAUAAUCAUCAGAACUGGCAUGCAUUCCAUCCUUAAAUACGCUAGAAGAAAUGUAGGGUUUGAAAUUGAAGGAAAUAAACAGAUUUUUCUAUCUUUUCUUCAAGCUAGCUCCACUUUACAUUCUGUUAUGUUUAGUUAACAAGUGUUUCUGAGCAAGCCCUUUUAAUGAAAUUUCAUUUUUUUUUGGAUUGCUCAUAUCCAGGCUGCUACUUAAUAUGCGGUAUACACUUGUGAUUUCAUUAUUUGAUACAUAUACUGGUGUGCUUUAGUCUAUGAUUCUUGGAAAACAAUUUUGACCUUACAUUCAGGUGAAACUUUGGUGUCAUUAGUAAAUGUAUUUAAGAUGGAACCAGGAUAAAAUUUGUUGCUGUAACUGGGCUCCUACUUCUUCAGCUGGAUUGGAAGAUGUGAUUAUGUUCCAAGUUUCAGUGUUGUACAAGUUCCCCGCACCCAGAGGGGGGAAGGGAACUGGAAUCAAAAUCAAAUCUUGAUGAUAACUAUUGUUUUUCAUUUCUUUUACUUUCUUGUAUGGCAUCUUUUGGAAUUGUCCACAAAGAUUUGGCAAGAGCUCAUGUGACAGUAAUUUGUAUAUUAGAGUGAAUAGGCAUGGAUAAGAAUUGUAACUUGAAGAUAAGGAUGAUUGUAUGCUAUCUCCCUUUUCCAGAAAAUGGGAAGCCCUUUUGUACUUUUAUUUGUUCUCAAGGUCCUAGGUUGGUAAGAUAAACAGUUCAAUCCCAGAAAAAGACCAGUGACCAUUCAAGGCAGUUUUGCCUUGCAAAGAAACUUCGUACAGCUUAGAUUUAUCAUGUUCCUACUUCAGCAUAGAUCUUCUAGUUAUGUAUUGUUGGAAAGAGAUUAUCCUGGGAAGUGAGGUUGUGCAGAAAGAAGAACAAAUUUACCUGGAUAUGCCAAGAAAUCCACCGGGAUUGCUUACCCCAAACAGCAACCGUGGAUCAGGAUCUCCUCCUCUGCGAUCCUGUUUCAUAUGAAAAAAGACUGAUCUGAUAUGUUCCUGGAAAUAAAUUAUCGAAUAUGAUGCACCAAUUACUUUCUUAGACAACAUAUCAAUAUGCUGAAGACUAACCAGAGGACCUCCUGCAGGUGGAGGAAACAAGGAGGACAAUCCAUUCCUGCUACUAGGUCUAGCCGAAUAUCCACCAUAAUCCAGCCCAGUUCUCAGGUAUUCUGGUGGCGUGUAAUUCUGGUUACUUCCGUUCAUAGAGUCUGUCAGCUGACGCAGAAAGGAAAAUGACUUACAACGGAGGAAAUUUCCCAGUGUUUGUAACUUUCCUGCCUUAUUACAUCUUUUUAAGUUCUCUUUGUAAAUUUCCUUUUUUUGGCAGAUGUGAAAUAUGAUUCUGUGUCCAUUUAGUUGAUCCUGUAAUUGGUGGCUUGGUGAGAUGCAUGAGAUAUGAAGCAAGGAAUCCUGUACCUUCACGCAGCUUGAUUACUUUUUCUUCCCUUGUUUUCUUGUCUGAAUGGAAUCUGAAUAAAUAGAGCAACUACGGGGAUUAGUGUAAAGCUUAAGGCCGCAAGGUGGAAUUUCCUCAUGGAACCUUGCCACAUUUGAUGCUUCACGACAGAAUUAGGUCUCUCCAGGUCCAGGUAGCUGAGCCAUGAAUGUGACAGGAAUCAAACAAACUAAUGAAAUAUAGCACAAUGAUCAAGUGCCUAUUUGUCUCAAAACAGGGAUUGAAAGACUCUUUGUUUUCAUUCAUCAUCUCUUGUUUCCUUCCAUAGAAAGCUUCAUGGACUUUCCCUUAUGAGAAGGAUGUAAAAUUUUGUUUAACUUAUCAACAUAAUCUGUUUGCACUUUCGGUUGAUUGUAACUUUUCCAUCCAAACUACACAAGCUAUAAUCACCAUGACACUGACCUUUCAGAGGACAGAGAUUGUUGCAAGUACAAUGCAUAUUAUCGAGUUAAAAUUUGCGGAGCUAGCAUCAUAAUGGAGAACAGCGAUUGCAUCCUCGCAAACAGAAUUGCACAAAUGUAAAGUAGACUCACGAACCAAAGCAUUAGGCAAUGACAAUCCCUUGAACACCUCAUCACUCAAACCAAAGGCCAUUAUCAAAUUCUCCGUGCUAUUCUCCUCCUCUAUAUUGAAUCUGUAACCAACCCAAUGCACCUUUCCGUUAACAAAUGCAUGAGUCCAGAAGUGUGGAAUCACCGCUUGAGGCAAAUUAGCAGCAAUCACCCUCCAAUUACCUACACGUAGUGCAAAAACUUCUGCUAUAGAAGGCAUAAUAUCCCCAUGACUCUGUUCAGCAUAAGCAAUUCUCACGACCUUAAAAUCACUGUUUUUUAUGUGACAUCCAAAUCCUAACAAGGAGUACAUACUAGGCCAAAAGUUUUUACAACUUGCUCGGGGCAAAGGAAGAGUGAUUUUUCGCUUGAUGAAAGGGUUGCACAGCAUAAUAAGGUCAUGUAUCCAAAAACAUCAUCAGACAAACAUAGUAACCCAUUGCUAUAAUCCACAAUCCUGAAAUAAUACUGCACUAACUGGCGAAAAGGGAAGAAUAUUUUGACCUCAUUUUCCCCUGUGAAGUCCUCAUUUUCGUGGUAUACUGAGUAACGUUCAGUCCGUCGGUGUUUGCAGUAGCGCCUCACAAGCAUUCUAUCAUCUGGGGUGGAGGAUUUUUGAGAGAGAAGCAUGAUGGGUGUGCAUGGAGACGAAAUGAAGGCUUCAGAUCAAAGAUUUCCAUGACUUAGCUACGCACCUCAGUCUCAGGAGGGUUUUCGCAGGAACCCUUCUGAGGACAUGAACUAAAACCUCUUCAGGGAAGUAAUCUGACAUUUUUUAUGAGAAAUAGAAAUGUUAAAAUAAAAAGAAAUACUGCUUUUUGGUUUUUUUUCCCCUGUUUCUUUCGGUAGGAAGGAAAAAAGGAUAUUUGACUGUAGGAAGCUUGGAAUUUUUCCAAGCCAGGAUUAUGAAGAAUGGUUUUUUCUGGUUGUCAUGGUGAUUUUAUAUCAGAUUAGCAUGUAUUAAAAACGUAUUUGAGUAUUGAUAUUUAAUUUUGGAGGUAUAAAAUUGAUUGUCAAUAGGAUUUGUGUGUGUGUGUGUUUUCUUUUUCUUUUUUUUUUUUUGCAUGUCAAGUAUUGAUACUAUAUAUGCAAUUUGGAAUCUUUUGGACGGCUACUUGGUUUUAGAAUUUAUGCUUGGAUGGUUGUUAAGGAUUAGACUUGUUGUUUUGGGUGAAAGAAAAUGAUUGAGUAGACUAUAUUUUUCUUUCUUAGUUUUAUACAAAAGGGUAAUUUACGAUUUUUGUGAGAAAAUCUAUCUUGUUGGACCUACAUUGUGACUAAACAAUAAAAAUAGGGUAGGUAUAUGUAAUUUUUAAAACUUGGAGGAGCUCUCUGUAAUUAUUGAAAACCUCAGGGGAGGUUUGUUCCAAAAAAAAUUAUAUAGAGUAGCAUGAUGCUAAUGGAAUUCAGUUUAGGCCAGGGCUAAACAGGAAAUGAAGCCUAGGUUGCAGGUUGCAGAUGUUGGAAUUCUUGACGACAAUGGAUUAACUUCGUGCAACUAUCUCCCUGCGAAAACAACCAUCCCAGCAAAGCUAAUUUUGUUUGCACAGGAAAAGCGGAUUCAUUUCAAUUUGUCUUAUGGAAACUGGUAAAAACUAGUUAGCCUCUGUUAAUAAUGUUCCACAAGGCUCCCUUAGUUAUAUUUUUUCUUUAUGUAAUUUCUAACUCCUCCAUUCCCUUUUUUUUUGUUGUAUUUUUAUGAUGUUUUCUGCAUAAUCUCUUUGCUCAAGUACAGCAUUUGCAAUUUCAGUUUGCUCGGUUGGUUGGUGGGAAACUUGGGAUAAGUAAUAUGUAAUAGCUUGUGACCUUUAUAAUUGGAUGGGACAUUAACAUCUGUGCACGGAAGUAACAUACUGCGAAUCACAAUAAAGUACUGUGCAACUAACACUCUUUGCUGCCCGAGUUUUUUUUUGAUGGAAUCCAUUCCUCAUUCGCAAACUUCUUGUGGUAGAGGAAUUAUCCCAUUUGCAUCCACUGAGUCUCAUUUUCCUUCGGUUCUUCGCAUUUGUUGCCAAACGACUAUCUAUAUUCUGUACACAAAUACUGUCAUUUCUUCAAUGUAUUGUCUUGCUGAAUCACAGAAGGUAGCUCCAGAAAAACAACUUCCCUAACAGUCUGCUCAAACUAAAAAUUUGUCCUUGUUAGGUAAGGAACUCCACAAACCUCCUCAUGUUUUCAGGUACAAAAGCUUCUUCCAUGGCUCUCACGAUUGCAGUCAGAUCGUUCCCAAAAUGGUCAUUUGCAGUCACAUUGCUAGAGCCAGCUGCAGUUUCUCCGAACCUUUCACUGAUUGCGAACCUACAAACAGGGCAUCGACCUUCGUUGUUCACCCAAGGAACAAUACAUUCCUCAUGAAACAUGUGGUUGCAAGGAGUAAUCGUAACUAUCUCUUUAGGCUCAAAAUCUUCCAAGCAAAUGGCACACCUCUUACCUUCUUCAUGCUUCUCUUUUUCUAGUUCUUUGGAAAUAGUAAGUGGGUUAUCUCGGUAGUACAGAUUUGGUUUCCUUCUCGACAAUUUUGUCACGGGAUUAUAUGCUUCUUUCUUCAGCCUGUUCAAGACUUUCUUUUGCUCUUCUUGAGAUAAUUUGGACCCGUCCUGGGGGCCUUGCACGCUCGGUUGCGGCUGAAAAUUUGGCAAAGCAAUAGCUGCAGGUGGCACACUCGGUUGCAGCUGAAAACUUGGCAAAGCAAUAGCUGCAGGUGGCGAUGGUAUUGUGUUUCUUGUUGUGUCAAUGUUGAAGUAUUGAGUUUGAUUCUGCAAAUGUGGUGGGGCUGGAAAACUGCAAGUCAUUUUAUUAGUUUUCACACACUGAGAUUUCAAAAUUAUGUACCUGAUUUUUUUUUUAUCCAUUCACAAAUUUGAGAUUUCGCAUCGUAUCCAUAAACUGGAAACGAAUGAUACAAACGAAGAAAAUGGUUAUAGGACUAAUCCAUUCCACCUAGUUCUUAAGUUGGACUAGUGUGAAAAUUAAGGGAUGCUUUCUUCCUCGUCCCCCUCGCCUCUCAUCUCUCUUCAAUCUAAACAACAAUACUCUAUGCUUCCUGAAUAUCCCACACAAUCAUCAUGUCCUUGCAUCAUCCGUUGGUAAUUAAAGAACAUCAAACGGACAUAAUCAUCAGAACUGGCAUGAAGAGGCAUGCAUUCCAUCCUUAAAUCCUCUAGAAGAAAUGUAGGGUUUGAAAUUAAAGGAAAUAAACAGAUUUUUCUAUCUUUUCUUCAAGCUAGCUCCACUUUACAUUCUGUUAUGUUUAGUUAACAAGUGUUUCUGAGCAAGCCCUUUUAAUGAAAUUUCUUUUUUUUUUUUUUUGGAUUGCUCAUAUCCAGGCUGCUACUUAAUAUGCAGUAUACACUUAUGAUUUCAUUAUUUGAUACAUAUACUGGUGUGCUUUAGUCUAUAAUUCUUGGAAAAAGAAUUUUGACCUUACAUUCGGCUCCUACUUCUUCAGUUGGAUUGGAAGAUGUGAUUAUGUUCCAAGUUUCAGUGUUGUACAAUUUCCCCUCACCCAGAGGGGGGAGGGAACCGGAAUCAAAACUAAAUCUUUAUGAUAACUAUUGUUUUUCAUUUCUUUUACUUUCUUGUGUGGCAUCUUUUGGAAUUGUCCACAAAGAUUUGGCAAGAGCUCAUGUGACAGUAAUUUGUAUAUUAGAGCGAAUAGGCAUGGAUAAGAAAUGUAACUUGAAGAUGGGAUGAUUAUAUGCUAUCUCCCCUUUCCUUAAAAUGGGAAGCCCUUUUGUACUUUUAUUUGUUCUCAAGGUCCUAGGUUGGUAAGAUAAACAGUUCAAUCUCGCUAAAAGACCAGUGACCAUACAAGGCAGUUUUACCUUGCAAAGAAACUUCGUACAGCUUAGAUUUAUCAUGUUCCUACUUCAGCAUAGAUCUUCUAGUUAUGUAUUGCUGGAAAGAGAUUAUCCUGGGAAGUGAGGGUGUGUAGAAAGAAGAACAAAUUUACCUGGAUACGCCAAGAAAUCCACUGGGAUUGCUUACCCCAAAAAUGAACCGUGGAUCAGGAUCUCCUCCUCUGGGAGCCUGUUUCAUAUGAAAAAAGACUGAUCUGAUAUGUUCCUGGAAAUAAAUUAUCCAAUAUGAUGCACCAAUGACUUUCAUAGAUAACAUAUCGAUAUGCCUAACCACAGCAAACGAGGAGGACAAUCCAUUCCUCCUACGAGGUCUAGCUGAAUAUCCACCAUAAUCCGGCCCAGUUCUCAAGUAUUCUGGUGGCGUGUAAUUCUGGUUACUUCCGUUCAUAGGGUCUGUCACAGAAAGGAAAAUGACUCUUACAACGGAGGAAAUUUCCCAGUGUUUGCAACUUUCCUGCCUUAGGUACAUCUUUUAAGUUCUCUUUGUAAAUUUACUUUUUUUGGCAGAUGUGAAAUGUGAUUCUUUGUCCAUUUAGUUGAUCCUGUAAUUGGUGGCUUGGUGAGAUGCAUGAGAUAUAAAGCAAGGAAUCCUGUACCUUCACGCAGCUUGAUUACUUUUUCUUCCCUUGCUUUUCUUGUCUGAAUGGAAUCUGAAUAAAUAGAGCAACUGCGGCGAUUACUGCAAAGCUUAAGGCCGCAAGGUGGAAUUUCCUCAUGGAACCUUGCCACAUUUGAUGCUUCACAACAGAAUUAGGUCUCUCCAGGCCCAGGUAGCUGAGCCAUGAAUGUGACAGGAAUCAAACAAACUAAUGGAAUAUAGCACAAUGAUCAAGUGCCUAUUUUUUUGUCUCAAAACAGGAAUUGAAAGUCUCUUUGUUUUCAUUCAUCAUCUCUUGUUUCCUUCCAUAGAAAGCUUCAUGGACUUUCCCUUAUGAAAAAGAUGUAAAAUUUUCAGUUUGCACUUUCUGUUGAUUGUAACUUUUCCAUCCAAACUACACAAGCUAUAAUCACCAUGACACUGACCUUUCAGAGGACAGAGAUUGUUGCAAGUACAAUGCAUAUUAUCGGGUUAAAAUUUGCAGAGCUAGCAUCAUAAUGGAGAACAGCGAUUGCAUCCUCGCAAACAGAAUUGCACAAAUGUAAAGUAGACUCACGAACCAAAGCAUUAGGCAACGAAAAUCCCUUGAACACUUCAUCGCUCAAAUCAAAGGCCAUAAUCAGAUUCUCCGUGCUAUUCUCCUUCUCUAUAUUGAAUCUGUAACCAACCCAAUGCACCUUUCCGUUAACAAAUGCUCAAGUCCAGAAGUGUGGAAUCACCACUUGAGGCAAAUUAGCAGCAAUCACCCUCCAAUUACCUACACGUAGUGCAAAAACUUCUGCUAUAGAAGGCAUAAUAUCCCCAUGACUCUGUUGAGCAUAAGCAAUUCUCACGACAGGAACCCUUUUGAGGACAUGAACUAAAACCUCUUCAGGGAAGUAAUCUGACAUUUUUGAUGAGAAAUAGAAAUGUUAAAAUAAAAAGAAACACUGCCUUUUGGUCUUUGUUUUUUCCCCGUUUCUUUUGGUAGGAAGAAAAAAAAGAUGUUUUGAGUGUAGGAAAGCUUGGAACUUUUCCAAGCCAGGAUUAUGAAGAGUGGUUUUUUCUGGUUUUAACCUGAGUUUGAGUAAUGGCUAUGAACGAUGGGAACUAAGGCGAAGCUGAAAGGACCAGCUUCGCUCCAGGCUCCCAUCAAACAGUGAAUGAUGAUGACAAAUGUCGCAACAAUAAAGUACUAUUUAUUGCCCCCUUUUCAUCUAGUUUUCCCCAGGUACCUAACAGCACUUUGGAAGGACUCGCAUCGCACGUUCAAGAAUAAAAUAAAGAACUUCUUUUCAGCUACCAAGCACAUUGCGGAAACACUCAUCUCGCAAGUUCAGGCUAACUUGCCAGAGGCCUAGUCUAUUGGAGUGCUGGCUGUUUUCUCAUGCACCAGAACUUUGGGUACGUAUUCAAAUUUAUUAGGAAAUAUUAAUUUCAGGUCCUGAUAUGAGCAUAACCAACCAGCUAAGGCCUAAAACAGUAUCAGAUAACCAUAUGCAAGCACUGCGGUCAUUUCUUUUUAUUUUUAAGAAAAUGACCUUCAAAUCUGAGUAAUGGUAAGAUAAGAGCAAAUGGUUUCCAUCAAAUCUAUUCCAAGAAUGUUUGUAGACGAAAGAAUCAUUACAUAAUUCUGCAAUCUAACAGCAGUAAAAAUGACUCUGCAGUUUAUCUAAUCAGCAGAAGCUGUAGAGCACACAGCAUACUUGAAGAAGAGGAAAGAUGAUAAGAUCUCAAUGAACAAAAACAUAAAGAAAAAUAGAGCUGAUUGAUACAUAAAAUGACCUUCUCAGAUGGUAAUUAUGAAAAAUAUGACGAAUGCCAUGAAUACCGAAAAAGAAAACAUUGCAACUCCAUAAGAAACAGUUCUGGCAGCCUCAAUUUCAGCGUUGAGAACUUAAAAAACCGAGCUUCCAACAUCUGGCUGUGCGCUGGAAGAAGAGUUUAAAUGAAGAUUCUUUUCAAUUAAGUGAUGUGAGAAGCCCCACACUUGUGUUAAGUUCUGGACCAGGAAAUACCCGAAAGGAUCUGCUCAUGAUAAGCUUCUAACUCCAGUAUGAUUCUUGUCAGCAGAAAUCACCUGCUCAUGGUCGAAGACAAGAAGAAAUUCCAGAAUAUAGAUCCCAAGGACAUGAAAGCAACGCGUGCUUGAAGAGGAACCAGCCUGAAAUUUUGACAUGUUAAAGUUGCCAGAACAUUAUUCUAUGGCAUCUCAUUGUGAUAGUUACAGGCUAAUAUAAAAAGUUAAAAGACAUCUCCAUUGCAGAAACUUAAUUUUUUUUAUAAGUAUAGACUGUAUAGUCCACUAUCAGUCUAGCAAAUUAUAAACAGGCGGGAAACUUAUUCAUUGUCAAACAAGUACCUGAUCCCACACAUGCAAAUAUACAACAUUUUCAGCCAUCGAUGAUACUGAAACUGCUUCCCCAUGAGAUCAUCAAAGAUUUUUUUUUUUCCUCUGGUAAUCAAAAAGAGUUGUUUUCUCAGCCUUUUGUCUAAGAUCCAGUGUUAGUAAGUUGGUUUUAGUUUUCAUUUCAAUGCGCGAUAUUACCCUCAGAUGCUAAGAUAUUCUAAUAUUCUUUAAGAGAUUCAUCUCUUUCAUAUUUGGAUCAACAACAACUCAUAGAUUACAACACCAAGAGAUAAAGUAGAGAAUACAUAUGUAAGGGAAAAAAAAAAAAGUCAGUAGUGGUGUUGAUCAAAUUUGCUCGGCUGCACCAAAAUAUCAAAGUUCCCAUAAAGACUGAUCUGAAACAGCAGUUAUUCGGCAAAAAAUUGAAUACUUUGUUGGUCUAAAAACAUGGUGAGAAACUGAUUUUUACCAACAAGGCGCAGGCAAUGGUAGCUUCCUUACUUAAGAGAUGAUUACGAAAGUAAAUAAGCAACAAGAAGUAGAGGUCAGCUAAAGAAGUGAAGUUAGUCCCCUUGAUAUGACGGUAAUGCUUAUAAAAUUCCAGAGCAACUUUGACAUUCACUUAAUUUGCUGGAGUAACUAAAGAAGUGAAGUUAGUCCCCUUGAUAUGAUGGUGAUGCUUAUACAAUUCAAGAGCAACUUUGAGUUUCACCCUUUCUGAAGUAACUAAAUCAUAUAUGGAAUGGUAUUACAAGCUGUCUUCCAUUUUCCUCUACAAGCAUCAUCCCUCAAGCUACAUUACUAUAGUAUAUAAUGAUAAUAUAACUACUAGAAAGUGAAUAAUUCUGUUUGUCAUUAGUAAAAUUUCCUGACAUUAGACCAAGUCCUUAACCAAGAAACUAAUCCUACCAGAUCAAGAAAAACAAAGCAAAUUACAUACCAGAAAUUCAAUAUGCUGACUGGAAUCCAAAACCUAAAUCCUGCAAAGGAAUUACAGUAGUAAAGCAUAAGUACAUACAUGUGCAUAUAACUUAGCAUUUUGCACGCUAGAAAAAGGUUCAUACCAAAAAAAAGAGCAGGAAGAGCAUCUUUCUGAUACUUAUUUGGAAGCUCUGACAGUUUCCCUUGCCACAGAUUGUUCCAUGCAAAAACGACAGCAAUUACAGUUGGACCAAGCACAAUUUGGUUCAGUAUGACCUGCAAGGAGUAACAUUUUCAGGACUUGAAAAUAAUCCAUGAAAUUUGGCUCAGGGAGAACUUGAUCGUAAUACCUACCUUAGCCAAUAAGUUCUCGAAUGUUUGCUUUGGAAUGGUACGAUCAAGGAACUGGUACCAUUCAUAUGUACCCGGGCCAUAUAAUAGAAAGCCAUAGGUAGUCAUUCGGAGGGCACGCAGCCAACCAUGUUCAGAAAAUAAUGCCCCCAAAACACCCUGAUGCAGCAUUCAGCGAAAUAGCAAAAUUGGAAUUUUGUUUCAAAACCAAGAUCAUCAAUAUGCAUUUUCAAUUUAGAUGGUACGAUAUAGAUGUGAAUUCUUCAAGCAUCAAAUGUCCAUUUACCAAUCUGGAAUUUGAUAUGUUACCGCAUUUUUAGAAGGAAAAAUAAGCGAAGAUAAUAAAGAGACUACUAAAACUGAUCUUUAACUUAUUAUGAGCUUACACAAACUAUAAAGAAAUCCUCAAGGAAAACCAAAAGAGCUUACAGGUCAUUGGAGAUGAGAUUAGUAAGUUGCACAUUUUCUCCAAAAAAUCACUACCCUGUUACCAAAUUCACAUUUCUCGAAUAUUGAUCUAAUGCUUAGGAACAUAUGACUUUUUAAGACCAAUUCUGCUUCAAAUUAACAUGAUAAAAUUUUUUUGGUGAGAAAAGUUGAGAUGUUUGCUAAAACCAUACAUAAUAUCCAUUAAGAACCACAUUUUCUAGUAUAUGAUAACAUCAAACAUCUGAACUGACUUACCUUGACCGCUCAAUGAAUAGGUAGUUAUCCACCAUUCAAUUCUCAAAAGAAAAACUACACAUAAAUGGUACAAAAUUUUCAAACUUUGCUAUUGAAUUUUCUAAAUUUCACGUAGCCCAUAUUAAUUUUAUAUAAAGUACAAGAACAAUUCACUUCCAAAAUGGUAAAAAUUCCAGCUUUUCUUGGAUUCGUCCAAAAGUAAGAACUUCAUUAAUAUUAUUAAAGCCCAUUACGAAAAAAGCUUUCUUUUUCUAAUCUACCAGCUUAUGUCAAGAAAAUGAACGCAUAGUGAAAUGUAAACCGUGUGUUCGAAUUUAAAAAAAAAAAAAAAAAAAACUCAUUUGAGUAAAAACUCGAGUAAUGAGCAACCUCGGGAUGCUGAGGGCUGGAAAGGCUUUCUUUAUACUUCACCCAGCGUUGGCUGAGCUGAGCUAUAGUGUCGCCGGUGAGGGCUAGAGAGGCGGCCAUGAAUGCUUGCUUCACCGGGAACUGGUAACCGGUUCUACCGGUUAUAUCAGCUGAAUUAGAUGAGGAUUUUGAUUCUCUGAUGCUUCUUUUUCUUGGACUUCUUCUCCUAUUGUUGUUGAAAUCAUGGAAAUUCAGUUGUCCCAUCCCAAAUGGACCCCAAUUUCCACCACCACCUAACGACCCCAUUCCCCUCGAAUUUACCGAGACGCUAAUCUCAGCCUCAGGUAUCACUUGUACUCGUAGUUCUUAUUCGCCUCAGAACUUUUUUUUUCUUCUCAAUAUAAGAAUUUAUUCUUUGGCCUCCGGCAAUACUAGGCAGGGGAAUAUUGACUAUUCCUUUUCUUUUUCCUUUUUUCCUUGAUCUAGUUAAUGUAGUUAACUACGACUUGAUAAUUCAUUACUUAAUUGGAUCUUUUCUCUAUUUUCUCCUUGGCAAGAGGGAUACUACCUUUUUUUUUUCAGUUCAAGAAAGGCACUACAAAUACAAUGGAAAAAAUUAUUGUGUCCGGUGUUCAAAUACGCAUUUAUUAAGAUAUAUUUCAGGUGUUAUUUUUUUAAAUAUAAAAUUAAUUAAAAAAUAAAUAAAUACAAGAAUGAAUAAUAAUUAUUAAUAUAUAUAUAUAUAUAUAUAUGUGUGUGUGUGUGUGUGUGUGUGUGUGAAUGAUAGGUUAGUUAAUUUUUAGAUACGUUAACGAAGGUUAAAUACACACAUGUUAGGAAAAUCCCAGAAAAAAAUCAAGAAUCAAGGGACACCAUACACGUACAAGGGAAAAAAGCACUUGAAAAUCAAAUCAAGAAUUCCCUAGUUACAAUACUAAUGUUUAUAACAACUGGUCUAAAUCAAAUAACAACGGAACUGAAUCAUGAACACAAAUUUUUAGUUUGUUUAUUAGACCUCUGGGCUCCACUUGGGGCAUUUUAUUUCUUUUUUGUGGUUAAAUUAAUUUGAUUAAAGUAGUUGACAAAGACUUGCAUGUAAUAAACUACUACUAUAUGGAGUGUGUGUGUGUGUGUAUAUAUAUAUAUAUAUAUAUCAUAAUCAACCAGCUCCACGGAACUUGGUAAUUUAAGUACAAGAUCAGGAAGAUAAUCAAGUACUUGAAUUUGAUUGAAUUCAAUGAUCCGAGCUUCAGCUUGAUAAAUUAAUGAAAAGGUUCAAGUCUCCAAUCAUCAUCUGAGUCUAAUCAACUACAACUGCUCUGGCAACAUCAACUUCCCAUAAAAGUCUUCAUUCAAAGAAAACGGGAAGGGCAGUUCAAAGCAAGUGUUGCACAAGGAUCAGCUACCCAGUAGACACAAAAGACAGCAAAAAAGGAUCCUGCAAUCAAAGAGGAUAGGGUCAAAGGUCAUGGCAAUCUAAACUCCGAUUGUGAAGUAGAGAUGACAAAUAUCCAGACUUGCAACUUCUAUUCCCAAUUCACAGUGUUUAGAGGCAAGGCAAGUUUUAAGCCAUAACUUAGGCUUUGUCUCCUGUAUAGAGCAUACCAAAAUGGUUAAAAACCUGCGAAAAAAACCAAUUAUAAAAUGCCCUGGAUUCAUCAUGUUGCCGUAUCAUAUAGAACAAAGGUUAUUGAUUUCAAGAAAACAUUGACAACUCUGACACUAGUCACCAAUAUAUUGAGAUUCCUAAUCUACAGCCAUGACUAACAUAAAAGGAGGUCAUUGACAUUGAUAUCUAGGAAGAACAUCGGAGGCAUCAUUUUCAAUGCAUGAUAAAGUCCGUUGAUGUAAUUCGACAACUAAGAGCAUAUACUGAGAUAGACACUCAGGAGUAGUUGUUCUAGUUUUAUCAAAUUUACCAUUCCUAUAUGAUCCAUUACAAAAAAUCUUUUGGGGUUCAUCAAAUAAUUAGUGGGGUUGUUCCCUACAUCUCUAACUCUUUGGCAGCCCUGGAUUGGGCAAUAAAGCACAAGUGAACUUUAUAAAAUGGAAGCCGAAAGAGUUUGCAGGCAAGUAGAAAAUGAAAAAAUUGCAAAACAUGAAUGCCCAAGGAUAGACACAGAAAUCAAUCUUAUGAAGAUGUUAAGCUAUUCAGCAAUUGACAGUUCACCUGCAUCAUUGUGCAAGCAGUAGGGCUUUCAGAAAGCCAACCAAGAUGGACUGCUUCCACAGCUCAAUCUUUUCAACUUCACAAUCCUCUCCUCCAUUGCCAUCUUCAGAAGAACCAGAGUCAGCCGCAUUUGGUAGACCUUCCAAUUCUUCUUCUCCUUCAAUCAGCAAAGCUAGACUCUCCGUAUACCGACCAACAAAGAAUGAAUCUUUGGUGCCCAAAAUUCCAAUGUAUUUAAUUUCUUGAAGCCUUGGAUCUGGAUCAUAUGAAUACAGUUCUCCGUCACUUGCUGUCAACAAUAUAUUACCAUCCUUCCUAAAACUCAAUAUCUUCCCCAAUUCUCCUUCAAGAGCUACUGUGUACAUUUUGCUCCAAGACUUUACAUCGCCAUAUACUGUCAUCAACCAAAUGGAACAGCUUCCAGUCCCAACACGCUUAUCAUAGUUGAGAACAGCAAUUGAAUCCUCACAAACAGAAGUGCACAUAUUUAUUGGACACUCAACAGCCAAAGCAUCAGGCAACAACAGUUCCUCAAACACCUCAUUGCUCAAAUCAAACACCAUAAUCAAAUUCUCCUUCUCUUCAUUCAACCUAUAAGCAACCCAAUGCACCUUUCCGUUCACAAACGCCUGAGUCCAGAAGUUCUCAAUCACCCAGUUUUGAGCCAAAUCAACAUCAAUCUCCCUCCAAUCACCUACACCCAGCGCAAAAACUUCAACUAUGGGAGGCAACUUAUACCCGCGUCUAGACUGAUCAUAAGCAAUCCUUACAACCUUAAAAUCAUUGUUUUUCACGUCAUAUCCAAAUCCAACCACAAACAUAUAAGUCCCCAAGUUCUCAAAAACGGCGCGGGGCACAGGAAGAAUCAUUUUUCGCCUGAUCGAAGGGUUCCACAGCAUAAUAAGGUUUCUGUAUCCAAAAAUAUCCUCAGACAAACACAGUAACCCAUUGCAAAAACCCACAAUCCUGAAAUAAAACUGAGCUAAACGGCGAAAAGGGAAGUCUAUUUUGACCUCACUUGCCACAGUGGAAUCUUCAUUGUCGUGGUGUACAGAGUAAAGUUCAGUUCUUUGGGGUUUGGAAUAGCACCUAACAAGCAUCCUAUCAUCUGGGAUGGUGGGUUUUGAGAGAAAAGCUUCUCUGGUAUGCAGAGAAAUGAAAUCAGGACUGGAGAUCAAAGAUUUCCAUGAUUUGGAUACGCACCUGAACCUUAUGAGAGACUUUGCAGGAACCCUUGUGAGGAUUCGGGUCACAAUUUCUUCAGGGAUGAAAUUGGACAUUUUUUUAAAGGACCUUUUUCUGGAUUUAGUAGUAAAAUUAUAGACUCUUGAGUGAGGCAAAGAGACUAUAAAGACUGGAAAGAUUAAACCUUUUUUGAGAAAAGAAUUUGAUGAGCGGAGGGUUUCUACUUGAUUCUGGACAUAAUUCAGAGUUCCUCUGCUCGCACUACUGUGGAGCUGUGUAGUCCCUUUCCAGGUUGAGCUCAAGUGAGCAGGGUCGAAUGGAGUUUUGAUCUGAUAGAGCCGGGCUUUCGAGCUUACUCGGGCUUAAAAAAUAAAAAAUAAUUAUAUUAUUUUUUUAAAAAAGAGUAAAAUAGUAAUUUUUUCUUACAAAUAAUAAAAUAUUAGAAUAUAUAUAUGUGUAAUUUUAUUAUUAAAAUAAAAAAUUAUAUAUAUAUAUAAAUUGAGCAGCUCACGAACUAAUAAGCUGAAUUUUUCUGCGUUUGAUGUUAACUAGACUCGAGUCGAAUUUUGACUGAACUGACUCACAAACACUUGCGAGCAGCUUGAUUCGAGCACUAUUCCCUGUUAUAAAGAAGUUCCAAGAAAAAAAUCGAUUGAUUUAAGUGUGUUUGGACAGUAGAUCAUUUGGGAUAAUUUUUUGAAAAAAAAUACUGCAUCACUUUUUUGAUAUGACAUAUGUGGGAUAAAAAAAAUAGUUGAAAAAUGUGUUGAUAAUACAAUCAAAUAAAAUUUAACAAAUAAUCUUUCACCAGAUAUUAUUUCAACCUUUACUUUUUAGUUGAACAAGAGCAAGAAGAAUAUUAACAAUAAGACUAAUCAAACAUGCCAUAGCAGAAUUUUUUGCAUAUCUGUGUUUGGACAGGAGAUUAUUUGUCCAAAUAUAUUUGUUUUCAUCAUCAUUACAAUUUCUAAUACACUUUUUUAUCUUUCUAAUUAUUUUUUGAUUUCAUAUAUAUCACAUCACAACAAGUGCUACAGUAAAAAAUCUCAAAUAAUUUACAAUCCAAACACAAGCCAAUGCUCUCUCUUUCCACUUCUUACAUUUCGAUAUGCACACAAGUCUAUUCAAUCUAAGGUAAUCUCAACAAUGAUUUUAACCGUGAAAGGAUUAUCUUUAUUGGCAGAACCUUAUUCUAAGGUGAACAGAAAUGCUCCUUAUUAUUCACUGUGAUGUUUAAUCUAAUCCUUGGAAAUUCUUGUCAUGCUCCCAUUUGAAUUGUUAUUUUUGAAAUUUUCAUAAAAAAAAAAGUACUAUAACAAUUUGAUACGUGUGAAAUAAAAAAGUAACUAAAGCCACGUGAAUAAGGUGUCUAUAGUUGACUGCCAAGCAAGAUUGUAGAGUUUUACUAUUAAGACCCAAAUAAGUACAGCCACAUACGUUUACUUUUGACCAAUUUGGUUUCUUUGUUUUGUUUUACUUUUGACCAGUGAUUGACUAGGAAGGCCUACAUUUACUCGUCUUGUUUUGUAUAAUUUAAUUUGAUUAAAGUAGUUGAGAAGGACUUGAAUGUGUAUUUUCUUUCUUUUUUUUUCUUUUUUUCUUGUUAAGGCGGGAUGUUUCUUGUCCAAAAAAAUGAUAAAAUUUUAGGAAAGCAGUCGAGUCAAAAUGUAAUUAACUACUGAUUACGUCAUUAAUCCACCUUGAUCUUGGAAAUUCUAAUAGACUAGUACCCGAGCUCCAUGGAACUUGUCAAUUGUAUACAAGCUCAGCCAGAUGAUUAUGUACCAGAAGUCAAUUGAAUCCAUUAAUCCAAGCUUGAGCUCCACUAAGCUAAUUCAUGAAAAGGCUGGAGUUGUCUCUUAAGUAUGCAAGCAUCAAGUCUAAUCAAGCUACGUUACUCAAAACUGCAGCUGCUUUGGAAAAUCAACUCCCAUACAAGAGUCUUCAUUCAAAACAAAAUGGUACCAAAAAAGAAAGAAAGAAAGGAUAAUCAAAGAAAGUGGAUUGGGAAGGGCAGUUCAAAGAAAGUGAAAACGAAGACAAAAAGGUUUCACCCAUCUCAGCAAGUGCCGCACAAACAUCAGCUCCCCAGCAGACAAAUCAGACAGCAAACUGCCGGAAUUUACACAAAAGGAUCCUGCAAUGAAACAGGAUGGGGUCAAGGUCAUGGCAGUCCACAUUGCAAUUAUGAAGUAGAGAUAAGAUAUCUAUCUAGACAAUCAACAUUUUUUCCCAAUUCACAGUAUUUAGAGAUAAAGCCCAGUUCCAAGCCAUCCCUUUAGAGUUGUCUCCUACAUGGUUAAACACCUGCAGAAGCCAAUACUACAAUGCCUUGGAUGCAUCAUUUUGCUGACCAGAUAGAAUGAGGUUCACUGAAUUCACAAAACAGAUGCAUAAAUAUCAUUCAGGUGAAAAAUACAACAAAGUUUCCUUCAAACUUCGCUAUAGUUAAAAUAACGUCUCCUCUCAAACUUCAGAUAAACCCUCCGUACAACUUUGACACCAGUCACCAAUUCAUUUGGCAUUCCUAAAUUACAACCAGGCAUAACCAAAAGGAGCAGGUCAUUUAAAUUAACGUCUACGAAGAACACAGUACACAUCAUUUUGGAUACACGAUAGAGUCAGUCGACGUAGUUUUAGAAACUAACAGCAAAUCCUAAAAUAAAAACUCAGGAGAAGUAGUUCUAGUUUUGCUAAAUUUACCAUUGCUAAAUGGUCUGUGAAAAAAUCCUUUUCGGGUUCAUCAAAUGGUUAGUGAGGUCUUUCCCUAGAUAUCCAGCUGUUUAGCAGCCCUGGAUUGGAUGAUAAAGAAGUUGUGAAGCAUACAAAAAGGAAGUUGAUCGAGUUUGCAAGCAAGCAGAAAUUCCAAAAAUGCAAGACAUGAAUGCCCAAGGAUAGAUACAAAAAUCAGUCUAAAAUCAUGUAGAAGCUAUUCAAAUUCAAAUAUAUCAGCAGUUGAACAUUUACCUGCAUCAUUGUUGUUUGUUCAAGCAGAGCUUUCAGAAACUCAACCAUCAUGGACUGCUUCCAGAGCUCAUUGGCUUCAACUCUGUCAUCCUCUCCUUCAUUUUCAUCUCCAGAAGAAUCAGAUUCGGCCACAUUUGGCAGACCUUCCAGUACUUGUUCACCAUCAAUCAGCAAAGCUAGGCUCUCUGUAUACCUAUCCACAAAAAAUGAAUCUUUGGUACCCAGAAUUCCAAUGUACUUAAUUUCUUGAAUCCUUGGGUUUGGAUCAUAUGAAUACAAGUCUCCAUCUCUUGCUGUCAACAAUAUAGUACCAUCCUUCCUAAAACUCAAUAUCCUCCCCAGUCCUCCUUCAAAAUCUACUGUGUACAUUUUGCUCCAAGACUUUACAUCACCAUAUGUUUGCAUCAACCAAAUGGUACAGCAUCCAGUCUCAACAUGCUUAUCAUAAUGAAGAACAGCAAUUGAAUCUUUGCAAACAGAAGUACACAAAUUUAUGGUACACUCAACAACCAAAGCAUCAGGCAACAACAAUUCCUCAAACACCUCGUUACUCAAAUCAAAUGCCAUGAUCAAAUUCUCCGUCCUAUACUCCUCCACAUUCAACCUAUAAGCAACCCAAUGCACCUUUCCAUUAACAUAUGCCUGAGUCCAGAAGUGCUCAAUGAUCCAAUUUUGAGGCAAAUUAACUUCAAUCUCCCUCCAAUUACCUGCGCUUAGUGCGAAAACUUCAACUAUUGGAGGCAAGUUAUACCCACUGUCUGACUGAUCAUAAGCAAUUCUUACAACCUUAAAAUCAUUACUUUUCAAGUCAUAUCCAAAUCCAAGCACAAACAUAAAGGGCCCUAAGUUCUUGUAAAUAGCUCGGGGCAAAGGAAGAGUGAUUUUCCGCCUGAUCAAAGGGUUCCACAGCAUAAUAACAUUUGUGUAUCCAAAAAUGUCAUCAGACAAACACAAUAACCCAUUGGAGAAACCCACAAUCCUAAAAUAAAACUGAGCUAAACGGCGAAAAGGGAAGUCUAUUUUGACACCACUUGCCACAGUGAAAUCUUCAUUGUCGUGGUGUACAGAGUAAAGUUCAGUCCUUUGGGGUUUGGAAUAGUGCCUGACAAGCACUCUAUCAUCUGGGACGGCGGGUUCUGAGAGAAAAGCUUGACGGGUAUGCAGGGAAAUGAAAUCAGAGCUGGAGAUUAAAGAUUUCCAUGAUUUGGAUACGCACCUGAAUCUUAGGAGAGACUUUGCAGGUACCCUUGCGAGGAUACGGGUUACAACUUCUUCAGGCAUGUAAUCGGACAUUUUUUCAAGGCAUGUAGUCGAGCAAAAUGUUCUGAGUAGGAUAGUCGUAGUAGUGUGGAGUUUUCUAGUAAGAACCUGGGCAACUUGUUUUCCUCUGCCCAACUAUAAGCCUAUAAACUAAAGAAGUUCCAAGAAAACCUUUUAAGUUUUGUCUUUUUGUCCCAAAGGGUCGAGGGGAGUUACAAAAGGAACUGUAGUAUCAUCGGAUCAAAUGCGUAUCUGUACACUCGCGAUUAAAUGCAAGACAAGAGAUUUGAUCUCUUAACCUAUACUCAAAGAAAAUUUUAAGCCUCUCCCCCAUGGCUCGUGGCUGAGUUGAGUUGGUUAUGUUUCAAGAAAACGGAAUGAUUUUUUUUCCCUUUUUGUUUUAAUUUUUCUUUUCAAGAUUAGUAAGUGAUUUAAGGAGGAUGCUUUCUUGGCUAGAUUUUAGUUAGGGCAGGAUCGUUUAAAAAAAAAAAGAGAUGAUAUUGGUAGUUCCAAAAAAAAAAAAUUUUCCAAGCGCCCCAUCCUUCAUUUUUGGUUAAUUAAAUGACAAAAAAAUUGUUUGUAAAUUGUCCAGUGUGCAUUUCUCGGUAACUCGUAUUAUUUUAUCUCUUUGAUUUUUUUUCAAAUUUUUUAUUUUAUCUCUUACAUCUGCCCUAAAUUGCUGUAGUAUUAAGAAUGGAGAAAAUUUUUUAUAACAAUGACUGAAUAAAUGUUGUUUGAGUAUGAAUUGUUUAGUAAUUCUUGAUUAAAGUACAAGCCUUCGUAGUUGAGAGCUGUCUGUAAUUUUUGACAUGUUCAUUUGUUAGGUGGAACUUUGCAAAUUUAACGAAAUUUAUAAUUAUUUUAUAUCUUUUUUUUUAAGUUUUAAGACUUUGUAAUUAAAAUUUUAUAGGUCUACACAAAAAAUAGACCAUUUACUAUGCUUUGGGGGUACUUUUUGCAUUUAAAUGUUAGAAAAUCUAGUUUAUGGCUCAAUUCGUUGUUGUCAAUAAUAAUGAACAAGGAUGGAACUGGAGAUUGCCUUAAAAAAAAAAUUUUUGGAGAGCCAAUAUCAUUGGACAUAUAUUAAAAAAAAAAAACAAAUUUACCAACCAUCUCUCCUUAGUCAACUUACCGAGAAAAUCAUAUGGUUAAUAAAAUCGUUGUAUUGCAGUGUUUUUGCAUCAUUAAUAAAAUCGUAUAUAGUUAAGCAACAGUUUGUAACUCUCAUUUGAUAAUAAGCCUAAUCAAAUCAAACACUUGAGUGAUUAAACUUGUUCAGUUGUUUAUUUAUUUACCGAGUUUGAAAUUGUGUUCAAAUUCGAUUUAUUUUUUUCCAUUGAGCCAGACUCAAGUGAUCUUUUAUUUGGUUGAGUUCGAGUAGUUUGAAUUUUUACAUGUAAAAUUUUAAAUUUUAUGCUAAUUAAACCAAACGAGUUGAAUUUAAAAUUUUACCGAACAUAAAAUGAAGUAUCAUUUAUGUUUGACUUGAUUCGUAUUCAAAUCAAAUGGAACGAGCUCUUAUGAGUUGAACCAGAUUUGACUUUAGAGUAUCUAGUUACUUGUCUUUCAGCCCUAAGAACAUUGCUGCUGUUGUCAAAUGUCUAGUUGAAGUGAAGUAGAUAAGACAGUGAAGUACUUGUCCUGCUGACGCUUUUGAAAUCAAAUCUCUUCCGAAUACUCUCUUUUCACUUCCAACAUUUGGAUAUGCAUCUGCACACAAAUUUUUUUUUUUUUUUUGGGAGCAUAUGAACAGAAGUUGAAUCUAUCUAAAGCAAUCUCUGCAAUGAUUUUAACCAGGCAGGGCCUAAUCUUGAUUGACAUUCAGCAUUUGCAGAAGUUUAUACACAGGUAAAGAAAGAAAGAUGCUACUUGUUAUUCUCUUCUACGUUUAAUCCUUCAAGUCUUUUCAUGCUUUGAUCUUCUAGCUAUCAAUCAUGACAUCCUUAUUAGAUUGAAUCAUGCAAAGAACCUGUAACAAUGUGUAUAUGUACAUCUUCAAUUCUCAAUAGAACCAGAUUUAGAGUAUUAGACCUCUGUAGUUGACUGCAAAUCAAGACUGCAGUCCUGUGGAAACUAUUAGGACCCAAAUGCUUGAAGUAUCUUUAGACAAAACCAAGGAAACACUCCAAUACAGCCGAAUGACCGUGAUCAAGUGAAUAAAAGAGAUGUCAUAGUUGUUGUCCUUCCCUUAUUGAAAAGAUGUAAAAUUUGCCAAAAGACAGUUUAAUAUUGAACUCAAGAAGGAAGACCUAUAAAUGAGUAGAGUGGAUUGAUGGACCAUUUUAGCUUAGUGCAAUUUUGCCACUGAACUGACUUAGGCUAUGCUAACCACAGUAUUGACCUUUUGGACAUUGUGGCUUGCAGCAUUACUAUUCUUAUAGGCCAUUAUUCUGCAAAACUAGCAGACAGGUUGUGGCUUGUUGAUAGAGCUAAAUCAAGAAACAGGAGCAAAAUAUUGCUAGAAACAAAUGCUUUUCCAAUCACCCGAAUGCACUGUCUCCUGCUGUAUAUGGCCAAUGUAUGGCACCAACCAGCAAUGUCCAACAAAAAAUGCUUUGGGCGUGUAUAGAUUGCUGCAUAUCACAAAACGGAAUCGAGGUUAUCGAAUUGAAAAACAGGCGUGUUCAAGUUAAAUUACACUAAAUUCCUUGACCUCUGUUGAAGACAAGAACAUCACCUCUUGGCUUGGAUUACAUCGAUUUCCUUUCAACCUUUAUAUCAUGGUACAAAACAUAAUUAAAAUCAGCAACAAAACUUAUUCCAGAUUCCUAAAGUACCAUCAUGAAUAAUAGGAACGAAAAGAAGGGUGUCUUUUACAAAUUGAAUGAUAAGGGAAGUCAAUGUAAUUUUACAAACUGAAUAUAGAGAAGUCCCAAUCCGCAUCAGUCUAGCUAUCAAAACUCAAGGAAAUGACAGUCAAAUGGAACUUGGCAUUGUUGCAGUGAAUGGAAACAAUCAAACGAUGGCUCAAUGGGCACUAAAGGAAUAUAGUUAAGGGAAUAGUCUGAUGGAUAAUGCAGUGGCUCUCAAACUUGCAAUGAUAAAGGCAAGAGAACAACAAUGGAGGAGGAUUGAAGUGGAAAUCCCACAACUGCAGCUGUUGAAGAUGAUAGAAGCCAACAAGGGCCAAAGACAUCAGACUCUUUUCUCACUUAAGAGGAUAUUCAUGACUUAAGCUCUAUGUUUGUGGAAUGCUCAUUUGUUUUGGCUAGAAGUGAAAGCAGUAUUAGAACAACUGAUGUGUGUAAUCAUGCAUUAAGCAUAUCUUUUCAUGAGGAAUGGUUAAAUCCUCAGUGUCUUUAGACACUUGUAUAGCUCCAAUUGAGCCUUUGCUCACUAAGUGUAUAGUUCAUACACAAAUCCAAUAAAAUCAUCUAUCAUUUCCUGGAAAAAAAAAAGAUGGGCAUUUAACCCUUUUAACAUGUAUACAGUCAUCAGCCUCAGAGUACACAUUAGACUACGGAGAUUUACACAUUAGCAAGCAAAAUACGCAUACAUCAAUGGUUGAGCAAUGCAGUAAGAUAUUGAAUCAUAAUCGAUUGUAUCCAGAGCUCAUGCUUUUCAACCCCCUCAUCCUCUCUUUCAUUGUCCUCUCCAGAAGAAUCAGAUUCACUAACACUUGGUAGCUCAGGUAGUAUUUUUGCUCCUUCGAUCAGCAAAGAAAGGCUCUCAGAAUAAGUAUCCACAAAGGAUGAAUCUUUAGUUCCCCAGAUUUCGAGAUGCUUAGAUUUUUGAGUUCUUGGAUCGUGUGAAACCAACUCUCCAUUUCUUUCUGUCAACAAUAUAUCACCAUCCUUCCCAAAGCUCAACACGAUCCCCAACCCUCCUUCACAGACCACAUUGUACAUAUUACUCCAAGACUUAAAAUUCCCAUACUCUUGCAUCAACCAAAUGGAACAACUUCCACUCCAAACACGCCUAUCGUAAUGAAGAACAGCAACUGAAUCCUUGCAAGCCAAUGUGCACAAAUCUACAGGAGACUCAUCAACCAAAGCAUCAGGCAACAGCAAUUCCUCAAAAACCUCGGUACUCAAAUCAAACAACAUGAUCAAAUUUUCCUUCCCAUUCUCCCUCUCCAUAUUCAUCCUAUAUGCAGUCCAAUGUACCUUCCCUCUCACAAAUGCUUGAGUCCAAAAGUACUCAACAACCCAAUUUUCAGGUACAUCAACAUCAAUCUCCCUCCAAUUCCCUACACUUAGUGCAAAAAUCUCAACUUUCGGAGGCAAGUUAUACCCAUUACUUCCCUGAACAUAGGCAAUUCUUACAACCUUAAAAUCAUUGUUUUUCACAUCAAAUCCAAAUCCAAGCACAAACAUAAAAGGCCCCAACUUAUCAAAAACAGCUUGGGGCGAAGGUAGAGUGAAUUUCCGUCUGAUCAGAGGGUUCCAAAACAUAAUAAGAUUUGUGUAUCCAAAUAGAUCAUCAGACAGACACAGCAAACCAUUGCUAAAACCAACAAUCCUGAAAUAAUAACGCGAUAAACCGCGAAGAGGGAAGCCUAUUUUAAUCCCAUUUUCCACAGCGAAUGCUUCAUUGUCAUAGUAUACUGUGUAAACUUCAGUCUUUUGAUCUUUAGAAUAGUGCCGAACUAGCAAUUUGUCAUCUGGUGUAGAGGGUUUUGUGAGGAAAGCUUGAUGGUUAUACAGAGAGAUAAAAUAAGCGCUAGAUAUUAAAGAAUUCCAUGAUUUUGAUACGCACCUCAAUCUUAGGAGAGAUUUUACAGGAACCCUUAUGAGGAUUUGGGUCAUAACCUCUUGAGGGAUGUAAUCUGACAUUUUUAAUUGGGCAUUUGUGAGUUAAAAGGGGGGAAUAAAGGGACUAAAAAUGACUGAUGAGUGAAGGCAAGACUUAUUGAGAAUGGAAUGAAAGAGUGCAUUUUCAGGCUUUUUAUGUGAUUUUGGGGAAUAGCCGAGUCAUGGCUGCCUUGCUUCUUCCUCGAUUAUGCAAUUUUCUUUUGAGAAAUAGACAGAUGAACAAGAGGAUUUCAGUUUGGGAUGAAGACAUCGAAGAAGGCAAGUGGAGCUGAGUCGGAGUUUCGUAGGCAAAGAGAUCGGCCUCUUGGCUUAGAUCAAGUGUGGAGACUGUUUUGUUAAUAUGUCCAGCGAUGAUUAUGUGAAUGUGAAGGCCUAAUUUGACAAGUACAGCAAAGUACAAAAUACCUCAUUAAUCGUAAUUAAUCAGUCCAGCCUUUAUAUUGUUGUUUCUAGAACAUUAUUAUCGUUUCUAGAAUUAAAUCUACAAUUGGGCAUAGGGGGUGCAUCAAUUAGAAAGUCUGAAUUCAGAAAAUUCGGUAAAUUGAAUUUGGUAAAUUUCAACCUAUUUCGUUUUUGAAUUCAAAAGUUCCAAAUUUAAUUUCUCUCGAAAUUCAAUUCGGAAUUCAUUAUUCUAUUUAAUUCAUAUUAAAAAAAUGAUUUGGAAUUUAUUGAAAAAAAAAACUAACCUAAAUGAGUCAGGUAUUACACUAUUAUUAUUAUAUAAUAUAAUGACUUACGUAUAUUAUAGCGACAUAGAUUAAUCAGUUUGAGGUAUUAUACUAUUAUUAUUAUAUAAUAUAAUGACUUAUAUAUAUAUAUAUAUAUUAUUGUAUAUACGAAAUUGAAAUUGAAUUAGGUAGUUGAAUUCUGAUUUCGAUUUGUGAGUUCGAAAUUGAAAUUUUCGCUUUUAAGAAGCAUGGUCUCAAAUUCGCCAUUUUCGAAUGCGAAAUCUCCACAUUCCUUUCUUUUUUCUGAAUUUUCGAUUUCAAAAUUCCAAAUUCAAAUUGAAUUAGAUCCAAAAAUUGAAAUUUUUUGGAUUUGCACACCCCUAAUUGGGCAGCAAAGGACAAUAAAAAGUCCAAGGAAUAUAAACAAGAAAAGGCACAUCAUUCUUCAAAUAUUUUUUAGUGCUAAAUCAUUCUAAAAGUAACACACGUUAUGAGAUAAGAUCAAAUUAUAGCAUAUGUUAGAGUAGUUAUAGUUGUCCAGCUUGACAAUAUAUCACUUUUGCCUGAUAAGACUCUUAAUGGAUUCUAUACAUUAUUUUUGGCCUUUUGUAGACUCUUAAUGAAUUUUCACGAUUUUGAUUGAUUAUUUCGCACAUAAUAAAGUUAGAAAACAAAAAUUAUACUGUAAUGUCAUAUUUCUCCUCUUUAAGUGGUCUUGAUAAGAGUCCUAAACUUCCCUCCUCACAUCCAACAAAAAAAAAAUUUUGAUAAUUAUAUUAGGGAGUUGUAAACUUUCGCCUUCCCAUCCAAAAAAAAAAAAAAAAAAAGACUUUUGAUAAUGUAUAUUAGGGGCGUAAGCGGGUUGGGUACCUCGCUAAUGCAACCUUUCUUUCCAUUUGUUUCAAUUAGAUCUUUUUUAUGUUUAUCUUUAAAAUCAAAAUCCAUUCCUUAAGCUAUUAAGUACUUGCCAAAAAUCCAUCCAAAAAAGUCUUCCUUUUUUUUUUUUUUUUUUUUUUUUAAUCUUUUCUUACCAUUUGUUUCACCCAUAAGCUAUUAAGUUAUUGUGUGCUGUCAAUAAAAGGAUUAUCAGGUCAGGACUUGUAUCAAUUUACAGCGCAAUUGGCAAACAAAUCCGUUGUCGUCCAGCGGUUAGGAUAUCUGGCUUUCACCCAGGAGACCCGGGUUCGAUUCCCGGCAACGGAAAAUCAAUUUUUCAUUUUUCCCGGACUGAGUUACCUCAAACAACUACAGAAAAAGCCCUGCCAUCGCUUGCUGCUGUUCCCAGAUUCUGCUUCCCCGUGCUCAGAUUGCCUUUCAACGCUUUUAAUUGCACAAUUAACUAUUAUCUGGUACAUUUUUAUGCGAUGAAAAACCUGUUCUUUUCCUUUCUGUUUAAAUUCAUUUAUUUUACUCAAUCAGCCUCUCUUACUGCUAUUCUUGUUUCUUGAUUCUCCAAUUUUAAUAUCUAUGUGUGUGUUAUCUAAUGAGUAAAGUUUGAGCUUCAAGAGAAAAAGGUUCUGUUACGGGGGAUUGGGAUGGCUUUUUUUUUUUAAUGGAUUUUUGGCCUUGUUGAGAAAUGCACAAGUUCUUAUCAAUUUGAUUAAUAGAAUCAAAUUUGGAACGUCUUUAGAUUGAAUGGCUGAAAUGCAUAAGAGUGACAUAAUAACUUACUGGUUAUGCAGGCUGAGAUUUUUGAAGGUGAAUUUGCAUUUUGCUGCAAUACAAAUGCAGAUAAUUCAAGUGGACAGUGUUUUGGCAAAAAAAGUAAUAAUAAAAAAAGUUGGGAGCUUUUGUACAGCCUCACCAAGUAUAUAAAAGAAAUUUCAGUUAGUUUAUAAAGUACAAAUCUUGUUGGUUAACUACAAAGAAUAAAAGGGGUUGGAUGAACUUGAAACUGGAUCUACUGUUAGCUCUUCACAGGAUGGAGAUUUGGUUGUACACGUUGGAAUGUUUAUUCAUUAGGUGGCGGCGGAGGCUUUUUUCCGUCUUUUGCCCUUCAGUGCCUUGGUUCUUAGAUUUAUUAUGAUAUUCCUGCAUUCUUGAUUGUACUGUGCUUGCUCAGCAGAAAAUGAUAUUGCAGAUAGCUUCAUUUUGAGCUGAGCUUUAUAAGUAACCACUAUGAUUUGAUCAAUCAUUUAUUAGACUAGAAAAAGUUCUAGCCUUUUAGUAACCUUAUGCUUUCGUAGUUUGGGAUUGGUUUCGAAUGAAUGCAAUGCGUUUAAGAUUUGCGGAUAUAGAUUUUAAGGCUAGUUGACUUUGUCAACAGAAUUAAUCAGACAUUUUUUGUGUUGACAUGGGAUGUGACCAUGAUAAUGUUACAUUCCAGCUAAGUUGCAUUAAUCAUCGUUGUUCUAGUGCAUAGAUCAUGCUAGAAAUGCUAAUGAAAUAUUAGUCCGUUUGCAAAGUGCAAAUUGAUAUCUUAAUCCUCAAGUAAACGAUCCUUGUCUCCUGCAUUUGCUCAAAUUGUCUAAUAUAAUGUGUGAAUGCAGAGGAAAGCUUUCAAUGGAGAGCUCUGAUGAUGGAAAGAAUGGUCCUCUGGAUGCCAAGGAGCAUUCUCUAACAUCUGAUGGCAAAAAAUCCAUAGACGAAGUUCUUAAUGGUCCAAAUGGCCUUUGCUCGUAGAACUUGCACAUGGAUAGGCACAUGUUUUAUGUAUUGUGUGACAUGUUACAAGCCAGAGGCCUCUUAUGUCACACAAUUAGAAUAAAGAUUGAGGAGCAGGCAGUGAUUGAUCAUGUUUAUAGUUGGGCACAGGAUAUGUACUCGAGCAGUUCAAGAGCUAUUUGGAUACUCAGGCGAAACCAUUAGCUGCCAUUUCAACAAUGUUCUAACGACAAUUAUGGCAAUUUCACGGGAUGUUUUUCCACCUCCUAGGCCUGAUGUUCCACCAGAAUUUGUGAAGAUCCUCAAUUUAUCCUCAUUUUCAGGUAACCUGAAAAUAAUACUCUGAUUUUUUGUAGUCUUUCUUAUUUGUCCUUGAAGUAUUUUUUGUCUUAAAAGUUACUGUUUAUCAAGUAGAAUUGUGUGGGAGCAGUUGACAGUAUAUAUUUGCCUGUGCAGUAGGAUUGGAUGAGCAAGUUCCUUUCUGGAACAAGAGCGGUUUUCUUUCACAAAAUGUACGGGCUGUAUGCUCCUUCAGUAUGAAAUUUCACUAUGUUCUAGCUGGUUGGGAAGGUUCAGCACCUGAUAUACAAGUUUUAGGUUCUGCUGUCACAAAAGGUAACAUAUUGCAAGUCCCCGAUGGUACAUCAUCUUUAUAGGAACUGAAACUGAGCUAGCGGAAACGGUUUCACGCACACUGAAUUACCAUUUGGUGAGAACGUUCUGGAUGACUCAGUAUUCUCCCUUGAGUUCUUCACUUCUGAGUUUUUUAUCACCUUCAAUCUUAACAACAGCAUGUUAAAAGUCCCAUCUAAUGUUUGUCUUUCAAAACUUCGUUCCUUGUAUAUCUCUGCUGUUGAGUUGAAGAAUGAUGCCUUUAUAACCUCUAAUAGCCGACAAGGAAUCAUCUUUAACUUGCCUGUCCUUGAAGAGCUUCGGUUUAAUUAUUGUACAUGAUGGAAUUUGAUGAUACUUCCAAAAGAUGCUCCUUUACUCAAAAGAUUCGAAAUGAUUGGCCCCCCUUAUAGAUCUGGAAAUGGUGCAAUGUAUGAAGGCGUUAAAGUAGAGAUUUGUGGAGGCAACCUUGCUGAUGUUAAAUGUUCAGUUUUUUUCUUUGAGGAGUGUUUUCUCCAACCGAUUGACUCUUGUUAAUGCUUGUUUCAAGUAUGAUGCUUCUAUUAUGCAUUAUGAUGAUCAUUGGAGGAGAAAGAUGGUGUUGUGAGCUUGUGCACUUUUAGGUGGAUUCUCUAUCACGGGAUGCCUUGAGCUAUCUGGUGACUUCCUCGUGGUACACAAGUUUCUUUCUACAAGUUAAUAUUGUUAAUAGUAGUAAUUUUGCAUUUACAACUGUUGUUUGUACACUUAGAUAAUGUCUGCUUAUUUUUUUUAUCCCCUCAUUUCCUGCUUCAGUCUUGUUAUGUUUUGGUUAUGAUUUGUUUUGCUAUUGUUCAAGACUUUGCUCUUCUUGCUUUUCCUUUAUUCAUUCGUCGUUUUGUCUGUUGCUACUGUCAAUGUGUUAAUUUGCUAGCUAGUAAUUACAAAAUUUGCUUACUGAAGAAGUUGUUCAAUUGUAUAUAUGACCUCAAUGUACUCAGCUACUAUAAGAAACUAAGGAAGGAAACAGCUAAUCUUCUUGGCCAGUAUGUAUUGGUAGCCCAUUAAUUUAAGACACGGUAUUGAGCAGGUAUGAAGGUGAAAACCCGAUAUUUCUCUUUGAUUGAGUGCACCCGGGACUUGAUAUUUAGUUGUUGAUGGAAACUAAGCGUUGUAAUCUAGAAUAAAAGGUACAUAACCAUCAAGUUUGAAGUAACUUGGGAUGCGUAUGCAGUCAAUAACAAUAGGUUGAUGGAGAGAUUUUUCAUGGCUUGUAAUAACUUGAAUUGUCUUGGCAAUUUUGGUUGUCUUCCUGCGCUGAAUUCUGAAUUAUCUUGCUGAACAUUGGCACAUUGCCCUCUUAUUGAAUCCAUCAAUUCUUCCCAAGUUGCUGUCCUAGGCGGAACCAUUAGGUCCUCUUCCAGUCUUUGAUAAGCUUAACUGCCUCAAAGUGUCAGCAGUGAGCGGUGCCAAGUGUGACAAGCCAUUGGUGAACUUGCUCAAAAGGGCACCAUAGCUGGAAUCUCUGAUCAUUUCUUCGGUAAGUAUUGAAGUUAUUUCUGAUCCCCCUAAAUUCACCAAAGGCUUUAGAAAUCAGUCUAUAUUUACUCCCUCCCAUCUUUCUUUGUGCCAGUGCCUCAUCGUUCUUGUUCUCGUCUCCUCCCCUUCUCUCUUUUGACUGCACUGCAUACUGGGCCAUCAUUUCUAAUAUAGUACUUGUCUUUGAUAUGUCCUUCUAGUUCCUGAUUUGUAGCGGCCAUCCGGGGUUGGCGGUGACAAUGAGGGAAUUGAUUUUGAGCCAGCAAAUUUUAUGAUUCACCUUAAGGUCAUCAAGUUUGAUAACAAGUUUCAGAGGCAAGGAAGUUCAGAUUCAGUCAGUGAAGUUUUUGCUCGAACAUGGCUCAGUACUUGGAAAAGCCUGUGUUAUGUCUGUUUUCUGUUCAUUUGUAUAACCAUGCAUAUAUGUUUGCAAUCAAAUUGAAAUUAUUAUUUCAAAAUUAAAAGUUAGAUACAAAGAAAUUGAAACUAGCAUGCGAAAUCUUGUUGAUCAACAGUAAAUAGGGUGGAUUAUUAAACUUAUACUUGUUUCUGGUAUUUUCCUGUAGCUUUGUUCUGUGCUGUAUAAUGAAUUAUAUCAUACAUGAUUGGCAGCCCGGUUCAAGAUCAUAGGAGAAGGAAUAGCGCAUGAAAAGGUUUGGGAAAUUGAGAUUAAAAAUUCGGUGUGGACAUGUUUCAAUUUUAGUUUCCUUCCCCACUUAGAAGUGAUCAGUCCCCAACCCAUAUGAAUAUAACUUCUGCCCAGGUCAUUGUUCUGGUUUUUUCUUGUACAAAGGUUGUGCUGCAUCUUAAAGAGAGACUAAAAUGUUAAAAUUAUUCCAAAAUGAAACUGAAGAAAAACUCUGAUCAUACUUCAAGAGCAUGUGAGCACCAAGAAUCAGAUCCCUACUCCACUAUUUUUCCGGAUAAGAAUGUCAAACAUCCUUGUUUGGCUUAUGGUUUUCUGUAGAAAAUUUUUUUACGUUUUUUGUAAAAACAUUUUUAAUCACUUUUUUUUAAAAUUUUAUAUACAUCAAAUCGCUACAGUAUAUAGUUUUUUUAAGGGUUAAAUGCAGAAAACACCCACGAACUUUCAUGGAAGUUGCACAAAACACCCUGAAAUAUGUUUAUAGGCAUUUUGCACCCCGAGAAAACGACCGUUCACACAUUUCACGGUGAAACAAAACGCGUGGAAGCCACUUUCUGUCCGUUGAAUUUGCUGACAGAAUUGCCCUCUUUCCAGUGAAUAUAAAUGAGAACCACCUACCAUCACUUCUCAUUUUCCCUCCUUGUAUUUCCUCUUCUUCACAUAUGCACAAUUCUUCUUCUACUCACAUGGAACACAGUCCAAAUAGUUGCAGCUCAAGCAAUGCAUAUGAAGCAACAAACUUCAACUAUUAAAUAAAGUGAUCUAAUCCUUCAAUAUGGGUUGGAGUCCAAUGCCACCCCAGUCAUCAAUUCUUUGUGGUUUCUUUGAAUCUUUCCGGCUAUGGCAUUUCUGGCCAAUUGGGACCUGAAAUUUCUCGUUUAUAUCACUUGACCGUACUUGACUUGAGCUUCAACGCCUUUUCUAGUUCAAUUCCUUCCCAACUAGGAAACUCCACUCGUCUGCAGCACUUGGAUCUCUCUUCCAACAACUUCACUGGACGACUACCUCUCGGCCUUGGCAACUUGUACCGUCUUUCCUACUUAAGCCUGUACGACAAUUCUCUGACUGGUACCCUACCCCGCUCCUUGUUUUCCAUCCCAGCCCUUCACACCGUGUACCUCAACACCAAUCGACUGACCGGCACCAUCCCAUCCAAUGUUGGAAACGCCAGCGAGCUUGUGUGUCUGUGGCUCUACGGAAAUCAGUUGUCAGGGACCAUUCCGCCCUCCAUAGCAAACUGCACUUCCUUGCAAGAACUCUAUUUAGGUGACAACCAGUUGGUUGGAUCAUUACCGGACGCUCUCGACAGUCUUGAGCACCUGGUUUAUUUCGAUGUAAGCAGCAACAUGCUCAAGGGCAACGUUCCUUUCGUUUCCGGGAGCUGCAAAGAGAUGGACACAUUUGUUUUCUCUUUCAACAACUUCACGGGAAGCAUUCCACCAGCUUUGGGAAAUUGCAGCAGCCUAACACAAUUUGCUGCUGUCAGUUGUGCCUUAACCGACCCAAUUCCUCCCUCUUUUGCCCAACCAGGAAACCUGAUGAAUCUUUAUCUCUCGAACAACAGGCUGUCAGGAGAAAUUCCACAGGAGCUGGGACGGUGCGCGUCCUUGGUUGAUCUGCGGAUAGAGGAAAACCAACUAGUAGGCCAAAUUCCAGUUGAGCUAGAAAAGCUCAGCCAGCUGCAGAGCCUGUUUCUCUUUACCAACCAUUUGACUGGCGAAAUCCCUCUUGGUAUAUGGAAGAUUCAAAGCCACGAAUUAAAAAAUCAAAACCAACCCAAUAAAUUAGCUAACAACCAAAUGCAAGACCCAAAAAAAAAAAAUCACAGAGAAAAAUGAACAAAUUUCUGAGCUACUUGAAAUACCAAAAAAAUAAAAGCCUGAAACAAUAAAGGAAAAAGCAUAGCAAAACUCAAUAGUCAAAAUCUCACCUUCGGAAAGCAACAACGAAGAAAAAAAUGUAAAAAUAAAAACUCACCCAUGAAUGCUAGACGUCGGAACAAACCCAGUGGCAAUCAUUAAACAACACAACUUGAACUCUACUACUGAUUGAAAGCAGCGGUGAACAAAAGGGAAAAAGUUGCAAGUUUCACCGUUUACCGCCGACCACUGCUCUCGAUCAUUAAUUUAUCACGGCGAGGAGAACAUAAAACCAACUAGUAAAAAACAACAAUGAACUGCCAGCAGAAUGAGGCAUAAAACUACAAGUUUGGGCAUCCAGAUCCACACAAAAAGGGUAAAAAGUCGAUUAAAUAAAGAAAAAAUUAGGGCUUUGCAUGUUACCUGAUUUGCUGAGAUACUCUAAAUAUUUCACUUGUUUAGAUUCUUCAAACCGUCUUUUGCCCACUUCUAGUUACCCUCUGCAGUCAUUCGGCUUUGGUUCUUCCUCAAUCGCAAGAAAAAGGCAAAAAAUUUUGGCAAACUCAAGAUUCAGUUUUGCCUUGUAUUUUCCGCCCGACAUAAUGGGUUUGGAGGAGAAGAAGGGUGCUUUUGUCUGUUCGGUUAUUAUUUGAGGAUAAAGUUGUCAUUUGGGUCAUAAAAUAAACGGUGUGUAAAUAUCCGUUAUUUUCCGUUAUUUUUCAAUGAAGUUUGGGUGUAAAGUGCCUAUAAACAUAUUUAAGGGUGUAUUGUGCAACUCAUACGAGAGUUCAGGAGGUUUUCUGCAUUUAACCCUUUUUUUAAUAAAAACUUAUAAGAAUAGCAAUCCAAACGCCUGAUAUCAUAAAUGUAUUCUGUACGCGAUCGUUUUGAUUGGACAUGCAACAAAUAGAACUGUUGGUCUAAAAAUAACUGAAGUCUGAAGAUAUACAGACAGAAAUCAGCCAUGUUGCAUCUUAGUUAACAUAUUUUCAUCAGUAGACAAGCAAAAUGUAGGAGCUUCAGAAUAAACAGUGAGCAGAUGUUUCUGAAGCUUUCACGCCAACUACAAUGCCCCAAGUUGCACCGAGGCUCACAGAAAACAAAAUUUGCAUAUGUUGUCCUGUCCAAUGCUGGAAUAAUCGUGUCAGUAGAUGCCAUCCACAAAAAAAAAAUGCGCACCAUGAGAAGAUCAAAAGAGUAAGGAUUGUGUGCAUCUGAUCCUGCAGAACCCAGAGAUCAGAAGCUAACCAGUUUCACAUUCUUCUUUGCCUUUUCAGAGUUGAGUAACUGGUCAUGGCUUCCAGUUUGCUCUGAGAACUACUGCCACUACUAGUCCUCGGAAUCGAUGGUUUAGCUUAACUCGACACUUUCACUACACUUGCAAAAGUUUUUUUUUUUUUUUUUUAAUCUCAAUCUGAACUAUUUAUCCAUGAGAGGCAAAGAGAGAAUAUGAGAAAAAGACCAAAAUCUUUAAAAUCUUUUAAAAUUUGGAUUGAAGUCUAUUGCUUAGAAAUCUAGUUGCAGUCACAAAUCAUAGGAGUCUUUUUAAUGCUCACAAUUUCAAAAUAAAAAAAAUAAGUGUUUUUCCCUCUGUUUUUCUUUGUCAGUUUUUGAAGUUGGUUUUUUUUCUUAGAAGACAAGAUAAAGGCUCCGUUUGAAUUAGUUGUUUUGGAAGUAUUUUUGACUAUAGCAAAGUUUUUAUAGUAUAUUUUGGGAUAUUUAAGAGUAGAAGAAUUUUUAGAAAAUAUUUUGGAAUAUUUAAAAGUAGAAGAGUUUUUAGAAAAUAUUUUGGAAUAUUUUUUAAAUAUUAAAAAAAAUUUAAAUUACUUUUUAGGGUACUUUUUAAAAAUUUUAAUAAUUUUUAAAAAAUUAAUUUUUAAAAAACUCUUGAAUCCAAACAAAGCAAAAGUAUUUCAAAAUUUUUUAGAACAAUUAAUAAAACGAAAGAUAUUUAGUGAAAAAUAAUCCAUGUUCCCCUACUAAAAUGGAAAACAAAGGAUCCAAAAGGUCCUAGAAACUGAGAACCUUUUUUUUUCGUUUCUUUUGCAACUAUUUACCGGCUAAGCUGUACGGAACUACUAUAAAUUUCUCAGCUCCACCCUCUCCCACCACCCUUGGCUCCCCCGCCACCGCUUCUCCGGUCUCCCCUUGCCCUCUCGUUCAAUCCCAGAAGCCCAAAAAGCUAGGUCUCAAGUGCUUUUUUUUUUUUUUUUGAACAACAGGUUGCAAAAGGAUGUCAAAUCAUCUCCCAGAGGAAGUGUGGGCUGGCAUCUUCACAAGACUCCCAGUCAAGACCCUCCUCCAAAUCAGGUCUGUUUGCAAACUUUUCAGUUCCAUUAUUUCCAACCCUACAUUCAUUUCAGCUCACAUCAAGAAAACUAUCAAUGAAUCCCACUCUCACACCCUUUUCCUGAGAUACUUGAUUGAGAAAGAAAGGCAGCAAGAACAUUACUUGCUAUUUACUGACAGUAGUGAUCAUAAAAAUUCUAUCUUUGAUGAGCACAAUUGCAGGAAAUUAGACUUCCCAUUUAAAACUCGAUCAAAAUGUCACUUUAGGAUUGUGGAUUCUUGCAAUGGUCUAAUAUGCUUGAAUGAUGACAAUGAUUUUGAUACUUCUGGGAUUAUUCUCUGGAACCCUUCAAUUAAAAGAUUCCUGAAUUUGCCGAACCCCCGGGUUACUAGUAGGAGUUAUGGUUCUUAUAUGUAUGUUCUUGGAUUUGGAUAUGAUGAAAAGAAUGAUGAUUAUAAGGUGGUUAGAGUGGCUUAUAAAAAGGGGCGAAGUGGGCGAGAUCUGAUACCUCCUGAGGUUGAGUUGUAUAGCUUGAAUUCACGGUCGUGGAGGAGUUUUAAUGCUGGUGCUCCUCCUUAUGGGAUAUUUGGGUAUACUUGGUUGCAGGCAUUUGUGAAUGGAGCUGUGCAUUGGGUUGGUUAUGAUCCGUGUGUGGUGAAAGGGAAUGAGAGUUGUGGGCUGAUUGUGGCGUUUGAUUUGAGUGAUGAGGUGUUUCGGGAGGUUAUGCUUCCUAGUUGUCUGGAGCAGCAUGCAUGGGAUGUGUAUAUUACGGUUUUUUGGGGUAAGCUUGCAGUGUUACAUUAUGACUAUGGUGCCCAUAAGAACUUUUGCUCUGUGUGGGUAAUGGAAGAGUAUGGAUUGGCUGAUUCUUGGAAAAAACUAUAUACUGUUGACCUAAGGGGAGGAUUGCGGAAUUUGAUUGGUUUUCUGAGAAAUGAUGAAGUCAUUGGAGUAACCAUUCGGGGUAAGCUGCUUUCAUAUGACCUCAUUACCUCAAGGAUUAAUAACCUUAGACUUCACGGUGCAGUAGGUGGGUUUCAUGUGGGCAGUUAUAUGGAGAGUUUGGUUUUGCUUGAAGCUGAAAGUGCAGCUUUAGCACGAGAAUCAAUUACCUCUGGAAAUGAACAAGAAGAAGAACAGGCUACUGACUUGCAUGCAGUCAAGAACAGGCAAGAUUAUGCUUAUCGUUAAAAUAUUUGGGUUCUCAGACACAUUGGUGAUUGAAAUUUUGCUUUCUCACUUGCAUUGGUAGUUUCUGGACUGCAUUGGUUUCUCACUUACAUUGGUAGUUUCUAUACUGCAUCACUCUCUGUGAGUGCAUUUUGGGGACUUGAGGAAUUUGAACUUCAUGUUGUAACUCUUCCAUGUUGAGGCUUACUGUCUGUUAUCUUUAAUUAAGUCAGGAUAGGGCAUUCCUUUUAUGCUUUUAUGUAAGUACCAUUAGAACAAUGUUAAUAUUUCAAUGGAAGCUAUGUAUCUUUUGCCUUAAGAAGGCCAUUGUUCUAUUUAUGUUAGAAAAAAGCCUAAUUAAUGGUGAUGGACCAUGGUCUGUAUUUCCUUCCAUAACUGAUUUUUAUUUGCUUUCUUUAGUUCUUCAGAGCUACCAGUUUGGAAUGUGGCAUUCUAAUGUUAGUCCUUUCUUGAUACAGGAAUGAUGAGUUUGAUGAUCAGGAAAAACUUGAAAGUUUUCUUUCUCUUAGAAUAUCUGAACAGAAUUAUUCAGCAUAUUUAUGCUGUGGCUUUAGCGAGCAAGAAUUAUCUGCAAAGAAUUCUGAAGAAUGGGUGAAGGAAUUGGUUCCUGAGGCUAACUGUGAUGGAUGGGAGAAUGAUUGGUGAAGAAUGGUGGAACAAUGUUGGAAGUGCAAUAUUUUUGUUUUAUUUUAUUUUGAUAUCAAAGAGACAGGGUUAUGAAUAACUGCUUCAAAAUGGGGCUCUGAAAAACAAAUCGACAAACACUUCUAAAUGUUCUCACAGAAGAUCUCAUAAUUGGUUGUUGGGUUCAUGCUAAACCUAGGCAGUUUGCCUUUGAUUGCUGGUUGCCGAUUGCCUGUAAAUUUGGCGAUGGUAGCAGGUAAGUUAGUAUCUUUAACCUUCAGGUUUCUUAUAAACAUAAUCUGCUUUGUUUGAUCAGCCAAACGACUUCAUGGUUUUACUUUCUCAUGAUUUAAUUUUAACCAGUAUCUCUUUCCAUCAGACCCUGUACUUGCUUUUCACUUAUCUUGAUAUGAGACUCCAGACCUAUUAAAUUGAUUGUGAAAACAUUUAUCGACUCCAUUGAGCGGGUCCUAUCAUUGUCUCUUUUUACUUAUCUCUCCAUUUGGAGACAUCCUGUUGAACUUGUUUUGAUUCAGUUUUACUCUGCUUCUCUUCUCUUCAACCCUCAGAAAACACUUAACAAGGAGGGAAACGUAAUGGUUUCUUUUCUUUUCUGUUCUUUAUUACCCACAUGUUUCCUACCAAACUAGCCCUUAAUGCAAAACAAACAAGAAGAGAUGACCAGAACAUGGACAUAGAUUAAUGUUGAACAUCACCUUAAGUAUGAAAACAUUACCAUAGAUGACACGAUAUUAUGCCAUAUAUGCUGUGUACAAAAAAAUGCUGCCAGACAACCUCCAAACUUGAAAAUGAGUAUUCCAAAUAGUAAACAAGGACGUGCAGAGAAUCCUGAAUAGCUUGGUAUACUGUAUUUAAUUGCUUUUGAAUUGAUACUUUCAGAGCUAGUUAAAUAUACUUUGUUAGAAAGCUGGAAGCUGAAUGUUGAGAAUCUGAAUUGUCACAGGUUAUCCAAAAAUGCAUGUGGUAAAAUUAUAAUAUCUGCUUAACCCCCUUUAGUUUUGCACAAAUAUCCACUUUACCUUCCUAUGGUUAUGUUCAUAUAGGAAGGUUUUGUACAUAUAUCCACGUAAUGCCACUAUAAUUUUAUACGAAGUAGUGAGACCUUUGUUCUAUUUAGUACUUGAGUAAGAGUAAUCCUGGAAUUUCAACUACUGACGGAACGGAGGCUGCUUUUCAUCAAUUUCCGAUUUACAUAAAAUUACAGUGAGGUUAAGUAGAAAUUUUAAAAUGUUAGGGGACAUAUGGUAAUGAGUGAAGCCAUAAGGGGUUACUAGUAAUUUAUCCUUGAUUUAGAACAUAAUACUUAUUAGGGUUAUGCAUAUAAACUGAUAUCUAAAGGGUUAAAAUUAGUAUAUGGAGCCUUUGGAAGUAGCAUUGUAGGCGUAGGCAUCAUUCUACCCAAUAAAAGGGAGAAACUUUGGGUAAUGAAGGCAAAAAUAGUCUUUUCAAAUGUGUUGAUAACAGACACAGUGGAACUAGCAACGGUUGGGGUAAGACUGAAUUGGCACAGAGCUCUUACACUUUGACGUAUAUGGAAUUUGAAAGUACUGAGACAGUUGUACCAGUGCCAGGGAUCAUUAGCAGGAAGAAGGAUUUAUCAGCUUUGGUCCAUCUGGUGCAACACGUUAACCCUAUCAUGGUUGAUCACAGAGUUUGAGUAUCAGAAACAGAAAUCAGCCUGCAAACAUACCAUCUAGAGCAGGUUUUAUAUCUCAAUAUUAAUAAAUCUUUGUUGACUGAUAUUUUUCCUGCUGUAUCUCAUGACACAUUGGCACAAUUGGUCAACAAUAUACCUUCUUCAGUACAAGUUGCACGUGCCUUGUUUAACGGAGAAUAGGGUUCAGCUUGUAAAAAUGUGAUGUGGGGACUAAUAACAACCUCUAACAUCAAGAAUAAUCGUGAGUCAUGAGAAAUGGUCUUUUUCUUUUUUAAGACCAGGAAGUAUUAGAUGGUUUGCUAUUUGGAAGCAAGUGGUCUUUCACAUACAAAAUAGUUCUUUUAAAAACUAAUACAGAAAAGUAUUCGCAUCGAUGAAGUUUACAUUGUCAUUUGUCAAUGACUCAAUAAUAGAUUCUGGAGAAUGGUGAUGCAGAAUUACCUAACCACAAGUAACAGGUAAAGGUAUCACUGUUCAGAGUACUCCCACAAUGUCUCACUCAUGUACAGUUAUUGAAACACGGAUACACAGACAAAUAUAAAGAUCAAUGAAGGAUCACCACUGGAAUCAUAUUCUUGAUCCUUACAUCCAUUGAAGAAGAAGAAAUGAUAGAUUACUUUUUGUUACAAUUGGCAUAAGGAUUGAUAAUGAAGUAUGGAUUGGGAAAAAAAGAUAGAGCAAUUGCAUAUCGUUACUCAUAAAAAUCAAUCAAGUAUGGAUUGACAAGUUCUUCAUGCUAUAAUUUGUGUAGAAUCAAGUGAGCACCAUGCUGAGGUUGAAUUGUAACUAUGGUGUAAGGAGCAUGAGUAUAAGAUGGAGAAAGUUCAAAGGAGAAGUGCUGGAGAAUCAUUGCCAUAGCCAAUUUUGCUUCAAUCAUAGCAAAGGUUUGUCCAAUACAUAUUCGAGGUCCCCAACCGAAGGGGAAGAAUGAAGCUUGGCCUUUUGUCGCAUUUGAUACUCCUUCACUAAAUCUGUCUGGAUUGAACUUUUCUGAAUCGUCACCCCAUAUUUUGACAUCAUAAUGCAGUAAGAGUAUUGGCAACAUGAGCCGCACCCCAGAUGGGAAAGUAUAUUUUCCUACUUUAGUUUCCCCUUGAACUGUUCGAUCAAUUACAGGCAGUGGAGUGUAUAGUCUUAAAACUUCGUUCAAGAUCAUUGUCACCUGCAAUAAAGAUUAUAAGGGAAACCAUAUGUCAUCAUAAACUAUGCAGAAAGGAAGAUUACUGAAAUUUACUAUGUAGUGAUGGUCUAAAGCAUAAGAGAGGUGUGUUACUAUAAAAGACUGAAAAAUGUAUAUAGAACAGAAUAAGCUGAAUGUUAAUGUUCUUUUCUGCAAUCAAGAGUUUCAUUUGAAGACACGCACUCUUCUAAGUUCUAACAGGUAGGUAACUUCAAACAGAUCAAGCCAAUGGUAACAUAUGGAAGGAACUCACAACUUUGAGGUGAUUAAGGCCAUUGAAAUUUGGCUCAUCUCUCCCAAAAACUUGCAAAACCUCUUCCCUAGCUCGGGAUUGCCACUCCUGAUGCCUGCUCAGUAAAACCAAUGUCCAUACGAGCAAUGAUGAGGUUGUCUCCUGCCCGGCAAAAUAGAAUAGUUUGCACUCUUCAAUGACAUCAUUGAUGCUCAAACCAAAACUUUUAUCCCCCUUUUGUUCAAUCUCUUUAAGAUUAGACUCCAAUAGUAUGCUCAGUAAGUCGUUAUCACUUGAUUCCCCUGCUUUCAUUGCUUCUAAUCUUUCAUCAAUAACUUCUCUUACUGCAGCUCCAACUUUUUUAUGAAGUUCCUUUAUCCUUCUGUUCCUCUCAGUUGGCAAAAACCUAUAGAUAAGAAGCGAAACUGACUGAAUCAACUUAGAAAUCAGGAAUGUCAAAAUUUUCAAUCUGGAAUGAUACUCAAACUCCCGCAAGUAGUGUGCUUUUCAUGUCCAUACAACGUGAAGAUGCAUUGAGAAAUCUAGCUUUACCUUGAUCCUGGAAAAUAGAAUGAUUUUACAGCUGUCAUAACCUGCUCUGCCUGUUCUUUUUGAAGCUUAAAGAUCUUUCUUCCUUCCUCAUAAUUACCACCAAAUGCUGUACGAGAAAUUGCAUCGCUGGUUAAAGUCUGCAGGUGUGGCCAAACAUCCAAUUCACAGGUUCCUUCUGGUGAAACACUUUCCUCCCAUUUGCUCAACAUUUCGGUGGCACAUAAAUGAAAAGCUGGUAGCAUCAGCUAUUCAUAGGAAUGAAUGAUAAGCCUAGUUAGUGCUAGAUUUCAAAAAGAAAUAAUUUCUCAGGUUAAUAGUUGUUGGUUUACGAUGUCAGCAUUGGAUAUCUACUUUACAGAUGAAAUUUGAUUUACAUUCUUCUUGCGGAUAAAAUUGCAUCAGGAAAUAAGAGAAGUAUAUUGUAAAUUGUAGGAGGUCAUUCAAUAUUUAAGCAUAAGAUCAGUUAUUGAAAAUAUAAGAUCAUCUCCAAUGAAUUAACACAGAUGACUUUGCAGUUGAUAAAGAAAUGUUAAGUAAAACCUUGAGCUUCUCUAGAUGGAAAGCAGGAUUGAUUAUCUUUCGAUGUUUUGCCCAUUUCUUGCCUUCAGAUGCUACUAGACCUUGUAUCAGAUAUUUGCCAAGCGGGUGAAAGUGAGGCUUCUGGAAGAGAUUAUAGUUCACCAUGAUCUCCCUUAUAGAUUCAGAAUCUAGGAUGAUGACUGCAGGAUAUGGGCCAAGCCAUAUGAAGGAAUUGCUACCUGCAAUCGACAUGCUAAGCAAAUUAAACCAACGAAGACGACACAGAAAAUAUAUCCACCAGCAGAAUUUCUAAAAACAGGAAACCAACGACAUAGUGUCGUGAAAAAAAUGCAAUGCAUAGUGUCUGAAAAAAAUGCAAUCAUUUAUGAUCUUACAUCACAAUAUCAAGAAGUCUCUGCAAUAAGAAUUCAAUAGAUUAUACCAUAUUUCUUGAUGGUUUUGGUGACCAUCGGUAUAACUCGGGGUACGAGAUCAUCAGAAAGAUUGAUUGGCUUGGAAUAAGCUUCUUCAAUCAUCGAAACCAUUUCUUUAAAAUCUCCAUAGACUGGUGUGUAUGAAUUCCCGGAAAGACCCUGUGCUCUAAGGCACUUCUCUAGCUUUUUGGGCCUCAACCAUAAAGAGUUCAGGCCCCUCCAUGCACAAACUGUAAGGGCAAUUAAACAUGGUGAAAUUGCUAGCAUAAAAUUCUCCAUAAUUUUACAGUUGUUUCAUGGCUGGUUAGAGUCUGAGAGAUGACCCUUAAAAUUGUACUAGCAUUCAAGGUUGUCAUGUGAAGAGGGGAUUAAUCUAGCUUUUCAGUAUUUGAGCGUGCACGGUCCGGUUAGCCACAUUAUCAUUGUGAAUAUUCAAUCUUGCCGCUAUCAUCUUUGGAGUUAGUAUUGAUUUAGAAUUCAACAGUCUGAUUGAGAUUAUGUUGGAAUAUAUAUUGGGUAUAGACUGGAUCCAAUGUCCCAUCAAUCAAGAAUCUGGGCAAGUUUGCAAUCUUUAUAUUUCGUCAUCUAGGCUAAUAAAUCUGUAAUGGAAUAGGGGCAAGAACGGUUGCAGGUAGUUCACGGCUAAGAUUUGGCCAAAAAAAAUUAUAUGGUCCAGAUUUCAUCUUGUAUCUCGAUUUUAACAAUAUGUGUGGGAUGCACAAAAUUUUGUUCUAAAAUUACACGUUGUUGAAAGUAAGUUACACCAUGUGCAAACAAAGUUAUGCCUGUGGAAAAUGCACAUAACUGCCAACUGCAACCGUUCCUACCCUAGUCCAUCUAUAAUUUACUAGGUCUUCCGUCAAUUCCGAUUCUUGAUAGAAUUGUCAAUUUAAUGCAUGCUAAAGUAUCGGGCAAAACACACAUUGAUUCUCUAUGGUUUAGCGGUUUUUUACAUAAUCAUUCUAUAAUUUCAAAAAUAAGACAUAACCCCCUCACAUUUUAGACCAAAGUGUCAAAGUGAUAAAAUUUACAUUCCAUAACUGCGCCAACUUAAAUGUCAAAUGUAUCCCUAUGUAAAGUUGGAAAUUAUUUAUUAAUUAUAGCAGAUUCUGUUUGUAUUUGAAAAACCAUAAGGGGUUCUGUGGUGAAGUCCUAAAUCAUAAGGGAAUUAUAUGGUAAAAUACAAAAUCAUAAGCAGUUAAUGUAUUAUGCAUAUUAUGUUUAAAUAUUUCGGUUACUUUAGACAUUUUAAUUUUUAAAUAAGAAUAAUCUCGAUGUUUUUGUAGGUUCCGUAAUAAAGGAUCAUUUUCGUCACUUGACACUUUAAUUCAAACAAUGAGAGAGUUAUGCAUACUUUUUGAAACCGGAAAGAAAUUAUGUGAAAAAUCGCUAGAUCAUAAGAGUGUAAAGUGUAUUUUACCCUAAAGGAUUUCAAUAUUCUUAUCAUUAUUUUUUAAAUACGUAGAAUAAAGCUGUACGAAAUGUCCUACAUCGAAAUAUAAAUAUAAACUCUGGCCCAUUGGAUUACUAAUAACUUUACAUUAAUCAUUUUGCGCCCAUGAUUUUGCUCAAAAAGUUAUUGAGCCAAAAAAAAAACAUAUAUGAGAUAGACGCAAAAUUUUCUUUUUUUUUUUUUUCCUUUUUCUCUUCCAAACUAAAUAUUACGUAUAACUUCAGCAUCAAUUUACAAUAUAUUGCAACUGCAAAAGUAUCACUUUGUGCCUUCUUGCACACAUAAAACAGAAAUCUUUUUUUUUUUUUUCUCUCCAAACCAAAGUAGUCAUAAGGUUGGACUGCCUAGCAGCAAGGAAUGGAUAACAAAAUCACAUUUCUCACUCAAAAAUAGAGCAAAGCAGAACCAAGGAAAAGCAAAUGGAAACUACUUCAGCUGACUAUAAUUUGUGCAAUACCAAAAGAGCACCAUGCUGAGGUUGAAGUGUAAAUACUGUGUAAGGAGCAUGAACAUAGGAUGGUGAAAGUUGAAAAGAGAAGUGUUGUAGAAUCAUUGACAGCGCCAAUUUUGCUUCUAACAUAGCAAAAUUUUGUCCGAGACAUAUUCUAGGCCCCCAGCCAAAAGGGAAAAAUGGAGCUUGGCUUUGGCCUUUUGCUGCCUUUGACACUCCUUCACUAAAUCUUUCUGGCUUGAAUUCCUUUACAUCAUCUCCCCAUAUUUCGCGGUCAUGAUGCAGCAAGAUCACUGGUAACCACAGCAUCACCCCGGCUGGCAAAGACAAUUUUCCCACUUUAGUUUCUUGGUGGACUCUUCUAUUCAGUGCAACUGCUGGAGGAUAUAGCCUUAGAACUUCAUUCAAGAUCAUAGUCACCUGCAAGAAUCUCGUGUGAGCUGUAUGCAGUUGGUUUAUAGGUAACUGCGACAGAACAAAUUAUAUUUUUUAAUACUUUUUCAAGUGUUCAAUUUCUGUCGGAGCUAAUAUGAGGAAGACACUUACUAUUUUCAGGUGAUUAAGCCCUUCAAAGUGUGGUUUGUUUCUCCCAAAGACUUGCGAAACCUCGUCUCUAGCUUUCGACUGCCAUUCUCGGUGUCUACCUAGCAACACCAAUGUCCAUACAAGCAAAGUAGAAGAGCUCUCUUGUCCAGCAAAAUAGAAGAGUUUGCACUCAUCAAUCACAUCUUGCAUGGUCAUACCAAAGCUCUUGUCUCCAUGUUGAUCAAUUUCUUUAAAAUUGGAUUCUAGCAUAAUGCCUAACAAGUCAUCGUUACUGGUUUCCCCUGCUUUUAAUGCCUUUACCCUUUUGUUAAUGAUAUCUCUGAUUUUAGCUUGAAUUUUUUUUUCAAUGUCCUUCAUUCUUUUGUUCCUUCUAGUUGGCAAAAACCUGAAGACAACAAUCAGAAAUCAAGAAACUCAGUAACUCAGACAUAGGAAAUCAAAUAUGUGAGUUAAAAACUUAUCCAUUGUGUAGCUUUAUCUUAUCAAGCUUUUCUGAGUCAUGAAAAUGAAAGUGUAUCCUAGAAUACUAUGCUUGCUGAGUUUAUACUUUCAUAGAAACUUGGCAGAAAAAGAUUAACUUUAACUUUACCUCAAUCCUGGGAAAUAUACUGAUCGCGUGGCCCUGACAGCAUACUGUGCCUGUUCCAUUUGGAGUUCAAAUAUCCUUCUCCCUUCUUCGUAAUUGCUACCAAAUGCUGUACGAGAAAUCGAAUCAGCACCUAAAGUUUGAAGGUACGGCCAAACAUCCAAUUCGCAUGAUCCUUCUGGUGAAACUCUUUCCUCCCAUUUACUCAACAUCUCGCUGGCACUUGAGUAAAAUGCUGGCAGCAUAUGCUAUUCAUAGCCAUGGUGAAAACAAAAUUUAUUAGCACUUCUAAUAUACCUUAAGAAUGAUUCAGAUUGUAGCUUAAUUAUUUGCCAUCACUAGAUUGAAAAAUUUCAAACUGAAGUUCUUUAAGGUGGAGAAAAUAGAAUUCAAAUUUGUAAACGAUACCUUCAGCUUCUGUAAAUGGAAAGCAGAACUUAUGAUUUUUCGGUCUUUGGCCCAUUUAUCACCCUCCGAGAAAAUGACACCUUGUGCCAACAAUUUGACAAUUGGAUGAGGACGAGGCUUCUUAAAGAUAUAGUUCUUCAGCAAGAUUUCCCUCAUAUUUACAGGGUCUAGGAUGACCACUGAGGGAUUCAGCCCCAACCAUACAAAGGAAUUCCUACCUGCAUUUGGAUUCUAAACUGAUAAGUUCACUUUUAAACAGAAAUACUUGUGUAUACGGAAAGGAGAAAGUUUAGACAGUUUCAAUCUUCAUAUGCGUACAGUAGUAUGUGGUAAAAGGAAAAUCAGCUAUCAAUAUAUAUAUGGCUAUCAUUGCAGAAACAGUACAGUUUAGACGUGAACUUUGCUAAUCAGUUGCUUAGGAAAACUAAUCGGAUGAAAUGAGUGACCAGGGAUCAACACCAUACCGUAUUUCUUGAUGAUUUCAAUGAAGAAAGGUAUGACUCGUGGCACGAUGUCAUCAGAAAGGUUGAUAGGCUUGGAGUUAGCUUCUUUCAGCAUCACUGCAAUGUCUUUGAAGUCUCCACACACUAGUCUAUAAGAAUUUCCAUUAAGGCCUAGGUUUCUUAGGCGCUUCUCUAGCUUUUUGGGCCUCAGCCACAUGCAGUUCAGCACUCUCCAUGCAAAAACUGCAAGUGCAACAGCACAGGAAACUCCUAUGGAAUAAUACAUACGUUCAUAUGAUUUCAUCCCCAUUUCCUAAUGAUCUCUCAACCUUUAUAGCUCCAUAUACGAACAUAUUGAAAUGAGGGAUCCAUUAUUAUAAUCAUUAAAAAAAUCCUUUUAGGCAGUGAAAGAGGGAAUCUAGAUCAUAACUGAACAUGGAUGAUGGAGCAGAAGUGACCUUUUAUUGUUAAUUUAUCUCUUGAUGUUGGCCUCAUGGUGUACAGUGAAGAUUUUGUUGAUGAUUAGACAAUAAUUGACGGCCAACUAGCCAGCAGCUUCAUGCGUAACAACGACAGGAGAAGCCCAUGCUUCCACUCCCUCGUUUUUUCAUAUUUUGAUGCAGAUAUUGCAAUCUCUUGCCUUACUUUAUUUGCAUGCCUUGAUAUUAGAGAAGCAAUGAGGUUUAAGCAGUUUGAUGAGGACAAAGACAUCCUCAAUGAUUUCUGCCAAUACCAAAUCAGUGGAUUGAUCUGGAAUCCAUUGAUGAUGAUAGCACCUUUUGUUUUUAGUAUGAUAUGGAUAGGUAUAAUGUCAUAGUAGAAUUUUUCAUAACCACCCUCAAGCACCCAUCAUGUAACUAGCAUCUUUAACGUAUGAAAAAGUUAGAAUUGUUUUCUAUUAACUUUUUUCAGUUUUUUUUGCUAUUUAAAACAGGAUAAAUUACCUUUUAUUCUUUUGUGAUUUGAUACUUUACCACAUAACCCUCUAUAAUUUAAAACCUAUACAUAACCCCUUCCCUAAUUUGGGUUCAUUAUUAGCUUAAAAGUAAUGGUCAAUAUUGAAAGGUCAAAGUCAAACUAAUAAAUAGACAAAUUCACGCUUUUACUAUAUAUAUUGUUCUUUUUUCCUCUCCUUUCUCUUUUUCUUUUUCCUUUGAGAAGAGAAGAGAUGAUUUUAAAAAACUAUACUUUGGCUUACUAAAUCUUAAUAAAUCUAAAAAUUUCUCAAAUACAAAAAAGAAGAAAGGGAAAUAAAAAUAGAUAAACAAGAAAUAGAUAAUACUAUUAAAAGAUUUGGUUUAAAAACUUACAUUGAUAUUUACAAUCAUUAAAGAUUUCAUAUUUUGUAAUUCUUAUUAUGUAUUUUUAUUUUCCUUUCUUCUUUUUUUUUUGGUAUUUGAAAAAAAAAAGGUAAUCAAAGGGUGAAUUUGUUAAUUUAUUAGUUUGAUUUUGAAUUUUUUAAUAUUGACCAUUAGUUUUAAAGGGAAAAUUAACCUUGACACUUUAAUUCAAAAUAUAAGAGAUUUAUGUACACGUUUUUAACCCUUGAGGAGUUAUGUGACAAAUCACUAAACCAUAAGAGGGUAAAAGGUAAUCUAACCUUAAAAUAUUAAGAAAACAGCACAACCGGUAAUAAAACAAAAUGCUUUCCAAAUAUAAAUGAUCAUUUAUUCACCAAAUAAACAAGCAGAAAGACAACAAAUAUAGUAAAUUUUAAUUCUGCCCGUAAAUCAUAAACUCUUUGUCUGCCACUGCUAAAAAAGCAUCAGCAUUUCAAGCAUAUGACAAGAUUCAGAAGCUGAAGAUCCAAAUUUUCUUAUGGUACUUGAAUUCUCAAGUUCUAUUGAUACACUACUGAUUAUCUUCUGCAACAAGAACCUUCAUGUUCACCAUACUACAAUUUGUGCAUGACUAAAUGAGCACCAUGCUGAGGUUGGAGUGUGGCUAUCGCGUGAGGAGCAUGAGUAUAAGAUGGGGAGAGUUCAAAGGAGAAGUUUCGAAGAAUCAUUGCCAUCACCAAUUUUGCUUCUACCAUGGCAAAGUUUUGUCCAAUACAUAUUCGAGGUCCCCAACCGAAUGGGAAAAAUGAAACCUGGCCCUUUGUUGCAUUUGACACUCCUUCACUAAAUCUCUCUGGUUUGAACUCUUUUGCAUCAUUACCCCAUACUUCACAGUCAUGAUUCAACAGCAUUAAUUGCAGAUUGAGUAGCACCCCAGCAGGCAAGGAAAAUUUUCCUACUUUAGUUUCUUCAUGAAGCCUUCUAGCAAGCACAGCCACUGGUGGAUACAAUCUUAGAACCUCAUUCAAGAUCAUUGUCAUCUGUGAUGUUGUACAAGGAAUAGAUGAAGAAUAGUACAGCUCAAGAUAUCUUAAAGCAAGCAAAAUGAAACAAAAGGUGGUUACAUUGCAACAGUCCAAAAGGAGAGAAAAUUGAUACGCAAAGAACUGUCAGUGUUGAAUGAAGUUUACAGGAGUAACCUAAUGAUGUAAUGCUACUCAGAAUUUGUAAAAUGGUGUGUUCAGUGAAGAGCUUAAUGGUGCAAUUUAUGUGACAGGGCGUUCUUGACCAUGUACCUUUUUUCAGCUCACUUUUCUAACACCAUAAAAAAAAAAAAAACCAAUCUUAAGGGAUCUGCAACUCUCCAGAACAUUAGUUUGGAUAGAAAGUCACCAUUGAUUGAGAAUCUAUUUCGUUGGCAUGAUUUUACCUGUCUUGAAUUGUAACCAGACCAGAAUAUAUUGUGCCACAUUUAUAUAUGAGAAAAGGGAUAUCUUAAAUAUAGACAAUGCAAGCACAGGUGGAUCAGUUACAUAUAUUGCAAAUCAAAACUGAAAAAACAGACAUUUAUUUCCCCCUGAAAUUCCAACUUUGAACUUGAUUCUGAAUGCCUUGCAUUUUGUGUUUAGUGAAGUAUGCUAUGGACUGGUUCUAAAUUUAUCAUUACUCAUCUGUAAAGCUAUUCACACUGGAACCAAGUUUUCCAGUGGCAGGACAGAUACUUGACAAGAUCUAAUGAACAAUACAAAGUUCAUAAACUUUAGGAGCUUGCACUUUAUUAAAACAAUGUGCAGAAUACACUUACAGUUUUGAGGCGACUGAGGCGAUCAAAAUCUAUCUCCUCUCUUCCAAACGCUUGCAAAACCUCUUCCCUAGCGACUGACUGCCAGUCUUGAUGCUUGCUCAGUAAAAUUAAGGUCCAUACCAGCAAGGUUGAAGUGGUGUCCUGCCCACCAAAAUAGAAGAGUUUGCACUCUUCAAUUAUAUCUUUGAUGCUCAUACCAAAAUCUUUGCUGCCAUACUGAUCAAUCUCCUUAAAGUUAGAUUCCAACAGUAUGCCCAAUAAGUCGUCCCUUCUUCCUUCCCCUGCUUUCAUUGCUUUCACUCUCCUAUCAAUUAUGUCCCUUAUUGUUGCUUGAACUGCUUUUUCAAUCUCCUUCAUUCUUCUGUUUCUCUUCGUUGGCAAAAACCUAUAGAUGAAGAGAUUACCGAGCAAGAAACUCAGGAUGUAAGAUAUCAAAGCUAAGAUAGUUCUUUAAGUUCAGCAGUAGCAAGCACUCCAUGUCCAUGCAGAACAAGGGAAUAUGUUUUUUAAACACUGGGGGAAAAGAUUGAAACCAGGAGCAUACCUCAUUCCAGGGAUAUAUAAUGACCUUUCAGCUGUCACAACAUUGUCUACCUGUUCUUGUUGAAGUUCUAAAAUUUUCCUUCCUUCUUCAUAAUUACUACCAAAUGCUGUGCGAGAAAUCACAUCACCAGUUAGGGUUUGAAGAUAAGGCCAAACAUCCAGCUCACAAGAUCCUUCUGGCGAAAGUUUUUCCUCCCAAUUCCUCAACAUCUCACUGGCACUCGAAUGAAAAGCCGGCAGCAUAAGCUACUCAUGGCAACAAUAAAAGCAAGCCAAUUAGUAACAGGUGUACAAGCAAAAGUAACUUAGCUCCACAUUAAUCAUUACUUUCACAGGAUUGAAACUCAAAAUUAAAAAAAAAAACUCAAAAAAGGCUGUGGCUAAUUACGUCAAGAAUUAGGUGUGAUAAUUGUGUAAAUGAAUGAUCAAGUUUAAAGUCCUAAAAGAGCACUAGAUACGUUCCCUUCCAGUACAAAGUUCUUUCAAGCGUAAAAAUCGAGAACUAACUUUCCUUCAAGGCAAAUAAAACAGAAUCAAAUAAAACCUUGAUUUUCUCUAAAUUGAAAGCAGGAUUAAUUAUUUUCCGAUCUUUAGCCCAUUUAUCUCCCUCAGAGUCUAGUAGCCCUUUCGCCAGCAAUUUUCCAAGUGGAUUGGAAUGUUGCUUUGGGAAGAGAUUAUGCUUAAGGAAGAUCUCCCUGAGAAGUUCAGGGUCCCGGAUGAUAACUGAAGGUUUAGGCCCAAGCCACAGAAAAGAAUUGCUACCUGCAAAUUCAAUACAGAUGAAAUCUUCUUAAAAACAAGAAUCAGAAUUUUCAAGAAGACGAUUUAAAUCCCACGUACCAUCUACAAGCCGAUGGCACAAAAGUAUGCAAGGUCUUUGCUAAUUGAAGGCCACAACAACAAAGAGGAAAUUGCGAAGGGCAUUAAUGUAGGACAUGUGCAACAGGAAACUCAGCUCUGAUCACAUGACUAUAAGCCUAUAACUGAGUUCUGAUCCUUUUUAAUAAACCGACUUUUUAUUCGACAACACUUUGAUUAUGAUACGAGUAAGAAGACUUGUGUAGAGCGUACCGUAUUUGUUGAUGGUUUUGACGUGGAAAGGUAUAACUCUGGGCACGAUAUCAUCAGAGAGACUGAUUGGCUUGGAUUUGGCUUCCCCAAGCAUCAUUGCUAACUCUUUCAAGUCCCCAAAGAAUGGUCUGUAGGAAUUUCCAUUAAGACCUUGUGCUCUGAGGCAUUUUUCCAGCCUUCUUGGCUUCAACCACAUCGAAUUCAAGACUCCCCAUGCACAGACUAGCAAAGCUACGACACAAGAAACUGAAAUAAAGCUCAACAUAUUCUCCAGUAGUUUCAUCUCAACUCCCAAUCUCAAGUGACCACUCACUCUAGCUGCUAAAACUUAUCUUCCUGUGUGAAGGGGGGAAAUGAAUGUGCAUUUUAAAUAGGCAGGUACAGGAUUUUUGGGGGGGGCGGGGGGAGCGGGCAACUAAAUAAUAUAAUAUUUUUUGAACGUUUUGUUACCUUAUAUAAAUUUUUUAUAUAUUUUUACAAUAGAAGUAUGAUAUUUUAUUACUGUUUAUGUGAAUCUCAUGUGUAAUAAUCAUGUUUCUGAUGUUAAAUUUUAUAAAUAAUUCACAUAAAAUUACACUUUAUUCAAAAAAUAUUAUAUUGUUCAGAUCGAUUGUUUCGCCGUGCCUUGGUCGCAGACAUUAUUGUAUGAUUCAGCAUGGAGUGACCACAGAUUCCUUGACCAACUCCCGGUCCAAUAGAACCAGGCCCUACCGCCAAUCCAGCAGCCAUAACGGGAGCAGCAGAAAUCAGCGGAUUCAUAAUAAAUUUUCUCGUACCAAAAAAAAAAGGGGUUAAUGAUACAACCAACUACUGAAUUAUGAUUUGAUUAUUCCGUUACUAGGAUUCAAAGUUGCUAGUUUGUGAUUCCACUUUUAGGAUUAAGAUAAUUCCAUUUAGCCCCUUAAAAUCAUGGUUUUUUGUCCAAUUGAGCCCUUGCAAGAUCACUUGAUGUUCAAACUAGCAAUUCAGUACUUGGUAACUUUUAAUCUUGUGAGCUUUUCCCUAACCAGCACCACAAAUUUUACUAUACAAGUAAACUUACAUUCAAGUUCCAUUUCAAAAUAACAUAUUAAUGGACCCCUCAAAUACUUUAAUACCACUCGUUUCCUAUGUAUAGAAGUGACAUUUUGCAAGAUCUUCUGAGACGUUAGGAUUUGUUCUGCAAGAGUUAUUGAAUUUUAAGAAAAUAAAAAAGAACUAAAACAUGAUAUUUAUGUAGGAGAAAUAGUAAUAUAGUAAAAAGUGAAACAGAGAAUGGCACAGGAUAUGGGACAGAAGAUCCGUUGCGAAAUCCAGCUAAUGAUAAAAGUCUCAAUUGUCCGCAAAGUCUAUAUUUAAAUCAACAGCGCCAGAUGGGCAGUUGGGCACUCUAUUUUCCUUUAACGUUUGACAUCAAUGAUGCAAAUUGGUUUUUGCUCUUAAUUUUGCUGAAUUCUGUAUUUAUAUUUUGUGAAUUAAAUCAAUGCUCCUUUCAUAAAAUUCUAUUUUUUUUUCUCGUUUUUAACGAGCAUGAUUUGACCCGACAUGUCAUUUUUCCAUCCCAGCAAUCGUCAUCAGUGGCGAUAGAAAACGAGAAAUGAAAGAAAUCACACGCAUUCAAUCAUAAAUAGGUGUAUUUCUCUUGAUUUAUUGGAUAAUAUCAGAAACCUCCCCUGAGAUUUCUCUUAAUAGAAAUUAACACCCCUAAAUUUUUUUUAAAAUAUCACUUAUCUCCCAUUAAUGACUAUAUUAACCCUCACUUUAGACAUAACACACAUGUCACAUAAAUGAAGUUCAAAUAAUUAAAGAAAAAGAAAUAAAAGUCACGUUCUUUUCUUCCUGCUUUCUCCAACAUUCUAUGUUGUCCAUUUUUUUGAUGAUUAUGCAAUUUUUUUUUUUGUAAAUUGUCGUAAACUGAAUUUUGUUUAUCCAUUUUUUUUAGUGAUUGUGCUAGACUAUGAUAUAAUUUAAUUUCUUUAGUUAUUUUGAUUUGGUUUUUAUAGCGAUUUUGUACAAUUUAAAUGCUUGGGUCAUGGAUUGAGAAGAUGUUCCAAAAAAAUAGAAUUCAUAAAGGAUUGUCUUUGAUCAUAUAAAAUUGAAUCAGUGCUAAUGUUUUUCUUUAUAAGUAUCUUUUUUUUUUCAAAUUUAUAUUUUUAAGAGCUAUGGCAUUCUGAUAUGGUGAAUGUACUUAAAAUUGUUUUUCAGGUGUUGAUUUUUAAUGGAGUAAACAAAGUGGUUUAAGGAGUAUCUACAUUUAGUAAGAGGAGCAAAAAGGUAGCCUAGGAUUUUUAAAAAAUUUAUGAUACAAGAAGCAAAAGUAAGAAAGAUAAGUGAUUAUUUUUAAAAUUCUAAAGAUACUAAGGUUGUGUUUGAUUAAACUAAAGUCUAAAAACCAAAAUUUGAAUUCAUUAAAUUUUUGAAUUGUUAAAUAUUAAAUUUGAUACAUUUGAGUGUAUAUCACAUGAAGUGACAGAUGAAUAGUUUAUCACUUAUUUUUAGGAACAAGUUUUACCUAGAAAAUUCAGUGUCACUUAAUCCAGUCAAAUGUUAAAUUUUUUGUUAUCAAAUGCGUGUGAGCAUAUUAAGAUUUGAAUUCAUUAAAUUUAAGUGCUAAAUUGGGUUAUCAAAUAAUGCCUAAAUCAUAUUAAGAAAAACCUUAGGGGAGAGGUUUCUGAUAUUAUCCCUAACUUUAUCGAUAAGUUUGAACUCUGGAUAUUCUUGUCCUGUGAUUUGAAUAUAUUAAAAUUAAAUACUGAAUUGAAUUAUUAAACAUGAACUAAAUCACGCUACAAAGAACCUCAAGAGAGGUUUUUGGUAUUAUCCCUAGGCCCUAGCUUCACAAGUCUCAACUCUGGAUAUUCUUGUCCCCUGAUUUCUCAAGAGUACAAAAGGUUCAAAGAUGAUAACGUGUCUCCAAUGACCAAUAUCAAGACAUUUUAUCACCUUACCGUGAUGCACAUGCACUGCAGAAUUGAGCAACCUCUUCCACUCAGCUUAGACGUACAUGGCUAAAGUCAAAAAACUUUUUUUUUUCCAAAGACUCUUUGUCACACCUCAGACAUCGAUUCUCGCGUCUCCUGUUCUACGUCAAAAAGCAGGUAAAGAUGACUGAAAUGAUAGAUAAACCUGCUCCAUGAGGAUCCCACCUCGGAACGUAUAGGGCAAAAACUUGACUUGACUAGUCUACUAAAUCUAGUGAUUCAAAUUUUUUUACAUUCUUGUUAUGUAUUUAAUACUUGAAUUGAAUUGAUGAAAUGAUGUAACAAAUUUUGAAUCGCUAAAUCUGCCGGCAUCACUGGAUUUAUCCAAGUUUUUCCCAAAUUACAGAAGUCUCAAAAGAUGAAUAGCCUGCUCGAAGGAUGAAAUGCUAAUAGCUUGACUUCCGUUAAUUUAUAUCCAAAAUUUAUUAAGCCAGCUUACAAUCCAGGUAUUACAUCGUUCCUUUUAACUCGAUCCAUGCUCAUGCCAUUAAUUGAUUAGACUUUUCCAUUCUCGUGUCAUUGAUCUAUUGAAGCUUUUCUUUGUUUGUUCAGCGAAUUUUAGAGCAGUCAGCUGACUGAAGGUUGAUCACCACCGACAUAGUGUGGUGAUUGCAAAUAAAAGUAAUAUAUCUUCACAGCAAACUAAACGCUAAAAAACACCUUAAAUUUGAAAUUCUUGAAAAAACUCAUGAUGGUUAAAAACUUCAAGAAUUUGUGGUAUCACAAGGGUCUUUGAAAUUUGAGAAGUUGUCUAACAUUUGUCUGGUAAACCAACUGGAAACUUCUCUUUUUUCUUUUGUGAGUUUGACAGUGAUCAGCUGAUUGAAGGUUGAUCACCACUGAACUGCAAUGGUGAAUUGGUGAUUACUAUAAACGUGUACUGUAUUUGUAGCUAAGUGCUCAAAGAUUUUAGAUUAAAAUUAUUUCUUGAGUAGGUGAUGAUGGUAAAAUGCAUUUUCCAGAUUCUUUUCUCUCCUUUUUUGAAGUUUGACAUCUAAAUAUAGAACUAAACUAUGUCUGCUCACCCAAAAAAAUGAGUAUAUAACUGCAAUACUCUUGUAUCAUACAUGUUAUAUUUGUGCACUCCAGAAAUAUUGUACAUCAAAUGAAAAACAAGAAAUUGAAAUUUUAACGUCUGAACUAUUCCCCACAACCUAAUGACCCAAGUUAUUGCAAGUUACUGCAAUUUGUGCAAGAUCAAGUGAGCACCAUGUUGUGGUUGAAGUGUUAUAAUUGCACGGGGAGCAUGAGAAUAAGAUGGGGAAAGUUCAAAGGAGAAGCUCUGCAGAAUCAUGACUAGCACCAGUUUGGCUUCCAACAUGGCAAAAUUUUGCCCAAUGCAUAUACGAGGUCCCCAACCAAAAGGGAAGAAUGCAACUUGCCCCUUAGUUGCAUGAGGCACUCCCUCAGCAAACCUCUCUGGCUUGAACUCCUUCGCAUCAUCACCCCAUAUUUUGGUGUCGUGAUGCAAUGCCAUUACUGGUAGAGAAAGCAGCACAUCAGCCGGGAGACGCAUGUUUCCUAAUUUAGUUUCUUCAGCAACUCUACGAGUAAGUGCAGGAACUGGAGCGUACAGCCUUAGAACCUCGUGUAGUAUCAUGGUGACCUGUCAUGGAAGGAGAAACUUGUUAGAAUGCUAGCAUAGGAAAACCCCUCCUUCCGCUUUAUAUUAUGACAGACAGACCAGAUUGUAAAGUUCAUAUUUAGUUGCUUUUUUAUACAUACUGUAAUUUUUCAACCUGCAAAUUUUCUAUCCAAUGAAGACAUUCAUCUUUCUUAGAUGGCAGUUUGUUAUAAUCUCCUUUCUACUUGAAGUAUUUAUGCAGAAAGCUUCAAUUUUUGCCUUGCAGAUAAAAUUUCAGAUGCAUGGAGUAGAAAAAGAAGAAAUUUCGAGAAGUUAGUCCAAAAUUAAAGAUCAUAAAAGCUGUUCUUGUCAAAGGAUUUUCAAUGAAAGCAUAAACAUCAGAACACUAGAUGAAUUUCCAUCGGUAAAAGACUUUCUGCUGCAAGCCUCGAGGGCAUAGCAAGCAUUGAUUCCGUCUACACAGUAUUGUGUGACUAAUAUGUGUCAACUAAGCAGCUUCUAACAAAACAUAAAACUAUUAUUUCAAAACAGUUUUCGGAUAACUCAGAAGAGCAGCUUAAUGCCAAUGUAUGCUUCCCGUCAUCAAGCACUCAACAAGGCUUUAACUUUUCAUUUCAUGCAAGUGCUAGUGACAUAAAUGCAUUAUUUUACAAUAAUUGAUCAAAAAAUAUUGUUUUUGUUGGAAUGUGUCAACUAAGAAGCUUUUCAUACCAGUUUCUUUAGUAUCUUGACCAUGUAGAGAGUUGUAUUCAGAAUUAAUUUUUGUUCUUUCAGAGAGUGCUCAAUCUCCAAUUUGGCCACAUGAGGACUGGACGCUCACAAGGGUAGAAGCUUCUACUUCUGCGUCAAAAUAUCUCAAAUGAAAUUGAAAAUGCUCUCCCCAGGAAUUAGACCACCUGGUUCAAAUCCCCUUCCCCCUCCCUGCUUCUUAAAUCUCACCCCUCCCCUGCGACUAAAAACAAAUAAUAAAAAAAAAAAAAAAGAAAUUGAAAAUGUACUCACAAGGUUUAGGCGAUUUAGUCCAUCAAAAUCUGGUUUUUUAGUGCCAAGGAGUUGCAAAACCUCUUCUCUAGCUCGUGCUUGCCAAUCAGGAUACCUACUCAAUAAAAUCAUUGUCCAUACGAGCAAUACUGAUGUAGUCUCCUGCCCUGCAAAAUAGAACAGCUUGCAUUCUUCGAUGACCUCUCUGAUAGUCAUGCCAGCGCCAUCUUGUCCAUGGUUAUUGAUUUCUUUGAAGUUGGAUUCCAAUAGUAUACCCAACAAGUCAUCACCAUAGGCUUUACCUUCUCUCACUGCCUUUAUUCUUGAGUUGAUAAUUUCCAAAAUUGUAUCUUGAACCGCUUUUGCAAUUUGUUUCAUUCUUCGGUUCCUCUUAGUUGGCACGAACCUAUAAUGAGAUAAUUCAGAAAAUAAGCAACACAUUGUGUGCUUAUAAUACUCAAUUGAAUCCAAAUCAACUAUCAAGUUCGAAGCGAAAAGAAUUUAACUGAUAGUUUACAAAAAACCAACUUUCUGGAGGACUUAGAGAUCAGCAAAUACAUUUACCUCCAUCCUGGGAUGUCCACUGACUGUACAACCUUAAGCCAAUAUUCACUCUGUUCUCUUUGAAGUUCAAAUAUCCUUCUUCCUUCUUCAUAGUUACUGCCAAAUGCCGUCCGUGAAAUUGCAUCAGAAGUCAAAGUUUCAAGGUCUGGCCAUACAUCCAACUCACUUGAACCAUUCGGGGCAACAACCUCCUUCCAUUUGUUCAAUAUGUCACUAGCACUUGUAUAAAAUGAUGGAAGCAUGUGCUGCAAUCAAGAUAACGAACCAAAUGAAAAAAAAAAAUGCACCUUCAGCACCGGUACAAUACCAGUAAAGCUUCUUCAGGUCAUUCUACUUAAGUAGGAUUUCUGAGUCAUGUUUCUACCUAUUUGUCAAAGUGAACUGAUUCAUUUGAAGGGUCACUUCGUUUCAAAGGUGCCUUUUAAGACCACCUAAAACUAGAGCUGCUGACAAAUUCAGUACUCAGUGGUUUAUAAAACAAAUGAAAGUUACAAAACCUUUAACUUCUCCACAUGGAAAGCUGGGUUUAUAAGCUUUCUCUGUUUGGCCCAUUUAUCUCCGUCAUAAUUCACCAGUCCUUCGAUCAGCAACAGGCUAAGAGGAUUAAGACGAGGCUUUUGAAAGAGGUAGAUCUUUUGCAUAACCUCCCUAAUGAGUUCAGGCUCCAGGAUGUACACCAUUGGUGUUGGUCCAAGCCACACAUAUGUGCUCUUACCUGAAACUCAAAAUUGCCAUGUCUCAGCCAAGUUUAUUUUCACCUUAUUUACAUCAUAAAUCAAUGGCAUUUAAAGUUGUAUCAUUUGGUGUGUGUGUUUUCUGAAGGAAAUGCGAAAAACAUGACACCAAGAAUUAAUAGGAGGGGAUCAACCUUAAACGUUCUUGGGGAGCGUCAAUUUUCAUCUACAGAAGAGAUGUCAUGUACAUCACAACCACAUUUCUAAAUAACAGCAUUUACACAUUUGACAAUCCAAAUCCACUGUCUCAGAAUCUUCUGCUUGGCCAUUAAUCAAUGCGAUGUCCAAUUUUCAUUAUAUCAAAAUUUCAACCAAGUUUUUGGUUUCCAUAAAUGCUGCCAUCUAUAUUCUUAAUGUUGACAACACUUAUCAGCUUAACCCUAACUGUUUAUUGGUAAUCUUUUUUCCAUGGCUAUUCCAACAUCUUAAACCCCAAAUUACACGAAAAGAAGAACAGAAAACCAAAACCAAUCAUAAUAAAGCUGCCUUAUUUACCAAAAAGGGAUGGACAUAACGGGUAAUUCAAAUAAGAAAAUCACUAGGUAGGAUUUGGAUUGCGAUUUUUCGUCGAAAAAUUACGGCGUUUUCCGUGAUCACAUUUCCCUAUUAUCUUUUUCCCUCGCAUACAUCAAAUCGCUACAGUAAUUUUCCCAUAAAAAAUCAUGAAAAAUGCAAUCCAAACACAACCUUAGUUAACAAACAUCAUGUAAUGUCAAGCAUGUAAACUUUAACUGUCACCCAACCAAGAACUUUUAAAAUCACUUCAUAAUUCUGCUUUUCUAGCUGAACCAUUGAGUAAAUAGACCUCACAAGGAAAGAAGUAAAACAUGAAGAGGAGGAUAGCAGCAGUACCAUAUUUCUUCAGGGCAUCAGGUAAGGCAGGCAAGAUUCUUGGGAGGAUGUCAUCAGAGAGGUUGAUAGGCUUGGAUUGGGCUUCUCUGAUCAGGGUUGAAAUUUCUUUGAAGUCUCCAUACAGUAGUCUGUAAGGAUUUCCUUUGAGACCUUGCUCUUUCAGCCGCUUCUCCAGCUUCUUGGGCCUCAACCAUACCCAGUUCAAUACUCUCCAUGCCACUACCAAAAUUGCAGCACAAGAGGAAAUUGCAGCAAUUCUGAUGUAGCCUAUUUCCAUUUCUGGACACUGUAGCUGUUGCAACUCUCAACGUCUGUUGCUUUCUUGACAGCUCAUAUAGUUGUUUUCAUGUAUAUGCAAUAGAGUUUUGAAAAAAAUAACAUCGAAUUAUGAUACAUCAAACAUGGGAUCUUUUAUCCCGUGCCUAAGAUUUAUAUAUCUUGUCUGAAAAAGCUUAAAUUUACAACACAAAAGUGAACGCAGUUCAGUGAUGGGGAUAAUAUCAAAGUUUCAUAUUGAACCCACUCUCUCAUCUCAUUGACUUUCGACAUCAUAUUUUUCGAAACUUAAGAAAUUUCCGGUGGCUCCCCCGUUGUGGAGGUUUGGGGUGUCGUCUCCUGAGAUGUAUCCCACAUCGGGGUUGAGAGGGUUUGGAUUGGUAGUUAUAAGUCUCCUGUGGGAUCUCAAAGGAUACCGAUUUUUGGGGUUCUCUCGGGAUUUAGGUUUGUAAAAAUUGACGUAAGCUCUUUGAGUUUCGAAAGAAAGAAACAUCGCCUCUGGGGGGUUGGGUUCUCAUGGGCUUAGCAGCAGGCUCCCCUGUUGUGGAGGUUUGGGGUGACGUCCCCUGAGAUGUAUCCCACAUCGGGGUUGGGAGGAUUUGGAUUGGUAGUUAUAAGUUUCCUGUGGGACCUCAAAGGAUUAGGUUUGUAAAAAUUGACGUAACUCUUUGGGCUUCGAAAGAAAGAAAUUUCCGGUAAAUAGUAUGAAAUCGAAUAAAACCAUAAUUGUAAGUGUCCCAACUCCCACGUCCCUUGUCGAACCACUUGUCAGCGCUAGAAAUCGAAAAGGAUGGGGGAACCAAGUAUCAAUAAUACUAGGAGGUUAUCGGCUGUGCUAAGCACAGCCUAGACCCCCUAUAAUCUAUUGUCAUAUAAAAUAAGAUUAACAGUAAUGUUUGCGAAAUAGCAUUCUUAAAAUUAUAAAUUACCAAUCAAGUAUGCAGCUAACAAUAUGAGACUAAACAAAACAAAAAAAUCAUUAGCAUUGCAAAAGAGAAGAGAAGAUGACAAAAGAUUGGCAAGUAGUUUGACAAAUAGCUUAACAUCUUCAAGUGCAAGUUAGUCUUACAGAGACAAGAGAUGACUUGCUAAAUACUUAAUAUAAAGUGCAAUCAUAGGCUGCAAUUACAAAAGAUCACAUAUUGAGAUCCAUUAAGGUGCACAAAAGAACAAGUGGUUAAUUGAUCACAGCCAAUGCCCAUUGAGAUUAAUUGAUUGCUGUCAAGAAGUAACCCUACGCACAAAAAAAAAAACACAAAAGGGACAUCCUCAUGAAAUACACAAAAAUGAGUCCAACAUCUAGUGAGGAUUUAUAAAUUUUCAAUAUAAAAGGUUCAAGAAAACAUGUCAGAAAACUAAACUUUCCAAGACACAACUAAGAGGAUAAACACUUCAUGAUAACCAAAAUUGAAACUUACAUCUAAUAGGCCAUAAAAACAGAUAAAUAAAUGAAAAAAAUCCAAAGCAGAGUAUAAACUGUAAUAAUACAUCUUCCCUAGCACACACAUGUAGUCUUAUUGCAAAAAAUCAUUUUUUCAUAUUCCUUUUUAAAUAUCAAUUAAAGAUAUGAUUUAUACAUCUUAAUAUUUUUUCCCACACUGUAAAAAUAUAAGUUUUAACAUAUUUUUUCCAAUAAGUCCUAGACAAAUAAAAACCUAAGAAAUUACUUUCUAAACACAUAAGGCUCAUAACUGGCAUAUUUGUUUUUAUUUUUGUGCCAUCAAUUAAAUCAUCUCUUAUCCAAUCUCUAUGUAUUAUGAAAAAUUUAUCAAUUUUUCAUAUCUCUUCCUGUCACUAAUCCAAGGAAUAAGGAGAGUGUUUAUAAAAUUAAAUAAAGGCGAUGCACUUAUAUAUGCUUUGUAAAUAAUUAACCUAGCAUUUAAACCCCUUCUCAUUAUGUUUAUACUCUUAUUAGACAAAAAAUAUCAAUUUUGGUAUUUAUUUUCCCUUAAAGUAUAAAUAAUUUUAAAAAUUUAUAAAAAGAAUAAAUAAGGUUGCAUUCUAAAUAUUAACCUUGCAUUUUAACGCUCAGGUAAGGACAAAAAUAUUAACCUUGCAUUUGAAUGCUCGGGUAAGGACAAAGUGUCUAGGUAGAGAAUCUAAUGACUUAGAACUUAGAAUAAUAAUCAUUUCCUUAGAAUAAUAAUCAUUUCCCAACUUUAUUUUCACAAGAAAAUGCUCAGUUUUUCAGUAGAUUAAAUUUGCUCAUAUUUAGCAUUGUCAUUAUUUAAAAAUUAUUGGCAACUUAAGCAUGCUAAUUUCAAAACUCUAGCUUCAAAAUAGAGUUUUAACAUCUACAGGAGUACAAGGAAGAAAAGAGCAGGGACAAAAAAUUAUUAGAAGUACCGAGAAUUUUUUGUCAGUAUCAUAGAGUAGGCAAUUAAAUAGCAAGAAAAAUAGUAAAAUAGUCAAAGCUACAGAAGUAAAGCUAAAAUUGAAUCACAAGCUCAAGACAUACAAAUUAUUAAAUAUAAUUCAACAAUUGAAUUUGACAAUCAAAAUUAAGGCUCAGAUUAUUAGUUAAUAAAAGCUUUGCUAAAAGAAGAGCACAAGCAUUUGAACUCAACAAAUAGCCCUAUAGAUUCCAAAUAAGAAAAAUUACUCUUCUGUGACUCACUUAUUUCUCCAAUUAGCAGCAAGAAUAAAACAAAACGUUUUUGAAUAACCUAACAGCUAAAAAGAAGCAAGAAAUACCUAUUACUCAAUUGAUGGUAGCAAGAUUUGUUUUAAUUUGUUGCCUCCUACAAUAACAACAAAAAUUCAUUCAGAUACUCACCAAAUAAAUGAAAAAGCAUUCUUCUUUUGCAUCGUUUAUAGUUUAACGUAACCCAUAGGCAGUAGUGGAGUUGUGGAAGCAUGCACAUUUUACGUGAGCAACAAGUGCCCAUUUCCCAUAUGGCCUGCCACUGCCCCGAACCAAGGCUUUCCAGUCGUAGCAAACGGUGGCUUCUAUCUUCCAUCCGGGAGACUCCGGAAAUUCCAGGCACCAGGAGAUUCGAGUGGCCGCAUCUGGGCCAGAACAGGCUGCAAUUUCGACUACUCCAACGACGGACGAGCCUGUGAAACAGGCGACUGCAACGGGCGACUCGAAUGCGCCAGGGUGAUCGGCGUUCCUCCUGUGACGCUAGUAGAGUUUACGUUGCAGGUUGACAAGAGGCAGCCGAGUUUCUACGACGUAAGUAUAGUGGAUGGCUACAACCUCCCUGUUUCAGUGACCCCAUAUCCUACAGCACCAAAAUGCUACAUCGGAGGGUGCUUCUCAGAUAUAAAAAAGGAGUGCCCUGGGGAGCUGGCGGUCCUGAAUGAGCUCGGAACUUUUUCUUAAGAGUUUGAUAUUAUCAAGCCACCAAAAAAGAAGCAAAAAACAAUCAUGUUACGCUACACUCAGUUUUCAAAAAAUAGGAAAAAAUUGGAAAAGACCUUUAAGUUAACAUAAGUUUUGAAACUUACUAGUGAAUUCAAUGCAGAGAAGAAGAAGAAUCUGGACAGCAAGUUGAGUGACAAUGUUGAACCACUUAGAUUACUCUAAAAUCCAUCAAAUGGCCAACAUUUGAUUCAAAAUAAAGCUAAUUUAUUAGUUUUAGAUAUCAAUAGAAACACAAAUGAAACAAUUCUUUUGUUUAAAGAACCUUCUCAAGAGAUCCAAAAAACACCAUCUAGAUUUAUUGUUGCAUUUGCAAUCAACCUAAGAACCAAUUAUCCCAAGUUUCAGACAGACAUUUCAUCAAACAUUUGAUAGCCAUGCCUAUGAGAUUUCACAUAUUCACUUGAAGGCAGUGUCAUACUAAAACCAUGUUUUGAGUUAAUGAAGCAAAUAUAACAUAAGCAAUCAUUGUAAGGGAUCAUAACAUACCUGAGAUAAGUGAUAAGAAAGCAUCAAAACAGGGAGUAAUAAUACUUGAAGUAGAACUGAAUUUGUACGAGAAUUUCGGAAGAACAAACUAAGCUACCGUUGGACUAAUAAAUGAAAAAAACAAUGAACUUUGACAAUUAAAAGUAAAGCUCCAAUUUGUUUGUCAAUGGCAGGCGAAGAAGAAUAGCACAACCAUGGCUGCAAACUCAGUUGCAGUUCUGGAAUAAUAUAUACUCCAAAAUGCCAUCUGAGUUGCCUCGCCAAGAUACAGCUUAAAUCCAGUUAGUAUCAAGCCUGAAACACAACUCACGACAACAAUAUUGUAUCAUCACAGCCGAAAAUGAGAACAAAAUAAAUUCACCUAUUUCUGAUCUUCAUCUGUUGUGAAAAUCCAACAAAAAAAUCAACACUAUAUUCGAACAAAAUUUAGAUUCAUUAAACCCUGGUAAGGAAAUAAAAAGAAGAAAAAACAAAUGUUCAAACCAAAAAGGAAAUAACAAAAAAUUGUACUUCCGUAUGAAAUAGCACAUACCGAAUCAAGAGGGAAAAAAGCCAAAACCAGAGUGAACGAAGGUUAGAAUGAGAGUGUGAUUAGAGAAAGAGACGUGCAAAUACAGAUAAAAGGUACAGGCUAAGUGAAUAGGAAUCCUACUUCUCAGCAGAACUGGAAUAAGGGAAAAAUCACAUCCAAGCAGAUAUUUGUAAUCGUAAUCAUACGGAUGAUGAAGGUUGAAUAGAAAGCAUAAUUUGGGUGGAAAAUUGAAUACCAAAGCUGAUCAGAAUAGAAUGGCAUACCUAAAAAAAAAUUCCCCAUUUCACUCCUUUGAAGUACAACUAUCACGUGAGGCUCCAACAAUUCGGCAACAUGAGACGAAAUCGAUACAGAAACGGGUUAAUUGGAUAUCAGAGAAAGAGGGAAAAACGGCUAGUGUAAGCAAAGUAGUUCACCUGCACCCAAUUCUCCUGCUCUGAAGUACAAAGGCCAUGUGAAUGAUCAGCAAAUCAAGCGGCUGCAGGAGUAGCAGCUGACCUGUUGGCUUAAAGAAGGAAGUCACAAAGAGAUGAGAUGGUGGGUUUGGUAGUGAAGAGGUGAUUUUUGGUGGGUAGUUGAACCGACCAGAAUCAGGCACCUCUGAGAUGAAGUGAGGUGUAUCCUCGUGUCCGAAGUGAAUGGCGGGGCUUCUCCCCUGGGAUCACUCCGACGAUCAAGUUAGUAUGAGAACGAGAGAGAUAAUAGUAUUGUCAAAUGAACAGUAUGCUUACUUGUUAGGAGUACAUGAGGGGUAUUUAUAGAGCGAGAGUGGAGGGCAGGACGGAGGUCUUAUGCCGGUGGGACCCAUGUCCUGCCAUUACGGCUCUGCUCUCUGUCAGGCGGUCUGACUCUGACGCUGUAGCCGCCUGGGCAGGGUGACGAGGAGUCUUACGCAGUAGUCAUUAAGUGCGACAGUGCUUUUCAGAUAAAGCACUGGUCCCGGGUGAUGUCAGGUGGCUUGACAUCAUCAGCGUGCAGCUGAGGUAGAGGUGCCGAGGUCACCUACACGGUAGACUAGGGAUCCGGCCGAGCUUAGGGGAUAUGUCCAAGACACGGAUGAGCUCCGAUGAGGGACGAGGUGGGUUCACCUCGGACAUGCGGGGUGGCCGAGGUGAGCAUCCUCAAUAAGCCCCCCAAGCCUCGGGAGCUCCGGGCUAGGGAGGUACCGAGGCUUCCUUGUGCCGAAGUCGUAAAGAGUCGGGGUCCCGAAACUGCUCCGGAAGAUGCGGGGACGAGACACGUGGGCGAGUCAGUUGACAGGACGUGUUCACUGGUAACCGUCGCGUAGUGAAGUAAUGGGACGUUUCGUGCAGAGGGUGUCAGUCGAAAGGACGGGGCAUUAAUGAGGAGAGAGGGAGGCACGGCGUUUUGAAUUCGAACGUGGCCGUCUUUUCGCAUUCUUGCCGCCUCUUCGGAUUCCCCCCAAACCCUUAUAAAUAGGGGGUCCUUUUCACCAUAUGGCCCAUCACUUUCUUUCUUUGCCUGCGACUUGCAAAAUUUACGAGUGUUGCCGAGAUCAAUCCUGCCAUCCGAGAUCCCAGCCGAAGUCAUCCACUUCGUCAGAUCCCAUAGUCAACAGUAAGUAUUUUUCUUUUCAUCUCAUCAUUCACACAUGGCCAAAACGGCUAAAACCCACAAAAAAAUCGUGAAACCAAGCUACCAGGCCGAGGAGGUGCCGGACACUUCGGAAGAGGCGACUUCAUCCAGCUCCACGGGGUCGGCACCUACCGAUGUGGGGGGAUCGGCCGAGGAAGAAGUGGCUGGGACAGCAUCGGGGUCAGAGUCAUCAGAGAUGAGCGAGGGCGGUUCCGAUGUCGAAUACGACACCGACCUCGGAACUGCAAUACCCCACGACGAGGGGGUGCUGGAGCCCGUCGCUCCAAGAAAUGCUGCCAACCUGGACUUCGGCAAGAUGCCGCAGUUUAGGAGCCGCAUGGGAAGAGACAGGGCCUGGAAGGUGAUAAGGAAGUAUCCCUUCAGGCCGGGGUAUCUCAUCACAUCGCCCGGGCCGAACGAUUCGGCCGAGAAGCCCCCCAUGGGCACUGUGGCCAUCUACCUUCAGCAGUUGGAGGCCGGGCUGAGGAUGCCGACGUCAAGGUUCUUCCGGGACGUGCUCCGUCACUUCGGCGUAAGAAUCACCCAACUCGUCCCAAACGCGGUCCGCAUUCUCGUAGGUUUCGAGAUGCUGUGCCGACAUCAAGAAGUGACCCCGACUGUGGAUCUCUUCCGCCGAUGUUAUACUCUCAAGGCACAUGGGACAGAGAAGGGGUGGUUCUAUAUCUGUAAUCGGAACAAUGCCAUCCCGAAGUUCGUGAUUGGUGCUCCCAGCUCGAUCAAGAACUGGAAGCGCGACUUCUUCUUCGUAUCCAGAGUGGAUUUCCCCAGGGGUUUCUAGUGGAGGCCAAUUAAAGCGAAGGCCGACCCCUCCGCAGGGGAUGCCGAUGAGGAGGCCUUCCAGAAGUUGAUGGGGUCAGGACUUCGGAUAUUCAGUCUGGACUACCCCGAAGCCGUGCUAGUUGACGGGGGGAUUAGCCGAGCUUUGCUCAGUCCUGACAAGACUCCCUUCACGUCCACUAAACUUAAGAUACCUUGUAAAUUUCUUUCAUAGCUUUGCUUUCACUUCGGCUAAGGCAUAUGAUAAUAUUUGUUUCUUGUGCAGUGACUAAACUGUCCGACAUCAUCACAUCGAGCUCGGCCGAGGUGGCCAAGAGGUCGAAGAGAAAGAACUCGGGGGAGACUUCGGCUCCUCCGCCCAAAAAGAAGUCCCAAGGGCAGUUUUCCAAGACCUCGGUAGAGAAGACCACCCCCACCACGGCAGCCCAGAGCAGCUCGGCUGCUGCGGCCACAGGAUCCACCUCUUCGGUGCCAGAAGGGGUGCCAUUAGGGGUGACCACAGCACUUCCACCUCCACAUGGCCGAGGCAAACAGUUGAAGUCUCCGGUCAACGCGGUGACGGCGUCUUCACUAUGGAACCGUUACCCAAGCCCCCCAGUGUUUUCUGGGAAAGAUAAGUCUCACCCCGGCGAGCAUUGGUGUCCGGACUGGUCGCUCAAGGUCAACGACCGAUGCAGCCACCCUCGAGUUGCACAAGACCUGGUGAUGCAGUCCACCUUGCCGAGAGACUUGGGGUUCACAAGGAAGCUGACUCCGGCCGAGAUGUUCCAAAGCGUCAUGGUAACCACGGGCUCCAACACAGCCUUUGUGGCCGAGAUGGCACAUCGGUACUGUGAGUUGCUGGAGGAGCAGGACACCGGCAAACUGUAAGAUCAGAUUGCCAAGUUGAAGAAAAAGCUGGUUGUGUCUGAGUCCGAGAAGUCCGAGUUUCAGAGACGGCUUCAAGAGGCCGAGGCUAAAGGGAAGGAGGCCGAGGCCACUACCAAUAGUCUGAGGUCGGCUCUGGAGGAAGAGCAGAAGAGGUCGGAGGAGGCGAAGAAGACCCAUGAGCAGGCCUUCGAGAGUACAAGGACCUCGGCUGUUGAGGAUUUCCGGAGGUUCGAGACCUUCCUUAGGAAUCUCGACCAACUGACGAGGCCGAGAUUCAUGCUUGGCUUCACGUCGGCUAUUGAUAAGGCCGCGGCUCACCUCUCCUCCGAAACCUUGGAGUCUUUGAAGAAUAGUGCCAAUUAUAACGAAAACUCCAAGGAACCGUGCGAUCGGAUGGCUGAUGGUAUUCAGGCUGGAAGAAACUUGGCCGAGGUCCAAGACGAAUUCAACAAGUGGCUGUCCGAGCUCGACGAAGUGUUCGAGGAGGAUGGAGGAGAGGACACAGGGGGUGACAUCGGCGAGGAGGCUGCCGAAGAGCAAGAAGGAGGUGGAGAAGAUACUAACCCCGGCGGGGGAGAAGCCGCUGAGGCAACUGGCCAAGGGGGAGCCGAAGUGGAGGCCUAGCUCAUAGGGAUCUAAAUGUAAAACCGAGGUGGGAGAUGCUUAGCAGUACUCCUGACCUCGGUCCUUAUCUUCUUUUUGUAAUUCCUCUUCUUCGUUAAAUGAAAUAUUUGCUUCUCAGUUCGGCUCUUUUAAUUUCAUGCUUGCUUCGUCCCCUGUUUGUCCCCCUUAUUUUUUAAUAACAGAUGUGUGGCACAAUCAUAUUGAAAAAUAACAAAGCAGUUGAAGUUAUAACUUAGUAAAAUUUUCAAGCAUAAUGCAGCCUGAGGUUCUCGGCGUUCCAAGUCCUCGGCACUAGAGAGCCAUCUCGGUAGCUCAAUUUGCAAUACCCACUUAGACUAGAUUCCACAACUCGGUAAGGGCCUUCCCAUUUCGGGCCCAAUUUCCCUUGCGGUUCAGCUCGGCUGACCGAGUUUUUUCUAAGCACCAAGUCUCCUGGCAGGAAUCGCCGAUGCUUGAUGCGGGCAUUGUAGUAGUGGUCCAGGGUGUUCUUGUAGGACGCUAUCCGAGCUGAGACGAGGUCUCUUUUCUCGUCGAUGAGGUCGAGAUCUAACUAUCUCUCUUCUCUGUUCAUCUCGACUACAUAGGCUGUUAGUCGAGGACUGGGUGUGAGGAGCUCAGCAGGGAUGACAGCCUUGGCUCCAUAGGUCAAGGAGAAGGGGGUCUCUUGCGUGGAUGACCUCGGCGUGGUCCGAUAUGACCACAGAACACUGGGGAGUUCCUCCACCCAAGAUGAUCCAGCUCGGUGUAGUCGGGUCUUGAGGCCAUGCAAGAGAGUUCGGUUGAAAUUUUCUGCCUGACCAUUGGCCUGAGGGUGGCCUACCGAUGUGAAAUGUUGUUUGAUGCCGAGGUUCUGGCACCAAGCCUUAAAUGGGUUCUCGGCAAACUGCCUUCCAUUGUCCGAGAUAAUGAUCUGAGCUAUGCCGAAGCGGCAGAUAAUACAUUUCCAAAAGAAUUUUUGAAUGGCCAGCCCUGAGAUGGUCCGCAGAGGCUCGGCCUCGACCCACUUGGUGAAGUAGUCCACAGCGAUCACCAGAAAGGUAUAGCCCCCGACCGCUUUUGGGAAAGGACCGAUGAUGUCUGUCCCCCAUUGCUCAAACGGCCAGGGUGAGGUGAUUGGAACCAUGAAGUUCGAGGGUUGGUGAAGCUCAGGGGCGUGGACUUGGCAGGAUGGGCAGCUGAGAACAAGAUUUUGAGCAUCUUGUCGAACGGAAGGCCAGAAAUACCCAAGAAGUAAGGUCUUCCUGGCUAACAUCCUGUGGCCGACGUGAGCCCCGCACAGGCCUUCGUGUAUCUCAUGGAGGACCUGGCGUCCUGCCUCGGGUGUAACGCACCUCAGCCAGGGGCCAAGGUAUGAGCGUUUAUACAGUUCUUCAUCGCGGAGCCCGUACCGAGCAGAUUUGCGUUGUAUGUUUCUUGCUUCGGCUCGGUCCUCGGAGAGGACUCCCUGCCCUAAGAAAAGGAUGAAUGGGCUCAUCCAUGUUUCUCCCAUGUUCACAGGGCAGGCCACCUCUUCCAUGUAUCUCGGCUCGUUCAACACUUCAACUAAAACAGUCUUGUUGAGGUCAGAAAAUGAGGUGGAAGCCAGCCGUGAUAAGGCGUCGGCCCGCCUAUUCUGGGAGCGGGGGAUUCUUUGGAUCUCGAAAGACUCGAAGUACGCGAUGAGUUGGUGGACUUUGGCUAGAUACCGUUGCAUGGUUUCAUCCUUGGUCUCAUACUCACCAAGGACUUGGCAUACUACGAGUUGGGAGUCGCUGCGGACGUGGAUCCGAUGUGCACCGAGCCUGCGGGCUAUCUGGAGUCCCGCGAUCAAGGCCUCAUAUUCGGCUUCAUUGUUGGUGGCCGGGAAGUCAAAGCGGAGGGCGUAUGAGCACACUUCUCCCUGGGGGCCCUCUAGGAGCAGUCCUGCUCCACUUCCAUCCCCAUUAGAGGAUCCGUCCACAUACAACAUCCACAGGUGUGGGGUGGACACUUCGGCUAUGGCGGAAAUGGACUCUCGACCUUCCGUGAAGGUGAGCUCGGCCAAGAAGUCGGCUAAGGCUUGAGCUUUUAUGGCGGUGCGCGGCUCAUACGACAGGUCGUGCUCCCCCAACUCAACGGCCCACUUAGUGAGGCGCCCGGAGGCCUCGGGCCGCACCAGUAUCUGUCGGAGAGGCUGGUCGGUCCUAACGGAGAUGGGAUGGGCUAAGAAAUAGGGUUUCAGCCGUCGGGCGGCGUGGACUAGUCCUAGCACAAGUUUUUUCACUUGAGUAUAUCGAGUCUCCGGCCCACGGAGAGCUCGGCUGACAUAGUAGACUGGCACUUGAGUGCCCUCAUCCCGGAUGAGCACAGCGCUGACAGCCUCGUCCGCUGCUGAGAGGUAGAGGCACAGCUUCUCCUCGGGCCGAGGUGAAGCGAGGGUGGGUAGGUGGUGCAGGUACUGCUUCAGCUUGUCGAAGGCAGCCUGGCACUCCUCAGUCCAGGCAAAUUGAUCGGCCUUCUUAAGCACCUUGAAAAAGGGCAAAGCUUUUUCUGCGGACUGGGAUAGGAAGCGGUUCAGCGCAGCCAGGCGUCCGUUCAGUCGCUGAAUUUCUCGGAGGUUCCGAGGUGGGGACAUAUCUUGAAUAGCCUUGACCUUGUCGGGGUUGGCCUCGAUUCCCCGGUGGGAAAUCAAAUACCCCAGGAACUUUCCUGAGGUGACGCCAAAGACGCACUUCUUGGGGUUUAACUUCAUCCUCGAGUCGCGGAGGAUGCCGAAGACCUCCCUCACAUCUGACAGGAAGGCCGAAGUGGUUAAACUUUUGACGAGAAUGUCGUCCACAUAGGCUUACAUAUUUCGGCCGAUCUGAUCUUUGAAGAGGCGGUUGAUCAACUUUUGAUAGGUCGCCCCGGCGUUUUUUAACCCGAACGGCAUGGUGGUAUAGCAGUAUACACCUUGGUCGGUGUAGAACGCAGUCUUCUCUUGGUCCUUCUCACUCAUUCCUAUUUGGUGGUAGCCUUUGAAGGCAUCUAGGAAGUUGAGGAUCUCAUGUCCCAUUGCCGAGUCGACGAGGGCGUCUAUCCUCGGCAAAUGGUAGCAAUCUUUGGGGCAGGCCUUGUUAAGGUCGGUGAAGUCGACGCACAUCCUCCAUCCAUCGGUAUCCUUUUUGACCAUAACAGGGUUGGACAGUCAGGUGGGGUACUGGACCUCAUGGAUCAUCUUGGCAGGCAAGAGCUUGUCCACCUCGUCAGAUACGGCCUUGAUGCGUUCGGGGCCGAAGUGCUUGCGCUUUUGUUUCACAGGACGGGCCUGCGGGUUAACGUUGAGCUGGUGAACCAUGAGCUCAGGCGGCACUCCAACCACCUCAUCAGCGGACCACCCGAAGCCGUCUCGGUGGUCCUUUAUAAGGCAAAUCAUUUCUUCCUUUAGAGGCGAGGGGAGUCCGGCCCUUACCUGGACCACUUGGUCCGGUCUCGCCUCAUCCAGGACCACCUGCUCCACCUCAUCCCCAGGUUCCAGCCUGCCGGGCUUUCCCGCUUUCUGAGAAUCAAUGCAGUCUAUGGAGAGAACAGGUGGCCUCUUCUCUUCGGCCUUUGAUGCAGUCCGGGGAGUGACUGCGGCCUGGAUGGUGGCGAGGUAGCAUUCGCGGGCAGUGCUCACGUCGCUGCUCACCUCGGCCAUCCCCGCUGGUGUCGGGAAUUUGAAACUCAGGUGGUAGGUAGAGUACACAGCUCUCAAGGCGUUGAGCGUGGGUCGACCUAUUAACAUAUUAUAGGGAGAAUCUGCCUUGACCACCGCGAAGUCAACGGGUACAGUUCGGCAGCGGGGAUGACGCCCGACAGUCACCAUCAGGGACACCAUACCCUCUGGGUGGACCACGUGUCCCCCAAAUCCAACGAGGAGAGUUCUGACCGGAGUGAGUUGUUCCCUGGUCAGUUUCAAACUUUCGAAAGUUCGGUAGCACAAGACGUCUACCGUGCUUCCGGGGUCAACAUAGACCUUUUUGACUAUGUAGUUGUUGGUGGGAACCUCGAUCACGAGAGUUUCGUGAUUGCUGGAGGCCGCAGGAACUGGGUCAGUGGGACCAUAGGUGAUGACUUCAGACAGCCGAGAGCUCGGCUCGGCCACCUCCAUCCCGGCCUGGCGGUAGGUCCGUUUCUGGGAGUUCUGGCUGUCUCCUCCCGUUGGUCCUCCCGCGAUUGUGUUGAUCACCCCGGCGAUGUUGGGGCCGUAGUCCGGUGAUCCGUCGCGAGGAGGCUGCUUGUCCUCCCUACGAUCCUCGGGGCCUCGGCAAUGCAUGUUCGUGUCCCGCCUGUCAUCUCGGCGGGGGCCCCGGUUCUCCCGGUGGGAGACGGUUCGGUUGAAGACUCCAUCCUUGCGGACGAAUUGCUUCAGGUAUCCCUGCCGGAUCAAAUUCUCGAUCUCCCGCUUCAGAUCAUUGCAGUCUUCAGUCUCGUGCCCAACAUCCCGGUGGUAGGCACAGUAGAUGUUUGAGUUCCUCUUAUCUCUUCUCCCCGGAAUCUCAGGAGGAGUUCGCCGAGGUGAUUCUGCCUCAUCACAGCCAGGACAUGGGUCCGGCUGGAAUUGAGUGGCGUGAGCUCGGCGUCCGAGGUGGAUGACCUGCCUUUGACGAUCCGAUCAAAGACACUUCGGCUGCUAAGCCUCCGGGACGCCGAGGUGGGUCCUCAGCUCGUUUUCCCAGAAGGCCCCGGGAAAACGCCCGGGAAAUGGAAGCGAUUUUAGAUGUCGCCUUGGAAGAGGCGCGCCUGGAAGUGCUCCGAGAGAGGUGCCCCUCAUCGGAGUCUUCGCCGGAAGGCACUUCAGGGGAUUUCUUCGGUCUCCUCUUGGAGGAUUCAGCUUUUUCCUUCCCCUGCCUCUUGAAGUACCUCCCCAGUUCUUCGAAGAUGUUUGGGUUAUCAGCCACGAAUUCGGCCAUCUUGGCGAUGGCUUCUUCGUUGUUGGGCUGGGUCCUUGGAGACCCUUGUUCCUCAGAAAUACGAUCUUGCUGGGCUCCCGAUGUUUGCCCAGCCCCUGUCGAGGGGACUUUUCCGCUUCUGGAGCGCGUGGAUCUCAUUUUAGCAGUAAUCUCGUUCCCACAGACGGCGCCAAUUGAAGAGGUGAUUUUUGGUGGGUAGUUGAACCGACCAGAAUCAGGCUCCUCUGAGAUGAAGUGAGGUGUAUCCUCGUGUCCGAAGUGAAUGGCGGGGCUUCUCCCCUGGGAUCACUCCGACGAUCAAGUUAGUAUGAGAACGAGAGAGAUAAUAGUAUUGUCAAAUGAACAGUAUGCUUACUUGUUAGGAGUACAUGAGGGGUAUUUAUAGAGCGAGAGUGGAGGGCAGGACGGAGGUCUUAUGCCGGUGGGACCCAUGUCCUGCCAUUACGGCUCUGCUCUCUGUCAGGCGGUCUGACUCUGACGCUGUAGCCGCCUGGGCAGGGUAACGAGGAGUCUUACGCAGUAGUCAUUAAGUGCGACAGUGCUUUUCAGAUAAAGCACUGGUCCCGGGUGAUGUCAGGUGGCUUGACAUCAUCAGCGUGCAGUUGAGGUAGAGGUGCCGAGGUCACCUACACGGUAGACUAGGGAUCCGGCCGAACUUAGGGGAUAUGCCCAAGACACGGAUGAGCUCCGAUGAGGGACGAGGUGGGUUCACCUCGGACAUGCGGGGUGGCCGAGGUGAGCAUCCUCAGGUAGCAUAGCCGGUUGGGAUGGGACUUGCUCAGAAUAGGUGUGCUGAAUUUUGCUCAGAAUAGGCGCGUUGUAGAGAGAGCAGGAAAAGGCUUCAAUGCAAUUUGAGGGGAAGACGGUGGAAUGGCAAAAGAAGGAAAAGAAAUAGAAGACUUCGGUCGGUCAAGAGAAGCUUUGUAAGAAACACUUUACUUGCCACUUGUCAGAUAAUUAAGGAACCACGUGGCAAGAGGAAAGGAAAGCAUUAAAUCUGGCUGUUUUCUUAUAUACAAGGUAGAUUUUAUCGGAUAAUUUCAAAAACCCCCCUAAGGUUUGUCAUAAUAUCUACCUCCCCUAAAGUUUUUAAAAUUUCACUUACAUCUCAUAUCAACUUGACAAUAAUAAAUAUUCCUAUCAAAAGUCAUAAAUUGAUAACAUUAUCCUUGCUCUUUUAUAACUAUUUAAGUAAAACUCAAAACAAAAUAAAAAAUUUAAACCAAAAAAUGUAAAUUAAAAAAAUUAAUUGCUAUCUAAUAAUGGACCAUAUUUCUUUAUAUUGGGGUCGUGGUAGGAUAACAAAGAACGUAAAUAAAUUAAAUCUAAUCAAGGUCAGUCACUUGUGAGAAUUUUGGUGAGUAAUUAAUACCUUAAAAAAUUUCAUGGACUGUUCUAAUAAAGGAAGUGAAAAUAUUUUUUUGGAAAAUAUGUUUUAAUAUAUGAUAUAGUUCAAGUUGUAUUGAAAACUAAAAUAAUCUCUUCAUACGUGUAAGUUUUUUAAGGUAUAAAUUUUACUUUUGUUCCAAUACAACUAAAAUAAAUAGUUUAAGUCAAGAAAUUUACACCUUAUAAAAAUUUAAUCUUAUUUUAUUUGUUAUUGUUGUCAUAAACUUCAUAAGUAGGAUAAGAGUAGCAUUAGAACAAAAGUUUUAUCUUUUUUGUAUUUCUUUCAAAGGGGUUAAAAUAUUAUAAGAAUGAUAAUCCAAGACGAGUAAGUGAGAUUUUAAAAACUUUAGAAAAGUUGAGUGAUAUUAUAAAAAACCUCAAAGAAGGUUUCUGAAAUUAUUCCAUAGUUUAUAGACUGGAGAAGGGUACAGCUAUGUGAACAAAAUACUCGUUAGUUGAUGUCUAUAUGCAUAAUCUCAAAAAAAGUACCAUAGUUUUCGGCCGUUUGUAUGUGUCGCUCUUUUAAUCUAAGGGGCAAAUUUGUAAAUAUUGAUGAUGGGCAAUCCAGCACUAGAAUUUUUAAUUGGAAAGCCAGCUUUGGACAGUCACUCCGAAGGGCAAUCCAACGCUGUGACAGGUUGAGAUUUAAGCCCCUUUCCUAUCGUCUUGUCACUUGUCAGGUUUUGGUUCUUACAAUUUGAUUUUGCAUAUUUCGUCUUUCAUAUGUUUAAACUGUAAAAAUGUCAAUAAACUACACAUAACCCCUUUGUAGAUUUCAUAGAUUGCCAUAUGAUCCCUCUUAAUGUUUAAAAUAUCCACGUCACCUCUAUAAUUUUAUGUAAAGUGAAAAGUUGAUGAUAAAUAACCUCCGUAAAAUUAUUAGUUGAAAUACUAAUGUUGGCUAAGCACGAGAUUGAAUAGUGGCAUGACUACCUCUGAUUUAUUUACACGUGUCCCGAUGUGGGAUAAGUCAAUUAACAAAACUUUUUAUUUUAUUUUUGAUGCAUUUAUAAUCAUCAAAGCUCGAGAAAUUAAGUCUCCUGGCAUUUAAAGUUUGAAUCCACUAAAUUAUUGAAUUGUUAAGUAUUAAAUCUAAUACAUUUAAGUACAUAUCACAUUCAGUAAUGAAGAAUAGCUUAUCACUUAAUUUUGAAAGCAAAUUUUGCCUAGAAAAUUCAGUACCAUUUAAUUAAUUCAAAUGUUCAAGUUUUGUUGAUCAAACGAUCUGAAUAUGUUAAGAUAUGAAUCCAUUAAAUUUAAGUACUGAGCUAAAUUAUCAAAAAGCGUUAGGCAGCUACUUUCCUUUUUGUAAGACUAACACAAACAAAUAAACACAUUGCUGCGGAGGUUGACUUCAAGCAAAUGAAGCCUAUGCGGACAAGCGUGGCUGCUGAGUUUUUGUUCAUUUUCAAAUGAAAUUUAACAAGAAAACUUCACAAUGCUUGCUUAAAAAUUACAAUCAGGGUUGAGGCAUUCACGAACGCCACAUGAUACAGUAAACCACAUGAUACAGUAAAGACAGAAAGGACAAACUGCUCCAUACAACUGUUUGUUCACUCCAGAAGGAGUACAUGAGAUCUAUAUAUCUCGAUUUUGGAAGAGAAGCCAAAUUUGAACAUCUGAAUUUUUGUGUCCUUACAAGACAAGGACACAAACAGCUGCAAAUUAUGCAGUCAUAGUUUCAUGCUUCAAUUUGUGCAAAAUCAAGCGAGCACCAUACUGCGGUUGAAUCGUUAUGACUGCACGGGGUGCAUGAGUAUAAGAGGGGGAGAGUUCAAAGGAGAAACGCUGGAGAAGCAUAGCUACUGCCAGUUUUGCUUCCAACAUGGCAAAGUUUUGGCCAAUGCAUAAGCGAGGUCCCCAGCCAAAUGGGAAGUAUGCAGUUUGGCCCUUUGUUGCAUUUGAGACUCCAUCAGCAAACCUCUCUGGCUUAAACUCCUCCACAUCAUUGCCCCAUAUUUCAGGGUCAUAGUGCAACAAAAUUGCUGGUAAUGAUACCUGCACUUGAGCUGGUAGAGUUAAAUUUCCCAACUGAAUUUCUUCAUCAGUUCUUCGAGGAAUUGCAGGUACUGGCGGAUAUAGUCUGAGAACCUCGUGUAGUAUCAUGGUGACCUAUCACAGACAAUAAACCACUCAAAUUCCCCCCUAAAGCUCUCCACAACACCUCAUUUUAAGAGUAUAUGCUCUUGAGACCUCACUGGACAAGAUAAUUGCAUAGAGUUUUGUUCUAAAUAUUGAAGAUUGAAUGCAAAUAAAGAUUAAUCAAAAGUAAUUUAAGAUCUAUCUAGCAAAGCUACAUUAUAUACAUCCAAGUUUUUUUUUUUUCCUAAUCAAGAAACUAUAGGAUGUAUGUAUUCAAGAGUUUGAGGUGAUUUCACAUCUAUGUGGUGGCAGAGCAACUAUAAAAGCAUUAGAAUAUCGCAAUGAUACAACGAUGUAUGUAAAUUGAAAUUAGUACUUACCAAUUUUAGCUGAUUUAACCCUUUAAAAUCAGGCUUGUUAGUCCCAAAGUGUUGCAAAACUUCUUCUCUAGCUCGCGCUUGCCAGUUUGGAUACCUACUCAAUAAGACCAUUGUCCAUACAAGCAUCACUGAGGUGGUCUCCUGCCCCGCAAAAUAGAACAGCUUGCAUUCUUCAAUAACAUCUCCAAUAGUCAUGCCAAAAUCCUUGUUGCCGUGAUCAUCAAUUUCUUUAGAAUUGGAUUCGAGUAAUAUACCCAAUAAGUCAUCAGCACAAGCCUCCCCUUCUUUCAUUGCCUUCAAUCUUGCAUUUAUAAUUUCUCUAAUAGAUUCUUGAACAUCUUUGGCAAUUUGUUUCAUUCUUCUAUUUAAUUUGGUUGGCAAAAACCUGAAAAGAACAUAGUUUCACAAACAAGCAACAAAAGCUUGUAUAUCGGACCUUCAUUUACUGGGUAAAGGGAUCUUUUCCAAGCAAUGGCAUCGAAUUUAGAAGUCAAAAGUUACUUCAGAGCAAAGAAGGCAGUGAGUUAACACAAUUUACCUCCACCCUGGAAUGUAUACUGAUUCUACAGCCUUUAGGAAAUGUUCAGCCUGUUCCCUUUGAAGUUCAAAUAUCCUUUUUCCUUCUUGAUAGUUACUUCCAAAUGCCGUCCGUGAAAUUGCGUCAGAAGUCAGAGUUUGAAUGUCCGGCCAAACAUCCAACUCACAGGAGCCAUUGGUCGGAACAAUCUCCUCCCAUUUGCUCAACAUCUCACUAGCACUUGCAUAAAAUGAAGGGACCAUGUGCUACAGGCAAGAACACGGGAAAACGAAAAAGAGGUCAUGUACAAUGCUACUCCUCCAGUAAGCAUUCUCAGUUCAUUUUGUAAAUUAGGUAUCAUAUUUGUUUUUGCUUUUCCUGUAAUCAGAUAGCUUACCACUUCAUUAUGGUGAACGCAUUCAUUCCAAUGAACUAAUCAAAGUUUCCAAGAUUUCUGGUAUGACGACAACCUUACCUUGUUGGUCUUAUUAAGAGAUGAAGUAAUAAUUCAUUAAAUACCCAGAUAAAAUUAGAGAAAACCUUCAAUUUCUCCACAUGGAAAGCGGGAGUGAUGAGUUUUCUGUGUUUAGCCCAUUUAUCUCCAUCAUAGCUCACCAGCCCUGUUGCCAGCAAUUUGGUCAAUGGAUUAGCAGGAGCCUUUUGAAAGAUGUAAAGCUUUGUUGUGAUCUCCCUUAUGUGUUCAGGGUUCAGGAUCAGCACCAUCGGUUUUGGUCCAUGCCAUAUGUAUGUAUUCUCACCUGAGAGUCAUUCACCACUUGUUUGAACUCAGGAUUAAACAAAUAUCAUAAAUCAAUCAAGGGUACCUAGAACUGCUAUAUUUAUCUGUUUUUUUUUAAAAAUCAUUUAACAAGAUGGAUACGUUGGAAACGAGAUAUUGGAGGGUCCUUGACCUUACGAACUCCUGCCAGUACCUGAAAAUCAGACGGCAUGCUAUACAGUAGACAAAUUGGACUCCUUGGAUUAAUUGUGAUCAUAAUAUUUAGUUCUGAUCAUCCUAACCAAUCACUCAAGAAGAUAUAAAGGCCUCAUUUAUUUUUGAAUACUACUCGGCAUUGCUAUCUAUUUGAUUCACCGUGUUUGAGGUUUACAUUAAUCAUGAGAAGAUCGAGGCUUCCUGUUGUACUACAGUGUCAUUGAGUUUGAACUCUUGAGACUGGAAAGUGGACAAGCAACCUAAUUUAGAAUAAUUUGUCCAGAUUAGCACAUCCACCCAUUUGUAUUCAUAUGCCAAGGUUCAACUCUCGUUGCUCUAAUUUGCACUAUUUGCUCUGCAAUCUCCUUCAUGUACUCAAAACAGGGGGGAAAAAGAAAAUUUCUUGCUAAAAAAAGCUGUCUCAUUUACUGAAUAGUGAAAACAGAUUAGUAUCCACUAUUGCAUUAUUUGCCAUAUCAAAAAUAAGAUAGAACUAUCCUUAUGAAAUAAUAGCGAUAGCGAUAUUGUUUUGUGUGUUUUGGGGGGGGGGGAGCAAAAGGUGUAAUGAUGACUCUGCAAUCUCCUUCAUGUACUCAAAACAGGGGGAAAAAGAAAAUUUCUUGUUAAAAAAAGCUGCCUCAUUGCAAGGUAAAUUGAAGUAAGGAAUCUUGAAAGGUAAAUUGCAAUCAUUGAAGAAAUCCAUGAACACUUGCAAAGAAAGCAUCGGACGAUUGAAAAAGAUGAUACUACUACUUACCAUACUUCUUGACAGCUGCACAGAAGUGAGGAAUAACUCUCGGGACGAAGUCGUCAGAUACAUUGAUUGGCUUGGAGUGAGCUUCCUUGAAGUGGGUUGCGAUCUCUUUGAAGUCUCCAUAGAGAAGUUUGUAAGGAUUUCCUCUGAGACCUUGCUCCUUCAGCCGCUUUUCCAGCUUCUUCGGAGUUAACCACGCCCAGUUGAACGCUCUCCAUGCAAGCACUGAAAUCAAGAGCAGAAUACAAGAAGAGAACACAGCAAUUGGGCUGUAUCCUAUCUCCAUUACAGAGGCGUAGUUAAAGGUUUAUUGUGAUCAUCUGCUCUUGCAUUCAUAUUUAUAGCUGAAAGUUGUCGGAAAGUCCGAGAAAAGUUGUCUUCGUGUUGUCCCAGAAUUCAGUUUUAGAGCAAGUCACUCUUUAGUCACUAGUUGUUUAACGACUCACUUAACUUUCCUAUAAUUAUAAUUUUAAUUAAGAACUAUACUUAACCCACAUAUUUUGGAUUAAAGUGUCAAAAUCAUGCAAAUUAUUAUUGUUAUUAUUAAUUUUAUACUAGAGUCAGUUGAAACCUCAAGACUAAUCUCAAGUCAUGACGGAAGUUUUUUGUAAAGCAUGUAGGGUUUAUGCAUAGCUUUAUAAGUUAUAAGAAGUGCAUGUAAAAAAGAAUUAGACUACGUACUGGAGACUAAAGUGUAAUUCAUCUUCUAUUUAUAGAUCUUGAGUAUUGAAGUAAAUUUAGCUUUUGCAUAGGGGUUACACUGAUAAUUUUAGCUUCCGUUGUUACAUAUGACGGUUUUCAUGAUUAUAGUUCAAAUUGUAAAGUAGUUAUAUAUUAACAUUUGAAAUCAUAUAAAAGGUAAGAAAAAAAAAGUGAAACUAUUAAUGGCUAAAAUAUAAUUUAUCUUAAAUUUAAAAACUUUGUGGCGACAAAGAAUGGGUAAAUAAAAAUAGUAAAGGAAUGGAAGGUUGAGGCAUUAUCAGGGAGUUUGUGACAAAAAAGUAAAUAAAUACAGCUUUUAAAAACUAUUAUAACUUUAGAAAGGAGCCUAGAGAGAAAACUUGGGAGCCAAAAUUUGGACUUUCGUCUGCAUUCUAAAAAUCAUAAUAGGUUUUCCAAAAAAAUACCGCCAAUGGGUGCGUACGCACCCGUUUGAAUCAGUGGUGGUUCAGUUUCUUUCGAGUUCUCCUUUGACCUCUUUAUGUUCCCCUUCCCCCAGUAUCAAUGUUUUGAAACUCAAACCGGCCAUCGACUCGAUCGAGAUUAGGGGUCAAUGGGUUUGACCCCGAUCGAAUCUAUCAAAGAAUCAGAUGAUGUCAUAAAUGUAGACACCAAAUUUUUACUAAUUUUUUUAUAUUUUCUUUAAUUUUGUCGAUUUCAUGGGUCAUUUACUUUUGUGCAUUUUAAUGUGAAUUUUCUUAUUUUCUAGAUUUAUUUAAAAAAAGGAGAGAGAAAUAAAGGAAAAGAAAGAAAAAUUAAAAAAAGAAGAAGAAAAAAAACUCUCUUAUCAUUUGUUCCAACUAACACACUAUUCACCCAAUUUAAUACUCCACCUCUCUUCCCUCUUUUCUCCGGGUACAAAAUUCAUCAUUUUUUUACCCACAGCUUCACAACAACUCCAACCAACACUUCUUUCUCAAUUCACUCUCUCGGUUCUUUCUUUGGCUCUCAAUUCACAAGUAAAAAAAAAAAAGAGUAAUCUUAUUUACACCGAUGGUGUAUACAUUAUCACGAUUAGAUAUACGACACAUAUGUAAAAUUUGAGUUUCAAAUUCAAAUUCGAAUUAUGUGUCAUACAUCUAAUGAUAAAAAUGUAUACACUGUCGGUGUAUAAAAAAUUAAUUAAAAAAAAAAGAGAGGAAAACAACUUUCCCUCAAUUCCCUCUCCCUCUCCCUCUCGGAUCUCCUCUCCCCCUUCCCCUCUCAAUUUUUCCACCAUCACACUCUCACACUCUCUCUCGGUUCACUUUGCACGCACAAGCACACCAAGCACAAAAACUCUAUCAAUUUCAAAACAACCCACCAACUUUUUCCUCCCCCCAACUCUCUCUCGGCUCUCCCUCAAAUUUUCACACCACACACUUGCACGCUCCAACAACCUCCAACUCCCUUUCUCUUCCUCUCGGCUCUCUCACUCCCUCCCUCUACACAUAUUCAUCCGUAAACCAAACACAAAAGAGUAUCCUUUUCGUUUUCCCGUGAUGUUGAGCAAAUAAGCAACAAACAUGCAUUUAAUAUAAUUAAUUAAAAAAAGAAAAGCUUAAAAAAAAUACAUCAAUGAAAGUUGUAGUCCCUUGCCAAAGUUUUUGAUGGGACCAUGUGCUACAGGCAACAACACGAAAACGAAAUGGAGGUCAUGUACAAUGCUACUCCUCCAGUAUGAAUUCUCAGUUCAUUCUGUCAACUAGGUAUCAUAUUUGUUUUUGCUUUUACUGUAAUCAGAUACUUUACCACUUCAUCACAGGGAACUCAUUGGUUCCAAUGGACCAGGGGCAGGAACAGUUGCAGGCAGUUAUGUGCAUUUUGCACACGGCGUAACUUUGUUUGCACAUGGUGUAACUUACUUUUAACAACGUGUUACUUUAGAACAAAAUUUUAUGAGUCCCACAUAUAUUGUUAAAUCGAGAUAUAAGAUGGAAUCUGAACCGUAUAAUUUUUUUUGGCCAAAUCUUGGCCACUCCUGCCCCUCUUCCGGUUCCAAUGAACAAAUCAAAGUUUCCAAGGUUUCUGGUAUGACAACCUUAACUUGUAGAUCUUAUAAAAGAUGAAGUGAUAAUUCAUUAAAUACCCAGAUAAAAUUAGAGAAAACCUUCAAUUUCUCCACAUGGAAAGCAGGAAUGAUAAGUUUUCUGUGUUUAGCCCAUUUAUCUCCAUCAUAGCUGACCAGCCCUUGUGCCAGCAAUUUGAUAAGUGGAUUAGCAUGAGGCUUUUGAAAGAUGUAAAGCUUUGUUGUGAUCUCCCUUAUGUGUUCAGGGUUCAUGAUCACCACCAUCGGUUUUGGUCCAAGCCACACGUAUGUAUUCUUACUUGAGAAUCAUUCACCACUUAUUUCAUUAAACAAACAUCUUAAAUCAAUCAAGGGUACUUAGUACUGCUGUCUUUAUCCGUUUCUUAUAUCAUUUAACAGAAUGGAUAUAUUGGAACCAAGAUACAGGAGGGUACUUCACCUUAUGAACUCCUGCCGGUACCUGAAUAUCAGACAGCAAUGUAUACAAGAAGCACGAUUAAAGAAAUGCAUUACUGCCAAUUGGACUCCUUGGAUUAAUUGUGAUCAUAAUAUUUAGUCCUGAUCAUCUUAACCAAUCACUCAAGAAGAUAUAAAGGCGUCAUUUAUUUUCGAAUAUUACUCGGCAUUGCUAUCUAUUUGAUUCACCAUGUUUGAGGUUUACAUUAAUCAUGAGAAGAUUGAUUCUUCCGGUAGUACUGGAGAAUCAUUGAGUUUAAACUCUCGAGACUGGAAAGUGGACAAGCAACCUAAUUUAGAAUAAUUUUUCCAGAUUGGCACAUCCACCCAUUUGUAUUCAUAUGCCAAGGUUCAACUCUCGUUGCUCUAAUUUGCACUAUCUGCUCUGCAAUCUCCUUCAUGUACUCAAAGCAGGGGGGAAAAAGAAAUUUUCUUGCUAAAAAAAGCUGUCUCAUUUACUGAAUAGUGAAAACAGAUUGGUAUCCACUAUUGCAUUAUUUGCCAUAUCAAAAAUAAGAUAGAACUAUCCUUAGGAAAUGCUUCCAGACUGAUAAAAAGAAAGGUGUAAUGAUGACCCUGCAAUCUCCUUUAUGUACUCAAAACAGGGGGAAAAAGAAAAUUUCUUGUUAAAAAAAGUUGUCUCGUUGCAAGGUAAAUUGAAAUGAGGAAUCUUGAAAGGUAAAUUGCAAUCAUUGAAGAAAUCCAUGAACACUUGCAAAGAAAGCAUCGGAUGAUUGAAAAAGAUGAUACUACUACUUACCAUACUUCUUGACAGCUUUACAGAAGUGAGGAAUAACUCUUGGGACGAAGUCUUCAGAGAGAUUGACUGGCUUGGAGUGAGCUUCCUCGAAGAGGGUUGAGGUCUCUUUGAAGUCUGCAUGGAGAAGUUUGUAAGGAUUUCCUCUGAGGCCUUGCUCUUUCAGCCGCUUUUCCAGCUUCUUAGGAGUUAACCACACCCAGUCGAAUGCUUUCCAUGUAAGCACUAAAAUCAAGAGCAGAACACAAGAAGAGAAUACAGCAAUUGGGCUGUAUGCUAUCUCCAUUACAGAGGCGCAGUUAAAGGUUUAAUUUUGAGCAUCUGCUCUUGCAUUCAUAUUUAGAGUCAUCUUCAUGAUGUCCCAGAAUUCAUCAGUUUUAGAGCAAGUUACUCUUUAGUCCUAGUUGUUUAAUGAUUCACGCAACUUUCCUAUAAUUUUAAAAGCUAUACAUAACUCUCAAAUUUUGGAUUAAAGUAUGUUCGGGGGUUAAUAUCUUUAAUGCUAGCGGUCCCAGAAAAGGGGCGUAAAUCCUUCAUAUUGGUCAUUCCGGUUUCCCCUGAGACUUCAAUUCAAACUUCCAAUGUGCCUUCAAUACUAUGAGCCUAUGAGGUUAUCUUUUAUCCAAAAUGUUUCAGAUUCUAAUUGCACUUUUAUUUUGUAAAAUCAAACACCCCUGCCGGGCUAAGUCUGCCGCCCUGUAGCCUGUAGGGGACAACAUUCAUAACAUUCAAUUUACCUAGCACCCUAAGAUUAUUGAUUACCCUUGAAACUGGUUCUGAGCAACAAGAAACCCGGAGAGGGAGCAGACUAAGACUCAGGCAGAAACUUUUGAACAAUUUCCUGAAAAAAAUCGUUAAAUUUCAAAAUGCAAGAACAUUACACUGCCUGGCAGUUCUAGACAAUUGAGGGUUACUUUAAUAGUGAAGGGUUAGCACUUUGAUGGUUGUAACUAAUCUGUAACAUACAUCUCCUAGUCUAUAAAGAGAUCAAUUGAGGGCUAACUUGCUGCAAAAAAUCAUCUUAUCAAAACUUAGAUAUUCUGUAAUAAGUACGCCAAAAGCUUUUUCUUUGGAGCUUUGAACACUAAUGCUAAGUACUAUCAAGACAUGUUUCAUUUUAUCCGAAAGAUAAUUCGUCUAUGGUGUUGCACUAAAAUAGAGUACGAAUUUAGCCUAAAAGAAAGUAAAUCCAAUUCACGACUUGAAGCCAACUUCUUGUUUUUCAUCACAUGCAUACAUUCCUCUCAUUUGCGCCAACAACAGGUCCCAACCAAAUGGGAAGAAUGCAACAUUUCCCUUUGUUGCAUGUGAAACUCCUUGACAAAACCUUUCUUCUGGCUUGAAUUCUUUCGCAUCUUCGCCCCAUAUUUCAGGAUCAUGAUGAGCUAUCAGGGUUUGUAAUUGUAACAAGAUUACCAUUCCACUGGGAAGAGAUAAAUUUCCUAAUUUUGUUUCUGCAGCCGUUAUUCGACCAUUGACUAGUACUGGUGGAUAUAACCUUAGGACCUCGUGUAAUAUCAAAGUUACCUCAGGAAGAAAAACAAGAAACUCAUUAGUCCUCUACCCAGAUUUGUCAAUGUUAAUUAUGUUACCAGGCUUGCCACCAACAGAGAAAGUGAGAAAGCUCGACUCAGUCUUCAACAAAACAGACUAUGUCAUCCAAGUGACAUUUUAAGUUGGAAUAUUUUCUUCAACAAUUACAUUUAACGAUUGUUGAUGAGAAUACCUUUUGAAAACUUCCUAAGAAGUCCUUUAACUACAAUAAUUGACUAAGGAUGACUUAAAGCAAUAAGUAAGCUUACAUAUUAUAAAAGUCCUUUAACUUCCUAUAAAUGUAUGUAUGUAUGUAUAUGCACAAAAAAUAAAAAAGAGAAGUCUUGAAAGGUAAAUUGCAAUCUUUGAAGAAAUCCGUGAUCUCUCGCAAAGAAAGCAUCAGAUGAUUGGAAAAGAAGAUUUUACUGCAUAUCAAAUUUCCUGACAGCUGCACAAAAAUUAGGAAUAACUCUUGGGACGAAGUCAUCAGUGAGGUUGAUUGGCUUGGAAUGAGGUUCCUCGAAACGUCUUUGAAGUCUCCAUAGAGAAGUUUGUAAGGAUUUCCUCUGAGACAUUGCCCUUUCAGCUGCUUCUCCAUCUUCUUGGGAGUUAACCACAUCUAGUUGAAUACUUUCCAGGGUAGCACUAAAAUCAAAAGCUGAAUACAAGAAAAAAAACUAUUGGGCUGUCAUUCGUGUUCUACAAGUAUCAAAUUUAUGAUGAUAAAGACAACGGAGAAAAUUUUAAUAGGUGGCAAUGUGGCACAUAUUUUUAAUGUUAAUCAUCUGCAAAUUAUACUUCUUUUUUAAUAUGGCAUAAUGGUAGGGUUUUUUUUUUUUUUUUUGCUAUUUUAGAAAAGGGAAAUGGAAGAAAAUUUUGGAGCAAAUUUUUGGGCUUUCAUUGUUCUAGAAAUAUCAAAGUUAUGAUGAUAUGGUGUACGUUUACAUAAACUGUUGCAUUUCCUUCAAUAUUUGAUGUAAAUAAACAAAAUUCACACUUUUGACCAAAAAUUGUAUCAAUAGAAUCCAAGCAAUAUCGAAAGUUAAACUACAAAAUUGUGGCUUAAAUGCUUUCGACUCACAUCUUUAUCAAACUACUCAUUUCUUUCAAGUGUUUUCAUUUAUCUCCUCAUCACACAAUUUAGAAUUUCAAUUGAAAAUAAAACCUGAAAUUUCUCCCUUUUGUCUUCUCUCCUUUCCCAUCACCGCAUUCAGCUUAUGCAGCUUUUCGUUGUUUCAUUUUGUAGCUAAAAUAAUUUUAUUUGGCUGGAGUCUAAUGCUGAUUUUGUCUGAAGAUAUCUUACCCUCAUAUGGAGGAUUCGAAGAUUAAUAGCAAAUAAUUUUUCUUUAGUUUUAACGAUAAGAUUGGACGACUCUCCGGAUGUUUGUACGCGAUAAAAGUUUCAAUUUAUGCCAAACUAUAAAUUUUUACUCGUUGAUUUGAACUUAUGCACGAGAUGAUCUAUAAUAGCUUUCUAUUCCACAUUAAAAGAAUUUCUCUUCUUACGCUCGUGCCUUGGGUUGAAUUAACCAUUCAUGGUUUCUUUUCGCAAGUCAAUCAACUGAAUAUUCACCAAUGACUAGGAAGCUUCUUCAAAGCUAAGGCUCAAAUGGGGUCAAUUACAAAGAUUACAUGUUUCAAAAAAUUUGUGAUAAUAAGUAAAUCCUUGUCAAACACGAUUUUCAGCAUUUCCACGCCACCCCCGCCCCCCUCUUUUUUUUCUGGUGACUAGGGGAAAGUUUACACCCUUCCGCAGGAACUCCUCUAGAAGUAGCCGCACCUAUUACAUCUGCAGCUAAUAUGCAUCUGUUGUUCCUGCUAACUAUAGAUCUCGUUCUGCUUGACAUUGAUUUCUCAUUCCUUAAGCAUCCACACAUCCUUUUGUAGGAGUAGCACAAGAAACUUCACAAUGCUUGCUUACAAAUUACAAUCAGAUUUCAGGCUUUUAUGAGCAACAGAUGAAGAUGGUAAUAACAGAGAAGCGGGCAAACUGCUCCAUACAACUAUUGUUAACUCCACGAGUAGUGCGUGAGGGUAUUUGGGUUUUGGAAGAGAAAUCAAGAUUUAAACAUCUGAAGUACUUAUUUCCCCACAAAGCUAAUGACGCAAACAGCCAAGAUACAUAAUUCAAGCUAAAAUCUCUGCAAAAUCAACUGAGCACCAAACUGGGGUUGAAGCGUUGCUGCUGCCCGAGGAGCAUGAGUAUAAGAUGGCGAAAGCUCAAAGGAAAAGCGUUGCAGAAUCAUAGUCAAUGCCAGUUUGGCUUCCAACAUAGCAAAGUUUUGGCCAAUGCAUAUACGAGGUCCCCAACUAAACGGGAAGAAUGCGACUCGGCCCUUUGUUGCCUUUGAGACUCCAUCAGCAAACCUCUCUGGUUUAAACUCCUCCACAUCAUCGCCCCAUAUUUCAGGGUCAUGGUGCAGCAACAUUACUGGUAAUGAUACCAACACUCCUGCUGGAAGAGAUAAAUUACCCAAUUGAGUUUCUCCAGCAGCUCUUCGAAAGAGUGCAGGCACUGGUGGGUAGAGUCUGAGAACCUCGUGCAGUAUCAUGGUGAUCUAUAACAAAAGAUAAACGCACUCAGACUUUACACUGACGAGAUCAUACUAUAGAGUUAACUUCCAAUUUUGACUAACAAGUGCAAAUAAAGACACUGUACAGUUCCAUUAGGUUCAUUUGAACAUUUUCUUUAAUCAAGACACUGUAUGGUGCACAUGAGUUUGAGGUUGGUUUCACAUAUACGAUGGUGUCAGAGCAAUGGAAACGAGAGCUUGCAGACAGUAGUUACCAAUUUUAGGUGAUUUAGUCCGUCAAAAUCUGGUUUAUCAGUGCCAAAGAGUUGCAAAACCUCUUCUCUAGCACGCAUCUGCCACUCUGGAUACCUACUCAAUAAGAUCAUAGUCCAUACAAGCAGCACUGAGGUGGUCUCCUGCCCAGCGAAAUAGAACAGUUUGCAUUCUUCAAUAACCUCUAGAACUGUCAUGCCAAAAUUCUUGUUGCCAUGAUGAUCAAUUUCUUUAGAGUUGGAUUCCAGUAAUAUGCCCAGUAAGUCAUCAUCACAGGCUUUCGCUGCUUUCAUUGCCUUCAAUCUAGCAUUUAUAAUAUCUUUAAUAGAUUCUUGAACAUCUCUUGCAAUUUGUUUCAUUCUUGUAUUCCUCUUGGUUGGAAUGAACCUGAAAAGAGCAUAAUUUGGCAAACAAGCAACAAAAACUUAAAUGUCACCACAUCAAUAUUGGCUAAAGGGAUCCAAACAAAUUACAGUUCUAAAUCAUUUGAAGUCAGAAGUUUCUUUAGGAUAGAACAGGCAGUGAGGUGGAAAAAUUGUACCGCCAUCCUGGGAUGUAUAAUGAUCGUGCAGCCUCAAUGAAAUGCUCAGCCUGUUCUCUUUGAAGUUCGAAUAUUCUUGAUCCUUCUUUGUAGUUACUACCAAAUGCCGUCCGUGAAAUUGCAUCACAAGUCAGAGUCUGAAGAUCCGGCCAAACAUCCAACUCAGAGGAGCCAUUGGAUGAAACAAUAUCCUCCCACUUGCACAUCAUCUCACUAGCACUUGUAUAAAAUGACGGGAGCAUGUGCUAUAGGCAAGAGAACCAAAAAAGGGAAAAAUAAGUCAGUAUUACUGCUAUUCCACUGGUAAGAAUUAUCAGUUCAUUCUAUCAAUCAGUAACCACUUUUGAUUUUGCUUUUCUUGCAACAGAUAUUAACCACUUGAUCGAAGCCAAACACAUUCAUUUCAGCUAAAAUUUAUAUAUAUAUAUAUAUAUAUAUAUAGUUUCAAAGAUUUAUUUUAUGAAAACCUGACAUCACACAGCUUAUUACUUAUCAUGCUACAAUUCACUAAAUAAUUGAAAUAAAAUCAGGGAAAACAAAACCUUCAACUUCUCCACAUGGAAAGCAGGAUUGAUGAGUUUUCUAUGUUUAGUCCAUUUAUCUCCAUUAUAGCUCGCCAGCCCUUGUACCAGCAAUUUUAGGAGUGGAUGACUAUGAGGUCUUUGAAAGAUGUAAACCUUUUGUGUGACCUCCCUUAUGUGUUCAGGAUCCAUGAUUACCACCGUCAGUUCUGUUCCCUGCCACAAAUAUGUAUGCUUACCUGCAACGCAUUCACCACUUCUCUUCACUUUCAUCUCAAGGAUAAGAAUUUAUCUUUCCAUAUAAUUAUCAAAAAAUCAAGUGUACUCAGCUUUGUGCCAUACUAUCUAUGUGUUUCUCUUCUUCCGUUUCACACAAUAAAGAUAUUGGCAUAAAGGGGUAUAACGAGGGUGCUUAAUCCUGCUCGAACCCAGAAAUUAGUCAUGUAACAUGGUAUAUGGCAAGCACGUACUCAAAUAAAUGCAUUACUAGAAACUUAUGUCCAUAAUCUGAUCAUAUAUGUAUAUAUAUUUUUUGAUUAACAUAAUCUGAUCAUAUUAAAGGCUCAGUUUCGAAAUAUUUCUAUUCUUUAAUUUGCUUCAGCAUGUUUUGAAGUUUAUUCCUGUAUAAAAAAUUACAAUUACAAUUUAAUUCAGUUUAAACUCUUGGACAGUGGCAAUACGGUUUCAUUGAGAACCUUGAGUUCUUCGCCGAAUAAUUCAUUUUAAUGACCAUUCUAUGUUCUUAGACUCCAUAAAACAUAGUAGACACAGAAAGGGAGAAAAGCAACCCAAGUUAGAACAAGUUGUCUCAAUUGGUAAAGCCAUACCUCCCUAACAAUGUGCCAAGAAUAGAUGCAACUGUGGUCCCUUCCUCUUAAUGUACUUAAAAAAAAAAAAGCCUCGUAAAAAGUUGUUUCCUGUAGUAAAAGCAGGUUCCCAUCUACUCCUUGAUAACUAAAGAAAUUUCAUAAACAGCCCUCCAAUCUCAAUAAAACUAGUUCUAGUAAGAGUAACUAUCAGAAGAGAGAAAUAAAGGAAAAGGCAUUAUCAAAUACCCCAAAAAAUUAAAAAAAAAUCCGCCUCGAGUGUAGGGAUAUAAUUGUGUAUUAUGAGAUAUUUCAGCGCAAGAUAAGGACUAGCACGUGAAGUCCUUUCAGAGUGAUGACGAGAUGUAGCGGUGGGCGCAAGGUGUUAUGAUUCUGAUUGCAAUUGUCAGGUGUUGGAGUAUUUUUUUUAUAAAAUAGUUUAAAAUUAUUGUUCCGUCAGAACAAAAGUCCAAAUGUCAAAUAGACAGAUUAGCAAUAGUUAUAAUAAUUAUUAUAACAAUAAUAAAAUUAACUAUAAUAAAAUAAUUAAAAUAAUAAUAUAAUAAUACACAAAUAUAGAGGGCUAAAGCACGGAUAUUUCAUUUUUUUCAUUUUCUUUAAGGUGAUUCAAAACGCUGUGGAAGAAUUAAUUCCGCCGGUGCAGCAGAAUCUUUGACUUGUCAUCUCCAGAAUACAACAAUCCAACCACAUUUGCUAUCAUUCUCAUUAGAAUGCACAAUUAAGAGAAUAUAGCUCCACUAACACCAAUUUUUUCUUUUUUCUUUUUGCCAAUCUAUGAAAUAGAUAGAGUGUUUCUCUUACGAAUUAUAGCUCACAAAAUAUAAGUUGUUGUAGCACCUUUUUCUAUCUCAACGACACAUAUUUACAAGUGAAGAAAAAUUAGUCAAAUAUAACCUACACUAGUAAUAUGCAAGGUAAAUGCUGAAAAUUAUUGGCUAUUCCAGACACAUUUUAAUUUGAAUUAUAGAUUAUAAAAUUUAUUGUAAUUGAAAAAUCAUAAUUUCAUAUAAUAAAUCUUUAGUCAAAAAUCAUCCAAACACGUAAAUUUCAAAAACACUUACCAAUUAUUCUCCUUAUAACUCACACAUUUAAUUGAGAAUUUAACUAUUUUAUUAAAAUACUCCAACAGGAGGUUAAAACUUCCAAACUAAAAUCUUGAUCAUUGUAGAAAUUAACUUAAAACAAAACAAAAAUCAUUGAAAGAUAAAUAAUGAUCAUUGUACAGAUCUAAACUUGUAGAAAAGAAAGCAUCAGCUGAUUGAAAGAGAAGAUACCACUACAGUACUACUUACCAUAUUUCUUGGCAGCUGCAUAGAAGUGUGGAAUAACUCUGGGGACGAAGUCAUCAGUGAGAUUGAUUGGCUUGGAGAGAGCUUCUUUGAAGAGGGUUGAGAUCUCUUUGAAGUCUCCAUAGAGAAGUUUGUAAGGAUUUCCUCUGAAACCUUGCUCUUUCAGCCGCUUCUCUAGCUGCUUGGGAGUUAACCACACCUGGUUGAAUACUUUCCAUGCUAGCACCAAAAUCAAGAGAAGAAUACAAGAAGAAAGUACAGCAAUUGGGUUGUACACUAUCUCCAUUACUGAGGUGUCGUUAAGGUCGGAUCCGCCCUUGCCCCCAUAUUUAUAGUGGGAAGUUGGUUAUCUUUUUGAUGUCCCAAAAUGAAAUGUUUGGUAAAAUUACUCUUUAGGACCUUGUAGUUUGAUGUCUUUUCGGUUUACUUCCUUAUAGUUUUAAUAAUUAUACAUAACCUCCCGUACUUUGGACUAAUGUAUAAAGUGAUGGAAAUUAUUGGAGUCAAUUGAAAUAUCAAGAGUAACUUCAUGUCAAAACGAAAAUUAUUUGUUAAAAUUUAUGUGUAGCAUUAUAAAUUAUAAGGGAGUCAUGAGAAAAAAAGAGUUAAAUCGUUUGGAAACUAAAAUCAAAAGUCCUUAGAUUUAUACUUCCUUGGUCUCACUUUGGACAUUUUAUCUUCAUCCCAGGUGGCAAAUCAAAUUGUAAGGAAAAGUGUGUCUAAUCAUAUCUUUGUGGAUUUUAUUCUUUUCUUUUUUGGUAACAAUUAAUUAUAGUCCUUUUUAUAAUUCCGUAUUUAUAGUCAAUUUCAUUCAAUCUAUUAAUGACCCACCUUAUAUAAAUUUGUAUUAAUUGUGUCUUUUUAACUUUUUUUGUCAAUUAACUCAUAUCUUUUUAUUUAUUGUAUUAAUUGUAGCUAUUGGCCACAAUCAAAAACUUUAAGUCUUGGAGUAAGAGGUCACGGGUUCAAAUCUUGUCUGCUACUAUACGUGACUUUUUCUAAAUUCAUAUGGGUGCAUAAAAAUCGGAAGAAUGUUGUUCUGACAUGGGAAUGGUACAAAACUAUACUGUCGGGCUGACUCAGCCUAGCAAGAAAGAAAAAAAAAUUUAAAUGAUAGGUUGCCGGGAUGACUAAGCCCGGCAGCCAAGCUAGAAAUUUUUUUUUUAUCCAUUUGUUUUGGAGCAGCCAAAAAGGAGGAGGAAGAGGAAACUCUUGAUGAAUCAAUUCUUGACUCGGUGAUCAAAUUUGUUGUUGUUUCAGUUAAGCAAUUUCUAGUGGCCACGGCAUGGAUAAAGGGCCUUUUCUUGUAUGUUUCUUGGGUAUACUAGAUUGUAUACUCAUGCACCUGACCUUUCUACUAUUCAAGAAAAAUAGUCUGGCUUCAGGGAAAAAGAAAUAAAAAUUAGUUUGGAUGCAAUUUGUGUGUGUGCGUGUGCGUGUGCGUGUUCGUGUUCAUUUUUUUUUUUUUUUUUCCAUGUAGUUUUUAAUGGCAUUUUUAACUGUGGUUUUAGGUCAUUUUUAGCUGUGAUCAUUUGGUUGCGGCAAAACAGCCAGAUAUAUUCUCUAUCUUAGCAAUGGUUAGUAUAUACUACUUAUAGUAGAUUAUUUCUUGAAUUUUAUUUAAGUGAUAUUAGUCUUAAAAUUAGUAAGGAUUUUGACGAAUUGAUGGUCAGCAUAUUUUCUCUUUUGGGUAAAUUAUUGAAUUUUUAUUUUCAGUUUAUUUCAAUCAAUAUGGAUGGCUACAUGGUGGCAACGGAUGUGGAAACGGAGCCAGAGGUUUAAGAAAAAAGCUACCUUGCUAACUGGGAAAAAAGAGACCCCAUUGAAGUAGCUGCCUACUGUUAUAAAGUGAUGGAAAUUAUUGGAGUCAAUUGAAAUAUCAAGAGUAACUUCAUGUCAAAACGAAAAUUACUUGUUAAAGUUUAUGUGUAGCAUUAUAAAUUAUAAGGGAGUCAUGUGAAAAAAAGAGUUAAACCGUUGGAAACUAAAAUAAAAAAUCCUUAGAUUUAUACUUCCUUGGUCUCACUUUGGACAUUUUAUCUUCAUCCCAUGUGGCAAAUCAAAUUGUAAGGAAAAGUGUGUCUAAUCAUAUCUUUGUGGAUUUUAUUCUUUUCUUUUUUUGGUAACAAUUAAUUAUAGUCCUUUUUGUAAUUCCGUAUUUAUAGUCAAUUUCAUCCAAUCUAUUAAUGACCCACCUUAUAUAAAUUUGUAUUAAUUGUAUCUUUUUAAAUUUUUUUGUCAAUUAACUCAUAUCUUUUUAUUAAUUGUAGCUAUUGGCCACAACAAAAAACUUUAAAUCUUGAGAGUGGGAGGUCAGGGGUUCAAACAUUGUCUGCUACUAUAUGUGAUUUUUUCUAAAUCCAUACAGGUGCAUAAAAAUCGGAAGAGUGUUGUUCUAACAUGGGUAUGGUACGAACCUGUUGAGUUGACUUAGCCAGCAGGAAAGAAAAAUUUUUUUUUAAAUGAUAGGUUGCCGGGAUGACUAAGCCCGGCAGCCAAGCUAGAAAAUUUUUUUCUAUCCAUUUGUUUUGGAGCAGCCAAAAAGGAGGAGGAAGAGGAAACUCAUGAUGAAUCAAUUCUUGACCCGGUGAUCAAAUUUGUAGCUGAUUCAGUUAAGCAAUUUCUAGUGGCCACGGCAUGGAUAAAGGGCCUUUUCUUGUAUGUUUCUUGGGUAUACUAGAUUGUAUACUCAUGCUACCUGACCUUUCUACAAUUCAAGAAAAAUAGUCUGGCUUCAGGGAAAAAGAAAUGAAAAUUAGUUUGGAUGUAAUUUGUGUGUGUGCGUGUUCGUGUUUUUUUUUUUUUUCAUGUAGAUUUUAAUGGCAUUUUUAACUGUGGUUAUAGGUCAUUUUUAGCUGUGAUCAUUUGGUUACGGCAAAUGAUCUGGGGUUGUGCGCUAGUAUCUGCCUGCAUUUCUUUGGUCCUGUUCGGUUACGUGAUGAUUUUUUUUCUUUUGAGGGUGUUACUUGAUGAAAAUGAUAGGGUGUUAAUUGUUAGUAAUUUUAUUGUUAAUUUUCCCUUUUAUCCUUGCCAAAUAUUGUUUUAAUUAUUAAUAUUUACUUAUAUUUGGUAUUGGAUCCAAUUUCAGGGAGUGAAGCAGAAAACUACAAAAAAGGAGGGACUUUCUGAAGAUAAUUGAGACUUCAAAUAAGCCACAGACCUGGCCCACAUGGUGAUAGACGCGGACUGCAUUUCUUUUUUGCGAAUUAGGAGUAUCUUGGAGUGUUGAAGUGUUUGACUAUCAAGAGGAAACUAAAGAAAGAAGGACUUCAGAGAACUUCACUUUAUGUACACUCCUUUCUCAAUUUGUGCGGGGACCACGGAGAGAAGAAAGGCAUUAGUCAUUUGAAUUGAAAGGAAACAAACGUGCAAAGAGUUGUUUUUGUUCCUUAUUCGUGGGGACCACUGGUUAGAUAGCUUUAGUCAUUUCCUUUUGGCUAUAUAAGGACAACCGAAAGAAAGGCUACGGAGAGUUUUUUAGCAUAGUUUAGUUUUAUUCUUUCUUGGUUCCUUUGAUGGCGUGGAUCUCAGUUAAAUUACUUUGAGAUUUUCUCAUGAGGCGUGGCUAAGUUUUCCUAGUCGAAGGUCAAUUUGAGAACUCGGUUUCGAACAUCUGUGAGAUCUAAUUAUUUUAUUUAUUUCUUUUAUUUAUUGGUAUUUGUGCGUUUCCUGAUUUAAUUGCUUAUGCUUGUUAUGUUAUUUGAAUGUCAAGGGCCCGAUAUUCGAAUUAACCUAAUGAUCUAAUGCUAAAUUAAUUGAUUGAAUCCGUAAUUGUUCAAUUGAUUAAUACCAGUGGCGACUAGCGUGAUUGGUUUCAUGUUAGGGAAACGUAUGAUCUAAUUUAAACAAAUCCUCGUAGCGUGUUUGUUGGUUAGGAUUGAGUUUUUCUAAUUAUUAAUGCAAUCAAGUAAUUAAAUCUUAUGGUCGUACCUAGGGUUAUUUCUUGGUUAGAGAAAUAGUUAACGGUCGUACCUUAACUAUCGAGAAAUUAAGGAAAGGCUGGUUGUUCAUCGCGUGUAUGGCAACUAUAACCAAUCUAUUAAUAAGUAAUUGAAUUAUCUUUGCGUCGAUGAUCAGUUGCAUGGAGCGUGUCUGAAAAGUUAUACCUUUGGCUAGAGUCAUAUUGGUUAUUGAUUAAUUUCUAUUUAUUUCUAUUAGUUAUUUUAUUAGUUAGUUAAUUAGUUAUUUUAUAUUCUCCAAAAACCCCCCAUACUUCGGAUUCUAAAAGAAAUAAAUUAUCCCCAGUCCCUGUGGAUUCGACCCUACUUAUCACUAUCUACAGAAAUUAUAUUUUGUUUGAGCAGGUAUUUAUUAUUGCACAGACUUGACAACCUGUCAAUUUUUGACGCCGUUGCCGGGAACUAGUGCCAGAUUAAUUUGUUUCUUUUUGAGUUUCAUCUUAUUUUUAUUUUAUUUUAUUUAUUUAUUUUUAUUUUAUUUUUUUUAUAUAGUUUAUGGCUUCUAACACUCCGUAUUUUGGUGAUAGACUGGAUUUUGUUUCCAGGGAAGGCAAUGAGGCUAGUUUUUUUGCUAAGUUUGCAUAUUCAGAAGUACUAAACUCUAUUAGAGAAAGAAUGGUUGCUGCAACCUGUAAAAUUUGUUAUGCCAGGGAUCAUUCAACUGGUAUGUGCCCCGAAUAUCAAGAUAAUCUUAGUGUCCCACUCAAUAAUUAUGGAGAUUUUUCACCAUGGUCUCAAACGUGGUAUAACCCUAAUCCAAACGGGUAUGAUCAAGGAUGGUGGGAUAACUCCAAUUAUAAUUAUACAACGGGGCCAAUGAAUUUUCAGCAGUAUGAGUCUCAAGAAUCAUCAUCUAUGUCAGGUAUGUCUCUUGAAGAAAUAGUUGUAUCAAUAGCUACUAAUACAUAUCAAUUCCAACAGGAGACACAAAUGAGAAAUAGGAUGAUGAAGGAUGCAAUGAGUAAUCUGGAAGAUCAAAUUUGUCUAUUGACAUCCAGAAUAAAUCGAUUGGCUUCUCAAAUGGAAGAAUUGCCCUCGAAAACCAUUGUUGAUUUUGAAGAAAAUAAGAGUGCAAUUUGUUUGACUAGUGAUGAGGAGAUACAAGAGUGUCAAAAUGAGAGAUCUACAAAUGCAGUUGAAAAAGAAGCCGAAAAGGAAGAAAUGGAACCCCAACCGCAACCCAUUUAAGUGAAAGAAUUCAGUGAAGAAUCAUCAAAUGUGGUGACACCACCUCCAUUCCCUAACCCGCAUUUUCUUAACUCUUACUCUAUAAUUUCUGUUGAUGAGAUUGAUUUUGUUAUACCGGAAGUUAUUGAGUCUCAUGGCAGGAAUAAGUUAAGAGUAGCUAUGGUCAAAUAUCUUGAACCGUCGAAUGCUCUUGAUGGAAGAGUGGAUGAAGAAUUGCGAUCAAUGCUUGAUUAUUUGGCGCCAUUAACUAGUCCAUGGAAGACCGUAGCUCGUGUGCUCAAAGAUUACUCCAUCUAUGAGGGUUACCAGGAUCACAUUGAAGAUGAAGUAUUGAAACGAGCCACAAGAUUUUAUCCUCCAUGAACAAGACAUAACAAUGUCUAGCCAAAGACAUUAAAGAAAGACUCUUUUUGGGAGGCAACCCAAUUGUUGAUUUUGUUAUUUUUGUAUUCAAUGUCUUAAAUAUGUCGUUUCUCACUUGGGUACUAAUCACUCUUGAUGUUUUCUCACUAUGACCAGAAUAGGUAAUCUUGGCGUGCCCACGCGAGGAGGGCACGCGUUAAGCGUCUAAAUUCAAGUCUCAUGGUCAGUGGACGUUUUACAAUCUUGGCGUGCCCACGCGGUGUUUGACGACCCAAAAAUGAAUUCAAAAAAAAAAAAUUUAAAAAUUCACAUUGAAAAAAAAAAGCAUUUCAAAAAAAAGAAAAAAAAAACAUUUUUUUUCUUUCUCUUCUUCUUGUUUUUUUUUCUUUUUCUUCAAAAAUUCAGAUUUUGAAAAUUUAAAUUCGAAAAAAAAAAUUUGAAAAAAAACAUUGAAAAAAAAAAAACCCCCAAAACCAUUUUAUUUUCUUUUUCUUUUUUCUUCUUUCUUUCUUUCUUUUCUUUCUUUCUCUUUUCUUCCUCUUCUUCCCCGCUGCUUUCCCUCUUUCCCCGUUUCUUUCCUUCUUCACCAGCCGCUGACCAGCACGCCGCAACCUCUUCGUGCGCUGCCAUCAGCUCCACCUCCACCAGCUCGCGCGCCUCUCUUCGCUGACCUGCUGCGCGCCGCCCAGAGCUUCACGCUGCGUAGCCCUCGAGCGCGGGCCUGCCGAUCUGCUCCACCUGCGCGCGCCCGCAACCACCAGUUCGCCCCAGCUGCCGCGACCUCCGCCGCCUGCCCACUUGCUUUCUUUUCCUCGCAAGACCACCGCCACCAACCUCUCCACCACAGCAGCUCCACCUUGCGAGCACGCCGCAGCAGUCCGCCGCCGCCACAGCGCCACUGCCCAGUCGCCAUUGCCGCCGCACUCCUCUUCCAGCCGCGCGGCAGCAUCGUGCGACACCUGCCCAGCACGCCGCCUCCUUCCUCCGCACAGCUCGACCAACCCACGCCGCACCACCACCGCCGCUCCACCUCAGCACCUCCAAGCUCCACCGCCAGUCUACAUAGCGCAGGCCACCUGUCACAUUUCUUUGACAGGUGGAGGUAUUGACUUCUUCCCCUGAUUAGCAUUUUUCUAGAUCGGAAAUUGCUGGAGUAUGUGUCUCUGUCUUGGGCGUUUUGCCGGAUAAAGCAGGGGAUGAUUUGGGCAUUUUUCUGGGUUUCAUUUUAAGGGUGAUAUUACGUUGAAUUGCUGACAUAGUGGGGAUAUUUUCUGCUAUUAUUUGAAUUUUUGGCCGGUUGAUUAAUUUUUCCCUGUGACUCACCAGUGGUACUGGUUGAUUAAUUUUAAAGUUUAAUUUCUUGCGGUUGAGUUGCUGCCAUUGAAUUUAAUUCUUUCCUGUCUGUGCACCAGUGGUACUGGUUGCAGUGUUGCUGUUGGUGGCGUCUAAUUGACGUGCUGGGAGUAUUUUACCUAUUGAUUUCAAUUGCUAAAUCUUUAGAGCAUUUGUUGCAAUUUUGGACUACAUUGUUCCUGCAUUUGACCCAAUUGGGGCCACCAGUGAGUAUUGAUUGAAAUUGCUGUAUUGUUGGGAUAUUUGUAUAGUCUCUAGGUGCCUGGGUUGUGCAUUUUGCUGAUCGGGUUGUCUACGAGGAAGGCACCAGUGGCUAUUAAAUUGUUAUUGUUUUGAAUUUGCUAAGUGGCCUCUCUCAUCGAUGGCCUCUGAUGCUAAGUGACUCCACUUGCGAGAUCAGGUUCACCAUACGGAUGAGCAAGUAACACAUAUCGCCAACCAGAUGGCUCCAAUGUCUAAGACCCUGGCCGCGUACUUCCAUCAUAUCUGUUUCACUCCCCCGUUCCCACCUAUCCCGUAGCCGCUCGAGAGGGAAGUUUCGUUUUCCUCUUCGCUUUAAUUGCUAUAUUACCUCUAUUGAGGGCAAUGUCGGACUUAGGUGUGGGGGGAACAGCUGUGGUACAGCUAGUAUUUCUAAUUUUUAGUUUUUACAUGUUUUCCUUUAUUUUUGUUAUUUGUUCUAUUUUUCGUUUAUUUACUUUAUUUUAUUUCUUUUAUUAGUGGUCAGCUCUUAUUUGAAUGCCAAGUUUUGAUGUUGGACUGUUGUCUCUAAUUCUGAUAUUGCCAAAUUUUAUUAAUAAAAGCGCAUCAAGUUGAUGUGGUUGAGUUCAGGAACAUCUCUUUGGUGAAUAUCAGUAAUUGCUUGAUUUUUCUAAUUUUUGGUUAACUUUUCUAGGCAUAGGGAAUGAUUGUUGGCAUUCUUCAUGUGAAUUGGUCCAAUUAUUAAUUUUAGUUCUCCAUGUCUGGAAAUUUGAGGCUGACUGCUGUUAUUCUUGUGUUGCUUUUAGAUAUCGUGCUAUAUGGUUGCAAAUAAGAUCGAGUUGACUGUACUCCGCUAGUGGUUACUACUGAGUAAUCGGGGAUUUUCACCUAAAGUGUUGAUUUUCGCGUCAAAAGGUAGUAGUUGCUAUGAGUGCGUGGUCCGGUAGCAAUUGGAGCUGAGUAACCGGGCUCCUCCAUCUGGCAAAUGUUGGAGUUCGCGUCAAAAGGCUCUAAGGGCUAUAGACUAAGUCUUUUGUUAUUCAAAAAAAAAAAAAUAAAUAAAUAAAACAAAAUAAAAUAAAGAUUGUGUUAGUAUGUGAAUAAGUCAGCUUGCCGGUUUGUGAUCUUAAUGUCGAGAUUUUGGUUAAUAGUUGGACCAUUUGCUGAUAAAUGUGAGCAACCAUUCCUUUUUCUUAGAUUAGUUUGCUUUAAAUUGGAGGAGUUGGUGGUUGGGAAGCUAACCGGAGUGGUCUUUCUUGGAUCUUAACUGUGAUGCUUGAUAUAUGUUUUUCUGGGUAUCUUGGCAAUAUGAUAGUUAGAGCAAUAGCCAUUGUCGAAUUUUUGGUGUUCAAUUGUUGUUCUUAUACUUGAGGGUAAGCAUGAUUUAGGUGUGGGGGGAAUUGAUAGGGUGUUAAUUGUUAGUAAUUUUAUUGUUAAUUUUUCCUUUUAUCCUUGCCAAAUAUUGUUUUAAUUAUUAAUAUUUACUUAUAUUUGGUAUUGGACCCGAUUUCAGGGAGUGAAGCAGAAAAUUACAAAAAAGGAGGAACUUUCUGAAGAUAAUUGAGACUUCAAAUAAGCCACAGACCUGGCCCACAUGGUGAUAGACGCGGACUGCAUUUCUUUUUUGCGGAUUAGGAGUAUCUUGGAGUGUUGAAGUGUUUGACUAUCAAGAGGAAACUAAAGAAAGAAGGACUUCAGAGAACUUCACUUUAUGUACACUCCUUUCUCAAUUUGUGCGGGGACCACGGAGAGAAGAAAGGCAUUAGUCAUUUGAAUUGAAAGGAAACAAACGUGCAAAGAGUUGUUUUUGUUCCUUAUUCGUGGGGACCACUGGUUAGAUAGCUUUAGUCAUUUCCUUUUGGCUAUAUAAGGACAACCGGAAGAAAGGCUACGGAGAGUUUUUUAGAAUAGUUUAGUUUUAUUCUUUCUUGGUUCAUUUGAUGGCCUGGACCUCAGUUAAAUUACUUUGGAGAUUUUCUCAUGAGGCGUGGCUAAGUUUUCCUAGUCGAAGGUCAAUUUGAGGACUCGGUUUCGAACAUCUGUGAGAUUUAAUUAUUUUAUUUAUUUAUUUUAUUUAUUGGUAUUUGUGCGUUUCCUGAUUUAAUUGCUUAUGCUUGUUAUGUUAUUUGAAUGUCAAGGGCCCGAUAUUCGAAUUAACCUAAUGAUCUAAUGCCAAAUUAAUUGAUUGAAUCAGUAAUUGUUCAAUUGAUUAAUACCAGUGGCGACUAGCGUGAUUGGUUUCAUGUUAGGGAAACAUAUGAUCUAACUUAAACAAACCCUCGUAGCGUGUUUGUUGGUUAGGAUUGGGUUUUUCUAAUUAUUAAUGCAAUCGAGUAAUUAAAUCCUAUGGUCGUACCUAUGGUUAUUUCUUGGUUAGAGAAAUAGUUAACGGUCGUACCUUAAUUAUCGAGAAAUUAAGGAAAGGCUGGUUGUUCAUCGCGUGUAUGACAACUAUAACCAAUCUAUUAAUAAGUAAUUGAAUUAUCUUUGCGUCGAUGAUCAGUUGCAUGGACCGUGUCUGAAAAGUUGUACCUUUGGCUAGAGUCAUAUUGGUUAUUGAUUAAUUUCUAUUUAUUUCUAUUAGUUGUUUUAUUAGUUAGUUAAUUAGUUAUUUUAUAUUCUCCAAAAACCCCCCAUACUUCGGACUCUAAAAGAAAUAAAUUAUCCCCAGUCCCUGUGGAUUCGACCCUGCUUAUCACUAUCUACAGAAAUUAUAUUUUGUUUGAGCAGGUAUUUAUUAUUGCACAGGCUUGACAACCUGUCAGAAAAUUAUUUGCACUAAUUAUGUGCAACUUCAUGGUUUCAUCGUCCACCAAAGAAAUUAAUCAAUCUUGAUCCAAACAUGCACAGAUAGAUCUGUUUUGGUUUAUAUUUUUUCCUGGUAAAAAAAAAUUUGAUAAAUAUCAGCUUCAACCACUGUCAUUAAUCAGAAUAUAUUUUCGAGAAGAUAAGUCACUUACAUGGCAUUUAUAAUGUUUUUCAAAUCUAUUCGAAUCACUCAAUAAGCAGUGUUAGUAACUCAUGUUUACCAUAUGACAUCUAGAAUCUUGUUGAGUGAAUGUUUCUCAGUGAUCUCUAUCUACAAUUGUAUUAUUUCGAGUCUCAUGCAUUAUCUAACUAAUAGACAAAGUGGCCAAGGAAAGCGUGUGGAGCUAAUUUUAGCCGUCCUCUAAGUGUUCCUGGCUCCCAUGUUGUCCUCUUCCUCUUUGUUGGAGAAUAAUAAUUAUAUAAUGCACUGCUGAUCAAUAGAGGACUACAAUUUUUAGUGGAUGAGUGUAUGUUGGAUUUGUGUCUAAUACAUUUGUGUGUUGAGUAGAAAUUAUUAAAUGCAAGAAAUGAUUGUAGUUGUUGGCUCUUGAUUUAAGAAAAUGUAUUAAUUCAUUUGAAAAUGACUUUUGUAUCCUUAUUCUUUUGGUUAUUCAAUCUUAUCUUGUAUUCUAAUGCUGUUGUUUGUUAUUAAAUGCUCUGUGUUUUUUGAUAUUAAAAGCCUUCAAUAAAUGUUUAUCCAUUUCAUUAUAUUAUCUACUACAAAAAAAUUGAUUUCUAUCUAGGACAUAUUUCUCAUUUCAUUCAUAAAGAUUUGAAUAAAUAUUUAUGCUACUAUUAAAAGGAAUUAAUCCCUAUGUGGGACAUGUAAUUAAUUUGUCCUUUGAUUAGUAAAGUUUUGAAUAACUGUUUAUGCUUGUCAUUAAAUUAUAUUCUAUUGUAGAAGGAAUUAAUGUCUAUGUUAAAAAAUAAAAGUUAUCAUUUAUAUUAUUCUUAUUAUAUAAUUAAAUGUCCUGUGAUUAUUUCGAUAAAAUGCUUAUCAUUAUGAUUAAUUUAUUUGGUACAGGCAACUAGCUUGUUUUUGGUGUGAUUUAUAUUAUUCUUAUUAUUAUUAAAUGGGGUGUUAUUGUUUCCAUAAAAUGUUUAUCCUUCUGAUUAAAUUACUUUGUACAAACAAUUAGUUUGUUUUUUAUGUAAAUAAUUAAUAUUUUCCUUUCAAAAUUAAAUAAUUUAUGCUUUAUAUCAUUUUCAUUAUUAAAUAGUAAAUUGUUUUUUUUACUUUUCAUUAAAAAUAAUAUGACGGUUAUUAUUAUAAUUUUAAAUAAUAAUGCUUUUCGCUGUUAAAUUAUUUAGUUUGAACAAAUUAUUACUACCUUUGAAUUAUCUUUUGAGCUUUUUUAAAUGGAGAAAAUUUUAAAGAAAGGUGUCAAUGUCAUUUUUGUUUAGAGCACGUCUUUCUUCUGUAAAACAUUUGUAUCUUAUUGUACCCCGCUCUUUCUUUUGGAAGCUGCGACUUCAUGCUAACUACUUCCUAAGUACAAUGGUCAUCAUGAUCACGCACAUUCUAGCUUCUAUUCUUAAUAAACUAUAAUUUUUCAUAUUAAUUAAACACAAUUCUUUUAAAUAUCAAUGCAUUUUUCCACAAUUCUUCUUUUUUCACUUUGUUUUAGUCAAAAUGUUUCUAUCUAUGCAUUCUCUAGCGUGUGAUUUCACUAUUUUAAUCAUUCUUUACCAAAUACUAUAUUGGAAAUCUAUUCCUAUGUAAUUUAAAUACUUGUUAAUUUGAACACACCAUGCCAUGAAGCCAUUGUUAUCCAAGAUAUUCUUUUCUUCAUUCAAGGUACAUGAAAAUUAUUUAUUCUUUUUUCAUUUUUCAGGUUCAACCUUCCUAGCACCCUUUGAGAUUGAUUACCCUUGAAACUGGUUCUGAGCAAGAAGAAAGCUGGAGAGCGAGCAGAUUAAUACAUACUCAGGCUGAAACUUUUGAACAAUUUUCUGAAAAACUCGUUAAAGUUCAACAUGCAAGAAUAUUGCACUGCCGGGCAGUUCUAGACAAACAAAAGUAAUAAUGGGAUUAAUUUCAAGGAAUAUCAAAUCUAAAUAAGGAAUUUCGAGUUAUGUAUUCAAUCUACAGCUUGUGCAAAAUCAAGGGAGCACCAUACUGUGGUUUAAGUGUUACCAAUGAGAUGGGAGCAUGCGAAUAGGAUGGUGAAAGUUUGAACCAAAAGCGUUGCAGAAUCAUUGCCAGCACCAGCUUUGCUUCCAGCAUAGCGUAACUUUGACCAAUACAAGAACGAGGUCCCCAACCAAAUGGGAAGAAUGCAAUAUUUCCCUUUGUUGCAUGUGAAGCACCUUGAGAAAACCUUUCUGGCUUGAACUCUUUCGCAUCUUCGCCCCAUAUUGCUUGGUCAUGAUGAACUAACAGGGUUUGUAUCAGGACUAGCACUCCACUGGGAAGAGAUAAAUUUCCUAAUUUAGUUUCCGCAGCCGUUAUUCUACCAUUGACUGGUAUGGGUGGAUAUAACCUUAAAACCUCAUGCAAAAUCAUAGUUACCUGAGGAAGAAAAAGGAAAUUGUGAGAUUUCUAGCUAGAUUUUUGUCAAUGUUAAUUGUGUUAUGAAACUUGCUGCACUCAGAAAAUUCCACUCAGAUUUGAGGAUAGCAGAAUAUGUCAUCUGAGUGAUAUUUUAAGUAGGAAUCCUAUCUUUCAUGUCCAAUUACAACAUCUGGUAAAACAGUUCUUGGUUUUUUUGCUUCCAUUUCCUGUAGAGUUAUAUUCUUGAACUCAAAACACUUGAGGCAUGCUUGAAUUCUGCUUCGGAGGUAAUAAUAAGGAUGUAUGCAGAAGAACGUAAUGUCUUAGGGUUUCUCCAAAAGAAUGUGCAUGCAAAUAAUUUCAUUUUCAUCUGAAGAAUAUUCACCAACGAAUGGAAGAGGCAUAAGAACAAUAGUAACAGUAGUUCAUUGGGCAAAAUGUCUAAAGGCUAAUCCUGCCCUCAAGAUAAGUUUUAGUGAACAUGAAACUGUUGUCAUUGACAUUUUUGUUUUAGAUAUCUCUGACUCAAUGGCAGCUUUCUAACAAAUUGUGUUCUGUGCUUACCAGGAAAAAAAAAAAAGAAAAAUAAAGAAAGUUGUGUUCUUUCCUCACAAAAAAUAACUAAUGGACCAAACAUCUAAGGACAUAAUGAAAUUUUUUUUAACUGCACGAUUGCUGAAUUUAAAGGUCAUGAGCUUUUGGUGAGUUUGUAAUAACAAGGAACUAUCUUUAUAAACUUGAUGCAGUUUCUUAAAAUGUUGUGCAUGUGUGUAUAUUAAUCUAGCUGCGCCUUUGGUUAAGGACAUCUAAUCUUGAAACUUGAGUUGUCAUGAAUUUAGAUGGCAGAAAAUAUGACUCCAAAAGCUUGAAUCUUAUCACAGUGCAAAUAGAACUUAUCAAUGCACUACUUACAAGUUUUAGGUGAUUCAGUCCAUCAAAAUCUGGUAUUCUUGUGCCAAAGACUUGCAGAACCUCAUCUCUAGCACGUGUCUGCCACUCCUGAUGCACACUCAAUAAAAUCAAUGUCCACACAAGCAGCACCGAAGUUGUCUCCUGUCCUGCAACAUAGAAAAGCCUGCAUUCUUCGAUGACCUCUUCAAUGGUCAUGCCAAAAUCCUUGUUUCCAUGCCUAUCAAUUUCUUGAGAAUUUGAUUGUAAUAAUAGUCCCAAGAAGUCAUCAUCACCGAAUUCCCCUGCUCUUAUUUCAUUUAAUCUUGAAUUAAUGAUUUCUCUAAUUGAAUCAGUAACAUCUUUGAAAAUUUGUCCCAUUCUCCUAUUUCUUUUAGUUGGCAAGAACCUGCACAAAAACCUAAGUUGCAGUUAAAGACAAUUUCUCUUGCCAGGGUCAAUGUUUAUGAUCAAUUUGAGAUGAACUGCAGGAGUGCAAACUUUCAAAAUAUAAAGAAUAUAUUCUUUUGCAAUCAGAGAAUUAACAAAAGAUUAACCUCCAUCCCGGGAUAAGCAUUGACCACAGAGACUUGAUGCAAAGCUCACACUGUUCUCCUUGAAGUUCAAAAAUCACCCUGCCUUCUUCAUAAUUACUACCAAAUGCAGUACGCGAAAUUGCAUCAGAAGACAGACUUCGAAGACUGGGCCAAACAUCCAACUCACAAAACCCUGUUGGUGAAAUGAUCUCCUCCCAUUUUCUCAACAUUGCAGUAGCACUUGUACAAAAGGAUGGGAGCAUAAGCUACGUGCAAGCAAGAACAAGAAAUACACAAAGACAAUGGAAGAAAAAUCAUAAUCAGUAUUGCAACUUAAUUUAGUGAUAAAGCUUCUUUAGCUCCUUCUAUCAAUUACGCAUCUUCUCUAUGCUUGUUCUUGUAUACAACUUGAUUAAGGUGAACUCAUCUCAUUUACAUGUCACCAUAUACAGAAAUUAUAUAACAAUUGCUUAAAAUUUCUGGAUUUGAAAAUUAAGUGAUCUUUAGUAGAAAAAACCAGACAAAUCAAUGGAUAAACCUUCAACUUCUCGCCAUGAAAAGCAGGGUUGAUGAGUUUUCUGUGUUUGGCCCAUUUAUCUCCGUUGUAGCUUAUCAGUCCUGGUGCCAGCAAUCUGGUAAGUUGAUUAACUACAGGCUUAUGAAAGAGGUUGAUGUUUUGCGAAGCCUCCCUUAUGAGUUCAGGGUCCUGGAUACAUACAGAUGGUUCUGGCCCGUACCAUAUGUAUGUAUUCUUUCCUGCAACAAGUAAAUUGCACCACUUGUUUUGACUCAAAACCAACACUUAUAGACGAGCACCAGAACAUCAAGAAAUCAAGAGUGACUUGGCACCAAAUGGUAGGAAAAGAGUACCAAUCUUGUUAACUCCAGUUUGCAGCCAGAAGAAAAAUGUUGACAUGCUAUCAAUAGAAACAUCAGUGGGCAAAAGCAUUAUUUUUUGCUGUGAUGGUCAGUUCUGAUCCUCACAGAUAUUGAUAUUUCUAUUCCAAAUCACAGAAAUCGUGAUGGUUUUAUUUAGCUUCCACACAAUUGUAUAAAAGACAAACACUUGCGUAGUGAAUCAAUAAGGUCAUUUAUGGAUGAUGCAAGCAGAACAUAAUACAAGUGCAGUACCAUGUUUCUUGACCAGAUCAAGGUAUUCAGGAAUGAUUCUUGGGACAAUAUCAUCGGAGAGAUUGAUGGGCUUGGAGUGAGCUUGUUUGAGCAAGGUUGACAUUGCUAUCACAUCUCCCAACACUGGUAUAUAAGAAUUCCCUCUAAAUCCCUGCUGUCUGAGGAGCUUCUCAAGCUUUUUGGGAUUCAACCAAACCCAUUUGAAUAGCUUCCAUGCCAAUGCUACAAGAAAAAUAGCAGAGGAAAGCGCUGUAACGAGGACGAUGGAGCUCAAGUACGCUGCCGGUGCUCUGUCCAUUGAUCAUCGGCAUUUGGUCAACUUCUCUCGUCUCGGAACCAGAUUAAUUAUUUAUUAAGUUAGACUGUUACUUAAACUCCCAAAAGUAUAUCAUAGUUUGCAACAUUUCCCCUGCAACUUCUUAAAUUGCAUUACUCCCCUUCAAAUUCUAUGAUAUGUUACUUUAGUGUUCAAUUAUCAAUGAUUGAGAAACAUGGUACAAUAUGUAAUUGAGCUUUUGAAAUAUACUGCUAAAUCCUACGAGUUAGUCAUGUUUCUAACUAGAAAAUUACUUAAUAGAAGAGAUAGUGUUGUUAACACUUAACAAAAAUGAAGACGAAGAAAAGGGAUAUUGGAUUUUGAACAAAAUAAAGUUUAGUACAUAUCAAGUGAUAUAUCCUACUUGACCAAUUGAACAGAAUUGUAAACAAGUUGUCCAGCCUCAUCAUUUCCUUCCAAUUCCAAUUUCAAAGAAAAUUGUAGAGUGACAGAAAUGAGAAAUCUUUCUCUCUCCCCCUCUCUAUCUCUCUGUUUUGGUUCUAAAUGAGAAAUCUCUUGACUUUCAUAUCUACCCUUUAAUUGAGACUCCAUUGCCUAGUUAGGAAAUUCUUAUGCUUUGUAAUUACUUUUUCCUGCCUAGUUUUCUCAAAAAUGAUAUUGAGUUAUACUACAAUGACCAUCUCCUGAUUCGUCUAGGAUAUUAGGAGAGAAAAAGAAAAGAUGAAAAAGCUAAAAUGUGUGGUAUGAAGUAUAAGAGAAACUACAAGAAUAUGUUAAGAGGAAAAGUAGAGUAGAAUGAAUUCGAAAACUUCUCAAUGUUAGACAAGUCACACAGCAUGACUCUUUUCUUUCUGGGCUCUCAAACCAACAUAGGGUUUACGAUGAGAAACCUCCCUUUCUUAAUUCUUCUCCAAAAUAGAUACUGAAAAAGAACUCAGCCUGAUGGUGCUUACUUCAAGAUUCAUAGGGUUUACGAUUUCGCUCUUUGAUAACUCUCCUUCAACAUUUAAAUUUAAUGAUUUAGAUUUUAACAUGCUCAAACGUGUUUAAUAACAAAAAAUAUAACAUCUUCAUUCAUUAAUUAAGUGUAUUUGAAUUGAAUUGUCUAGCCAAAAUUUAUUUUAAAAAAAUAUGCGAUAAGCUGUUUGCUAACAACUUGAUGGAGAAUUCGUUCAAACGGUAUGGCAGGACUUAACAAUUCAGAUUUCAGUUUUAUCAAAUGCAUUAAUUAGUUUUUGAACUCUGAAUACAAGAAUCAUAUCAUUACCUGAUAGUAACAUAGCUCCAGAAAAAGCAACAUAUAUCGUACAAAAUACUAACAUUUGGUAUUUGGUGUUAAGGAUUCACCCAAGAAAGAAAACAUCAAGAGCUUUCAUCAAUUGUACAUUUUCAAACAAUUGUAUGAGCUUUAAACAAAACACGUACCUAUAUACACGCAAAAUACAUUUUUAGGCAUCCCUGAGUGGAGAGCAUUUUGCUGUCAAACUUGUGUUUAUUCUAGCGGACAUAACAAGAACCAGACUUGAGGAUCCUAUGAGUUCAAUGUUUUCCAGCUUUACCAAAUCUGAAGGUCAAAAGAUUUCUGUGCGUUUGUAAGAAUUCCAAGUAUUAGUAGCAUUCUUUGUAGAUUUGUUGCAGGUCAGUGGACUGUCAUGCAUGUCUACCAGCUACAUCUUAGGCAUCAAGGACAUGUAACCUUGACAACAUUUUCAAGGAUUUAGAUGGAUGAUUACUGGAAACCAAAUACUAUAACAUUUCUGCAAAUCACUUACAAGUUUUAGACGAUUCAAUCCAUCAAAAUCUGGUUUGUUAGUGCUAAAGAUUUGCAAAACCUCUUUUCUUGCACAUGCCUGCCACUCUUGAUGCCCACUCAAUAAUAUCAAUGUCCAUACGAGCAGCACACAAGAUGUUUCCUGUCCUGCAUUAUAGAACAGCCUGCAUUCUUCAAUGACCUCUUCGAUAGUCAUACCAAAGUCCUUGUUUCCAUGCUUAUCAAUUUCUUGACAAUUUGAUUGUAAUAACAUUCCCAACAAGUCAUCUGAACAGGAUUCCCCUGUUCUCAUUUCAUUCAAUCUUGAAUUGAUGAUUUGUCUAUUUGAAUAAUCAACAUUUCUUGCGAUUUCUCUCAUUUUUCUGUUUAUCUUAGUUGGUAAGAACCUGAACAAAAACACAGUUCACCAAAAAGUUACGACAACAAUCCCUAGAUCGUGCCUGCCAGUCUGGAUAUCUAAUCAAUAAGAUCAUAGUCCACACAAGCAGUGCUGAGGUGGUCUCCUGUCCUGCAAAAUAGAACUGCUUACACUCAUCAAUGACUUCUUCGAUAGACAUACCGAAGUCCUUACUUUCAUGAUUGUCAAUUUCCUGAGAACUGGAUUCAAGUAGUAUGCCCAACAAGUCAUCCUCACAGGCUUCCCCUGCUCUGAUGGAAUUCAUUCUGAAACUGAUAAUUUCUCUAAUCGAAUCCUCAACAUCUUUGGCAAUUUGUCUCCUUCUUCUGUUCCUCUUUGUUGGCAAGAACCUAAAAAAAUUUCAAGUUAGCAUGCAAGCGACAUAAUUGCUUUACUACAUUGUUUCUGAUUAUUUCGAGCUACAGAACUGCAUUGCCAGUAGUAAAGGAUUCACCUCAAUCCGGGGAUAAACACUGAAGCUAGAGCUUGGACACAGUGCUCUGCCAGUUCUCUUUGAAGUUCAAUUAUCCUCUUUCCUUCUUCAUAGUCACUGCCAAAUGCUGUCCGUGAAAUUGCAUCAGAAGGCAGAGUUUGAAGAUGAUGCCAAACAUCCAACUCAAAAGACCCUUUUGGCGAAACAAGUUCCCCUCAUUUGCUCAUCAUUUGACUUGCUCUCGUCGUAAAUGAUGGGAUCAUACACUAUAUUGCAGAAAGUAAAUAAAAGGUCACAAAAAAUGGGACAUCAGGAUAAGAGUUCCUAGUCUAUUUGUGAUAGAAAUCCUUCGGCUGUUUGUGAUCAUUGUGCAUUUUAUCUUUUGUUUCUUUGAAAUUAGUUACUGUUCUUAGAAAUUCUUUGACAACUGGUCUUGGUACAAAAUCUAAACCAGAUCAGAUUAACCUCCAACUCCUCGAGAUGGAAAGCUGGAUUAAUAAGUUUUCUGUUUUCGGCCCAUUUGUCUCCAUUGUAGCUAACCAGUCCUGGCGCCAGCAAUGUGAAAAAUUGACCGGCAUGAGGCUUUUGAAAGAGAUUAAUCUCUGGUGUCACCUCCCUUGUGAGUUCAGGGUCGUGAACAACAAUUGUUGGUUGUGGCCCAUACCACAUAUAUGAAUUCUUACUUGCAAGUCACACCACAUUUCUGAUGUAACGUCAAAUUCUUAGAUCAAACUGAUAAACUUCUUAAAUCAAGGGUAAUUUGGCAUGAUUAAGAAGCAGAAGUGAUUACUGCAUUGAAUGUGUAAAGUAAGAAAAGUGUGAUUUAACCCCCUUUUUUUUUUAAGAAUAGAAAAUUGUACACUUUCUCACAUUUUGUCCAAUUCUUUUGUCACAACACGAUGUAGGAUUGAUUGCCCUCCAAACCGGUCAUUAGGAGUAACAAAACCUCCCCAUCUACAACCUGUGGUAAUUUCAGUAUUCAUACAAGUUCUGCACAAUUUUCUCAUCCACAAACUCAAAAUUUGCUAAAUUUCUAGAAAACGAUGAUUAUUGCAUCUUGGGACAGUAAAAUAACUCCCCAAGUACACAUUACAACCAUUUUACUAGCGAAACCAACAUUAGAUUAUGAAUGAUUUGUGAAAACACCAAAUCCACAUAGGAUUUCCAAGUUAUUUAGUACAACCUACAGCUUCUGCAAAAUCAAGUGAGCUCCAUGCUGUGGUUUAAGUGUGAUCAGUGAGUAGGGAGCAUGUGAGUAGGAUGGUGAAAAUUCAAAGGAGAAUCUUUGCAGGAUCAUCACCAUCACUAUUUUUGCUUCCAACAUAGAAAAAUUUUGACCAGUGCAGAUACGAGGUCCCCAACCAAAUGGGAAGAAUGCAGCUUGACCCUUUGCUGCAUUUGACACGCCAUCAGAAAAUCGCUCUGGUUUGAACUCCUUCACAUCAUCCCCCCAUAAUUCAGGGUCAUGAUGAAUUAACGCUAUGUGUUUUAAGAUUAGAAUUCCAGCAGGGAUGGAUAGAUUGCCCAAUCUAGCUUCUUCAGCUGUUCUUCGACUAUUGACAGGUAACGGUGGAUAUAGCCUUAGCACUUCAUAUAAUAUCAUAGUUACCUGUGACGUAACAGUAUGGAUUUGUACACAAAAGAAGAAACAUUAAGAUCUCCUUGAUUGGAUUUUCACCAAAAGCAUAUGCAUAAAGAUCAAUUUCCCUGUGCAAAAGAGUACUUACAACUUUUAGACGAUUUAGGCCAUCAUAAUCUGGUUUGUUAGUGCCAAAUAGUUGCAAAACCUCUUCUCUAGCACGUUUCUGCCAGUUUUGAUACCUACUCAAUAAUAUCAUUGUCCACAAAAGCAGCACUGAGGUUGUCUCCUGUCCUGCAAAAUAGAAGAGCUUGCACUCUUCUACCACCUCUUGGGUACUCAUUCCAACACCCUUGCUCCCAUGUUUAUGAAUUUCUUGAGAAUUGGAUUCUAGUAAUCUACCCAAAAAGUCAUCAUCACAGGAUUCCCCAGCUCUCAUUGCUUUUAAUCUUGAAUUUACAAUUCUCCUGAUUGAAUCAUCAACUUCUUUCUCAAUUUGUCUCAUUCUUCGGUUUCUCUUAGUUGGCAAGAACCUGAUAAAAUUUUAGUAAACAAAUCGUUACAUUCCCUUUUACAGUGAUGUUCAAUUAUGGUACUUCAGAGAUAAAUUUGCCUUGCAAGCAGGCUAAUUAAUGAAUUCUACUUAAUGUGUUCUGUAUAAAUAUACAAUCUUUACCUCCAUCCAGGGAUGAACAUGGACCAUACAGCCUUGACACAAUGCUCAAGCUGCUCUCCUUGAAGUUCAAAUAUCUUCCUUGCUUCCUCAUAGUUACUGCCAAAUGCAGUCCUGGAAAUUGCAUCACACGUUACCCUUUGAAGAUAGGGCCAAAUAUCCAACUCACAAGACCCUUUUGGCAAAACAAUCUCCUCCCAUUUUCUCAUCAUCUCACUAGCACUUGUUUGAAAAGCAGGGAGCAUGGUCUAUGUGCAAAGAAAAAGAAAGAAGACAAACAAAAGAAGACAUCAUCAGUAUUGCCACUUGAAUGGUAGAAUUUCUUGAGGUCAUUUUGUCAGUUAAGCAUUCUUCUUUUCUUUCUUCACGUAGUUUAGAACAAACACACUACUUCCAAAUUCAAUAUAUUUGGCUUAAAGGUCAUCCGGAAAUUCCUACAUAAGAGCUCAAACUUACAGCAUUUUCUAAAUUGGUUGCUGUUUGAUUAACUAGGAGAAAAACAAAGGACAUUAGAGAAAACCUUCAACUUCUCCCCAUUGAAAACUGGGUUAAUGAGUUUUCUGUGUUUUGCCCAUUUGUCUCCAUUGUAGCUUGCUAGUCCUGGCGUCAACAAUCUGGUGAAUUGGCCAGCAUCAGGCUUAUGAAAGACAGUAAUUGCUUGGGCAGCCUCCCUUAAGAGUUCAGGGUCCUGGAUGAAUAUAGCUGGCUCUGGCCCAUACCAUAUAUAUGUUUUCGUACCUGCAAAAUGGUUAUCACCACUUGUUUUCAAUGAAAUUAAAAAUUUAAAGUUAAUCACCCAACACUGACAAAUCACGAUUAACUUUGGCACAAAUCAGGAGGAGCCCGGAAAAAAUGAUCAAUCCUUUUUAACUCCAAUUUGUAGCUAGAAAGCAUUUGGCACGUCAGAUGACAAAAACAUCAUGAAACAGAUGCACCAUUAGACGUUCUGUAUCAAUUUAUAGUAAUACUUUCUUUGGCUAAUUUUUAUACUGUGCUAUUGACUUCUAAGAUAUUGGCCAAUUCAUCAGGCAUGUUAAUUGUUAUAGCAGAGGAUUACUUUCAAGCGGUCCAACUCGGUUCAAGUAGUACAUUUUAGGGUGCAAUAUAGGCCUCCACAACUAAUUAAUGGAUUAUGGGGUGCAAUUGACAGUUCAAGCUAACUUAAGUAUGUACUUAAUAUUGAUCAUGUACACAGCAUUAACCAUACUUAUAUGGAUAAAGUUAUUUCUGUCUCACCAACAAAACUAUCAAAUGUUUUAGACGAUGAUUUUUUAGACAUUCCCUUACAGAUGUUCUUCAAUUAUCUUUUCAUGUCAUGAACAAACUACCUUAAAAAAUGUCGCAGUACAUGGAUUAUUCUAAUUCUGCGAUGGGAUAUUUGACAUUGCCUCGCUUACCGGCAGGUCUUCAAUGGAACAAACCAUACUAAAAUACCAGAAAAACAAAAAGGAUUCAAUUUACUCUGCUUUUCUCUCUGGUUUUUCUAGAUUUUUUAUACAAUAAACUGGUAAAAGAAGGCAUCUUAUAUAAAAACAGAGGAAGCAUAACCGAGGCAUUUUGGUUCCGAGCGUUGACUUUUUCCUCGACAACGAGCUAUCAGGAUGCAACCAACACAAAUAGAUAAGAAUGAGGGAGAUUACAAGAACAUACCAUAUUUUUGGACAAGUUUAUGGAACUCAGGUAUGAUUCUUGGGAUAAUAUCAUCGGACAAACUAAGUGGCUUGGACCGAGCUUCUCUUGCUGAGUUUGAGAUGUCUUUCAAGUCUCCAAACAGAAGUCUGUAUGGAUUCCCUUUGAAGCCCUGCUGUUUGAGCAGCUUCUCAAGCUUCUUGGGCUUUAACCAAAUCCAGUUGAACAGUUUCCAUGCCAAUGUCAAAAGAACAAAGCAAGAAGAAAGAACUGCGAUGGAGCUAUAGGCUGACAUCUCCAUUAUUUGAGUUCUUUUGAUCGAAUCUUCGUCAACUUUUAUGGUAGUGUGUGUUUGAUUUAUGUCAACUUCUAUGGGAGUGAGUGUUAGAUUUAUUUAUAGGUGAAAAUUAAACUAUUAUCCCCCCCAAAGUAUGUCAUAAUUACGAAGAUGUUCCCAGCAAAUUAAAAUUUUGCAGGGCUAUUCCUUGAGAAUUGUGACAUAAGUUGGGUGUCAUUUUAAUAAUUUAAUUGAUAAGAUUGCAACAUAAAGACGUGGGAUGACGCUUUGGGAGCUAAUAUUAGUGUUUCCUAUAUAUAGAGAAGAUUAUUUGCAUGACUGAGAAUGGAGGAUUGAAAGAGAUCGUGGAAAUAUAAAAAUUGGAGAAUUGGUCUAUUCAAUUACUAGAAAAAGUCAAUCACAAACAUAAAUUUAAUUUGGGGAUAAUUUCAGAAAGGGAAAUUCGUUCAAAACGUCUAUCACAUUUUGCAAAAUAACUUUUUUCAUCUUUCACUUUUAAAAAUAUAAUUUUACGUCCCUUACAAAUUCACAUUGGUCAAAUUUGGUCUCUACUUAGGUUUCCAACUAAUUUUUUAUCGGAAUUCACCACGUGCCAUACACGUGAUCAUAUUUUAAGGGCAAAAUUGUCAAAUCAAAUUUUAUAUAAUUCGAUUCAUAAUCCCUCACAUUUUAUAAAAUAAAUUUUUUCGUCUCUUAUAUUUUAUAAAAUGAAUUUUUUCAUCCUUUACAUUUUUCAAAAUGAAUUUUUUCAUCUUUUAUUGAUUAUGUGUGUGAAUAAUUUUUUUUAAAUCCAUAUAUAUAUAUAUAUAUAUAUAUUUGAUUUCACCUGAACAGUACGAAUAGCAUGCGAAAUCAAAUAGAGAUAUAUUACAUACUAUUUGUACUGCUCAAGUGAAAUGAAAUAGAUAUAUGCAUGGGUUUAAAAAAGUUGUUAGUUUUGCACUUAUAUUCAUUUUCUUUUACUCGAAAUUUGAAAAUAAAGAAAACAUUUAAUUCUAAAUAUCAUCGAAUUAAAUUGGAUAGAAAAAGUAAACAAAAGAAAAGUAUGACAAAAAGAAAUAAGUGAUUGAUACUUUCAAAUUUUAAGACAAUCACAAGGCAAGUAAUUCAACUGUUGGUCUUAAAAGUGUCGAGUAGAAAUUUCAGAUUUAAACUGAAAUUUGUUAGCACAAUUAUAGAAUUCGAGUUAGGACCUAUUAAUUAGAUGACCUUAUUAUACAACUCAAUAAAUAAAUUAUUACUAAAAGAGAAAGGUCACAAAUAUUGAAUAGGUUCAAAUGGUGAAAUCAUAUAAAUAUAUACAUGGGUUUCAAACAAAAUUAUUAGUUUUAAACCCCUAUAUAUAUCUAUUGAAUAGCAUGUAUAUAACUACGAUUAGCAUAUUUAGAUGAAAUCCAAUAGAGAUAAAUUACAUGUUAUUCAUACUGUUCAGAUAAAAUCAAAUAGACAUAUACAUGAGUUUAUAGAAAAAAAGCUAUUCGUACACAUGAUCAAUGAGGGAUGAAAAAAUUCAUUUUGAAAAAUGUGAGGGAUGGAAAAAUUCAUUUUUUGAAAUGUGAGGAACGAAACAAUUCAUUUUGUAAAAUGUUAGGAACAAAAAAAUUCAUUUUGUGAAAUGUGAGGAACUAUGAAUCAGAUUAUGUAAAAAUUUGAUUUGACAAUUUUGCUCUUUAAAAAUGAUCACAUGCAAGUCACGUGGUGGAUUCCGGCUAAAAACUAGUUGGAAACCUAGGUAGGGACCAAAUUUGGUCAAUAUGAAUUUAUAAGGGACAUAAAAUUACACUUUUAAAAGUGAGAGACGAAAAAAGUCAUCUUGUAAAAUGUGAUGGACGUUUUGAACGAUUUUCCCUUUCAGAAAUCUCUCCUGAGAUUUUUGAUAAUUACGACCACCUCUCUUAAGGUUUAAAAAAUUAUACUCACCUCCCUUGAUAUUAUGAAAAAACUAUGAUAGCCUUCACAAACUUUACAAAUUUUAAGUGAAAAUAGUUUAAAAGAGAAAAAUGAAAAUUCUUUUUUUUUUUUGGUAAUACUUCUUUAUCGUAAAACUCUAACAUCAUCUAAUUUAGUACAUUCUACUUCAUUCUCAAUUUUGUUGACUAGAUUUAUUAAUCAAUUUACAAAAGUCGACCCACCAAAUAGGGAGGCAAUUGUUAAAAUAAGUAUUUUCAAAAAUUAUUUAAUCAAAAAAUAUGUCCAAAGUACCAAAGAAGAAUGCUUCUAGAACAUUGAUUAAAUUUUCCUACAAAAAACUAAUUUGAAAAUUUCACCUAGCGGAUAAUGGCGGUAGUUAUUUUUUUAGCAUUUAAUUUGUUUUACAUAUCAAAGUGGGGUAAUUUUGGAUAUUCAUGGGAUAUUUUUUCUUAUAUCAUCAAUUAUUUCCGAGAUAUAUUUUCUAGAGGAGGUUUCCAUAAUUUUUCAAAUCUCAUUGGAGGUGGCUGCAAUUAUUAGAAAUCUUAAGGGAGAUUUCUGAAAUUAUCCCUUUAAUUUGUUUCAAUUUGGUUGAAAUGGGGAUUUUUUUUUUUUUGUGCGUGUGAGGUUAAACAGGUACUCUAGCCCAUCCAUUUCUUUCCAAUCGAAAGAAAAUGAAAGUGGCGGAACAAAAAUAGCUUAUUCUCUAAGUAGUCUUUUUCUUUCUCCUCUAAAACCAGCAAACACAAGAUACUCGAAAAGAUUUUUCUCCGUCCUUUUUUUUUUUUUUCAUUCUAAAGCAAUCUAUAAAAAAUGCCAUUAUAUUCCAACUUCUCUACAUUAUAGUGUACUAGACUGGAGAAAGAUUUAAAAGGGUUAUAAUUAGACCAUUGGUAACUCUAGGUAAUGAAUUUUUAUUUUGUUAUAAGAUGGAGUUUAUAACAAAUCCUUACAAGGGAAAGAAAGAGCAACUGUUGAGAAAUAGGCAGAUAUUAAAAGAAAGAGAAUCGAUGUUUGGCUUUUGAGUCUUAAGAAGGGAGAAGAGAGAUCUUUUGAGCCUUAUAUCAUUUAAAUCUCUCCAGUGAAUUAAAACGAAACUUGCAUCAGCUAUGCCGAAGGGAAUUGAAUUAAAAACUAUAGUGCUUCUCGUAUAAGUAAAAGAAUAAUAAUAAUUUUUUUUUAAAAAAGCAUGUUAUAUGGCUUUCUUGUAAUUGCUGUUACAGGUGAAAUCAUGAGUAAUACAUGAUUAAAAAAAUAAUUCAAAAAAAUCUCAUCCAUACAAUAUAUCAACUAUUUCAAAAAAUAUUUAUAGUAAAAGUUUUUCAUACACAUUGUUACAGUAAAAUUUUUCAAAAAUACUAUGCCUGCAAAAAUAUAACGGUCCAUGCUUACUGCUACGGUAAAACAUGAAAACUUGGGCUCUGUAUGAAUUAGGUAUUUUUUUUAAUUUUCUGGUAGGACAAGUCCGAGCUUUUAUACUUUAAACAAGAUUUUGUAUGCGAAUCAAAGAAUCACGAUAAGAGCAGAAGAAAACGUUGGAAACAAAGCGGCUGUCUUAACAAGAUUUUGUAUACGAAUCAAAGAGUCACAAGAAGAACAGAAGAAAACGUCGAAAACAAGGCGGCUGUCUUAGCAAGAUUAAUCAUAGACUAACUUCUAAUGAGGUCUGUGAUUCACAAGAUAGAUUUCGAUGUUGAAGCAGACGAUUUGCUCUGUGAACUCCACCACUGUGUCAAUUAAACGAGUCUUUUUGUUUUGAUCCACAAACCUCGGCAUGCAAAAGUCCCGACUUGGUUUCCUUGGUCUGUCUGAAGCGGAUACAUAGUGGCCCUAUGUCAUAUGCGUUUGUUAGUACUUAGUAGAACAUAAAUUAGCCUGCUGAUGGUGAAUUGGGAGGCAAAAAAAAAAAAAAAAAAAAGCAACUUUGUGAAUAACGUCAAGUCCAGAAACUUGUCCACAACCAUGGAUUUGAGAAAGACUAUAUGAAACUUGAUAUAUAGACUUUCAAAGUGCAAGCUUGUUAUGUCUUGCACGCAAACUACUUCGAAAAGAAAAGAUAGUAUUAGUAAACAAUGCGAGGGAAAAUUGACAGAUUUCUUCUUUUAAAUAAACUAGGGAAGUGAUGUAGAAUUGAUGAACUAAAAAGAUUGGAAAAUAAAAAUUGGGAUCACUUUUUUGGCUUGUCUCUUAUCUAUCUAUACUUUAACAUUAUAGUCGUUGUCACACGGUUAAUCACUUUUCUAAGAUAAAAUUGUACCUCACCAUGUUCAUUCUAGAGGGGUUCAUUAAGGUACUGAAAAUAAGUUACGUAAAAAAGAAGUAUUACUAAGUUCCAUGCAUUAAAUGGUUUACAUGGAAAAAAUCUGAGCAAAAUUGUGAAUGAUUUCCUCAAAUUUCUAAUUCAAUGAGGAGGAAUAAUCACAAUUAGUAACACAGAACAACACGCUACAUCUUGUGCAAAAUUAAGUGAGCUCCAAACUGGGGUUGGAGUGUUACGGCUGAAUAAGGAGCAUGGGAAUAAGAUGGUGAGAGUUCGAGGGAGAAGCGUUGCAAAGCCAUGGCUAGAACCAAUUUUGCUUCCAACAUGGCAAAGUUUUGGCCAAUGCAGAUACGAGGUCCCCAGCCAAAUGGGAAGAAUACAACUUGGCCCUUUGUUGCAUGUGAGACUCCAUCUGCAAACCUCUCUGGCUUAAAUUCCUUGACAUCCUCGCCCCAUAUUUCAGGGUCAUGAUGCAAUAAUAUUGUUGGUACGGUCAGUAGCUGUCCAGACAGGAAAGUUAGAUUUCCUGGUUUAGUUUCUUCAGCGACUGUUCGACCAAGAAUAGGAAAUGGUGGGUAUAGCCUUAAAACCUCAUGUAAGAUCAUUGUAACCUGUGAUAAAUCAAAGAGACUGAUUAGAUUUAGAGCUACAUGAGAAGCCUCGGUUAAUCAGUAAUUCAAGAACAUUUUGGAUUAAGAGUUCUUUUUUAGCUAGGUACAUUUUGUCAUGGCAUUGGGUACAUAAUCGACUUACAAUCCUCAGGCGAUUUAGUCCAUCAAAAUCUGGUAUGUUUGUCCCAAAAUGUUGCAAAACCUCUUCUCUAGCAUGUUCUUGCCAGUCCGGAUACAUGCUCAAUAAGAUCAUUGUCCAAACGAGCAGCACAGCAGUCGUCUCCUGCCCAGCAAAAUAGAACAGCUUGCACUCUUCAACGAUUUCUUUUGUAGUCAUGCCAAAUUCUUUGUCAGUUUCUUGAGAACUGGAUUCAAGUAAUAAACUCAACAUGUCAUCAUCACUGGCUUCCCCUGUUCGCAGUGCAUUUAGUCUAGUCCUGAUAAUUUCCCCAAUUGAAUCAUUAACUUCUUUCGCGAUUUGUUUCAUUCUUCUGUUCCUUUUAGUUGGCAGGAACCUGUGAAACUUAAUCAUGUUAGCAAAGUGCCACAAGGGAAAAAAAAAAUCUUUGUUUAAAAUGCUUUUUUGCAUUUCAUUUCCUCGAAAUAUUAUUAUAACACGUUUUUCACUCACUUUUUGUUUAUAGGAUAAAUUUUGUAUACGGUCUAUACACAAGUAGAGCUUAAUGCAUAACAUAUAUGCAAAACAUAACAAUCAAAUGUAAAUUGUGAUUAGUUAUAAUAGACUGGUAGAUUGUAGUUAAACAAGUUUAUCAUAUUGGGCAGUGAGCAUGUGAUACGUGUAUAAAUAACUAAAUUUACCAAGUAUUCAGAAUUUGUUUAGCAAACCCAAAAAAAAAAAAUAUUCUUACAUUGACAAUGUAUGCACGAACUGAUUUAGAUGUAUAAUAAAUAUGUAAAACUUAGAAAUGAGAUUUAUAUUUUACACAUAUGUCAUGUACUUAAACUCGCUAAUAUAUACUCAGUAAAUGUAAAAAAGAUUAAUUCAACACAAUAUUGCUAAAGUACUUUACCUCAACCCGGGAAUAUACAUGGACUGUACAGCCUUGACCAACUGUUGGGCUUGUUCUGUCUGCAACUCAAAGAUCCUUCUUCCCUUUUCAUAUUUGCUGCCAAAUGCUGUCCUUGAAAUUGCAUCACCUGUCAUAGUCUGAAGAUGGGGCCAAACAUCCAACUCAAUUGACCCUUUUGCGGAAAUACCCUCCUCCCAUUUGCUCAACAUCUCACUUGCACUUUUGUAAAAUGCUGGUACCAUAAGCUAUAUCCCAAAAAAGGAAAAAAAAAGACAGAGGAGUGAUUAAAAAAAGAAAAAACUCCAUCAGUAUACAUACUUCCUAAUUUUAGGAAUCCUUAGUUUUUUAUUUUCUCAAUAAUUAUUUUUUUCCAGUAAACAAAUACGUAGGAGAAAAUCAGAAGAAACCUUCAACUUCUCCAUGUGGAAAGCUUGGUUGAGGAGCUUUCUGUGUUUGGCCCAUUUCUCCCCUUCAUAGACCAGUGUCCCUUGGGCGAGCAAUUUGGAAAGUGGAUGGAAUUGAGGCUUUUGAAAAAUUUCCAUCUUUUGUGUAACUUUCCUUGUGAUUUCUGGAUCCAUGAUUAGCAUCGUUGGUUUUGGCCCAAACCAUAAAUAGGCAUUCUUUCCUACAAAUCCAAAUAUAUAUCACACAAAUCAACCGAAAUUCAAAGCAACAAUCCGUACUAAUUAUGCUAGAGUAAUUGACUAAUGGGGUAAAUAUAGUUUAGGCAUAUGGGGUGCAUAUGGGUGUGGUCCAAAACUUGACCCUCAGGUCCCUAAUCUGACUCAAGAUUGUAGAAUCGUACGAUAAUUUAAAACUAAUUUUCGAUCCUACUAACAAUCUGGAUCGUUAGCCUUGAUCCGAAUCAUAGGAUCGUACCAAUCAUACGAUAUCCACAUCGCGAUCCUAACAACUAUGAUCCGACUCUCAAACAUUCACCUUUCCCAUUGAUAAGUAAUGAAGUCUGUCAUGAACCAAAAGACAAAAAAAAAAAGGGAACUCUAGGGUGCAACUCAAGCGAUAUUUUUAUGUGGGGUGCAGUCUAAAAUUUCUAUUUAAAGGAAAUGUGAAUUCUCCAUUAGCAGAGGAGUACACCAACUUACCAUACUUAUUAACAGUUCCUAGAAAAUGAGGUAUAACUCUUGGUACGAUGUCGUCUGAGAGACUGAUAGGCUUGGAGUAGGCUUCUUGGAACAAGGUUCCUAUCUCUUUGAAGUCUCCAUAGAACAGCUUGUAAGGGUUCCCUUUAAAACCCUGUUGUUUGAGAUGCUUCUCAAGCUUUCUGGGCUUAAACCAUACCCAGCUCAACACUUUCCAUGCCAAUACUGAGAGAACAAGACAAGAAGAAACAAGUACAAUCAUGAAGCUGUGGGUUGUUUUCAUUUUGAAUUUUUUGGUAAUGUGUUUUGUGUUAAUUGUCAACCUUCUUAUCUCCAUAUAUAUAUAUAUACACACACACACAUUUAUACAGGGUGCUUGGGGUGAUCAGGAUUAUUUUAGUCAUUGUACAAUUAAAUAUAGCAGCUGAUACGUUUACUUGGAGAGGAAGAUGUCUUAAGAAAAUGGAACAAAUGUUGAAAAAAUUGGCUGUUUCUGCAUAACAAGGCAGACCGGCCAAUCGAGUUCUAGUAUUCCUAAUAUCAUAUGAAUAAGUGGAUGAGCUCAAUGAAGGUGACAAGUCAAGCAAAUAUGACCCUUAAUUGGUAUUUAGCAGUAACUUAACAUGAGAGACGAAGAACGUCCAUAUACUACUACUAUAAGAUCUCAAGGCUGAAAAAUUGCUUAACUCAGAAGGAUGGAAAACUGGAAAGAGUCAAUCCCUAUCUCUUGUCAUCAUGAUACGAAUAAGGAUUAAAAAUUUGGGAAAGGAUUAAAGGAGCCAGCACUAACCAAAGCCUCUGAGAUGGGAGCAAUUUAUUGACCUGGAGUUUCAUUUACCCAUCAACGGGCAUAGACCGUCAUUUCUUUUCAAAGAAUUUGCCUCAGGUUUCCAUAUCUUUUUUAGUUUUGGGAGUGUAAGUCUAUUAUUUACCAACCUCAUUCUUCUCCAUGCGUAUUUGUAAUGGCUGUGGCCGUCCGGAGAUCAUCAAGUUAUUAUAAUUGUUUUCUGCAAUCACAAGCUGGUCCAUUUUUUUUGGGACGAGAAAUAAGAGGAAAAAAAAAACAAGAACGAAGAAGAGGUCAUUUAUCACGUUAAAAAACGAAGAAAACUCGGAAAGUAUUUGUUUAGCAUGGCAAGGGUGACCAAAAAAAUUUUUGAUAAAGGAUCUUCUAUAACACAAGUCUCUAUUACAUCCGUAUUAUAGUCUUUGGUUCGUGUAAAUUUUGCAAUAUUUGGUGUAUCUGUUUAUUGGGUUAGUGUAAGAUGAGACUUGCACCAAAAAUUUGCAAGACUUGGCACUAACAAAACACAAUUUAAUGUAAGUUUUGAUGUCAUCAAGCUAUGUAACAAGUAAUUGAGAUCCUCGAUGUCACUUUUUCAAUGAUAAUUCAAUGUCAUUUUUAAAAUUAUGUCAAGUGUUUAGUUAAUUUAAUUUAUUAUGAAAUCUGAUUUUAAUUUAAAUUAACUAAACACUUAGGAUUGGACGAAAGAGUGACACCAAAUUGCCACCAGCUAAUUGACACCGAAUUUUAUUUUUUUUUAUAAUCUGGAACAUGCCCUGAUUCGAGUCAUUUUGGACUCGAGCCGAUACACCAAAUUAAAGGAAUACAUCACGGCUUCACAUAACGCAUCCCAAGUGAGUUACGAGAGUUUAAGUCCAGGAUAAGACUCAACCAAAUAAGUCAAUAAGAGUUCAGAUAUCAUUAGACUAUCCCGUGGGGACCCGAAUUGCUUUUUUUUUUUUUUUUUUUGUCAAAAGACCCGAAUUGCUUAUUUGGAGUAACAAGAACUUGAAAAACCAACUGCACACGUUGGGUUGCGCCUAACGUGUGUGGUACUAAUUCUUCGGGAGUUCCCAUGCCAUGUGUCAUGCCACGUUGGAUGUCUUGUUAGUGAGUGGGUCCCAUUUCAUUGAUGUCAGAGUGGCGUGUGGCACCCACACUAAUAGAUCCACAAGUCGGCCAUGAUUUGACAAGAAAAUGUAAAAUUCAUAAUCAUAAUUUAUAUAUCGAUUUCAAUAUCAUAUGUAAGACUCAUAAAAUUUUAUUUUAUAAUUAUAAAUUUAAAAGUGAAUUACAUUCCAAACAAUGAAAUUACAUUCUAUUGAAUUGAACAAAAAUCAUCUGGAACAGUUUUUUUGAUGACUAUCCGGGCUCUUGGUCCGAUCGAUAUUGUGUGACUGGGGCAAUGGAUAAUUAAGAAGUUUUACAAAAUAUCAAAUGUUUUUAAAUUGGUAGUAUGAACCAUUCUGAAUUCCCUAUUCAUGAACUAGUUCAACUUACGUUCGAGUUUUGAAUUAUUCAAACUUCCCUAAAUCUUGAGUUAUUAAAAAGAAAAAGAAGAGGAGAGAAAAAAAUGAAAGAAAUUUUAAUGUUGUUUGGAAGCCAAAAAGAUCUUAGUCUAAUGAUUAAAAUUUUUAAAUUUCAAGAUUUAGAGAUCUUGAUCUCCAAAACUUUCCCGCUUCUUAAAUCUCAUCCCUUCCCUACUAAAAAAUUUUUUAAAAAAUGUUUGUUUAGGAGUUUAGGAAAAAGUAAGAGAUAAUUUUAGAUAUCAAUGUCAAUAAAAUUUUUUCUAGCGGACAUUUAAAGAUAAAAUUAAUAUGUUAAAUUUUUUUUUUAAUUUUCGUUAUGCUUUCCUUAUCUUUGGACCGAAUUUCUUUUUUUUUUUUUAAGUGAGUAUUUUUCUUCUUUGAAAAAAAAAAAAAAAAAAACUUUAGCACCAACGCUAUCCGUCAAAUCAACCACUUCAAUUUCCUUUCUGUCCUACAUAUCUCUCCCUAUUCUUUCUUUUUUGGCCAAAUUUCCAACUCCCAAACUAAGCCUGAAUUCAUUCUAAAGUGGUUUAUAUAUUGUGGUGCAUAAAAAAACGAUAAAGAAAUACCAAGGCUAUGAUUUCUUGAAGCAUAGAAAAUUAGGAUAUUAUUGCCAUACAUACAACCUCCACUGAGUUUCUAAGUUCCACACAUAAAAUGGUCUGAUGCAAAAUCUGAAUGAAAUUGUGAAUCAUGUCCUCCAAGUUCUCAUUAAUCAGGAGGAACCCUCACAAGUAAAAUAGACUACAGCUUGUGCAACAUCAAGUGAGCCCCGAACUGGGGUUGAAUUGCUACGCUUAGGUGAGGGGCAUGAGAAUAAGAUGGCGAAAGUUCAAACGAGAAGCGCUGCAGAAUCAUAGCUACUGCCAAUUUUGCUUCCAACAUAGCAAAGUUUUGGCCAAUGCAUAUGCGAGGUCCCCAGCCAAAUGGGAAGUAUACAAUUUGGCCCUUUGUUGCACUUGAGACUCCAUCAGCAAACCUCUCUGGCUUAAAUUCCUUGACAUCCUCGCCCCAUAUUUCAGGGUCAUGAUGCAAUAAUAUCACUGGUAGUGCCAGUAGCUGUCCAGCAGGGAUAGUUAGAUUUCCUAUUUUAGUUUCUUCUGCAACUGUUCGACCUAUAUUAGGAAAUGGUGGGUAUAGCCUUAAAACCUCAUGUAAGAUCAUUGUAACCUGUGACAGAUCAAAGAGACUAAUUAGACAAUUUAUAGGCAAAUUAGAACAAAGCAUCAGUGAAUUGGAACGUUUUUUUUCAUUGUAUGAUUUGUCAUGAAAUUCGGUACAUAAUUGACUUACAAUCUUUAGCUGAUUUAGUCCAUCAAAGUUUGGCAUGUUAGUCCCGAAAUGUUGCAAAACCUCUUCUCUAGCACGUUCUUGCCAGUCAGGAUGCAUGCUCAGUAAGAUCAUUGUCCAAACAAGCAGCACAGCAGUGGUCUCCUGCCCAGCAAAAUAGAACAGCUUGCACUCUUCAAUGAUUUCUCUUGUAGUCAUGCCAAAUUCCCCGUCAGUUUCUUGAGAAGUGGAUUCAAGUAAUAAACCUAAUAUGUCAGCAUCAAUGGCUUCUGCCGCUCUCAGUGCCUUUAGUCUUGCAUUGAUAAUUUCCCUGAUUGAACCUUCAACUUCUUUUGCAAUUUGUUUCAUUCUUCUGUUCCUUUUAGUUGGCAAGAACCUGUGAAAGCAUAAUUACGUUAGCAAAGUGCCAAAAAGCAAAGAAGGAAAAAUGGGAAAAAAAAAAAAAAAAACUCUGUCUUUGUUUGAUUUGCUCUUUUGGAAAAGUUUCUUUCUCCCAACAUAUUAUUUUAACACGGUUUCCAACCACUUUUUUAAAUCACUCAUACACUACAAAAUCCAUGCAUAGCAAAAUGGUAGAUUUUAGUUAUAGCAGUUUUAUCAUAUUGGGCAAGCGAACUUGAAUUGUACCCAUAAAUGACUAAUUUUACUUUUUAUUCUUUUUUGGUUGUAAAAUGACUUUACCUCGACCCGGGAAUAUAUAUGGACCUUGAAGCCUCGACCAGAUGUCGAGCUUGUUCUCUCUGUAACUCGAAUAUCUUUCUUCCUUCCUCAUAUCUGCUGCCAAAUGCUGUUCGUGAAAUUGCAUCGCUAGUCAUAGUCUGAAUAUUGGGCCAAACAUCAACCUCAAAUGACCCUUUCACUGAAAUCAUCUCCUCCCAUUUGCUCAACAUCUCACUUGAACUUUUGUAGAAUGCUGGUACCAUAAGCUGCAUCCAAUAAUAACCCAUUUGGAUUCCUAUUUUCUAGAGUUUUUGUAAAAAAAAAAAUUUAUUGCAACGAUUUGAUGCAUACAAGGCAAAAGGUGAUUAGGUAAGGCAUUCACGAAAAAGGUCAAAAAAAUUUUGGAGAAAAAUCGCAUUCCAAACAAGGCUACGUAGGCAUAGGUUUUUUUUUUCUUUACAAUUAUUUUGUAUUUUCAGUAAACAAAUGUGAGAAAAUUAGAAGAGAAACCUUCAACUUCUCCGUGUGGAAAGCUUGAUUGAGGAGUUUUCUUUGCUUUGCCCAUUUCUCCCCCUCAUAGACCAGUAUCCCUCGGACCAGCAAUCUGGCUUGUGGAUGGAUUCUAACCUUUUGAAAAAUAUCUAUCUUAUGGGUAACUUUCCUUAUGAGUUCAGGAUCCAUGAUCAGCAUCAUUGGUCUUGGCCCAAACCACAAAUAGGUAUUCUUACCUACAAAUCAAUAAUACACUGACUUUUUUUAAAACCAAAAAAGAAAAAAACCUAAAAGUCAAGUUAGCAAUCAGUAAUAGUGAAAUCCGAGCUAGGUAAAGUGUCAAUCUUUAGAAAUAAACUUAGCUAUGUUAAGCAACUGAGCCCAGAAAUUUAUACUUUUUACUCACUUAAAAUCACUUAUGGGAAUCAACGAAAUGAAUUAGUAGUAGAUUGGAUUGGAUAACAACUUACCAUAUUUAUUAACAGCUUCUAGGAAAUGAGGUACAAUUCUUGGUACGAUGUCGUCAGAGAGACUGAUAGGCUUUGAGUUGGCUUCUUGGAACAAGGAUGAUAUCUGUUUGAAGUCUCCAUAGAUCAGUUUGUAAGGGUUCCCCUUAAAACCUUGUUGUUUGAGAUGCUUCUGGAGCUUUUUGGGCUGAAACCAUGCCCAGUUCAACGCUCUCCAUGCCAAUACUGAGAGAACAACACAACAAGAAGAAACAAGUGCAAUCAUGAAGCUGUGGGCUGCUUCCAUUUUGAGUUUUUGGUUUUCUUUCUUUUCUGGGUUUAUUUGUCAACGUCCUUGUCUCCAUAUUUAUAAAGGGUGAUUGGGAGAAGAUUAUUUUAGUUACUGUUGGUUGAAUUCAAUUGCCAGCUGUUGCAUUCAGUCGUGGUUGUGACUUGUGGACAAAGUAUGUGUCCUAGAAAAGGAGGAAGAAAAUUAAGUCGAAAAAUCAGUAGUUGCUUCAGCACGACAAGGCUGACUGACCCAAUAGUGAUAAUGUGACCAGUCCAGCAAAUCUAACCCUUAAUUGGUGAAUAGAAGUAACGUAACAAGAAAGACAAUGAUUGUAAUUUUCUCCGAGUUUUUGUAAAAAAAUGCAUUGUAACGAUUUGAUAUAUGUAAAAUAAAAAAAGUGCUUGAAAAAUGUAUUCGUAAAAAAUAUGUUCACGAAAAAAGUAAAAGAUUAAUGCAGAAAUUCCUACUACAUUAAUUGCUUUCUGUGCUCUACAAUUCCAAAGUAAGUUAAAGCAAGUAAGAGGAAGUCCAGCUCUAUGGUUAGAUCCCUUGGUUCACCAACUUGCUAAAUCAAGCCAACUAGUUAAACGCAACUUGAAUAGCAUUUUAUGUUCGAUAACAUUUAAAUUCACUAAAAAAAACUCGUUCAAAUUCAAUUUGACAAAUAAACAAGCCAAGUUUGAAUAAAAUUUGAAACUUGAUAAAAUAAUCAAAAAAAAUUGAACGCUAGAGUAUUUGAUUUAAUUAGAUCAUUUAGUGUAAUUUUAUAAAUCUCAAGAGAGGUUAAUGUAAUUUUACAAACCUCAAGCGAGAUCAGUGAAAUUGUCAGAAACCUCAAAGAGGCUUCUGAAAUUAUCCGAAAGUAUAAUUGCACAACAGUAAUAUUAACUGCAGUAGUAGUUCAUAAUGACUCUAUUGAUUUUCUUUAUCUAAGCAAAUGAAAGGUCUCUAUAAACAGUAUGUGAUUAGAUGUAAUAUCACUCUUCUAUACGCGAGAAAUAUAAUGUUAUACCAAUCUAACGUUAAUUUCCAAGCAAAAUUAAGCAUACAAGGGGCUUUAUGUCGGUGAUAGAUAAACUGUUGCCCCAAGGACUAACAAGUCACAUAUAGGCAUGAACACUAUAUUUUCCGCAGAAUCAAGUGAGCUCCAUGCUGGGGUCGAAGUGUUACUGCUACCCGGGGAGAAUGAGCAUAAGACGGUGAAAGUUCAAAGGAGAAGCGUUGCAGAAUCAUAGACAUCGCCAGUUUUGCUUCCAACAUGGCAAAAUUUUGUCCAAUGCAAAUGCGAGGUCCCCAGCCAAAUGGCCAGAACGCAAGUCGGCCCUUGGUUGCAUGUGAUACCCCUUCAGCAAACCUCUCCGGCUUAAAUUCCUUCACAUCCUCGCCCCAUAUAUCAGGGUCAUGAUGCAUUAACAUUAUUGGCAGCACGAGUAGCACCCCAACCGGGAUAGUUAAAUUUCCUAAUUUAGUUUCUUCGACAAUUCUUCGAGCUGUUGCAGUAAUCGGUGGACAUAACCUUAAAACCUCAUGUAAGAUCGUGUUGACCUAUGAGAAGAGAACAAAAAUUGUGAGAGUAAUUAGAUCUCCAAGUCGAUGAAAAUUUUGGACGAAUUUCUUUAGUACGCAUCUGCUGUUAUUAGUGCAAAUUUUUUAAAUCAAUGAAACGACCAUUGUUAUUUAUUAAAAAAAGAAUUGACUCACAAUUUUGAGCUGAUUUAGCCCAUCAAAUUCUGGAUCGUUUGCUCCAAAAUGUUGCAAAACCUCUUCCCUAGCACGUGCCUGCCAAUCGGGGUACCUGGAGAGGUAGAUCAUUGUCCAGACAAGUAGUGCAGAAGUAGUCUCCUGGCCAGCCAAAUAGAACAGCUUGCACUCGUCAAUGAUUUCUUCGGUAGUCAUACCAUAGUCCUUGUUUCCAUGCUUCUCAAUUUCUUGAGAAUUGGAUUGAAGCAUUAAUCCUAACAAGUCGUCCGUACGGGCUUCUCCUGCUCUCAUUGCUUUUUUUCUUGUGUCGAUCAUUUCCCGAAUUGAAUCAUUAACUUCUUUGGUAAUUUGUUUCAUUCUUCUGUGCCUCUUGGUUGGCAAGCACCUAAGUAAAUACGCGUAAUUUAGCAAUGGGGAAAAAGAAGAACUAGGUUUGCCACUAUUCUUUUGGCCCCAUUUUCAGAAGCAUUUGGGCGCAUCUCCAACAUUAAAACUGCCACUUAAAGGUAAUCUUUAAUUUAUCAAUCUUGAUCCUAGAUGAUGACAAAUUGUACGAAUAGUAUGAUAAGUACUUCCAAAGAGAAAAAAAAAAUGCAUGAUCAAUGUUAAUUAUCACAAUUUCAUUGAGCUAGCACCCAAGAAUUCAUGAUCAAUUUACCUAAGUCCUGGGAUGUAGAUGUACACCGACCCUCCAGCCUCGACCAUAUGCUCAGCUUGCUCUCUCUGGAGCUCAAAGAUCCUUCUUCCUUCUUCAUAGUUGCUGCCAAAUGCUGUUCGAGAAAUUGCAUCGCUGGUUAGAGCUUGAAGAUUUGGCCAAACAUCCACUUCAGCCGACCCCUUUGGUGAAACAACUUUCUCCCAUUUGUUCACCACCUCACUUGCACGUUUAUGAAAGGCUGGGAGCAUAAGCUAUUUAUCCAUAACAGAUAAACGUAAUCAAUGAAAGAAAACACUCCAUUGAAGGACAAAUGGAUGGAUUUGUCUAACAGGUGUCGAAUUGAUACUUAUCAAAAAAGAGAUUUCAGUUUUUUUUUUUUUUUUUGAAAAUUAGAAUUAGAUAUGCAUAAAGGGAAAAACGUACAUGAGACCAUGCAUUUACAUAGUAUUUUGCAGUAAAUUAGGGACACUAAUGACCCAUUAGAUAAAUCCAUAAAUGAUUAAAUUAGAGAGAACCUUCAAUUUCUCAAUAUGGAAAGCUGGGUUGAGGAGUUUCCUGUGUUGGGUCCAUUUAUCCCCUUCAUACCUCACUAUUCCUGGAGUCAGCAUUCUUCUAAGUGGAUUUCCAUGUGGCUUCUGGAAAACAUAUACCUUUUGUGUAAUUUCCUUUACUUGCUCAGGGUCCAUGAUCACCAUGGCAGGCUUCGGCCCAAGCCAUAAAUAUGUUUUCUUUCCUGGAAACCACAAUAUCAUGUAUUAUAAAAAAUAAACCACCUCUUUUGGCUCAAGACUAGAAAGUAUUGAAAAUUGAGACCUGAAUUCAUUAAGUUAUUGAACUAUUAAAUAUUAAAUCUGAUACAUUUAAAUACACAUUUAGUGAUAAGUGAAUAAUUUAACACUUAAUUUUGAGAGUCGGAUGUUCAAUUUUUUAUUAUCAAACCUUCUGAAUAUGUUAAGACCUGAUUCCAUUAAAUUUAAAUUAAACUAAAAAAGAGUCUAACAAAGAUAAAAGAAAUAUAAAGUGUAUAUAAAGUGCAUUGAGGGUGUCCUUAUCGUAGUAGCGAGUAGGACGCAAUAUCAAGCGUAUUAAUGCUAAAAAAAAUGGAUUAAUGCCAUUUAUGACAACUAUGAGCUCUAAAAUAUAGUACAUCAAAAAAGUUUGCCCCUUUUCGAGAACUGAACUUUUUAAACUGUUUAUGAAUAGUGGACAAAUAGUUUUCUUGACUUUCUACACUGUCCCUGACCAAACUGCCCAAAAUUGGUCUAAAGCAAUUGAUUGAAGCUGCCCAAAUAGUCUCUAGAAACUAGUCAACAAUGUUCAGCCCGUUUAAGUAAUAAAUAAAAGACCCCAGCUCUCAUAAUGUUGCGUGCAGCAGCUGCUACAAUCCAUCCAUAAAUGCCCACUCUCAGUAUUAAGUGCCUUUAAUUGUCUUGAUAACUUGUGUUGGGCCCACUUAUUAAAAAUGAAGAAAAAGGAAAAUCAUAUUCCCUCCUAUUAGUACUACAUUAUUAUUUUAUUGUAAAUUAUAUCUCAUUCAAUUUUUUUAUAACGUCACAAGGAAAAAGAGAAAAGAAAUGGUCACAAAUAUUCUUUUUUUUUUUUCUAAUCGAUAUUGAGUCAUAAAUCUCGUACAAGGUGUGGAUGAACAGAAUCUGCUUUUUAUUUUUCUUAAAAAAAAAAAGGGGGAAAAGAAAUCAUAGGAGGUAGAGGGAUGUAUAUUGAGGUGAUGAAGCAGAGGCGAUAAGAACAUACCAUAUUUCUUAACGGCUCCAAGAUAUUGAGGAAUAACUCUUGGUACGAUGUCGUCGGAGAGAUUAAGAUUCUUGGAUUGGGCUUCUUUAUGCAGGGUUGACAUCUCUUUGAUAUCUCCAUGGAGCAGCUUGUAAGGGUUUCCCCUGAAACCUUGUUCUUUCAGAAGUUUCUCCAGCUUCUUCGGCCUAAACCAUACCCAGUUCAAAGCUUUCCAUGAUACUGCUACUACUACCAGAAGAAGAAGACAAGAAGAAUACACAGUAUAGGUUGAUAGAUUGGCGGUUUCCAUGUUGUGUUUUUGUUUUCUUGCUUUUUCUUUUGUUGGUUUUCUUGUAAGAUUUCUACCUUUGUAAGUUGUGUGUAUAUCUACAUUGGAGUGGGGGCGAUGAUCUCAUUUACUCCACUUCGAGACAAAGGAAAUGAUUUAGAAAAAAAAAAAAAGAGAGAUGAUAAUUGUCAAAAGAGAAGGGAGAAAAGUUGGACAUCUGUGCUCAGCAAAUUUGACCUAGAUGAUGUUCCGAUAUGGCUGUGAUACAUCAGGUGGAGCCUAUUUCAAAAUUUUGGAUUUUAGAGCAAUUAUCCGGUGCAGAUAAAGCUGGCGAAUUUCGUUAAAAUGAGAAAAUAUCACAAAAGUGGUGUUGGAUUCUAAUUUAAGAAAUCGCCAUAAAUGGUAAAAUAGGAUUCAUCAAAAAAUUAUUUUUAAAUUUCAUUUUUUUUUAGAUAGAGGAAGUAAAAGGAGGGUUUUUUUUUCUUUUUUUUUUUUAUGAAUAGGCUUCGCCGCACCUCAAAUGAGCGGCAAAGCCUUUAUUGUAGAACAGGAUUGCCGCGCAGUUUGAGGUGCGGCGAUCCUAAUUUUUUAAUUUCUAAAAAGGAAUCCCGCAAAGCCUAAAAAUUCUUCAAAACACAUUUUUCACUGAAUUCCGCCAAAUUAUUUUAAAUAAUAUUUUAUUUUUAUUAUAAACACAUUUUUUAAUUUAUUUUUUAUAUUCUUAAUAAUUUUUUUAUCUAAUAUACAUCAUAUUAUAAAAAAUAUUACAAUAAUUAUUUUAAAUAAUAUUUUAAAUAAUACUCUAUCCAAACACACUCGCUUUUGCUUGCGACGUAAGGUCAAUGGGACUGGUUCGCCACGUGUGCCGCCAAUACUUUUAGAGCUGAAACAUGUUCCGAAAGGAGCAACUGAUGCCACCCUAAUGACAUUAGAAAGCUCUUCAGCAAAAGCCUUGGAAACUGCAUAAAAUAUUGAAAUUUCCACCAUUGCCUCUCUUGUCAAUGGCCAGCAAGUACAAUCAUGAAGCUGUGGGUUGUUUUCAUUUUGAAUGGAACAAAAGUUGAAAAAAUUGGCUGCUUCUGCGUGACAAGGCAGACCAGCCAAUCGAGUUCUAGUAUUCCUAAUAUCAUAUGAAUAAGUGGAUGAGCUCAGUGAAGGUGACAAGUCAAGCAAAUAUGACCCUUAAUUGGUAUUUAGCAGUAAGUAACUUAACAUGAGAGACGAAGAACGUCCAUAUAGUACUACUACUAUAAGAUCUCAAGGCUGAAAAAUUGCUUAACUCAGAAGGAUGGAAAACUGGAAAGAGUCAAGCCCUAUCUCUUGUCAUCAUGAUACGAAUAAGGAUUAAAAAUUUGGGAAAGGAUUAAAGGAGCCAGCACUAACCAAAGCCUCUGAGAUGGUAGCAAUUGGCCUGGAGUUCAUUUAAUCAUCAACGGGCAUAGACCAUGAUUUCUUUUCAAAGAAUUUGCCUCAGGUUUCCAUAUCUUUUUUAGUUUUGGGAGUGUAAGUCUAUUAUUUACCAACCUCAUUCUUCUCCAUGCGUAUUUGUAAUGGCUGUGGCCGUCCGGAAAUCAUCAAGUUAUUAUAAUUGUUUACUGCAAUCACAAGCUGGACCAUUUUUUUUGGGGCGAGAGAUAAGAGGAAAAAAAAACCAAGAACCAAGAAGAGUUCAUUUAUCACGUUAAAGAACGAAGAAAACUCGGAAAGUAUUUGUUUAGCAUGGCAAGGGUGACCAAAAAAAAUUUUGAUAAAGGAUCUUCUAUAACACAAGUCUCUAUUACAUCCGUAUUAGUAUAGUCUUUGGUUCGUAUAAAUUUUGCAAUAUUUGGUGUAUCUCUUUAUUGGGUUAGUACACGCUGAGACUUGCACCAAAAAUGUGCAAGACUUGGCACUAACAAAACACAAUUUAAUGUAAGUUUUGAUGUCAUCAAGCUAUGUAACAAGUAAUUGAGAUCCUCGAUGUCACUUUUUCAAUGAUAAUUCAAUGCCAUUUUUAAAAUUAUGUCAAGUGUUUAGUUAAUUUAAUUUAUUAUUAAAAUUUAAUUUUAACUUAAAUUAACUAAAUACUUAUGUUUUUUUUUUUUGUCGCAACGAUAGAUGUCUUAUAACCUACUCUAGUCUAAUCUAGGGGAAGGGGCAAGGGGAAUGGUCAUCUAAGACCAACCACAUAUUGUGGCAAAUUUUUGUGGAAGGUAAGGGUUGAACUCCUGACCUCCAGCAUCACCAUUAAGGUGAUGACCACUGGACCAAAUGGUUAGUGGCAACUAAAUACUUAUCAUCGGAUGAAAAAGUGAUACCGAAUUGCUGAUUUGACGUAACAAGAACAUGUGUGGUACUAAUUCUUCGGUGGUUCCCAUGCCAUGUGUCAUGCCACGUUGGAUGUCUGGUUAGUGACGGGUCCCAUUUCUUCGGCACCACACUAAUAGAUUCGCACGGUUGAUUUGAUCAAAAAAAAAAAAAAAUGUAAGGUCUAUAUCAUAAUUUAUAUACCGAUUUCAACAUCAUAUAUGAAACUUAUAAAAUUUUGUUUUAUAGUUACAAGUUAUUAAAAAUGAGAUAAAACUGAAAAACCAUCAAGAAUAGUUUUCUUGAUGACUAUCUAAGCUCUUGCUCCGAUCGACAUUGUGUGACUAGGGCAAAGGGUAAUUAAGAUGUUUUACAAAAUAUCAAAUGUUUUUAAAUUGGCAGUAUGAACCAUUUUGAAUUCCCUAGUCAUGAACUAGUUCAACUUACGCUCUGAGUUCUGAAUUAUCAAACUUCCCUAAAUCUUGAGUUAUUAAAAAGAAAACAGAAGAGAAGAUAAAAAAAAAUGAAAGAAAUUUUAAUGUUGUUUGGAAGUCGAAAAGACCUUAGUCUAAUGAUUAAAAUUUUUAAUUUUCAAGAUUUAGAGAUCUUGAGUUCUAAUUACCUUUUCUGCUUCGUAAAUCUCAUCCCUUCCCUACUAAUUUUUUUUUUUUAAAGAUUGUUGUUUAGGAGUUUAGGAAAAAGUAAGAUAAUUUUAGAUAUCAAAUGUCAAUAAAAUUUUUUCCAGCGGGCAUUUAAAGAUAAAAUUAAUACGUUAAAAUUUUUUUUUAAGGUUCGUAAGGCUUUCCUUAUGCUAGCAAUUUCACCAUGUUUAAUUGCCCUUAUAGUUUGUGCAUGGAGGGCCCUGAACUCUUUAUGGUUGAGGCCCAAAAAGCUAGAGAAGUGCCUUAGAGCAGAGGGUCUUUCCGGGAAUUCAUACACACCAGUCUAUGGAGAUUUUAAAGAAAUGGUUUCGAUGAUUGAAGAAGCUUAUUCCCAGCCAAUCAAUCUUUCUGAUGAUCUUGUUCCCCGAGUUAUACCGAUGGUCACCAAAACCAUCAAGAAAUAUGGUAUAAUCUAUUGAAUUCUUAGUGCAGAGACUUCUUGAUAUUGUGAAUUUGUGAUGUAAGAUCAUAAACGAUAGCAUUUUUUUCACGACACUAUGUCGUUGGUUUCCUGUUUUUAGAAAUUCUGCCGGUGGAUAUAUUUUCUGUGUCGACUUCGUUGGUUUAAUUUGCUUAGCAUGUCGAUUGCAGGUGGCAAUUCCUUCAUAUGGCUUGGCCCAUAUCCUGCAGUCAUCAUCCUAGAUUCUGAAUCUAUAUGGGAGAUCAUGGUGAAAUAUAAUCUCUUCCAGAUGCCUCACUUUCACCCGCUUGGCAAAUAUCUGAUCCAAGGUCUAGUAGCAUCUGAGGGCAAGAAAUGGGCAAAACAUCGAAAGAUAAUCAAUCCUGCUUUCCAUCUAGAGAAGCUCAAGGUUUUACUUAACGUCUCUUUAUCAACUGCAAAGUCAUCUGUGUUAAUUCAUUGGAGAUGAUCUUAUAUUUUGAAUAACUGAUCUUAUGCUUAAAUAUUGAAUGAUCUCCUACAAUUUACAAUAUACUUCCCUUAUUUCCUGAUGCAAUUUUAUCCGCAAGAAGAAUGUAAAUCAAAUUUCAUCUGUAAAGUAGACAUCCAAUGCUGACAUUGUAAACCAACAACUAUUAACCUGAGAAAUUAUUUCUUUUCGAAAUAUAGCACUAACUAGGCUUAUCAUUCAUUCCUAUGAAUAGCUGAUGCUACCAGCUUUUCAUUUAUGUGCCACCGAAAUGUUGAGCAAAUGGGAGGAAAGUGUUUCACCAGAAGGAACCUGUGAAUUGGAUGUUUGGCCACACCGGCAGACUUUAACCAGCGAUGCAAUUUCUCGUACAGCAUUUGGUGGUAAUUAUGAGGAAGGAAGAAAGAUCUUUAAGCUUCAAAAAGAACAGGCAGAGCAGGUUAUGACUGCUGUAAAAUCAUUCUAUUUUCCAGGAUCAAGGUAAAGCUAGAUUUCUCAAUGCAUCUUCACGUUGUAUGGACAUGAAAAGCACACUACUUGCGGGAGUUUGAGUAUCAUUCCAGAUUGAAAAUUUUGACAUUCCUGAUUUCUAAGUUGAUUCAGUCAGUUUCGCUUCUUAUCUAUUGGUUUUUGCCAACUAAGAGGAACAGAAGGAUCAAGGAACUUCAUAAAAAAGUUGGAGCUGCAGUAAGAGAAGUUAUUGAUGAAAGAUUAGAAGCAAUGAAAGCUGGGGAAUCAAGUGAUAACGACUUACUGAGCAUACUACUGGAGUCUAAUCUUAAAGAGAUUGAACAAAAGGGGGAUAAAGUUUUGGUUUGAGCAUCAAUGAUGUCAUUGAAGAGUGCAAACUAUUCUAUUUUGCCAGGCAGGAGACAACCUCAUCAUUGCUUGUAUGGACAUCGGUUUUACUGAGCAGGCAUCAGGAAUGGCAAUCCCAGGCUAGGGAAGAGGUUUUGCAAGUUUUUGGGAGAGAUGAGCCAAAUUUCAAUGGCCUCAAUCUCCUCAAAGUUGUGAGUUCCUUCCAUAUGUUACCAUUGGCAUGAUCUGUUUGAAGUUACCUACCUGUUAGAACUUAGAAGAGUGCGUGUCUUCAAAUGAAACUCUUGAUUGCAGAAAAGAACAUUAACAUUCAGCUUAUUCUGUUCUGUAUACAUUUUUCAGUCUUUUACAGUAACACAGCUCUGUUAUGCUUUAGACCAUCACUACAUAGUAAAUUUCAGUAAUCUUCCUUUCUGCAUAGUUUAUGAUGACAUAUGGUUUCCCUUAUAAUCUUUAUUGCAGGUGACAAUGAUCUUGAACGAAGUUUUAAGACUAUACACUCCACUGCCUGUAAUUGAUCGAACAGUUCAGGAGGAAACUAAAGUAGGAAAAUAUACUUUCCCAUCUGGGGUGCGGCUCAUGUUGCCAGUACUCUUACUGCAUUAUGAUGUCGAAAUAUGGGGUGACGAUUCAGAAAAGUUCAAUCCAGACAGAUUUCGUGAAGGAGUAUCAAAUGCGACAAAAGGCCAAGCUUCAUUCUUCCCCUUCGGUUGGGGACCUCGAAUAUGUAUUGGACAAACCUUUGCUAUGAUUGAAGCAAAAUUGGCUAUGGCAAUGAUUCUCCAGCGCUUCUCCUUUGAACUUUCUCCAUCCUAUACUCAUGCUCCUUACACCAUAGUUACAAUUCAACCUCAGCAUGGUGCUCACUUGAUUCUACGCAAAUUAUAGCAUGAAGAACUUGUCAACCCAUACUAUAUUGAUUUUUAUGAGUAACCAUAUGCAAUUGCUCUAUCUUUUUUUCCCAAUCCAUACUUCGUUGUCAAUCCUUAUGCCAACUGUAACAAAAAGUGAUCCAUCAUUUCUUCUUCUUCUUCUUCAAUGGAUGUAAGGAUCAAGAAUAUGAUUCCAGUGGUGAUCCUUCAUUGAUCUCUAUAUUUGUCUGUGUAUCCGUGUUUCAAUAACUGUACAUGAGCGAGACAUUGUGGGAGUACUCUGAACAGUGAUACCUUUACCUGUUACUUGUGGUUAGGUAAUUCUGCAUCACCAUUCUCCAGAAUCUAUUAUCCAGUCAUUGACAAAUGACAAUGUAAACUUCGUCGAUGCGAAUACUUUUCUGUAUUAGUUUUUAAAAGAACUAUUUUGUAUGUGAAAGACCACUUGCUUCCAAGUAGCAAACCAUCUAAUACUUCCUGGUCUUAAAAAAGAAAAGGUCCAUUUCUCAUGACUCACGAUUUUCCUUGAUGUUGAAGGUUGUUAUUAGUCCCUACAUCACAUUUUUACAAGAUGAACCCUAUUCUCCAUUAAACAAAGGACGUGCAACUUGUACUGAAGAAGGUAUAUUGUUGACCAAUUGUGCCAAUGUGUCAUGAGAUACAGCAGGAAAAAUAUCAGUCAACAAAGAUUUAUUAAUAUUGAGAUAUAAAACCUGCUCUAGAUGGUAUGUUUGCAGGCUGAUUUCUGUUUCUCAUACUCAAAGCCUCAAACUCUGUGAUCAACCAUGACAGGGUUAACGUGUUGCACCAGAUGGACCAAUGCUGAUAAAUCCUUCUUCCUGCUAAUGAUCCCUGGCACUGGUACAACUGUCUCAGUACUUUCAAAUUCCAUAUACGUCAAAGUCUAAGCUCUGUACCAAUUCAGUCAUACCCCAACCGUUGCUAGUUCCACUGUGUCUCUUAUCAACACAUUUGAAAAGACUAUUUUUGCCUUCAUUAGCCACAGUUUCUCCCUUUUAUUGGGUAGAAUGAUGCCUACGCCUACAAUGCUACUUCCAAAGGCUCCAUAUACUAAUUUUAACCCUUUAGAUAUCAGUUUAUACGCAUAACCCUAAUAAGUAUUAUGCUGUAAAUCAAGGAUAAAUUACUAGUAACCCCUUAUGGUUUCACUCAUUACCGUAUGUCCCCUAGCAUUUAUCUCUCCCUUUUCUUUCUUUUUUGGCCAAAUUUCCAACUCCCAAACUAAGCCUGAAUUCAUUCUAAAGGGGUUUAUAUAUUGUGGUGCAUAAACUAAACGAUAAAGAAAUACCAAGGCUAUGAUUUCUUGAAGCAUAGAAAAUUAGGAUAUUAUUGUCAUACAUUCAACCUCCACUGAGUUUCUAAGUUCCACACAUAAAAUGGUCUGAUGCCAAAUCUGAAUGAAAUUGUGAAUCAUGUCCUCCAAGUUCUAAUUAAUCAGGAGGAACCCUCACCAGUAAAAUACACUACAGCUUGUGCAACAUCAAGGGAGCCCCGAACUGGGGUUGAAGUGCUAUGCCUUGGUGAGGGGCAUGAGAAUAAGAUGGCGAAAGUUCAAACGAGAAGCGCUGCAGAAUCAUAGCUAGUGCCAAUUUUCCUUCCAAGAUAGCAAAGUUUGCGCCAAUGCAGAUACGAGGUCCCCAGCCAAAUGGGAAGUAUACAAUUUGGCCCUUUGUUGCACUUGAGACUCCAUCAGCAAACCUCUCUGGCUUAAAUUCCUUGACAUCCUCGCCCCAUAUUUCAGGGUCAUGAUGCAAUAAUAUCACUGGUAGUGCCAGUCGCUGUCCAGCAGGGAUAGUUAGAUUUCCUAUUUUAGUUUCUUCUGCAACUGUUCGACCUAUAUUAGAAAUUGGUGGGUAUAGCCUUAAAACCUCAUGUAAGAUCAUUGUAACCUGUGACAGAUCAAAGAGGCUAAUUAGACAAUUUAUAGGCAAAUUAGAACUAAGCAUAAGUGAAUUAGAACGUUUUUUUCAUUGUAUGAUUUAUCAUGAAAUUUGGUACAUAAUUGACUUACAAUCUUUAGCUGAUUUAGUCCAUCAAAGUUUGGCAUGUUAGUCCCGAAAUGUUGCAAAACCUCUUCUCUUGCACGUUCUUGCCAGUCAGGAUGCAUGCUCAGUAAGAUCAUUGUCCAAACAAGCAGCACAGCAGUGGUCUCCUGCCCAGCAACAUAGAACAGCUUGCACUCUUCAAUGAUUUCUCCUGUAGUCAUGCCAGAUUCCCCGCCAGUUUCUUGAGAAGUGGCAAGUAAUAAACCUAACAUGUCAGUAUCAAUGGCUUCUCCUGCUCUCAGUGCCUUUAGUCUUGCAUUGAUAAUUUCCCUGAUUGAACCUUCAACUUCUUUUGCAAUUUGUUUCAUUCUUCUGUUCCUUUUAGUUGGCAAGAACCUGUGAAAGCGUAAUUAUGUUAGCAAAGUGCCAAAAAGAAAAGAAGGAAAAAAGAAAAAAAAAAACUCUGUCUUUGUUUGAUUUGCUCUUUUGGAAAAGUUUCUUUCUCCCAACAUAUUAUUUUAACACGGUUUCCAAUCAUUUUUUUAAUCACUCAUACACUACAAAAUCCAUGCAUAGCAAAAUGGUAGAUUUUAGUUAUAGCAGUUUUAUCAUAUUGGGCAAGUGAACUUGAAUUGUACCCAUAAAUGACUAAUUUUACUUUUUAUGCGUUUUUGGUUGUAAAAUGACUUUACCUCGACCCAGGAAUGUAUAUGGACCUUGUAGCCAAGACCAGAUGUCCAGCUUGUUCUCUCUGUAACUCGAAUAUCUUUCUUCCUUCCUCAUAUCUGCUGCCAAAUGCUGUUCGUGAAAUUGCAUCGCUAGUCAUAGUCUGAAUAGUGGGCCAAACAUCAACCUCAAAUGACCCUUUCACUGAAAUCAUCUCCUCCCAUUUGCUCAACAUCUCACUUGCACUUUUGUAGAAUGCUGGUACCAUAAGCUGCAUCCAAUAAUAACCCAUUUGGAUUCCUAUUUUUCUAGAGUUUUUGUAAAAAAAUGUAUUGUAACGAUUUGAUGCAUAUGAGGCAAAAGGUGAUCAGGAAAUGCAUUCACCAAAAACAUAAAAAAUUUUUGGAGAAAAAUCGCAUUCCAAACAAGGCUACGUAGGCAUAGGUUUUUUUUCCUUUACAAUUAUUUUGUAUUUUCAGUAAACAAAUGUGAGAAAAUUAGAAGAGAAACCUUCAACUUCUCCAUGUGGAAAGCUUGAUUGAGGAGUUUCCUUUGCUUUACCCAUUUCUCCCCCUCAUAGCCCAGUAUCCCUGCGACCAGCAAGCUGGCUUGUGGAUGGAAUUUAACCUUUUGAAAAAUAUCCAUCUUUUGGGUAACUUUCCUUAUGAGUUCAGGAUCCAUGAUCAGUAUCAUUGGUCUUGGCCCAGACCACAAAUAGGUAUUCUUACCUACAAAUCAAUAAUACACUGACUUUAAAAAAAAAAAACCUAAAAGUCGAAUUAGCGAUCAGUAAUAAUUGUAUUGCAACAACUACACACCUCCAAUGUGAAAUCCAAGCUAGCUAAAGUGUCAAUCUUUAGAAAUAAACUUAGCUAUGUUAAGCAACUGAGCCCAGAAAUUUAUACUUUUUACUUACUUAAAAUCACUUAUGGGAAAUCAACGAAAUGAAUUAGCAGUAGAUUGGAUAACAACUUACCAUAUUUAUUAACAGCUUCUAGGAAAUGAGGUGCAAUUCUUGGUACAAUGCCGUCAGAGAGACUGAUAGGCUUUGAGUUGGCUUCUUGGAACAAGGAUGAUAUCUGUUUUAAGUCUCCAUAGAUCAGUUUGUAAGGGUUCCCCUUAAAACCUUGUUGUUUGAGAUGCUUCUGGAGCUUUUUGGGCUGAAACCAUGCCCAGUUCAACACUCUCCAUGCCAAUACUGAGAGAACAACACAACAAGAAGAAACAAGUGCAAUCAUGAAGCUGUGGGCUUCUUCCAUUUUGAGUUUUUGGUUUUCUUUCUUUUCUGGGUUUAUUUGUCAACCUCCUUGUCUCCAGAUCUAUCACGGGUGUUGGGAGAAGAUUAUUUUAGUCACUGUUGGUUGAAUUCAAUUGCCAGCUGUUGCAUUUUGUCGUGGUGUUGGUCAUAGCCUGUCAACGGGCUGGGUUCAAGUCAGAAUUUAUUAUUAUUCCUGAUUCGGACCUGGCAUACGCUUUAUCCGACGUGUCUUUUAUUCUAUAUUUCAGAUCCGAAUUCGAUAGGUCUCGGAUUCGAGUCGGGUCUACCCGAAAAAAAUCUAUUAAACCUUACAAUUUCUAACAAAAAUGAGAAAAAAUUAUAUUUGUAAACUAUUUUUUAACUAAUACAAAAAAAAAUCAAAUAAGAAAAGAAAUCAAAUUGACCUUACUCAAAUAUAUUACCCUAAUCAAAUUAUAUUGAUAAAUAUAUAUAUUUUUUAAAUUAUUAAUCCAUUUAUAUCCGAAUCCGGGUCGAAUACGGGUCGGAAUACUAUAUUUCAUAUCCGAUCCGUUUUUUUUUUUGUUUGGCAAAAUGAAUCCGGACCGAAUCCGGAUAAUGGAAUUAAAUCCCUACUCGUAGCCGAAAUAAUUUGAUGGAUCCGGUCCGAAUCCGGAUCUAGAUUCAAACCGUUGACAGUCCUAAUUGUGGACAAAGUAUGUCCCAGAAAAAGAGGAAGAAAAUUAAGUCGAAAAAUCAGUAGUUGCUUCAGCACGACAAGGCUGACUGACCCAAUAGUGAUAAUGUGACCAAUCCUGCAAAUCUAACCCUUUAUUGGUAAAUAGAAGUAACAUAAAAUGAAAGACAAGGAUUGCAAUUUUCUCGAGUUUUUGUAGAAAAAUGUACUGUAACGAUUUGAUAUAUGUAAGGUAAAAAUGUGAUUGAAAAAUAUGUUCACGAAAAACGUAACCUUUUUUUGUUGAAAAAUUCCUUUCUAAAUAAGGUCUUAUUUAGAUUGUAGUUUUCUAAGAAAAAACUUUUACGCUUUUUAGAAGUAUAUUUUUAAUUUUUUUAUUUCAUGUAUAUCAAAUCGUUAUCAUACAUUGUUUUAUAAAAAUUGCAAAAAAUAGCAAUCUAAACGGGAUAAUAAUUCCUCCUAAGACUGGAAAAAUAGCAUGCGUGUGUGUGGAUGUGUGCGUAAAUCAAGGUCACCUAUAGAAUCCCAAAUCCACAGGGUUCCCCUCCCAGCUCAAGUCCUACAUGUGAGAGUCAGCCAAGCCAACAAUACAAGUGUUGGGCUACUAAAAUCAUUUAAUGGCUUCAAAUAAGCCUUAAUAAUAUCUGAUAAUCCAUACUCCAAUUCAGAUAGAGGAAGCCGAUUAUUCAAAAUGGCUAGUAAUUAGCUUGUGAAGAUAUUAAGUGUGUUCAACUAAACCUUUUCAGAAUUAAGAGAUAAGAACACCAUCUUUAUCAUAAAAGGAUGGAUUGACCUUCAGCCUGAAAACUGAAAAGGAGUCAUCGGAAAGAUCAGUAUAAAAGGAAGAGACGGAUCAACAAAAAAAAACAAUCACGACAAAAGCUUCGCAGCUUGAACAACUCUGUUCCACUUUUUUUUUUCUUUUUUUUGAGCAGAACUGGUGAUUUUAUUGAUAGGAACAGAAAUCUUGUAAAAGAUUAAUGCAGAAAUUCCAACUACAUUAUUAGCUCUCUACGCUAUACAAUUUUAAAGUAAGUUAAAGCAAGUAAGAGGAAGUCCAGCUCUAUGGUUAGAUCCCAGUUCGGCUUGGUUCACCAACUUGCUAAAUCAAGCCAACUAGUUAAACGUAACUUGAAUAGCAUUUUAUGUUCGAUAACAUUCAAAUUCAAUAAAAAAAAACCUCGUUCAAAUUCGAUUCGACAAAUAAACAAACCAAGUUUAAAUAAAAUUUAAAACUUGUUAAAAUAAUCAAAUAAAUUUGAACACUAGAGUAUUCGAUUUGAUUAGAAUCAUUUAGUGUAAUUUUAUAAAUCUCAAGGGAGAUUAGUAUAAUUUUACAAACCUCAAGCGAGAUCAGUGAAAUUGUCAGAAACCUCAAGGGAGGCUUCUGAAAUUAUCCCAAAGUAUAAUUGCAGAACACUAAUAUUAACUGCAGCAGUAGUUCAUAAGGACUCUAUUGAUUUUCUUGAUUAUCCAAGCAAAUGACAGGUCUCUAUAAACAGUAUGUGAUUAGAUGUAAUAUCACUCUUCCAUAUGCGAGAAAUAUAAUGUUAUACCAAUCUAACGUUAAUAUUCACCAUUAGAAAUGGAAGAUAAUUCUUAGUACCAAGUGAAAUCAUUUGAUAUAUAGACUAAAGUUGACCUCCAAUCAGGCAUAGAUGGUGAAUUAUUUCGUCAAUGAUAUAUUCCUACAAGGACUAAAAGUAUAUCAUCAUGUCUAUAAAAGUUAUUUAGACGUGAUUCUAUACUGUUAUGUUCAAAGAAAAGAGAUACAUUAAUAUUGCAUGAGGCUGAAAUUAAUUUCCAAGCAAAAUUAAGCAUACAAGGUGCUUUAUGUCGUUGAUACAUAAGUUGCCCUAAGGACUAACAAGUCACAUAUAGGUAUGAACACUAUAUUUUCUGCAGAAUCAAGUGAGCUCCAUACUGGGGUUGAAGUGUUACUGCUACUCGGGAAGAAUGAGCAUAAGAUGGUGAAAGUUCAAAGGAAAAGCGUUGCAGAGUCAUAGACAUCGCCAGUUUUGCUUCCAACAUGGCAAAACUUUGUCCAAUGCAAAUGCGAGGUCCCCAGCCAAAUGGCCAGAACGCAAGUCGGCCCUUGGUUGCAUGUGAUACUCCUUCAGCAAACCUCUCCAGAAGUGACGGAGCCAAGACUUUUUUCUUGGUGGGGCCAAAAUUUUUUCGAACAAAAUUAUUUUAACAUGUUAUGUUCAAAAUAAUUUUUAUUUAUUUAAAUAUAUGACAUGUUAAAAUAUGAAAUAUUAACUUUAAUUUUAAAGAUACGUCUAUUUCAUAAAUAUAGAGCAUAGUUAUAACUAAAAUUAAGACAAGAAAUAACAUUUUAUUAAAUAUCUUAUAACAUCACAAACCACCUUAUGAGAAGAUGCUCCAAUAUGUCACUUGUGCAAAAACAAAAAUAUAACUAUGCAAUAUAAAUAUAACUAUUUUCAAUUAAAAAAAAAGAUAAAAGUUAUGUUAACAUACUUGAAAUUUCAUCCUCUUUUAUUAAAAGUAAAUUGAGCUUUACGUUCUUUCAUAGAACUAAAUUCAUCUACAAUUGAAUCAAUGUUAAAUUUUCGAACAACUUCAUUUUUUAUGUACAUUUUUAGGCAAUCAUUCAAGAAAUGAUCUGUUAUCUUGUUUUGGAGCUUUGUUUUGAUUAUCUUCAUAAUUGAAAAUGUCCAUUCUAUAGACUAUAGAAUGGAGCCAAGAUUUUUUCCUUGGGAGGGAGGCCAAAUUUUUCUGAACAAAAUUAUCUUAAUAUGUUAUGUUCAAAAUAAUUUUCAUCUAUUUAAAUAUAUGACAUGUUAAAAUAUCAAAUAUUAACUUUCAUUAUAAAGGUAUGUCUAUUUCAUAAAUAUGCAGCAUAGUCAUAACAAAAAUUAGGAAAAAAAUAACCUUUUGAUUAAAUAUCUUAUAACAUCACAAACUACCCAAAUUUUACAUUAUGAGAAGAUGCUCCAAUAUGUCAUUUGUGCAAAAACAAAAAUAUAACUAUACAAUAUAAUAUAACUAUUUUCAAUUAAUAAAAGAUAAAAGUUAUGUUAGCAUACCUUGAAAUUUCAACCUCUUUUCUUAAAAGUGAAUUGAGUUUUACAUUCUUUCAUAAAACUAAAUUCAUCUAUAAUUAAAUCAGUGCUAAAUUUUUGAACAACUUCCUUUUUUUAUGUACAUUGUUAGACAAUCAUUCAAGAAAUUAUCUUUUAUCUUGUUUUGAAGUUUUGUUUUGAUUAUAUUCAUAAUUGAAAAUGCACGUUCUAUAGUUGCAAUUGAUAUAGGAAGAGUGAGAACAAAUAUAAUCAAUCCGUUAACAAUAGGAUAUAUCACUCAAUUUCUUGUCUUCACUAAGCCUUCAAGUAAUUAUUUGUAUAUUUGUAUAUGGGUCAACAAGAAGAUAGAUCACUAAUUUUAAAAUUUUUAUCAAUUAGGCUAAAUUGUAUAUUUGUAUAUAGACCAAUAAAGUAAUUAUUUUUGUUUUAGUCCAUUGAUAAUUAUGAAUUGAGUCUUUUUUUUAUAAUACAUCAAAUUGAGUCAAUUUACUAUGGAUCAUCAAACUAUAUGUUUAAUUUUUUGAAUGUUAAAUAAUUAGUACAAUAAAAAAUAAAUAACUUUUUUUGAAAAAAAAAUUAAAUCAAAGGUGGCUAAUUCAUAUACACACACACAGAUAUAUAUAUAUAUAUAUAUAUAUAUAUAUAUAUAUAAACUCUCAUAAUAUAAACUAAAAUCGUAAAAAAUUAGGGGGGGUCAACUUUGUCUUAUACAUAUAUUUACAUAUUAUGAAUUAAAAUUUUCAAAACUUACCCAAGUAGGAUUCGAACCUAUGACCAAUCGGUUAACAGCUGACCGCUCUACCACUGAGCUACUGAGAAAUAAUAGGAGAUUAGAUCUCAUAGAAUUCAAUUCCUGUUCUCAACCCAUGACCAAUAUGAGCUAGAAGCUUCCUUCGUAACCCCCAGAAUUUCUUCGUAGUGGCUCCCUUCCAUGUCUCAUUUCAGAGGGAAACUCAAAGUGGCUCUAUUUCAUUAUAUUCCAUCCAUACCCCAAUUCCAUUCAUUUAAUAUCCCUUUGGUGUCAUUGACAUAACAGAUGUCGUUUCUAGUCUAUGUUUCUUUUCUAUAUAUGGAAAGUUAAAAAAUCAUCAUAUAAUAAUCCAGAAAUUGCAAUAGAAAAGAAAUAAGGGAGGUUUGUGAUGAAAGGAAAAUCCAUAGACCGACCCCAUCAUCUCCACCCCGUAGGAACUACGAGAUCACCCCAAGGACGCCUUCGGCAUCCAGGGGUCACGGACCGACCAUAGAACCCCGUUCAAUAAGUGGAACACAUUAGCUGUCCACAUUGGGUAGUAAGGGUUGGAGAAGGGCAAUCACUCAUUCUUAAAACCAGCGUUCUUAAGACCGACCAAAGAGUCGGGCAGAAGGGGGGAAGCUCCCCUUGGUUCUGUCAUUGCUCUCCGGCUUAAAUUCCUUCGCAUCCUCGCCCCAUAUAUCAGGGUUAUGAUGCAUUAACAUUAUUGGCAGCAUGAGUAGCACCCCAACCGGGAUAGUUAAAUUUCCUAAUUUAGUUUCUUCGGCAAUUCUUCGAGCUGUUGCAGUAAUCGGUGGACAUAACCUUAAAACCUCCAUGUAAGAUCAUGUUGACCUAUGAGAAGAGAACAAUAUGCCACGGAUUUUGGUAUAAUGCCAUGAGGGCCUUUCAAACUUGUCUAUUCCAUUCUAGCAUUUGGUAUAAUGCAUUUAGCUGGGAAAGCCCCCUCUACAUGGAAUAUCCAUUCUAACUUUUUUUUUUUGAAAUCUCAUUCCUCAAAAAAAUUUAGAGAAAGUCUUUUCCACCUUUAUCCUAAAAUACUUAACUAGCAGGAUGUCAAAUUUAUCCUUAUAUAUGUUUAUACUGCAUCACGAUAUAUUAGCCUAUUUAUAAGCUCAAUUAAUAUUUGAAUGUAAAUUUUUAUAUUACUAAUUUUCCUUGUAUUUAAAAUAAUUUUUUAUAUACUAGAAAACAAAUGUUUUAGAAUACCUAAUUCUUUGACUUUUGAGCAAUUGUGCAAGAAUUUGAAUCUUACCAUAAUUGAAACUAGAUUAAAAAUAAAUUAUAAUUGUUUGAAUUCAUGUAAUUUAUAUUUUACGUUGCUACUUAUAUUGUUAAAAAAUGUAAAAUUUUAACAAAAAGCUAUAAGACAUAUUAUGUCUUAUAAACUAAUCCAAAGUAAUUAAGUCAAAUUUGUAUUUAAUAUAUUCCAUUAUGAUAUCUAAAUUCAUUAUACCAAAUAUUGAAAAACGAAUAAACAUUUUAUUCUGACUAGUUAGUUUUCAUGUAUGGUUCAUGUUUGACUUACAGAUAUUAUUAGCAUAACACUUGCAUUUACUAAUAAGAAGGAAUAAAUGCAAAUUAAAAUGAUAAAUAGGGGUUUGAGGUUGACCUUAGCGUUAACAUUUAUCUCCACUUUAUGAAUUUUGUUUUGUCCUUAUAAAACCUACUUUUACUUUAACUAUUUAUAAUUACCCACGACUAUUUUUACUUUUAACUAUUUAAAUAUACAUUUUAAACAUAAUUACCCCUAAACAUUAUAAUUGUUAAUAUAAACUUAUUUUAUGAAAAGUAUUUAAAAGAUUAAAAUUUGCUUCAAUAAUAAUUUUUUUUUAAAAUAUAUGAUCAUAAAUAUUAUGUAUUAUUUUAAUUGCUCAUACGUUAUGUGUGCAUUGAGCACUAAUACAUGUAAGAUUUUCCACAUAUUAAUAGAACUAUGCAACUGCACAAUUCAUUAGGGCCUGAUUAAGAUUAUUAAACUUAUCAACAGCUGUAGCCUUUGGAUUAACCAAAGCGACAAACAAAACCAUUUGCUCUGUACCAAGUUUUGUCAUUUUGUCAGUCUGAAAAAAACCGCUUGGCCCGCGGGCCCCAUCCUGUCCUCCCACGUGACGAACGCUUUGGACGUGACUACCGUAAGAAGGACAACGUGAGACACGUGCGUUAAAAAAUCUAUCAUGGCUUCAAUCAAUCAUUGUCCAGCCCGGGAAAAUACAACACCAUGCACUCUUCAAUAAUUUCUCUUGUAAUUGUUCAAAAUUUCAUCAUGUCUAAUUAAGUUCCACUGGAGAUCGACUUACCACUAAGAAAUAUUUUUUUUUUAAACUAGCUAAUAAAAUUUAUAGAGUCUACUAAUUAAUGUUUGAGAACGGCUGUUAAAUGAUUUUUAAGCCACGACAAGCCAUUUGUUUUCUCGAUUACCUAAGAAAAAGGAAAGAUCUCCUGCAAAAUAAAACCAGUAGAUGUAAUAUUUUAUUUCUCUCUUAAUUAUUCGCCAUGAGAAAAGAAAUACAUUACGUGAAUCUGUACUGCUAUAUUCAUACAGAUCCAUUGACAUACCAAACUGGGCGGGACUUAAACUAGUUUACAAGCAAAGUUAAGCAUAGAAGAUGGUGCUUUAUUUCGUUAAAAGAUAAUCUGCUGCCACAUACCGGGCUAGCAAGUCAAGUCAUAUAUAUGAAACAACAAAAACUAUAUUAUCUUCUGCAAAAUCAAGUGAGCUCCAUACUGGGGUUGAAUUAGUGAUAUAGCUGUUCCUGUUCGAGGAGCAUGAGUAUAAGAUGGUGAGAGUUCAAAGGAGAAGCGUUGCAGAAUCAUAGACAUUGCCAAUUUUGCUUCCAACAUGGCAAAAUUUUGUCCAAUGCAAGUGCGAGGUCCCCAGCUAAAUGGAAAGUAUGCAACCUGGCCCUUUGUUGCAUGUGAUACUCCUUCAGCAAACCUCUCAGGCUUGAAUUGCUUCACGUCCUCGCCCCAUAUAUCAGGGUCAUGAUGCAUCAGCAUUAUUGGCAAGGUGAUUUGCACUCCAGCCGGGAGAGUUAAAUUUCCUAAUUUAGUUUCUUCAAUAGUUCUUCGACUCAUUGUAGCCAAUGGUGGACACAACCUUAAAACCUCAUGCAAGAUCAUGGUGACCUAUUAUAUGGGAAGGGGACCCAAAAAAAAAAAGGUGUGAGAUAGAGUAAUUAGGAUGUCUAUGCAGACGAGAAGCUUCAAAAAACUUCGUUAAUAUGUCUCUCCUGCCAUUAGUGCAAUUUUUCAAAUCAAUGAAAUGAUCAUUGCUAAUUUUAUGUUUUUCAAAGAAAGAGAUUGGCUUACAAUUUUGAGGUGAUUUAGCCCAUCAAAGUCCGGAUCCUUAGUUCCAAAUUGUUGCAAGACCUCCUCUCUAGCACGUGCCUGCCAUUCGGGGUACCUGCAGAGUAAGACCAUUGUCCAGACAAGUAGUGCAGAAGUAGUCUCCUGGCCAGCAAAAUAGAACAGCUUGCACUCAUCAACAAUUUCUUCGGUAGUCAUACCAGAGUCCUUGUUUCCAUGCUUCUCGAUUUCUUGAGAAUUGGAUUGAAGCAUUAAUCCCAACAAGUCAUCUGAGCCGGCUUCUCCUGCUCUCAUUGCCUUUCUUCUUGUGUUGAUCAUUUCCCUUACUGAACCAUUAACUUCUCUGGCAAUUUGUUUCAUUCUUCUGCUCCUCUUGGUUGGCAAGAACCUAACAAAGAUCAUAGUUUAGCCAAAAAAAAAAAAAGCAAGAACAAACUAUGUUUGCAGCAAUGUUUUUGGCUCCAUUUUUAAAUCACUUAGGCGUAUCUCAUAUGUUAAAAUUCCCAUCUAAGGCAGUCUUUCAUGAUCAUUGUCCAAUCACGAUUUUCAAACCAUUGAUUUCUAGUAGUCACAAUUUUCUACAGCACUCAAGAAUUCAUGAUCAGUCUACCUAUAUCCUGGGAUGUUGAUGUACACCGACCGUGCUAACUGCAUCAAAUGCUCAGUUUGCUCUCUCUGGAGCUCAAAGAUCCUUCUUCCUUCUUCAUAGUUGCUGCCAAAUGCUGUACGAGAAAUUGCAUCGCUGGUAAGAGCCUGAAGAUUGGGCCAAACAUCCACUUCAGCCAACCCCUUUGGUGAAACAACAUUCUCCCAUUUCGUCACCAUCUCACUUGCACUUUUAUAAAAGGCUGGGAGCAUAAGCUAUUUAUCCAUAAAAGAAAAGAAAAUCAGUGAAAGAAACUACUCCAUUGAAGGCUGCUUAGUAAAUAAAUGAUGCAAUUGACUAAGGACUGUCAAAUACAGAUAGUGUUUUCAAUUUUAGGAUAUAAUAACUGUGAGUGUGCGAAUUUAUAUCAUAAUUUUACUGUAAUUUACUUGCGCUAACAAGUAUUUUUAGGUCACCUGUUAAAAAAAAAAAAAAACCCCAUAAAAUGAUUAAAUUAGAGAGAAGAGAACCUUCAAUUUCUCAACGUGGAAAGCUGGGUUGAGGAGUUUUCUAUGUUUGGCCCAUUUUUCUCCCUCAUAGGUCACCACUCCUUGAACCAAUAAUUUUGUAAUUGCAUUUAAACGGGGCUUAGGGAAAACAUCAACCUUUUGUGUAAUUUCCUUCAUAAGAUUAGGGUCCACGAUCACCACGGCAGGCGUCGGCCCAAACCAUAAAUAUGUAUUUUUACCUGAAAGCCACAGCCACAUGGAUUAGGAAACGAACCGCAACCACCGCUUUUGCCCCAUAACCAAAAAGUAUUAGCAACCUAGAGACCUUCCGCUAGGAAAGGAUAAUAAAAUGCAAAUGUUUCAAAACAUAAAAUACAAGGGUAAAAUCAACCGUAAUCCACUAAAAUAAUUCAAAUUCUUCAAAAACCUUUUUUUUUUUUUUUUGGCAUCAAUCAAACUAAUAAACUGUUUAAAGUAAUUCAAUCAGCUCAUUUCCAUCAGAAUCUUAGAUUAAGUUAGCUGGAAAUCUGUUCAAAAUGUCAACUACGCGCUAUUGGUAAGGAUAAAAUUGACAUUUCUCCUCAUCCACCUUCCUAAUCGACUAAAAUUCUUCAUUCUAAAUCAAGUUAACUCCCAAAACCUUGAGAAUUUGGUGGAGUGCAAUUUCAACUCUUUAACUUUUUUCAGAGUUAAUAUGAUGGGAUUGAUAUAUAGAUUUUAAACGAUUGGGAAGGAUGGAUGAGACAAAAUGUCAUUUUUGUUCCUGCCAAAUUGCACACAUCCGUUAGCUUGACGAGAUGGACUGAUUGAAACUUUUGAGUACUAUAAUGACACAAAAAAAAAAAAGAAAUAAUCUUAUAUAUAUGUCAGUGUAUGCAUUAUUAUCAUUAGAUAUAUGAUACAUGUACAAAAUUUAAAUUUGAAAUUUAACAUUUGCUCACGUGUCAUCCGUCUAAUUACGAUAGAAUAUACACUGACAAUGUAUAUAAAAUUUUUUCAAAAAAAAUUAAUGGUUUCUAUGAGAAUUUUUGAAAUAGUUUAGUGGGUUAUAGUGCACUUUAUCCAAAAAAGAAUUAAUAAAAAAAGAUUCACAAGAAUAAUAAAGCAAACAAACCAAAAAUAGAAUUUAAAAGAAAAAGAAAGAAAACUUGAAAUCUAAAGUUCAUUGGGAGCACGGAUUUUUGUCGGAACUUUAAUCCUUAUUUUGUUUAUUUGAUGAUUUGAUCCAAUUUAAUCUGAUCAUAAUUGACUACAAAUUUACCAUGCCAAUAUUCUCUGUCUUAACUCUAGAAUUCCAAUUUGACUAAAUUAUUGAAUUUAAACUAAUAGCUGGAAAACAAACUAAUUUUACAGUUCAUGUAUCGAUCUUAUAGAUUUAUACAUUUCUUUAUGCGAAUUUCUGUCAAAAUAUUGGCUUCCCUCAAUUAGCAUGUCUAAUUUGCAUAGACAAUAAAUAUUAUUCACUAUUUUCUCCUUUUUUUUUGGGUAAGUAUCUUAGUCACUAAUUUUCAACAUCGAAAAGAAAAAGGGUAAAAGAAAAGGUAAAUGAUAUUCUAUUUAACAAAAGCAGAGAAAAGGGAAAAAAAUGGAGAUCAAAUGAGGGACGAACGUGGUUAUGAGGCAAAGAAAUGAAAGCAGAGUUGAUAAGAACAAUGAAUACUACCAUAUUUCUUAAUGGCUCCAAGAUAUUCAGGAAUAACUCUUGGUACGAUGUCGUCGGAGAGUCUAAGAUUCUUGGAGUGGGCUUCUGUGUACAAGGCCGAUAUAUCUUUGAAGUCUCCAUGGAGCCGCUUGUAAGGGUUUCCCCUGAAACCUUGCUCUUUCAGACGUUUCUCCAGCUUCUUCGGCCUAAACCAUACCCAGUUCAAAGCUUUCCAUGAUACUGCUACUACCAGAAGAAGAAGAAGAAGAAGACAAGAAGAAUACACAGUAAAGGUUGAUGGAUUGGUGGUUUCCAUGUUGUGAAUUUUGUGAUGGCUUCCGUGUAAAAUUUCGACCUUUCUUGUGUGCAUAUUUAUAUUCGAGUUGGGGCGAUGAUAACCUUGGUUUUGUUUGCAUGGCUAUUCAUUUACUAGUUUUAUAGCUUUGACGUCACGUGUCAGGCAGUUGAGACUCGUUAUUUUGCUGUUAUGUUUGUGUUUUUAUUCUUUGUUAGAUGUAGUAGUCAUACGUGUGAGUGUGUGUUUUUUCCUAAUUGCACAAAUAAACAUGCCCUGAAAUCAGGUUAUCUAACAUUUUUAAUGUAGCAUUAAUCAGUAACCAAUGCCUAGAAUCAGGUAGAAUUAAUAGGCAUGGUAAUCUAACUACAAGGCAUGCCUAAAAUCAAUAAGUAAUGCCUAAAAUUAGGUAGAACUAAAAGGCAUAUGGCUAUCCAUGUAAUGUGUAGCCUUGCUUAUUAGUCACAUUACUUCUCUAAGAUAAGCAAUUUGACAAUUUCCAUUUUUUUUUGACAAUUUUUGUUUGCUAGUACUUCACAUUUAACAGUCUUAUAGAAGAAAAAAAUAAAGAAAAACAAUUAUAAAAUGGGUUUAUCAUUUUCUUUUGUUUGCUAGACUUGAACGAGCAUUCAAACAUAUUUAAAAAUAUUUCAAACCAACGUAAAAUUGAAUUAAUCUUUUUUGUAUGUUCAAUGGCUUUUUCUUUUACAUUAAUAGGUUUGGAUGCAUGACACAUAAUUUUUAUUCAAUUCUAGCCCACCGUGACCUUCGUUUGUAUAUACUAUCAUUUCUCCUAAUCAAGAUUUCAUGUUGGAUCCUAUUCUUUUUAGUUGCAAUUUAGAUGAUUGUUUGAUUGAUAGAUUAAAAGUGUUCGGGAAUGGAGGGAGCAACAAUGGUUUCUUUGGACUGGACAUCAUCUAUUGAAAAUGAGUCUCGAACUCUCAAUGUUGAACAACUUCAAUUUGCAAGGGUAAAUAUACAUAUUUUCUUAUUUUCCUUUCUUUCUUCCUUUUUUUUGGGAGAUUUUGAUGAUUUUGGUUCUGAUAAUUUGUAUAAGAAGCAGCACUUUAUGUGGUGAGUACGAGGAGCAUGGAAGAAGCUCUUUGAAUUUCAUUAAGAUAAUGGCUUAGAUAUAUACUAAUACAAUAUCUAACGAUUUCUUUAGGUUAAAAUUUUUCUUUUGUACUUUCUAGAUUCUUUGGAUUUAUAAUUCUUACUUAUUUGAUGAUUCUUUUUGGUACUUGGUUGGUGAUUUUUUUUUUUUUUUUUUGUAAUCUGUAUCAUGAGCUGCAAAAUUAUAGGUUAUUUUGUCUUUUUUAAACCAUGUGCUAAAAUAGAUGAGCUUCUCUUUUUCUUUUUCUUUUUUAAAUAAAAGUGGUAUUCAAAAUCAAGAGAUAGUUGGAAUCUUUAAAUGGUGAAAUCCAAAUCGACUUGUGUUUAAGGAUAGGUUAGAAUAAAAUGCUAAGAAAUAACCGAUGGAGCUAUUCUAUAAAUGGGUAACAAACUCGUGUUGAAGGUUAAAAAAUACAUAUUUAUAGAAUCAUUUUUUUCAUAUUCGGAAGAAAAAAGCUGGACCUACUGUAAAAGUUCAAAAACGAUAAUCCAUUUCUUAAAUUGCAUAUUUUUUAUGAAGAAAGUUUAUCCUUUUGCCAAAAAAAAAAAAAAUGUUUACAUAGAGAUCCCUUUUUUUUUCGCAAAACAGAAGGACCCUCUGACCAUUCUAACUCAAAAUACAACCGGGCAGCAGCUUGCAAGGGAGUGCAAGGUUCCCUUGUACCAUUCGUGUGGCAGUAGUUGGUGGUGGGAUAGCCAAAAGACCAAAACACCACCAAUUGAGUCAGCCGAAAGACCAAAAUACCCCUCAACUGAAGCAUGCUUUCUUAUCCAAGAUGAUUGGUCUUUCAUGUUAUCGUUUGUCAAUCUAGGAAUAUCUUUUUCGCAGGAAAAUUAGGAAAGAAUAGUAGUUUGGGAAGGAGACAAAAAAAACGUAAAAAAGAGGGAGUUGUUCCCUUGACUUUGGAGAGUAACAUAUCUGCUUGAGGGGAGACUAUCUAUCCAUCCGUCGUUUGUUCUUUUGGCCAAGGAGCGGAAGGCUUUUUUUUUUCUCUUUUGAUUUUUCGAACGUUCAUGUACUCAACGAUGAGCAACUAAUUUCCUCUCUCUAAUUUGGUUUAACUACAACUGUGAAAUCUUAUUAUUUUUAUUUAUUUUUUUAUUCAUUAAUAUUCAAUGUUUCUGAUUUAAUUUCUUAUGAUUAUUUUGUUAUGUAAAUAUCAUGGGUCUGAUAUUUGAAUUAACCUAAUAAUCAAAUAUCAUAUUAAUUAAUUAAAUCUGUAAUUGUUUGAUUGGUUAAUAUUAGUGACGACUAACGUGAUUAAUUUCAUGUUAGAGAAACAUAUGAUCUAAUUUAAAUAAACCUUGGUUGUGAAUUUAUUGAUUAGAAUAGGAUUUUUCUAGUUUUUAAUACAAUGAAAAAAUUAAAUUCUACGGACGUACCUAGAGUUUUUUUUUAUUAGAAAAGUAAUUAAUGGGCGUGACUUAACUAUCGACACAGUAAGAAAAAUCUGAUGACAAAGCCAUUUGUCAUCACUUAUUUGGCAAUUAUAACCUGCUUGUUAACGAAUAAAUGAAAUAGUUAUUGCAUCAAAUGAACAGUUGUGUGUACCACUUACGAAGUUUCCUUCUUCGCUAGAGUUUGCUUAUUAUUAAAUUAAUUUAAAUUUUCUUUCGUUUGAUUGCUUUUAGUUAAAUUGAUCUUUUUAUUUCAAUAUUUUAAAACACCCAUUUAAUUCUUGUUUGGAAGGAAAUAAAAUUCAGGCCUGUUUGACAAGUGAGUUUUUUGGGUGUUUGUCUAAAACUUUACUAUAGUUUAUUGUAGAAGUUUUUAAAAAAAAUUUUGAAGUAUGUAAAUUUUUGAAUAUUUUGAAAUGUAUAAUUUAAAAACUUUAAAAAUUUUUUUAAAGUUACUGUAGCUAAAUUUUUUAAAAAACUUAUAGCAGAUAAACUUGACAAAAAAUUCAAGUGCCAAACCGGGCCUCAGUUCUUGAGAAAACGAUCCUACUCACCGUGUACUUGAAAUUAAAAUUUUAGAAUAUAAAUUUUAAUUUCGGUGAUUUGAUACCCAUCAUAGCAUGGUCAGAUGUUCUGUUCUAGAAGAAUAGAAAAGACUAGACAAUCAAACGAGCACUCAAUUUCAACAAAUUGAUUACGAUUGUUCUGGUAACAAUCAAGCUAUGUCAGCAGUUAUUGAAGGCAAGUCAUAAUGUGAGCAGCCAGAAGAAACAAUUGAAAGGGAUCGUUCUAGGGUAGGUACGCUUUGACCGUGCGCCUACCGUGGGAACGUGCUCAGAGAUGGACACAUGUACUGAUCACUAAUGUAGUGGACCUUGUAGAGGAAAAUUGUCAUUAGAAGUCAGGUUAUUAUCAUUUUACUCCUUAAACUAUAUUACUAUUAUCAAUUUAUCUUAUUAUGUUAUCUUUUAGUCAUUUCACCUAGGGGUGGCAAUUUUCGACACGACCUGAAAACAAAACACGAACCUAACACGAAAUUAAUGGGUUUGGGUUGAGGUUUCGGGAAUUCGGGUCAGAAUCGGGUUGGACCCGAUGAACCCGAAAAGAAAACAGGUCGAUUUCGGGUCAACCCGUGGUGACCUGAUAUGACCCGAUAUGACCCAUUAACGAAUUAAAAAUAAUUUAAUAAACAUAAAAAUAAUUUAAUCUAACUAAACUAAGUUAUUCUUUUUUUCAAAGGCAUUAAUUACUUAAUUCUAAAUGAAUUUAUUUAAUUUGUGUGAAGUUGAAAUUAUUAUAUUUGGACAAAUAAUAUAUUAUAUUAUUUUUUACUUUUAUGCUGUUUUAAUUUAUUUUAUAUUUUGUUUGGGAUAAAACACUUUUACGGUAUUUAAUUUAUUUUAGAUUUGGUUUGGAAUUAUUUAUUUAAAUUUUUAUUACUUGAUUAUGUAAUUAGUUUUAUGAGAAAUUGAUUUUAUUAGAAAUUACAGUGAUAAAUUAAUAAAUUAAAAUUAAGUUUCGGGUCAUUUCGGGUCGACCCGCCAACCUGAAAUUUUCGGGUUCGGGUCAGCAUACCUGACCCGUCACGGGUUGGCGGGUCGGGUUCGGGUCGACAGAUUUUCUGACGGGUUGACCCGAACCCAACUCGCCAACCUGAUUUGGACCCGAAUUGCCACCCCUAAUUUCACCUUAUAGAAAAUUCAACUGUUGAUAAAUUUUUGAUAAAAAUAUCUUUUAUUUUAUAGUAUUACUAUAUUGUUAUUAUCACUUUAUCCCUUUAAAUUAUAGUGAUGUAGUCGCUUUACUAUCUUCUAGAUGUUUUACCCUAUCAUUAAUCUAAAAAAUAUGUUAAAAUAUGGUUAAAUGUAUUUAUUUUUUAUAUAUAAUUAAAAAUAAAAAGUUGAAAUAAUUAUUCUUCCUUUUUUUCACUCUAAGAUUCCAAAAACAUAAAAAUAAAAAUGUAUUCUCAAAUUUCUUUUUUCACACUUAUUAUACUUGAAAAAGAAAAGUAGAUAGGACAGAAGUAGACAAAAAUUAGAUUUUGCAAAGAAAAAAAAUAAAAAAAUCUAAUACUAUCGUAUUACUUUAAUGUCUUAGGGAUUAGGAUUGAAAUUGGGUAAUAAACAGAAAAAUAAAUUAAUUUUAAAAUAAUAAAAUUAUUGAAUUCUUUCUUGUUUGUAUUAAAAAAAGAAGUGAGCUCUCUCUCUCGCCACUCUAAAUUUUUUUUUUAUAUAAAAAAAUGAGGGUACUAUUUUCUAAAGUUUUUUAACUUGUUAAAUUGGUUUAAUGGUGGAAUAAAUUGACUAAAAAAUAAUUUUAUGGGGUAAAUUCAUAAUAAGAUUAUAAUUUAUGGGGAUAAAGUGAUAUUAAUUUUAAAAGUUAAACAUGUCUUAUCAUUUGAAUUAAUAAAUCGUUAAGUUUAAUCGUUAGCUUUGGAAGUAAAAUGACUAAAAAAUAACGUUAAAGAGAAAAUUGAUAGUGACGCCAAAUGUUAAGGAGAUACCGAGAUAGGAAGGAUUGAGUGAUAAUAACCCUUAGAAGUCACACGCGCAUGCCCAACUCGGGGUGGGUCGUGUGGUGUGUUGCUCCUCUUUAGGAUAUGGCCACCAAGGAUCGAGUUUCAAAAUUAAUGUGUUCGAGAGGAAUGGGUCUCUCUUUUCGGGCCGCAGGAGAUUAGUCGGGUCGAAAGUCCAGAUACUCCUGUGUAAAAAAAAAGAAAAAAAAAGUCACGCCCAUGAAUUGAGUGCAAGAACCAAUGGAUUUCGAGGACAGUAAACUGCAAUAAAACAUGUCUGGUGGCGGGGAGGAUGUACAUGUGCCUCUUUAAGUACAAUGAAAUACCGCCUUCUUUCUCUGAUGGGAGCCUUUUCUCUCUUGGAGAAAGAGCUUUUCUCUACUUAGGUAGGAGUUUCAAACUCUCAAAAAAACCUCAAAUUCAAAAUCCUUCAAAAGUUCAAGACCCUUCAAAAUUCAAGAACCAAUUGGACACCCAGAUCUGCUACAAUUUCAGCGAACAAGAAACAUUAAGGCAAACGACACGGUAGAUCUGGUGAGGCUGCCAUCAAAACAGAAGAAAUACAACCACAAAGGGAACAUAUGGAGAAAAGAUGAAUUAAUGGCAAACAAAAAGGACCACAAGCACUAAGAGAGAGAGCCAGGAAACCACUAUCAUGGGACGGACCACGGGCAGGAACGGUUGCUAGCGGUUUUGUGCAUUUUACACACCGCGUAAUUUUGUUUGCAUAUGGCGUAACUUUAUUUGCACAACGUGUAACUUUAAAACAAAAUUUUGUGAGUCUCACACACGUUAUAAGAAUCAAUGUAUAAAAAAGUGAUCUAGAUCUUAUAAUUUUUUGUGACCAAAUCUUGGCUCUUAACUGCUCCUCUUCUAGAUGAUCGCUCCUGCCCCUCAUCCAUCACGGGACAUGUGGAAGACUGAUUCAGCUCACAUAAAAAAAUCCCUCGGGUAAUUGGUCUUGAAUCCUUGGCUGCUUUCUCUUCAUUUAUUCCUGCAUUUAUGACUCUUUUAGCUUCUGUCAGUCUACUAGUUGGACAUGAGUUCUCUUCCUAACUUUUCCUUUAGAAUUCUAGAAGAGUUACCUAGGUUCUGUCAGUAUAGUUGGUUUUGAUCUACCUUUUCGUCUUAGUUGUCCUAACAUACUCCCAAUAGUCCUGCCCUAGCUGGAGUACAGGAAGUUCUGCUCCUCUUUUUGCAGAUUUGGUUAGCUCCCAACACUGAGUGCUUAGGCUGAAAUUCCCACUAGUAUCCUAAUCAAAAUGGCAGAUAAGAUAUAAUGCAGAAAUUUGCUCUAAACAACAUGGAAUCUGUCGGAACUGAUCUAGACAGUGGGGAUCUGAGACCUGGACUUGUUGAAAGGUAAACAUUCUUCAAUUGAGAUAAAAGUAUUCGAGGAAAAGAAAAGGAAAAAGAUGAAAAACGUUCCACUUGUUUCUUGCAGCCAAAAAGAAGAGGUGCCUAAUGACUGCUAACUCGUCUUCUGCUUGGAGAGAGAGAGAAUAAAGAAAACGAUAAUGCCUGUCCCUUUUUUUCAUUUCCUACUAACACUGAACUACUCCUAAUUCAAAUCAAAUUGUUCCAACUAUGUUAACGAAAAGGAAGAGUCAACAUAGACAAAAUAGUCUAGCUUUCUAGUAGGGAUAAAAUAUUUUAUCCCUGUGGUGGAACAUCUGAUUCAUAUGACUUCAACUCGCGACUGGAUAUUACGCGCCAGCUCUUGAGUUUUCCGGAUGUGCAUAAUUUUUAACUUUGACGUGCUUACACCGGACAACAAGUUGAGUAAAUAAUCACGCUUUUUUAUUAUUUUUUUGUUCCAAAUCCCUACAAUCGACAAUAAUUAUCAAAAAUAAAUAGAAUAUACCAAUUAACUCAAUAUUUGAUAAAAUAAAAGAGAUAAAUCAUUAUGAAAUUAAUAACAAAAAUGCAACGUAUCAAUAAUAGGGAAAGUGAAAGGGGAGAAAACGGGGAACUACACAGACAUGAAAAUUUUUGUGGUUAGUGUGUGGAACUACCCAAAGGACCCUGGAGUGGCAGAACUGGGACCAAACCUAUUCCAAUUUACAAUCCCGGAUGAGAAAUGAAGAACAAGGAUACUCACAGGGGGACCAUGGAUCUUGCACAAUCAAAUCCUAGAACUCAAUGAGUGGUAUAAAGGAAUUGAGGAGGAUGAAACUACAUUUCAUGUUGCACCAUUGUGGAUACAAGUUUGGAACUUGUGUCUACACUGAAUUUUCAUGAGGUCAAGGACGUGAUCAUCCCCCAAACAAGUGGGAAGGAAGGGAGACACUUAAAGUUGCUGGCUCUGGUGGACAUCUCCCAAUUACUGAUGAGAGGAACCACUGUCAGAAUGAAUGGAAUAAUCAAAUGGGCAAAAUUUAAAUAUGAAAGAUGCCCAGACUUUUGUUACCAUUGUGGGAUUACAGGACAUAGUGAGAGGACUUUGCAAGGUACACAUGAAUAUCCAACAUGAACAGCAGGAAAACCAAUAUGGUCCAUGGAUGAGAGCUUCAAAUGAAAGGGUGUCACCUCAGAAAGAGACAAUAGUGAACAACUAUGGCUCGAACAAGGUUCACCGGGGAGUACAAAAUGGGGAAUUAGUCAAGAGAGACAUGAGGAAUGCAACAACUAGCAAGAUGAGGCCCAGCAGUCAUGAGCGGGUCCCUUCAUGACUGCUCAAAUUUCUAAAACCACUUAAAGACAAGCAAUAAAAUGGACCCUUUAUGACUAUCCUAAUUUCUAAUAUUAAUACCAAAAAAAGAUAAACAACAAAAGGGUCCAUUUACGGCUUUCUUGGACCCGUGGCAAUAAUUCUUUAAUUUUCUCCCCCUCAAAUUCUAGAAUCUCCAUUGUUUGACCAAAUUUUAAAGUAAUUGCUGGAAAAUAAAUGUAAUUUGUAGUUCACAUAUGGUAGGUCUCUUUUUUAAAAAAAAAUUUAUUUACAAAAACUUGUGUAAGUUCGAUUUGCAGUCUAUUUAUCGACUAUAUAACAUAUAAUAUAUGCAAUAAUCACAUGAAUUUUCUGACUUUUAUCAUCCUUCAUUCAUCAUCAAUUCUCUUACACAACCUUACUCAAAGUGACCAUUGCAUAUAGCACAUUAUAUGCAAGAACAUCCACAAGCAUAUUCGUUCAACCAAGUCUAAACAAGUUUAUUUAAAAACAAUAACAAGAAUUGUAACUCAAUAAUACUACAAACUAAUCGAAACUUAACUUGCAAUUGGGUUUGAUGAUAUGGUGGAAAGGAUUGUAAAUAGGAGAUCAUUAGUUAUAGACCUCUCACUUACAAAAAAAAAAAUUAAAAUGGUGUAAUGAAUAUGAAGAUAUAAUAAACAUAUGAAUUUUUUUAAGCAAAUUUCAAAAUAAUAGCUUCCACCAAUUAACAAGUCUAUUAUUUAAAUUACUAGGAGAGGAAUGCCUGCGCAUCGCGGGAGUAUUUGGUACUUGUGGUUAAAGAAGAUUUUUCAUUGGACAAAUAAUAAUACAUUUUGAAAAGAAACAGUUAUGAAAUAUGACAAAAAAAAGUUUGGAAUUCAUUGUCCAGUUCUAAAGAAGCUAGAGUCUGAUACUUUAUAUAUAUAAAACGUGUUCAACACCAACAUAUAGUUUGAGUAUUUGUCCGCGCAUCACACUUAUGAAGUCCUAAAGGGCAGAAGAAUAAACUAUGAAGAAAUACCUUGGAAUCUGGGACACCCUCAAGAGUCUCCUUCUCUAAUAAAAGCGCAACAAAUCCAACAAUAUUCUUUGCUUUCCUAUAUGUUUCAACAGCUUAACAGUUCACCAAACAAUUGACUUCCGCCAUUUCUAACAUAUGUAGUUUACAAUAUUUUUUUUCCUUUUUCACGGCUCAACUAACAAUUGCCUUCCAAUCUACGAAAGUAAGAAAAAAUACAAAGAGCAAAACAAGUAGUCAUGGGGUGAGAUUCUUGCCAGCUAGGUAGUAGUAAAUUUUGUAGAACCAUCAGAUCCCUAGGCCAUCAUGGUUACCCUCACCGUUCUUCCUGCCUUUGUCCAAGUUCAUUUGCAGCAUCACUCCAUCCUCUGUUCCUUCUCUUCCCCAUUGCAACUGCUAAACACAGCAAGUCAAGUUUCAUUAGAAACAAAAGAAAAUAGAUGUGAUCAAACAAAAACAAAAAGUAAUAUAGUAGAUUAAAUGAUUAGGUUUGGUGGAUUUUGGGCUUAUGUUCGGUGCAUUCAAAUGUUUCUACUAUAGGCAAUUUGAGACUUUGUGGCGGCGGUGAUAGGGUGUUAAUUGUUGGUUAUUUUAUUGUUAAUUUUUUCCUUUAUUCUUACCAAAUAUUGUUUUAAUUAUUAAUAUUUACUUAUAUUUGGUAUUGGACUCAAUUUCAGGAAGUGAAACAGAAAACUACAAAAAUGAGGGACUUUUUGGAGAUAAUUGGGAUUUCAAACAACCGGGCCCACAUGGUGCUACAAAGAGAUUGUAUUUCCUUUGCUGAUUAGGAGAUUGGAGUCCUACGGGCAAUAGGAAACUAAAAGCAAGGAAUUCGGUAGAGCCCCACCUUUGGUUUGAUUCUCAAUUCCAGCGGGGACCACAGGGAUAAGAAGCUUUAGUCAUUGUUGGCUUUAAAAAGGAGACAAACGUACAGAGAACUCUGAUCAAUCAAUAGUUUUAGUUUAGGCUUUUAGCAUAGUUUUAGUUUUUCUUUUCUUAGCUUUUUCGCAUGGUUGUUCUCCAUUAAUGAAGGACUAACCUCUUAAUUCUAGUCAAGGGGACAACUGAAGACUUGGUUCAACAAUUACUGUGAGAUCGAAAUUAUUUUAAUCGCUUCCUCAUUUAUUGGUAUUCAUGUGUUUCCUGUUUUUAAUUGUUAUAGUCCUUAUGUAUGAUUGAUUAGUGCGCAAUAAUUAAUUAUUCAUAUAGGUUAUUUUGCUAAAUAGAGGUAAUUGAAUCCGUAAUUGUUCGUUAUCUCUAUCUUAGUAGCAACUGGCGUAAUUGGGUUUAUGUCAGGGGAGCAUACGAUCUAGUUUAAACAAACCCUCGUAGCGUGCCCACGCCAGAGGGAAAGAAAUUUUCGUUCAAGAUCUGCGGACUCUAUAGCAGUUAGACGUGCCCACGCUAGGUGGUCACGCUAACGGAUCGAGAAUUUUCGUCGGAUGGUCAAAAGACUAGGGAGCGGUUAGGCAUGCCCAAGCCUAAGCUAGAGAUUCUUUGAAAAAAAAAAUUAAAAAUUUUAUAUUGAGAAAAUUCAAAAACUCAAAAAAAAAAAACAUUUUUUCUUCUUCUUCAAAAAUUCAAAUUUUGGAAUUUCAAAUUCAGGAAAAAAUUUGGAAAAAACAUUGAGAAAAAAAAACCCAAAAACUAUUUUUUUUUUCCUCUUUUUCUUUUUCUCUUUUCUUUCUUUCUUUCUCUUUUAUUCCUCUUUUUCCUCGCUUCCUUCUUCUUCUUCUUUUCUUUUCUUCUUCGACCGAGACCCAAGCCACAGCGCGCCGCAUGCCGCCUGAGCUCAACGCUGCCGCGCCGUCGCGCGCAGCCUCCCCUGCGCAACCUCCACCAGCUCCACUCUCUUGACCACCUCCACCUCAGCUCAACCUCUACCAGCUCGCCAUCGCCGCCGCCGUCCAGCCCUGAGCUCCACCGCACGGUCGCUCCCACCACUGCAGCAGAUCCAGCUCAGCCGCCUGCCCACGCCCCACAGCCCAGCGCCGCAACAGCUUGCUGCUGCCUCCAACCCCACACGACACACAGCGCCCGAACUGCCAUCGCCGAUCGCCGCCAGUCUCCCAGCUCCCCCUCUGCGCUCUCUCCACUUCGUGAACCAGCCGCACUUAAGCUCACCUCCACCAGCUCUCCCUCGCACGCCACUAGCUGCUCCGCUGCUCGCUCCAUUCCCACCUGUCCAAAUUGACAGGUGGAGGUAUUGAACCUUCAACUUCGAUUAGUAUUUUUUUUUUCUUUUUUUUUCUUCUGGUUCUGCUUUUGCUAGAUUUUGCGCUUGUGUGUCUGGGUUUCUUGUUGGAUAACAGAGAGGGUUGUUGUGGGCAUUUUCUAGGGUGAAUUUUGGACAGAUUUGGGUCUAAUUGCUACCAUAUGUGGGGAUAUUUUCUGAUAUUUGUUGAAUUGUUGGCCGUCUGACCUUCCCUAUGUGUAUACCAGUGGUACUGGUUGGAGUGUUUUGUUUACAUUCAUUGAUUUUAUGUGGUCGCCUGUCUGAUUGCGAGCUAAUGACCUUGUACUUCUGUUGUUGUUCGCAAUUUCACCUGUGGUUGCUGAAAUUGCCAAUUUCUGGGGUCAUUUGCUACUUUUCACAGGUUGGAUUUCUUGUUGGAUCCAAGAGGGUGAUAAUUUGGGCAUUUUCUAGGGUCAAUUUUGGGACAAAAUUACGUUUAUUUGCUGCUUUGUUUGGGGAUAUUUUCUGGCAUCGAUUACAUUAUUGAGUUGGCCAUUUGCUUUAGUUUUUCCCUGUGACUCACCAGUGGUACUGGUUGAGAUUUUUGGCCUAUCGUUGUGGCUCCUAUUUGAAGAUUCUUGCUUAUUUGAAAGUUUAAGUUCUUGUGAUUGGGUUGCUGCCGUUGAAUUUAAUUCUUUCCUGUCUAUGCACCAGUGGUACUGGUUGCAAUGUUGCUUUCCAUUUCUUAAUCCUCUGUGCUGGACUGCCUAUUCGAUUCUUGAGUUUUGGUGCCUGAACCAUUUCUGAAGUGUACCCUUGGCUAGAGUUUUCCCUUAAUUAUUUCUCUUAAUCAAUUAUUUCCUGCAGUUAAUUUAUUUAGUUAGUAUUUAAUCCAAAAACCCCCC
rnacentral:lncRNA from 1 species